rnacentral:lncRNA from 1 species
UAGCAUGAUGUUCUUCAUGGAUGGCGUCGUGGAUUCGGCGUGAUUGAAGGCGGUUCGUGGAUUCGGAUCGUGGGCUCGUGGAUUCGAGUGGCGUUCGUGGAUACGGACAUGUGCGAGGCGUUCGUGGAUUCGAAUGUGAGGGCGUGGACAACCCGGAGGAUUGCGCGGGACUCAUAGAAGGUUAAGAGAGGUCGAAUCCGUGGAGCAGGUAAUUACCUUGUAAUCUUUUCUCUUAAUGAAUUAUUUUUUCGCGUGUUGGUCCCGUGGGUUUUUUACUCCAAGUUGGAGUUUUCCCACGUAAAUCUCGGUGUGAUUUUUAUUUUUCGCAUUUAUUUUUAUCGCAUUGAGAUUUAUGGUUUGUAAGGUACUGGACUUAUAAAAUUAUGAAGUUACGGUGUAUAUUUAAAUGGUUCCGGUAAGGUUGCGGUGGAAUGUAACAUACCGGAUUUUAAAUAUAAAAGUAAAAAUAAAUAAAAAUAGUAUGAGAUACUAUUUUUAUUGGAUUUAGAGAAGUAAAAUAUAAGUUGGGAAUGACCUGUGCUGAAAUCGGAGCGAAAACAGAAGAUUUAGAAUUUUCUGUAAAAAACGGGGCAGAUAAAUUAGCAGAAAAUACACAGUGUCAGAAAAUUAUAAAAAUUGACAGAGAUGUCAGAAAUAUUUUUAUGAGGUUAGAUUUAAAGUUUCAUAUUUUUCUGACACCCGUAGAGUGAGAAAUAAAAUCCGAGGGUUAUUUGAUAAAGAUUACAGUUCGGUACAGUUUUCGGUGACCAAAUGGGGUCCAAAGUGAAAACUUAAAAUAUAUUCUUACUCAGUACGUUAAACUGAGCCUACCUGUCAAAUUUGAGCUCAAACGGACAUUCAGAAGGGCUCCAACUGUUCCGAACUGCUAAAACUGCCUAGAGUGAAUAGUGCGAGGGGCUAUAAGUGUAUAAGAAGCUGAUGCUUCUUCUUCCUCUCCAUCAGCCCGAGCACACACCACACACGCACACGACACACAUACACACACAUGGAAAGGAAAAGGGAAAACCCUCCCUUUCUUUCUCUAAAUCUCUCCAAAAAAGAGAGGGUUUUGGUGGAAAUUGAAGCUCAAAGGUAGAUUUUCAUCUCAAUUGGCUUCUUCCUCUCCAUUGGAGCAAGCUUUGAAGGUAAGCUUUGAUGCCCUUUAAUAGUAUCUCUUUAUAGUUUGGGUUUUAAGCUUCAAGAAUGGAUUUAGAGCUAAUCUAGCAUGCUAAAGAGAUGAUUGUUGCUUAAAUCACGGAUCGAUUUAAUGAUUUCUUGCCUAGUUGUAAACCUAGGGCUUGAAAUGAGCUUUUUGAAUCCUCUCAUGGUAGAUCUUUAAAGCUUCAUUUAUAAUCCAUAGAAAUGGUUUAUUUGGGAUCCUAGCAUGCUAAAUAAAGGAUAAAUGCUAGAAUCUAGGAUCAAUUUAAUUAAUUCUUGCAAUAGAUGAAGCCUAGGGUUCAAAAUGCAAUUUUUGGAAAUAUGAGGGUUUGAUCUAAAUUGACCUCUCUCUAACCUAAUUGCUAGGUAAACAAAUGCGUUGGUGAAGUCGGUUUGGCGAUUCGUCGAGCCGUUGCGAAGUUAUUAAAGAAUUAGACGUUUAGGCUUCAUUUCCGUCUAGAGGGCCGAGGCGACGUCGUAAACUCAUAAAAACGGAUUUGAAGCACCAUGGCACAUAACCGAAGACCUUUAAUUUCCGGAUCGCAAAUCGGAGAUUGUUUGGGUGGUCGCGCGAGAGUUCGAGCCAAACCGGGUCGCAGGUGUCGCGGGCGGCCGAUUGCAAGUGACUACAAGCAAUCUGAGAGUAAGUUAAGGUGGGUUGUGCUUACCGAAGCGACUAGGUCGCCCUUAUGUCUAAGAAUAUUAAGAAUUCGUGUUGAUGCAUAUAAGUGUUAAACAAUACAUGUUAAUGUGAAUACUAAGUAGAAAUGCAUAGUGAGCAAGUUACAUAAUGCUAGUAAUGCAUGAUAAUAAUAUAAUGCUAGUAAUGCAUGAUAAUAAUGUAAUGCUAGUAAUGCAUGAUAUGAUGUAAAUGCUAAAGUAGAUGCAUAUAAAAGAUUAUAUAUAUGCAUGUAAACUAGAAGGAUGCAUGUAAAUAUAAUGUAUAAAAUGAAAUGCAUGUUGGUGAUAUAGUCUAGAAAUGCUAAAUGUAAUGUGCAUGUUAAUAUGAUAAGAAACCAUGCUAGUAAGUGAAUGCAUAUUAAUACAUAUGUGUAUAGUGAGCAUGUUGGAUAAGAUUCGUGUACAUGUAGACUCGAGAUGACAAUAGGAUGUCAAGUAGAUCGAGUGGCACCUAACCUAGUGUUAAAGAACAUAGGUUGUGAAUGAAUCUAGAGUCAUGUGAACUAGAUCGAGUGGCAUCUAACCUAGUGUAUAAAACAUAGGUUGGACAUGAAUGACAAUGAACCUAGUGUUGUUGAACCUAGGAUGAAUCAUGAGUGGCAUCUAACCUAGUGUUAAAGGACAUAGGUUAUGGAUUGAACCUAGAGUUAAGUAAACCUAGGUUAUGUGAUAGAGACGUUGAACCUAGAGUCAAUUGGACCUAGGGUGAAAAGGACAUUGGACCUAGAUAGGUCAAUACUAUAGGGUUUGAAACCAACCCUUGAGCUAUAUGAAGUGGAUUCCGGAAUCCCUAGUGAUGUGGCCGCACAUGGAGCGGUGGAAAUUGUGGUAUAAGAGAUGGCAAGCGAAUCAUAACUGCAGGUAUGUGUGGUUCUCCUCGUCUGGCAGUGAUUCAACGGGUAUGUGUGGUUCUCCUCGCCCGGGGUGCCAUGAGAAUAAGCUGGAAUUGGGUAUGUGUGGUUUUCCUCGCCCAUUAGCUUAUCGGAUGCUGCCGCCUAGAUUGACUUGAAACUUGCUGGGUAAGAGCGAUAUGGUCGCUGCCAAAUGACUAAGUCAUGUCUUGAACCAUUGUUCGGUGAGGUGCGAUUAGUUCGCCGCCAGAUGGCUAAGUCAUGACUUGAGUUGUUGUUGGGUUCGAUGCGAUGAGUUCGCCAUCAGAUAGUUAAGUCAGAUUUGCGGUAGGCUGUGACGGCAGCCAGGCUGAGAUGCAGCCAGUGCGCGGACUAUCCGCGGAUGAUUGACUCGAGGCCGAGUCGGGUGGUUAGCUUGAUUAGGUUAAUNNNNNNNNNNNNNNNNNNNNNNNNNNNNNNNNNNNNNNNNNNNNNNNNNNNNNNNNNNNNNNNNNNNNNNNNNNNNNNNNNNNNNNNNNNNNNNNNNNNNNNNNNNNNNNNNNNNNNNNNNNNNNNNNNNNNNNNNNNNNNNNNNNNNNNNNNNNNNNNNNNNNNNNNNNNNNNNNNNNNNNNNNNNNNNNGUUUACGUUAAUUCAAUAAUGUAGUAAACGAAUAAUGUUUAACUAUGUAACAUAAGAAAAAUAAAGGGUUUGGGGAUCCGAUACAGCUGCCCUAUAACGAUAGAGACCAGAGAGCCAUCCCGCGAUAGAGACCAGACACCCAUCCCGCGAUAGAUACCUCGAUGCGGGAAAGGAGCGCGGCAGCGCGGCGAGUGCACGUUUGGACUUUGUGGGGUUUUGUUGCACCCCAUUCUUGGACAAUUCCUAAAAUAUUCAACCGCCUAAAGCACUUCCCAAACCUAUCUCAGAGCUUCUUAGUCUUCUACUUCUAACUGCUUUUCUUAACUUCAAAACACUAGUUUCUGGGAACUCUUGAAUCCAUACUAAUCUUUGUUAAACACCACUUCAAAGGAGUUGGAUGUAAAGUAAAUGUAUUAUUGUGAAUGCAUGUAAUAACAUAGGAUGUGUUUGUUGUGAUACUUUCCUUAUGCAAUCAUGAUUGAUAUCUGUUCCUGGUUGGAACCCUUGUAAUGUUCAUUGUAUUGAUUGCGACGCCUAGGACGUACAGGGGAAACUCUGUCCGUUCGGCGGUCUGUCGACGCGCCCGAACUCGGCCAAAUAGGCGGGGCUCGGGGUGUGACAUGGUUUUUGGCCGUUACACCUAUUCACCUCCCUCUAGGUGUUUGAUACAAUCUAGAUAGAUCUUAGGGCUUCUCAAAACUCACAAUUGGUAUCAGAGCGGGAUCUAGAUAUAUUGUUAUCUAAUGGCCGAAGGCACUAACAUUAAUCGACCAUCACUCUUCGAUGGCACGAAUUAUGCCUAUUGGAAAGUUCGCAUGAGAGCUUUUCUAAUUGCAAUCGACGAGCGAGUGUGGCAAUCAAUCAAAUUCGGAUGGAAAUAUCCUACCGAAGUCGUCGAUAAUGCUACCGUCCCUAAACCGAGAAAUAAGUGGACUAAAGAUGAAAACGAGUCAUCUUCGUUUAAUGGCAAGGGAAUAAAUGCUUUGUUCAAUGCAUUAUCUCAAACGGAGUUUACUUAUGUCUCGGCAUGUGAAACCGCCAAGGAGGUUUGGGAUACGCUACAAGUUACAUAUGAGGGUACGAGUCUAGUUAAAAUUCAAAAGCUUUAGAUGUUGACAAGUCAAUUUGAUUCGAUUUGUAUUGAGGAGCAUGAAUCAUUUACUGAUUAUUAUACUAGACUUCAAGAUAUAAUUAAGACAUGUGCUAACUUAGGAGAGAAAAUCUCGGAUUCUAAAAUUGUUAGAAAAAUUCUUCGAGCUCUUCCGGAACGCUUUAGGGCAAAAGUUGCCACAAUUGAAACGGUUAAGCAUCCGGAUGAGAUGAAAGUCGAAGAGUUAGUAGGUGCUUUGCAAACUUAUGAGAUGACUUUUCCUACUAAUCUAUCUUCUUCUAAGUCUUUCUCUAAAUGUACAAGGAUUGCAUUGAAAUCGACAAAGGAGGAAGACGAGGACUCGGGUUCCGAUGGAGAGAUCUCAAUUGCGGAUUUUGAACAUCAAUUGGCUCCUAACGAAGAAGUUUCGUCGGAACUUCCGGAAGAAGAACAAAUCGAGCAAUGCUUCAUCUUCGAAGUAAAAAUCCUUUUCUAAACACUCUUCAAAUUCAAAAUCUAAGGAUAAGAAACUUACAAAAUCUUCUAAGAGAAAGAUGAUUUCGAAAGGGAAAUACAAUGUUACAAAUGUAAAGGCUACGGUCAUAUUUCAACGGAUUGUCCUUCUAAGAAAACUUAUAAACAAAAUGCUUUGCAAGUACAAACUUGGGAUGAUUCUACUUCAAGUGAAUCAACUUCAAGUGACGAAGAAAAGAAUGAAAAUCUUGCUUUAUUUACUAACACUUCUUUGCCUUCUCUAAUGUUGUUUGUUUGUCCUCAAUUGUUACUAAUUUUAGUGUUUCUUCUUCCUUGCAUGGUACUUCGAGCGAUGAUGGCGAGAGCGAGGAGGAGUCAAACGAUGAGGAUUUAGCAGAAGCGUAUAAUCAACUUCUUAUCGAAUCAAAGAAGAUGGCAAAGCUUAAUAAGAAGUUGAGGAGGCGCUUAUUGGAACUUGAAGAGGAGAACAAGAAUGAGAAGAUUAUAAACAAAGCUCUUGAGGGGGAAAAGGAAUCAAUUUUGAAGACCAAUUCGAUCCUCCAAGAGAAGCUUGAUGAAGCGGAUUCAACGAUUAAAUCGUCUAAAGACAAGAUUGGAUUUUUGGAGCAUCAAUUUGAGGAAACCUACUCAUCCAAUCAAGUCUUGACCAAUCAAGUUCGUCAACUUCAAUCCGAUAUUCAAAAUUUUCUUCUGGAUCGAAGAAAUUGGAUCACAUGCUCGUAUUGGGUCAAACGAACAAGCUCGGUCUCGGUUAUGAAAGGACUUACGUUGAGAAGUAUUUAAAGCAAAUUUCUAAUGUCUCAACAAAUUCAAAAGAAAAGGUGUGUCAUGGCUUUGGCAUCAAAGGACACAUAAAAAAGAAUUGCCCGGCAACGAAUAAGAAGAAUCAACCGGCGAUUUCUAAACGUCCGUUGGCACCCUCUACUACACGACUUCCCCCACUGUCACGCCUCGCCCCGAAACCACUACCAAUUUGGCACGAUUUGGGCGGGCCGGGCGGACUACCGAACAGACAGCACCUCCCAUGUCCACCCAAGGCUCAACAACAGGAAUGUGUACAAGAAUUUACCCAGAAAAUUUAAAUUCUAAACAUACACAUUCAACGGGGAACAAACAGUGCCAACAACUAAGAGCAAGUGAUCCACAUGAUAUACAAGUGAGAUAAAGAAAGUAUUUUAUUGACUAUUACAAUAGUUUUGCAUCUUUUUACAUGCACAUCUUUUCCUCAAAAUGAAUACAUUUGUUCAUUCAAAAUACAUAGCUCUCCAACCUCACCGACAUAAGUCUCUCUCAAAAUACAAAGGUGUACUAAUGCAAAAUGGAAAGCUACUAUACUACCACGGUCUCACUGGUCGGGCGCGAUGCCCUUGCCGCGGUCCUCGCUUGGUAAACCUGUACCUACCACUGAAAAUAGAGUGGGGUGAGAACUAUCUUGCAUAGUUCCCAGUGGGCUCGGCCGCCAACUCUGCCGGUCUCCCCACUAGGUCCAAGUGGGCACAAGUAACAACAAGUAGAUAGAUAGAUAGAUAUCUCAAAGCUGUAAAUGACAUAAUAAGAAAUCUAUGCUACUAUACCCAUAAUCAUGUGUAAUGAAUGCAUGCAUCAUAUAGUAAAGGUUUACUACCAUGCUAACAAGUUCGAUCCAUGUUCGAAUAAUAAUGUUCAAUGACAAUACUUGUUUUUCAUUUAUCCAAUCUAUGGCGAGACCCUUGGGUUCGCCUACAACUCACAUUCCCAUCCCGUAUUGGGCAAAGGAGCUCCAUGUGCCCCCAAUCCGGGACUGUCUGCGGACCUCCAUGUGGUCCCUAUCGCCCGACACUCCGGAGUACUUGACGACAAUCCUCUCCAUGUGAGGAUAUGGAUAGCUAUACCACCCCAAAUAACAGACCGUGAGCUAGAUCUAUCCUCUCCAAGUGAGGAUACCCUACGAACUAGGGCCAACAUCUCGAACGAAGUCAUCUACAUCCUCUCCAUGUGAGGAUACUUAGCUUUACUAAAUUCUUUGUCCACAAGGCAUUUUCUAAAGGAUUCACCUAUCCCUAGGUUCUCAAACCUCUAGUGUCAAGUACACUACAUUAAUGCCACUUGUUUGUUCUUUAGACAUUUAGAUGCCACUCUUUAAGUCACUAGAUAACCAUCAAUUUCACAUCUUUUCUUUAGCACUAUAGGAUCUAAUGUUCCGACCCAAUCCUCACCUAUCCUAUUCACCUAGCAUUCCAUGCAUACUAGGUUACCAUUUAGAAAGCAUAAGGAGAAGGUUAAACAUGCAAUCCUACAAUGCAACAUGCAAGAGAUGAAAUUAUAUGUUAUUCUAAGGCAUAGAAAAAAGUCCGGUAGCUUCGGGAUGACACCCCCCACCUUUCGUAGUCGAUAAUCGUUGUAGAGGUCCUAGAAGUGUUCCUCGGCACUUCAAACCACGUGAUCCCCGCUCUUUAGGAGAAACGAAGCUAGGUCGGCCCUACUUUGCAGAUAGCUCUACACCCGCUCGACGAAUCGUAAAUCCGACUCCGCCAACGCGUUUGGACACCUAGCAAUUAAGUUUACAAGGCCUCAAAUGAGAUCAAUCUCAUCUAUUUCCAAAAAUUCCAUUUUGGGUGCCCUAGGGUUCACAUCUUGCCAUUUGCACUAUAAAACCCUAGUUUCUAGCUCAAAGCCAGCAUUAAUGGUGCAAGAGGUCCAUUUGACCUCCUCUCCAAAGGCUAAAACCCAAAAACCCUAAGUUCUACAAGCUAGGGUUUGUAGCUUACCUCUUGAGCUACACCAAUGGAGAGGAGAGGAAGAGAGGAAGAUGCUCCAAGCCUUCUCUAGCUUGAUCUCCUCCUUCUUCUUCUUCUUCUCCUCAUCUUUCUUCUCUUCCUUCUUCUCCUUCUCUUUUGUUCUUUCUUUUCUAGAGAGAGAGAGGGAGCAAGAGAGUGAGAGAGAGAGAGAGAGAAUGAGAGGCUUAGGGAGAGAGUGGGGGCCUACAUACCCCUCUAAUGUAACAAAAUCCAAAUAAACCCCUCAACUUUCAUCUCUGUGCACAGCCCUCACUGGGCAUUCUGCGCCCAGAGGGACCGUUCCCUUGUCGGGGAGACCGGUCCCCGAGAGCCCUCCCCGCGGCCUGGGGACCUUUCGCGUAUGGGAACCGGUUCCCACCCGAGAGACUGGUCCCUGGGAGAUCGGUCCUUCUUGAGAGACCGGUUCCCGAGAGCCGAAUUUCUAGGACUUAGCCAUUUUUGCCCUUCUCUCGUUGGUGUCACAUACGGGGACCGGUCCCCUCAGCCGGGGGACCGGUUGCAUCAACCUCCCCCGCAACCAUCAGCUACGGGGACCGGUCCUCGUUUCCAGGGACCGGUCCCCGAUAGCAAAAUUUGCUAAGUCCAGAUUUUUUCAUAUCUGCUCUCGCGGACACGUUUCUAAUGCACUUUUUGUAUUUUGGACAACUUUAGCUUUCCCAAAGGAUACUCACUCGACAAGUAGUCGAUCUUGCACGAAGUACAACUCUCGGAUUUCGAGAAUUCACUUCCUUACAUCCUCCCCUCCUUAAAAGGAGUUUCGUCCUUGAAAUUAACUCAAUUAUUUACUUUAACUUAAAUUUUUACCUCGCUCCUCGAACAGAUGAGGGUGGUGCUUUCUCAUUAGAUCCUCGAGUUCCCAGGUGGCUUCGCGAUCAUUAUGAUUGCUCCACUGAACCUUCACGUAGGGAAUUUCUCGAUUCCUCAGCCUUCGCACUUCUUGGGCGAUAAUCAUUACCGAAAACUCUUCAUAGCUCAAGUCUUCUUGAAGCUUCGGUGGCUCAUAUAGCAUCGCGUGCUCGGGGUCGUGAAUAUACUUGCGGAGAUUGGAGACAUAGAACACAUUGUGUACAUCCGCGAGCUUCGGCGGCAAAUCGAGUUGAUAAGCCACCGUGCCAACUCGCUCCAAUAUUUCAUAGGGUCCAAUGUAUCAGGGACUCAACUUUUCCCGCACUCCAAACCGCUUUACACCCCGCAUCGGUGAAACCUUCAAGAAAACGCGGUCGCCCACCGCAAACUCUAUAUCUCGUCGGCGCCUAUCUGCAUAGCUUUGCUGUCUCGACUGCGCCGUGAGCAAUCUCUUGCGAGCAAGGCGGACUUUCUCCUUCGCUUCUCGCAGAACAUCGGGGCCGAACUCUGCACGCUCACCCACAUCACUCCAGUGUAUAGGAGACCGACACAUCUGCCCAUAAAGAGCCUCGAACGGUGCCAUCUUCAUACUAGCAUGAUAACUAUUGUUGUAGGCGAACUCGGCCAUAGGUAGGUGAUCACACCAACUUUUCUUAUAGUCGAUGACACAUGCUCGCAACAUAUCCUCCAGAGUUUGAAUGGUUCUCUCUGUUUGCCCAUCGGUCAGAGGAUGAAAUGCGGUGCUAAAAUCGAGCCGUGUGCCAAGGGCUUCCUGCAGGCUCUUCCAGAAGUGUGAAGUGAACCGGGGGUCACGAUUCGACAUGAUCGAUUUCGGCACACCAUGCAGUCUCACUAUCUCGUCGAGGUAUACCUGCGCUAACUUGUCACCCGACCAUGUGGUGUGGAUCGGCAAGAAGUGAGCCGACUUCGUCAAUCGGUCCACAAUUACCCAAAUUGCAUCGUGGCCGCCUAUUGAGCGAGGCAAGCCGACCACGAAGUCCAUCGAUAUAUCCUCCCAUUUCCAAACGGGGAUUGGUAGGCUUUGAAGCUUUCCCGCUAGAAAUCGACGCUCUGCUUUCACUUGUUGUCAUGUUAAGCAUUUCGCCACAAAGCGUCCAAUAUCACCCUUCAUUUUCGGCUACUAAUAGUGCAUUUUUAGUCCUUGAUACAUCUUGGUGCCGCCCGGGUGAUCAGCAUACGGAGAUCGAUGUGCUUCUUGCAAAAUUAGAUUUUGGAUCUCCUCAUUAUUUGGUACACACCGCUGGUUUCGAAACCGAAGUGUAUCAUCGGCGUCUAUACUGAAAUCGCCGCCUCUACCUUCCUCGAUGUUUUUCCUCACCUUUUGGAGUUCUGGGUCUGCGGGUUGUAGAUCUUUGAUCCUCUCCAACAAGGUCGGUGGGACAACGAGCGCCAUCAACUGGACCGGAACCUCGGGAGCAACCACCUCAAGGUUCAUCCGCUCUAUGUCUAACCACAAGGGUGAUUGAUUUGUAACCCACAUCGAGAGGUUCUCCGCCAACUUUCUGCUCAAUGCAUCAGCGACCACAUUGGCUUUCCCGGGGUGGUAAAGGAUAUCAACAUCAUAAUCCUUAAGCAAUUCCAACCACCGCCGCUGUCGCAUAUUAAGCUCUUUCUGUGUGAACAGAUAUUUCAAACUCCUGUGGUCGGUGUAAAUCUCACAAUGGGCACUGUACAAGUAGUGCCGCCACAGCUUCAAGGCGAAGAUUACCGCCGCUAGCUUCAAAUCGUGGAUGGGGUAGUUCUUCUCAUAGCUCUUCAGCUGACGGGAAGCAUAAGCAAUCACCUUUCCGUUUUACAUCAAAACACACCCCAAUCUUAGAUAGGAAGCGUCGCUGUAGACUACGAAGUCUUCGCCUUGCACCGGUAGAGCGAGCACCGGAGUCGAAGUUAAUCUUUGCUUCAACUCUUUGAAACUCCGGUCGCACUUCUCGCUCCAAACAAACUUGGUGCCUUUCUGAGUCAGGCGGGUAAGUAGAAUCACUAUCUUGGAAAAGCCUUCCACAAACCGCCUAUAAUAGCCCGCCAAGCCAACGAAGGUUCGAACCUCCGUGACAUUCGUAGCGUCGGGCGCGACCAAUCCUUGAUUGCCUCAAUUUUCCUUGUGUCUACUGAAACUCCACCCGCGGAAAUCACAUGCCCUAGAAAUGCGACUUCUCGGAGCCAGAAGUCACACUUCUUUAACUUAGCAUAUAGCUUCUCCUCCCGAAGGGUUUGAAGUACUAUCCUCAAAUGCUCAGCAUGUUCCUCGUCACUACGAGAAUAGACCAAUAUGUCAUCUAUGAAGACCACGACGAAUAGAUCCAAAAACUUUCUGAAGAUACGGUUCAUCAAGUCCAUAAAUGCCGCUGGAGCGUUUGUGAGUCCAAAUGGCGUGACCAUGAAUUCAUAGUGCCCGUACCGCGUACGAAACGCAAUUUUCUGCACAUUCUCCGGCUUAAUUUUCAACUGGUGAUAGCCAGACUGCAAAUCUAUCUUCGAGUACACACACGACCCCUGCAACUGAUCGAACAGGUCAUCGAUUCGGGGUAGUGGGUACUUGUUCUUGAUCGUGACUCUGUUCAACUCUCGAUAAUCCAUGCAGAGUCGAAACGAUCCAUCCUUCUUCCGUACAAACAACACCGGGGCUCCCUACGGUGACAUACUUGGCCGGAUAAAUUUCUUGUCUAGGAGGUCUUACAAUUGACUCCUCAAUUCUUUCAGUUCCGCUAGCGCCAUUCGGUACGGAGCCUUCGAGAUCAGUGCGGUACCGGGAACCAAGUCUAUGACGAACUCGAUCUCCCGAUCAGGUGGUAUCCCUGGCAACUACGCGGGAAACACAUCCGGGAACUCCCGCACCACCGAUAACUCCUCCAACAUUGGAGCUACUCGUCCCACUUCCAUAACAGUUGCCAAGAAUGCUAUGCAACCGCUGUUAACCAGUUUUCUUGCUCUUGUCGCCGACACCGUCGCGACGAAGCACGAGCUCUGACAAGCCCGAUAUGUGAACUCCUUUUGUCCUAGCUCACGAAAGGUAAUUACUCUGCUCUUGCAGUCGAUCGUUGCGUGAUAUUUCGAGAGCCAGUCCAUGCCCAAAAUGAUGUCAUAAGCCUCAAGCUUCUUGAGUUCUAGCGUCCGAAUAGGCAUUAUCCAGUCGCCUACUUGUACCGGACACGAUGCACACUCCGAGUAGGUAUUAAAAGUCAACCUAGGGCCCUCAACUCGCCACUUGUCACUCUCCUCUAUGAGAAUGUCAUGCAUGCGUGCGAAUAAUCUACUAAUGAAUGAAUGCAUGGCUCCUGUAUCAAAUAAAGCCCUGGAGCGAACUCCGUUAAUUAAAACCAUACCUGCCACAAGGCGAUGCUCCUCAGCCUUCACAGGCUCUUCAGCUUAGACCUGAGCGGCGAAUACCUGACCGCUCGGAGCUGAUCGCGUCACCUCGGGUUGACGCGGCAUCAUCGCGCGUCCCGUCGACGCUGCCGUCGGUGGAACUCCUCCAUACUGAGCCGGGAUCGCCGACGCCGAUGUAAUCGAUGGGGCAGGUGAGGCUCCUCCUCCCGGGCAGUCCCGAAUGAAAUGCCCCGGUUGCCCACACUUGUAGCACUUGCCUCGGCUCUGCUCACAUCGCGAGACUGGGUGGUCUCCGCCGCAUAUGAUGCAUCGUCGCGCUCCACCGCCCUUUGGCUGAGUCCGCGGAUACUUCGGGGGCUUCUUGGAACGUGUUUGUCCCCCCGAACUACCACCGCCUUGACGUUUCUUUCCCUUGUCCUUGGACUCGGCUAGCAUCUCACGCUUCUCCCGAACAUGGGCGUCUCCGUGCUUCGCCCAAAGUGCUCGGUCGAAGACCUCCACAAAGGUCGUGAGCUUGAGUAUCUGCACGGCCUUAUAAAUCCUCGGCCGAAGUCCUCGCAAGAACCAAUCGGCCCGGUCCCGGUCGUCCUUCACUACAUCCGGAACACAAUCAAUGAUGUGGGAGAACUCUUGUUCAUAUUCUGCCACUGAGCGGUCCCCUUGCUCCAACUUGCAGAACUUCUCAUUGAGCUUCCGCUUCAGCGUGCCGGGGAAGUAGUUGGCGAACAUCUCCCGCUUGAAUUCCUUCCACAAUAUCGGCAGGAGAUCGGAAAACCGAUCUCGCUUCAUGCGCUUCCACCAUAUCUUUGCCGCUUUCUCCAAACAGUGGGUGGCAAGGUACACCUUAUCCUUCUCCAAGGUACGCAAGUCCUUAAAGAGAGUCUCCAUCGAGUCAACCCAUGACUCGACCAUCGCCGGCUCCACCUUCUCGCCCUCAAAGAUAGGCUGAUGGAACUUGUUGAACUUAAUAAGAGCCGCCAAUGCGCGCUCUCCUUCCACAUCUUCAGCCGUCACAUCGGGUGUAGCCGAUCUCGACGUCGCCUGUGGUACGAUUGCUGGCGGUGGGCGUGCCGUCACCGGAACCGCCUCUAUACCCUUACCCUCUACCGCUCCGGGUACACGAGUUGAGGGUGCAGGCGGACCACCGCCCUCGUUCACCGUCGCAGCCGCCGCCGCAACCUGCCGCUCCAAAAGAUCCUGGAGCAGUUGAAUCGGGUCUCCUAGCGCCGCACGACAUUGGUCAACGCGGUCACUUGUGCCCGCAACUGAUCCAUGUCGCUCGGUUCAGCCUGCUCGGGCACCUCGGGAAGCGGUGCCGGAGUAGACUCAUGCUCGGGCGUCCUCUUGGUGCCAUUGGCUCCUGAAACGCAAGUACUUGGUUAAUUAUCUUAACCUAUGCGCCUCGUCGCAAUUACGACAAAUAACGACUCAACAACGAAGUCGGGCGGAAGCACACAAGUGUACUCGUUCUAGACUCUUGGUAUCAUGUCGUUGGCCGCCGACACAACCACCUCAAGACAAGAACUCAUACCAUUUGAAUUCGUCUCUAUUCACAACUAGAGACAUAUUACCAACUUCAACCCAAUCGAAUUAACUUCUGCUAUCGUUAUAGGUUUACGCUUCGCUCACGCACCUAUAACCUUAGGGCUUACCAACCUAGGGUCUCCUAAGUCAUCCUAGACUUUCUCUCUUUACUUUCUCUUUUUGCUCUGAUACCAUACGACUGUCACGCCCCGCCCCGAAACCACUACCAAUUUGGCACGAUUCGGGCGGACCAGUCCCCUCAGCCAGGGACCGUUUGCAUUAACCUCCCCCGCAACCAUCAGCUACGGGGACCGGUCCUCCCUUCCAGGGACCGGUCCCUGAGAGCAAAAUCUGCUAAGUCCAGAUUUUUGCAUAUCUGCUCUCGCGUAUACGUUUCCAAUGCACUUUUUGUGUUUUGGACAACUUUAGCUUUCCCGAAGGAUACUCACUCGACAAGUAGUCGAUCUUGGACGAAGUACAACUGUCGGAUUUCGAGAAUUCACUUCCUUACACCCACGGAAUUCAAAGCAAACUCAAUCGAGUUGAGCAACUCAAGGAAACCGGAAUUCAAAGCCACAACGACAAUUUGAACCAAAGUCACAUGCAACGAAACGACCAACGGUGGAUCAAAAAUCAAAACGAGUUGAGCCUAACGUCGACAAGCCAAGACAACCAACAAUCCGACAAGUUUGGAUUCGGAAAGAUGAUAUCUUUCCUUGUUCUACAUCUUAGUUUGUUUUGAUUAUUUCAGUAAUGCUUUGGUUGGUGCUUAUUGCAUAUUAUUAUUCAUUGCAUUACAUGUUCAAACGUUUUUUUUAUUUAAAUUUUAUUCUUUUAAAAUUGGUUUGAGAAGGAUGAUUGGGAAUUAAAAUUUGAUUUUUGAGAAAGGUGACGAUUUAAAAUCAUUAUUUCGGGGAAAUUAAGAUUUUCAAAGUGCCUUAACCAAAUUAAAACUCAUAUUGAGUUAAAUUCAUUUUAAUUAUCGGUUUUAAUCCACAUUUUAUUAUUUUGACGAUAAAUUAUUAUAUGAUUUCUUAUUGCAUAAAUUCAUCAAAAUUUUGAAAUCAAAUUUGAUCUCUUGGUGAUUAAUCUAUUUUGGUUGUGUGUGUUGAUUAUGAUGAAUGGAUAUUCACUAAUAGACUAAAAUUUGUCAAAAUUACUUUCAUUUGCGAGAUUGUCUAAUUUAGGGAGAGUUUGAAUAAUUUUUUUAAAAAAGAAACUCCUAUGUUUAAAAGAUGUGGAAAGAGUUACAUCCAAAACGAGUGUGAAAACUACCACCACAUAUAGGAAAGAGCUACAACCUCGGUCGUCCGGUAAGUGUGUGAAGCUACCACAUCGUAAUUAAUUGAAUAACCGAAAGGGUUGAUAAAAAAGAAUAUUUUAGAUUUUUCGGAGUUAUAAGGUGGCAGGAUGAAAAGACGCUCAAAGAGCCACCCCUCGGUGUUUUAUUAGUUAAAUCUCUAUUUUGAACGUUUUGCGACAAAUUGGUGUCAAUUUUGCCGACUUUCUAUAAGUCUUUUUUCAUUAACCGUUACAUCUUGAUGAUUUUGAAUCACUAGGUUAUUUUUGAUAACAAAAUUUUGAUGUUUCGAUGCAUUUAGAAAUCCUAUAAUAUUUUAUUUUCAUUAUAAUGAUUUUUGGAGUACAAUUCUUAAUUAUUUUGAAAUUAAUUUAUUUAUGAAAUUUUCUAGGCAAAUUUUUCGAAUUUUGUGAACUGUUAACCGGUUGCUAAAUCCCGAGUACCGGUACCAGUACUGCCCGACAGAAUUAUUUAACCGGUUCAAUUAUUUGUUUCUCUUCCAAAUCCGAAAUCAAAUCGCUCUCUUUCUAUCUCUAAAAUCCCUAUAUGUUUUCUAGUAUGUUUUCUCUCUAUAUGCUCUGUUUUGGCAAUUUUUGUCAAAAAGGGGGAGAACAUAGACGGACAGGUAUUGAGCAAAGAUGGAGAAGUUUUUGAAGAUCAAAGGGGGAGAAGAAGAGAAGGACUUGAAUGUAAGAAUAUCUAAUGUUUUUCCUUUUCUACAUCAUUUUGGAUAAUUUGUUUUGCAGGAAAUCAAGUCUUCAAGACUCCUAGUUCCGUCUAAGUCAUAGAGUUUGUUUAAGGAGUUUUGAUGUAAUUUGGACUUCAUAUUGUAUUUGGAUUAUACGUGAGAGGUUUGAUGUUUUGGUGAUGACAUUGAACUUCGUUUUUCAUUUAUGAUGUAAUUUUUGAGUUUUGUCACGAAAUUGUCAAAGAGGAGAUUGUUAAGUAUUUUGUGUUGGUAAGUUUCGUGAUUUGAGUCAGAGUAUUGAAGGGUUCGGUGCGUUAUUGUCGAAGAUCGAAGAAUUCAAGACUUCGAGAACUCAGAAACAUCUCACCGCAUGAAUCACGAUGCUAAGGUAAGGUUUUAAUUCGUGGUAUGGUGAUUCAUAUUUAGUUAUAGACAUUAGAAUCAUGAAAGUCAAAGUUUAAUGGAUUAGAAAGUGCUUCGGAACUUUGUGAAACCCGAAACUGUGCAAAAUCUGAAAACUGCACUGUGUAUGGGUAUAGCAUUGAAAGUGUACCGGUACAAAACUGGUUCCGGUACAGCAUUGACCUUGUAACUUGUCACGCCCCGCCCCGAAACCACUACCAAUUUGGCACGAUUCGGGCGCGGCGAGCGGACCGCCGAACGGACAGCACCUCUCCUGUCCGCCCAAGGCUCACAACAAGAAUGUGUACAAUAAUUUCCCAGGAAUUUAAAUUCUAAACAUACACAUUCAACGGGGCACAAAUAGUGCCAGCAACUACAAGAGCAAAUAAUCCACAGGAAUAACAUGUGAAAUAAAGAGAGUAUUUUGCUAGCUAUUGCAAUAGUUCAUCCUUUUCACUUACAUCAUUUUCUUUAAAUGAAUACAUCUUUCAUCCAAAAUACAUAGCUCUCCAAAUCCUCACCUACAAUGAAUCUCUCUCUCAAUACAUAGGUGUACUAAUGCAAAAAGGAAAGCUACUAUACUACCACGGUCUCACUGGUCGGGCCGAUGCCCUUGCCGCGGUCUUCUCUCGGCAGCUCUGUACCUACCAAUGGAAAUAGAGUGGGGUGAGAACUAUCUUCCAUAGUUCCCAGUGGGCUCGGCCGCCGACUCCGCCGAUCUCCCCACUAGUUCCAAGUAGGCACAAGCAACAACAGAUAGAUAGAUAGAUAGAUAUCUGAAAGCUGUAAAUGCGAUAGUAGGAAAACUAUGCUACUAUGCCUAUAAUCAUGUGUAAUGAAUGCAUGCAUCAUAUAGUAAAGGUUUACUAUCAUGCUAACGAAUUCGAUCCAUGUUCGAAUAAUAAUGUUCAAUGACAUUGUUCACUGUUCUUUUACCCAAUUUGUAGCGAAGCCCUAGGGUUCGCCAAUAACUCACCUUUCAAUCCCAAAGUGGGGAGGGAGCUCCAAGUGCACCCAAGCCCGGGACCGUCUGCGGACCUCCAUGUGGUCCUAGUCGCCCGACACUCCGGAGUACUCGACGACAAUCCCCUCCAUGUGGGGAUAUGGAUGCUAUACUACCCCAAAAGCAGACUGUGAGCUAGAUCUAUCCUCUCCAAGUGAGGAUACCCUACAACUAUGGUCAACAACCCAAUCAAAUCCUCUCCAAGUGAGGAUGCUCACAACUAAGGUCAACAAUCCAAUCAAAUCCUCUCCAAGUGAGGAUGCUCUACAACUAGGGUCAACAACCCAAUCAAAUUCUCUCCAAGUGAGGAUGCCCUACGACUAGGGUCAAUAUCUCAAUAACUCAUCGACAACCUCUCCAUGUGAGGGUACUUAGGUUUAUUAAGUUCUUUAUCCAUAAGGCAUUUUCUAAGGGAUCCACCUAUCCCUAGCUUCUCAAACCUCUAGUAUCAUUUACACUAUAUUAAUGCCACUCGUUAUUCUUUAACAUUUGGAUGCCACUCGUUUGUUCUUUAACAUUAAACAUUACUUUCUAUAUCACCAACCCUCAUCGGGUUCAUCUCUUUUCUUUCGGAUCAUAGGAUCCACGUUCCGACCCAAUCCUCACCUAUCUAAGUUACCAAGUGUUCCAAGUACACUAGGUUAUCAAUUAGAAAGCAUAAGGAAAGGUUCUACUAUGCAAUCCUACAAUGCAACAAGUAAGAGAUGAGAUUAAAUGCAAUUUAAGACAUAGAAAGGAGUUCGAAAGCUUCGGAUGGCACCCCCCACCUUUUACCAAUGUAGAGGCUUUAGAAAUGUUCCUCGGUGAACUUUACGAAAAGGCUUUAGCCUUUCUUGGUCCAAGACAAAGCUAAAUCGGCUGUAUUUCGCCGAUAGCUCCAAAUCCACUCGACGAAUCGCGAAAUCGACUUCGUGCCCGCGUUUUGUGACCUACCAAUUAGGUUUACAAGGCCUCAAAUGAGAUCAAUCUCAUACUUUACUAAAAACCCCAUUUUGGAGCCUUAGUGUCACGCCUCGAGACCGCUACCAAUUUGGUCCGGUUCGAGCGCGUCGAACAGACGCCGAACGGACAGAGUCUCCCCUGUCCGCCCAAGGCUAAGCAAACGAUCAUGUACAAGAAUUUACCCAGGAAUCAAUUCAUAAGUACACAAUCACAAGAGCACAACAAGUGCUAACAAGUAAGAGCAAGGCACAAGUAUAAAGCAUACAAGUAACGAUAAAGAGAGAAGGUCUAUCUAUUACAUUCAUUCAACCUCUUUAAUACAUCGAUUUACAUUUAAACUGCCAAAUACAACAUGAGUUUACAUUUCCAAAAUGAUACCUCACACCCUAUACAUCAUCUACUCUCAAGUACAAAAGGGUGGCUCUAAUGCAAAGGAAAGUAAACUAAUGCAUCUAGGGCGCUAAGUCUCCUUAACCUGCGAUCUUCUGCGCCGUGUGAUAUUGCUGCUUCUUGUUCCUCUGUAGUUAAAAUGGGGGGUUGAAGAACUUAACUUCCCUUAUCUACCAGUGGGUUCGUCCUGCCAUCCUGCCUGUCCUUUCCCAAUCUUAGUUCCUAGGUGGGCAUGCAAGUAGAUUAACCGAUAGAUUAUGAUAUGAGAACUGUAAGGCCAAGAAUAAGUAAAACUACUCUACAUGGCCUCGCAUUAUAAAUUAUUAUUUGAAUCCUAUGUUUCAAUGUAAAUCGGUAUGUCAACUACAUGUGUCAUCAUGUCAUUGUAAGUAAUUAAUGUUUAUUUACUGUUCAUUUUAAUCGUAUUGGCUCACUCGAGGGUUCCACCUACUACGCACUUAUAGCCAUAUUCUCGACGCGUUAGGAUGACUCAAUCUCAAACUAGCAUUUUUCGAGAUCUUCUGUUGCUGGCGUGAUCUCCGCCACUAUAUGGCUAUUUCUCUCUCGGGACCAUCCAAAUUAGUGCUAUCUACGUGAUUCAACUUUCGUAGCGCAUGCUACCUUGUGUUGGUAGUCGACUCAUCACUUAGAGGUAUUAGAACAAUCCGUGGAGCCAAGAUCCAAUCCUGCUCUCACUCGAAGAUCCCUUACCUCUAGGUCUUAAUUUUUCAUCACCAAGUCCAUAGUUCAUAUACACUAACUCACAUGAGAUGUCCCACUCGCCUCUUUUGUUACUAAUCAACUAGAGCCAACUUGUUCAUCUUUUGUUUACUAUCUAACAUAAGAUGCCACUAGUUCUUGUUUACAUAUCCACUAGAUCCACUCAUAUCUUUUGUUUACCUAUCAACUAGAUGCCAGCUAUUUUUUUGUUUAAUAUUAAAUCCCAACCAUUGAGUCCAUCUCACCUCGCACUAUAGGAUUCACGAAUCACGACCCAAUCCUCAUCAAUCCACUAUAUCAACAAUAAACAUUAUAGAUCUCCAAUCUAAGGUAGCAUAUAGGAACUCCAAUGCAUCAAUUCAUCCUAAUAAUGCAAGUAAUACCAAAUGUCAAGAUUAAUGUAGCUAAGACAUAAAGGAGUCCAGUUGCUUCGGAUGUCACCACCACCUCUUGGUAGUGCCGAAAAGGUUAGAAAACCCAACCUUUGUUAGUGGUAAUAUCCCGUACGUCCUCUCCACUCGCUCUGGCAACAAACCCAUUACUUGUAUUUCGAUAAACUCGCACCCGUUGUCGGAUCGGACGAACGUCUCGCCAACGUGUAUAGAACCUAGCAAUUAAUUUACAUGAGGGUUAAUUGAGAUCAAACCCCCAUUUUUCCAAAAUGCAUUGAAUCCUAGGUUCAACUGCAAAAAUCACAAAUUGAUCCAUGCUUAGGACAACACACUAUUAGGCAUCCCAUAGAUUCCAAUAAAUCCAUUUUUAUAGCAUAUAAAUGAGCCUACCAUCUAACAUUAUAGAUUUUGGGAAGUCCCUAGGUCAAACAUGAGGAAAUCCAUGCUCAAAGCUCAAAUUCGAGCCUAGAACCAUCAACUUAGCUCCAAUAAGGUUCUCAUUCAACCAAUUCUAAAACCAUAAAAUCGGCCUAUCUUAAGGAAUCUACCAUUAUAGGUUGGGGCUUACUCUAAAACUUCUCCAAAUGUUAGGAGAGGAGAACAGAUAUGAAUCUCCUCUUCUUGGCUUCUUCUCCUCUCUUCUUUCUUCUUUUUUUUUUUUUUCCUUUCUUUUCCUUCUUCGCUAUUCCUUUCUUCUUUUCUUCUUUCUUUCUUAGAGAGAAGAGGAAAAAAGUGGAGAGUUGAAGAAUAAGAGAAACUUGAGAGGAGAAGCUGUAAUGUGUUGUGUAUCGCAUGCAACCAGCACACAUAGUCUCUGAACAAUUUCAAUAAACCCUCUCACACCUAUUAACAACUUGCAUUUCGAGUUCGGAACAUGUGUUGUCGGGCCCUUAUGAAUGUCCGUUUGCUCAAAUUUCGAUCGGCAGGCUCGGUUAACGUACUGAGCAAGAAUAUACAUUAAUUUCAGUUUCGACCUGCCGUGGUCACCGAAAAUGGCCGGAACUGUAAUCUUUAGUAAUAGCAUUCGAUUUUACUCUCCACCUUGUCCGGUGCACGAAUGGGCUGAAACUUAAAUCUACCUCAAAAAAAUAAUUCUGUACAUAUCCUCCAGUUUCAUUAAAUUCUCGAACACUGUGCAUUUCUGCUAAUUUACCACUCCCCAUUCCUCACAUAGAAAAUCUAUAAUUUUCGGUUUUCGCUCCGAUUCAGCACAGGUCCUUUCAUAUACUUACUUCUAUGAGUCGCAAUAAAAUAGUACUCACACUAUUUUAUUUAUAUUAUUAUUAAAUAAACCCGCCAUCUAUCUCUACCGAACUCCUAUUUUCAGAAGUUCCGGUACCUAACAUUCUCCCCUCCUUAACAUGAUUUCGUCCUCGAAACGAACUCAAUUUAAUCAAAAUUUUAAGCUCGAAUCUUAAAUCAUACCAUUCCAAUCCUCAAAUAAGUGAGUGGUGAUUUCGCGCUUCAUUUAGACCUCGAACUCCAGUGCUUCGCGAUCGUAUAUUGCUCCACCGACCUUGACACUGAAUUUCUCGAUCCUCAAACUUGCGCACUUCUCGAGCUAAUAAUGCCACCGAAAACUCCUCGUAGCUCAAGUCCUCCUGAAGUCCGCGGUUCAUACAACAUCGGUGCUCCGCGAUAGGUAUUACUUCCGAAGAUUGGAGACUUAAUACAUGUUAACCAUCCCGCGAGCUUUUGGCGGCAACGCGAUCGAUAAGCCACACGUCCCAAAUCCGCUCCACCAGAAUCUCAUAGGGGCUCAAUAUAUCGGGACUAGCUUUUCCCCGAACUCCAAAUCGCCUUCAACGCCCUCAUAGGCGAUAAACCUUUGGAAAAACUAGGCGUCCGCCCAUGUCGCAAACCCAAGUCCGCGCCGGCGCGCCUAUCCGCAUAGCUUUGCUGCGAGACAGCCGUGAGUUAACCGUGCAGCAAAGGCGGACCUUUCUCUUGCCGCCUCUCGCAACCAUCGGGGCCAAAUUCUCGUGCGCCUCUGCCCACAAUCGCAAUAAAGGGGGACCGGCACUUCGCGCAUAAAGAGCCUGAAACGUGGCCUAUCUCCACACUUCAUGAUAAGUUAUUUGUAGGCAAACUCGCUCAUCGCAGAUACUUGCAGACCAACCUCUUCUGUAGUCCAUACACACACUCGAUGAACAUAUCCUCCCGGUCUGAAUGGUUCUUUCAAGUUGCCCUCCGUCUUCUGAGGAUCGAAAUGCAUGCUGAAGGAGCCGUGUGCCACGGCCUCGCUUGCAGCUUUUCCUAUGAAAUGUGAAUGUGAACUGGGGUCUACUAUCCGACACAAUUGACUUCGGACCCCCAACUCACGUGUAACCUACUACUUCCGCAAGAUAUACCUUGCGCAACAUUUAUCUCCUGCCCAAUGGAUGGGUGUGGACGUAGAAAGUUGCCGACUUUCGGUCAAGACGAUCCACAAUCACCACCCCAAUUGCGCGUGCCGCCUGUCGAGCGAGGCAAGCAACAGAAAAUCCAUCGAUAUGUCCUACCCAUUUCCAGACCGGAUAGUAGGCUUUAAAGCUUCCUGCUGGAAAUGGCUCCGCCUUCACCUUGCUACAAGCCUCAAACACUUCGCACGAAGCGCCCAAUUAUCAAUUUCAUCGCCCGGCCACAAUACAGUGCUCUCAACUCAUGAUCACACUUGUGCUAAGAGAACACGGUAUUGAUCAGCGUAAUGGAGACCGGUGGCGCUUUUGCAAAAUCACAUCGGCGAAGCCUCUUCACUUGGUGACACAGCCACGGUUCGAAACCGCGAAGCGCGCCACCGGCGUUCAACUGAAUAUCGCACUGCCUUGACCUCCUCGAUAUUACGCCGCACCUUUGAGACUGGAUUUGCCGCAGAUUGCAUUCUGAAUCUCUCCAACAUAUGUCGGUUGAACAAACGAGUACCAUACACUGAGUCGGAUCUCGGAGCGACCCUUCUAGUCACGUCCAUAUCCAGGCCAUAGGGUGUUAUGUUUCGGUAACAUCAAAAGCAAGGUUCUUUUCGCCGACUUUUCCUGCAAGCGCCUCCGCGAUACAUUUGCCUUUGCCGGGUGGUAGAGGAUAUCACAUCGUAAAUCCUUUAACAGUCCAACACCGCGUUGACCAUAUCAACUCCCUUCUGGUAAAUAGAAUUAUCAACUUUUGGGGUUAAAUCUCGGCGCGUACGCAGCCAUAUAGUAGUGCCUCCCACAGCUUCAGACGCAAAGAUUACGCCGCCUGCCAACCUCCAAGUCAUAUCGAUUGGGGAUAAUCUUCUCAUGGUCCUUUUAACUGACGGACGCAUAAGCAUCACUCUCCCGCCUUGCAUCAGACUAACACCCCAAACCUAGAUAGGAUGCAUCAUCUAUAGAACCGCAAAGUCUCGCCCUGCACCGGUAAGCGAUAAUCCGGGCCGAAUUAACCUUAUCUUUAACUCUUAAUCUCCGGUCACAACCGUCGCUCCAAAUAAACUUGAACGCCCCUUCUGCGUCAGAUCGGUAAGACGAGUCCACAAUCUUUCGAAAAGCCUCCACAAACCGUCGAUAGUAGGCCCCCUAACCAUGAUAGCUCCACUACUCGGUGACGUUCGUUGGGCGCGGCCAAUCUCAAUCUGGCUUCGACUUUCCUCUGUUCAACUGAUAACACCCGCCCUCGAAAUUACGUUGACCCUAAGAAGCAACCUCUCGAAGACUAGAAUCAACUUCUUUAACUUCGCGCAUUAGCUUUCUCCCUCCCGAGAGAUUUGAAGCACUAUCAGCGAAAUGCUCCGCGUGCUCUUCGUCGGUCCGCCGAAUAGACCAAGAGUCGUCUAUGAUAGAACCACGAAACACUACGGGAUCCAAGCACUCUUUGAACACACGUUCAUUAAUCCAUGAAUCUACCGGCAUUAUGACUCGCAAGGCAUAACCGUUAUUCGUAUGUCCCAUACGCGUGCAAACGCGUCUCUACCAUCCUCCACUUAAUCUUUAAAACUAUUGAAGCCGGAUUGUAGCUCUAUCUCGAGUACACUCGUGACCUACUUAACUGAUCAAAUAAUCGUCCGAUUCGGCAACGGGUACUUUGUUCUUAUCGUGACUCGACUUCACUCCCGAUAACCACCCAAGUCGCAAACGAGCCAUCCUUCUUGCCCGAACAACACGGGGCUCCCACGGCGAAACGCUUCGCCUAUAACACCCUUGUCCGAGAAGAUCCUGUAGCUGAUCCCUCACUCCCAUAACUCUGCCGCGCAUGCGUACGGGGCCUUGAGAUCGGCGCGCCGGGAACAAUGCUAUAACGAACUCGAUCUCGAUCCGGCGGCAUCCCCGUAACCUCCGCGAAAUACAUCCGAAUUCCGCACCAUACCGAUACAUCCUCUAACACGAGCCACUCGGAUCCACUCCAUGACAAGUCGCCAAAAUGCUAAUCGUCAGCCGCGUUGACACAACUUUCCUAGCCUCGUGGCGAUCUUCGUCGCGACGAAGCAGAGCUUCGACAAGCUCGAUAAAUCAACUCCUCCUGUCCUGCUCCCGAAAGGUAAUCAAUUUAUUCUUAAUCAAUCGUGCAUAACUUUUGAGAGCCACUCCAUGCCCAAAAAUGAUCAUACGGCCUCCAGUUACUUAAGUUCAACUCCGAUAGCAUUAUCCAGUCGCCUACAUCUUGUACUUGGGCAGCGAAGAGCACUCCGUGUAGGUAUGAACGAUCAGACUCAGCCAUCAACUCGCCAUUACCACCUCGCUUCUAGGUAUGUCAUGAUACGCGUCGAAUGCCUAACUAAUAAACGAAUGUUGCACCUGUAAGCACCAUACCUGGAAUCGAACGUCCGUUAAUUAAAACAUUACUGCCACAUUUCUUUACGUUAGCUCCUCGCUGGGUAGACUGCCUCGGCUUGGCCUGAGCGCGCGAAUACCGCGCUCGCGCUGAUCCAAACACUCCGGCCACGCGGCAAUUCCGCGCCUCCUGCCGAACGGGAAAUAAGGAGCUCCUCAUAAGUUAGGUGGGGUUUCGCUGGAGAUGUCGAUUGCGACUGACGUAGGCGGGCCCUGCUGGACAUGGCGGCUGAUAUGCCGCUUCUUGCCCACACCUUGAAGCAUUUGCCCUGUCGUUGGCCUACACUGCCGCGCUCGAGGUGGCACUCAGCACCGCAGAUAGCACAUCUGCGCCCACAGCGACCACGACUGGAUCGCCGGUGUUUCGGGGGUCCUCUUGGAACUCUUUGGUUGUUGCUUGGUUUUUCGACUGACUCCCACCACCGCUCGAUUGUCCCGCUUUCUCCCUCUUGUCCUGGUCCAGCCCAACAACUCUCGCGUUCCUCCCAGCACGUGGCUAUCUCCCUUCUCCGCCCACAACCGCUCUACAAAGACCUCGCGCAGGUCGUGACUUGAGCAGUCUGCAGGUCCGCCCGGAUUAAUCCAUUGCCGACUCCCACGCCAGAACCACUCGGCCCGACUGAGUCGCCCUAACAACGUCCGGUACAUACAGUCUAUUAAUGUGGGAAACUCCUGCUCCGUGAUUCCUGCUACUCAUGCCGAUCCUCCUUCCAAUUUGUCGAACCUCUCUUCAAUUUCCGCCUCUCUUCUCCGGUGCGGGAAUGUAAUCCCGAACAUUGCCCUCUAAACCCCUCCCAGAACAUUGGGAAGGUCAAGGACCGAUCCGCUUCACGCAGCUUCCACCACACCUUCGCCGCCUUUCUCGGGCAAUGGUGACGGGUAACCUUGUCCUUCUCCGAGGUAUAAUAGGUCCUACGAAGAGGGCUCCCAUAGAGUAAUCCAUGACUCACCAUUGCCGCCCACUUCUCCCCUCAAAGAUGCGGUUUAAACUCUUGAAACUUAAUAAGCGCGCAAUCUGCGCUGCUCGCUCGCUCCACCUCCUCGUCGUCGGUCAUGGUGUCCGCCGACCCGAAGCCGCCCGGCACACUUGUCGCGGGGAACGCGCGAUCGGAACCGCUUGCUAUGACCUCACCCGCCGCUACCGGCUGCGCGGCCGAAGUUCGGGCGAUCGUGACUCCUGCCGCUGUCGCGGCCGCCCGCGCCGCUUGCCGCCCAUCAAUCCCUGAGUCUGCUCGAUGAUCGAGCCUCCUGGCGCUGGAUCUCGCCACCAACAUUGCAGCGACCUUGCUCCGCCGCAUCCUGCACGCUCCUGAUCAGAUCGCUCGGCACCUGCAAGGAGGCGGUACUGAACACCUACCUAUAGCGCCUUGGAGACAGUUUGCUCCUGCAAACAACACGUUGGUUCGUUAUUUUAACCCGAUAACUUCUUAACGUUCACGGCAAAUAAACGCUCGCCAAUGACCAAUCGGCGAACACACAAGUCGUUCUAGUUUGGACUCUUAGACGUCGCGUCGUCGGCCGCCGACGGACAACUACGAGCCAAGAAACUAGUGUCACUUACCGUCUCUUAUCAAAGCUAAGAACAACAUAACAUCUAACUUCGAGCCCAAUGAAUCACUUACGCUACCGCCUAUGAGGUUCACGUCUCAACUCCACUAAUUCGCCUAAAACCUUAAGUUUUCUCAUCUAAGGUCUCCUAGGUCGAUCAUAGACCUCUCUUACUUGCUCUUACCUGCUCUGCAUUACCAAUUAAUCUGUCACGCCUCGAGACGCUACUGAAUUUGUCCGGUUCGAGCGCGUCGAACAGACUCCGAACGGAACCGUCUCCCCUGUCCCAAGUCUAGUCAGACGAUCAUGUACAAAAUUUACCUCCCCAGAAUCAAUUUAUAAGUAACAAUCACUAAGAGCACAACAAUCCUAACAAUGUAAGCGCAGCCCCAAAAUUAUACAAGCAUUACAAGCACGAUAAAGAGAGAAGGUCUAUCUAUACAUCAUUCAAACCUCUUUUAUACAUCGAUUUACAUUAAACUGUCCAACAUACAACAUGAGUUUCGUAUCAUUCCAAAAUGAUACUCAAUGUCCCUCCAGUAACAUCAUCUACUCUCAUACAAAAGGGUGGCUCUAAUGCAAAAGGAAAGUAAACUACUGCAUCCUAGGCCUAAACCUUACCGCCGAUCCUUCGCCGUGUGAACUCGCGCUCUUCGCCCUGUAGUAAAUGGGGGGGUAGAACUAACUCUUAGUUCCCAGUGUUUCGGCCGCGACCCCGCCUGGUCUCCCCACUAGGUCCAGUGCACAGUUAUAAAAGAUGAUAGAUAUGGAAAGCUUAAGAAGAAUAAAACCUACGCUACAUGCCUGACAUCAUAAGAUAUAUGAAAUGGCAUGUUCAAUGAAAGGGUAAGCAACUAAUGCAUCAAUGUAUAAAGUUAGUUAUUUAACUUGUUCAUUAAUCUUAGGCUCACCAGGGUUCACUCUACAACUCACACUAGCCUCUUCGACGCUAGGGAGACUCAAACUCAAAAACUACUAAUCCAGAGCCGGUCUGCGGACCACCAUAGGCUAUCCCUCGGUACCUCCAAAUAGGCUAUCCACGUGCACCAACUCCGAGCGCACUACUUGUUUGGACGACCAUCACAAGGUAUAAACCAGACGGAGCAAGAUCCAUAUCCCUCCCACUCGGAGAUUCCCUCUAUCCUCUAAUGGUUACUUUCAUCACAUUAGGUCAUAGGUUUCAUAUACACUAGAACCACAUAGAUGACCAUCGUUCUUUGUUGUUUACUAUCACAAUGCCCCUCAUUCUUUUGUUUUACUAUUCAACUAGAUGCCACUAUUCUUUGUCUACUAUCAAACAGAUGCCACUCAUAUCUUUGUUACUAUCACAGAUGCGCACUAGUCUCUUUUUAAUAUCAACCAACCCUUGAGAUCCAUCUUUCACACAGGAUGUCGCACUGAUACUGUUCACAAUUCUCGACCCAACCUCAUCAAUCCACUAUAUCCACAACUAAACAUAGUAUCAUAUCAUCUAGGUCAGCAUAAGAAGCAAAUGCACAUAACAUCACUAUAAUGCCAAGUGAAUACAAGAUCAAAUUAAUGUACUAAGCAUAAAGGGAUCCAGUUGCGUCGGUACUUGUUCACCACCCACACUCUGAGUGCCACGAAAUUAGAAAACCUACACGCUGCGAUCCUCCCGUGAAACGUCGCUUCCACCUUCGGGAACCAAAUCCCUCAUUACUUGUUUUGGCAUAAUCCGCACCCGCUUGUCGAUCGACGAACCCUCGCCAAAAGGUUUUAGACCUAGUCAAUUAGGUUUACAGAGGGUUUAUAUGAGAUUCAAACCCCAUUUUCUAAAAUGCAUUUGAACGCCCUAAUGUUUAACUUUUGCAAAAUUCACACUAAAAUGAAUCCAUGAUCUUAGGCAACAAUCAUCUAUUAGCAUCAUAGGACCUCCCAAUAAAUCUCCAUUUUAAUAGCAUAUAAAUGAAGCCCUAAAAUUCUUCUAACCAUUAUAGGCUUUUUGAAUAUCCCUAGUUUCAACGACAUGAGGAAUCCAGGCUCAGUUCAAAUUCGAGCUAAGAACUCUCUUAUCCUAGCUCCAAUAAGUUAGCAUUCAAACCUAAUUCUAAACAUAAAACUCUACCUAUCUUAAGGAAUCACCAUUAUAGGGUUGACUUACCCUUAAUAACUUCCCAAAAGGUUGAGGGAAGAGGAGGAUAGAGAUGAUCUCUCCUCUUCUGGUCUCUUCUCCCUUCUCUUCUAUCUUUCUUUUUUUUUUUUCCUUUCUUUCCUUUCUCUCUUUCUUUCUUUCUUUUCUUUUCUUCUUUAUCUUCUAGAGAGAAAAGGAAAAAGAUGUGAGAAGGGGAGAGAAUGAGAUAACUUGAGGAGAAGUGGUACUUUGUGUGGUACCAUGCAACCAGCCCACAUAGUCUCUGUAACCAAUUGAGCAAAACCCUCCCCUCCCACACCUAUUACAACUUGCAUUUUUCGCUUUGUGCUACAAUCGACACAGGCUCGUUAACGUACCUGAGCAAAUAAUAUAAUCUUAGUAAGUUUUCCCAUUUCGCAGUUUGUCACCGAAAACUCGUGCCGAACUGUAAUCUUUAGUAGAAUAGCAGUUCGAUUCUUAUUCCAGCACCUUCCGGUGUCAGAAUCGGCUAAAACUUUCAAUCUGAGCCUCAAACCAUAAUUCUGACAUAUCCUCCAGUUCAUAAUUUCUGACACGUGCAUUUUCUGCUAAUUUAUCUGCCCAUCCUACAUUUGCAGGAAAAUUCUUAAAUCUUCGGUUUGCGCCUUCCGAUUUUCCAGCACAGGUCAUUCCAACUUAUACUACUUCUAGAGUCCAAUAAAUUACUCACACUAUUUUAUUUAUAUUUUUUAUAAUACACUCUCGACAUACAUCACUACCUGUAACCUCCUAUUUUCAAAGUUCGUAUCUCUACCACUUUAGGUCUCCAUCUGCCAUGUGCACAUUUGAACCCUAACUCUCGCUUUGAUCCUCACAAUGGUCUAGGUCCAUUUGACCCCAUUUCCAAGCUCAAACCCAAAAACCCUAAGUUCUACGAACUAGGGUUUAGAGUUUACCUCGCUCUUGACUACUCAUAAGGAAGAGGAGAGGGAGAAGGUGUCCAAGGCCUUCCUCUUGAUCUCAUUCUUCUUCUUCUUCUUUUUCAUCUUCUCCUUUUCCUUUCUCUCCUUCUUGUUCUUCUUGUUCUUCUUCUCUUUCUAGAGAGAAAGAGGGAGAGAAAAUAUGAGAGGAAGAGAGUGUGAGUGAGGGUGAGAGAGGAACAGGGCUCAGCCCCUCUAAUCCUCCCUAACUAAUUCCAAUUUGCAUAAAAACCCCUCAACUUUUAAUCCUAUGCACUGCCCUUACUGGGCAGAAUUCGCGCGGAGGGACCGGUCUCCCCAACUUGGGACCGGUCCCCGAGAGCCUCCCUCGGGCGCACGCGUUCGGGAACCGAUCUCUCCCCGGGAGACCGAUCCUCGGGAGACCGGUCCUCGCCUGAGAGACCGGUCCCCGAGAGCUCGAUUUUCAGGACUUAGCCAAAUUUCGGCAUUUCUCGCUGGGGCCACGUUCGGGGAUCGGUCCCUCCCUUCCAGGGACCGGUUGCAUCAAGCAACCCCGCUACACCCAGCCGAUGGAACCGGUCUCUCACCUCCAGAGACCGGUCCCCGAGAGUAACAUCAGCCCAAUGAUGCAGUUUGCACCAUUUGCUCUCGUGGACUCAACUCCAAGGCACUUUUUGUGCUUUGGACAUCUUUAACUUCCCCAAAGGAUAUUCUCUCGACAAAUAGUCGAUCCUGAACGAAGUAUAACUCUCGGAUUUCGAGAAUUCAAUUCCUUAUAUCCGGUUUCAAGUAUUUAAAAGUUUUCUGUUCCGUCCUUGUGUAACCGGUAACAACUUAUUUUUGCACCGGUACACAGUGUAAAAUUCUGAAAACUUUCUAAUCCGACUCUAAUUGAUUCUAAAGUCUAUAAAUAAGGUAUUAGGGUUCUCUAACUCAUCAAGCAUCACGAGAAUUCUUGUUAGGGAAGCCCUAGAGGCUAGGAUUUCAUCAAAACUUAUUUUCUACAAAAUAGCCUCGUGUAGGUCAAUUCGAGAUAUCGUAAUUUGAGAUCUAUAUGUCGAAUUGAUCUAAGACUUCGCUUAGAGUUUUGUCUCUGGUUCAUUAUCGAUAUUCUCAGCGAAGGAUCACCAUAGCAUGAUGUUCUUCAUGGAUGGCGUCGUGGAUUUGGCGUGAUUGAAGGCGGAUCGUGGAUUCGGAUCGUGGGCUCGUGGAUUCGAGUGGCGUUCAUGGAUUCGGACAUGUGCAAGGCAUUCGUGGAUUCGAACGUGAGGGCGUGGACAACCCAGAGGAUUGCGCGGGAUUCGUAGGAGGUUAAGAGAGGUCGAGUCCGUGGAGUCGGUAAUCACUUUGUAAUCUUUUCUCUUAGUGAAUUAUUUUUUCGCGUGUUGGUCCCGUGGGUUUUUUACUCCAAAUUGGAGUUUUUUCAAGUAAAUCUCGGUGUGAUUUUUAUUUUUCGCAUUUAUUUUUAUCGCAUUGAGAUUUGUGGUUUUUGGCCGUUACACCUAUUCACCCCCCUCUAGGUGUUUGAUACAAUCUAGAUAGAUCCUAGGGCUCUUCAAAACUCACAAUUGGUAUCAGAGCGGGAUCUAGAUAUAUUGUUAUCUAAUGGCCGAAGGCGCUAACAUUAAUCGACCAUCACUCUUCGAUGGCACGAAUUAUGCCUAUUGGAAAGUUCGCAUGAGAGCUUUUCUAAUUGCAAUCGACGAGCGAGUGUGGCAAUCAAUCGAAUUCGGAUGGAAAUAUCCUACCGAAGUCGUCGAUAAUGCUACCGUCCCUAAACCGAGAAAUAAGCGGACUAAAGAUGAAAACGAGUCAUCUUCGUUUAAUGGCAAGGGAAUAAAUGCUUUGUUCAAUGCAUUAUCUCAAACGGAGUUUACUCGUGUCUCGGCAUGUGAAACCGCCAAGGAGAUUUGGGAUACUUUACAAGUUACACAUGAGGGUACGAGUCUAGUUAAAAUUCAAAAGCUCCAGAUGUUGACAAGUCAAUUUGAUUUGAUUCGUAUGGAGGAGCAUAAAUCAUUUACCGAAUAUUAUACUAGACUUCAAGAUAUAAUUAAGAUAUGUGCUAACUUGGGAGAGAAAAUCCCGGAUUCUAAAAUUGUUAGAAAAAUUCUUCGAACUCUUCCAGAACGCUUUAGGGCAAAAGUGGCCGCAAUUGAAACGGUUAAGCAUUUGGAUGAGAUGAAAGUCGAAGAGUUAGUAGGUGCUUUGCAAACUUAUGAGAUGACUUUUCCUACUAACCUAUUUUCUUCCAAGUCUUUCUCUAAAAGUACAAGGAUUGCAUUGAAAUCGAUAAAGGAGGAAGACGAGGACUCGGGUUCUGACGGAGAUAUCUCAAUUGCCGAUUUUGAACAUCAAUUGACGUUCCUAACGAAGAAGUUUCGUCGGAACUUCCGGAAGAAGAACAAAUCGAGCAAUGCUUCAUCUUCGAAGCAAAAAUCAUUUUCUAAACACUCUUCAAAUUCAAAAUCUAAGGAUAAGAAGCUUACAAAGUCUUCUAAAGAAAAAGAUGAAGUAGAAGGAGAAAUCCAAUGUUACAAAUGUAAAUGCUAUGACCAUAUUUCAACGGAUUGUCCUUCUAAAAAAGAGAUUUGUGGUUUUUGGCCGUUACACCUAUUCACCCCCCUCUAGGUGUUUGAUACAAUCUAGAUAGAUCCUAGGGCUCCUUAAAACUCACAGCAUACUACCCGCUUCAUUCAAUAAGAGUAUGAACUAGGCUACAUUAGUAGGGCAACAAGGCCUCGGGAAGAGAGAAAAAAGAGAGGGAGAGAGAGAGAAACAACAAACAGCAGACCCCCCCAAAAAAAAAAGAGAAAAGAAAUCCAAAAAUAAAAAUAAAACCUAUAUAUUAUGAAUUGUGAUAUAUUAACUGCCUUUAACUGCCUUCAGUUAUAGUGUCGCGCCCCGGGACCGAUCUCUUUGGCCGAUCCGGGCACGUCGAACAGACGCCGAGUGGACAGCACCUUCCUUGUCCGCCCAAGGCUCGACUCAUGUACAAUUCAAGUAAAGAAUGCACAAGCGGAAACAUACAUAAUGGCUUGCAUGAGGAUAAGCAAUAGCCAAAGUGAAAGAAUUAUAAUCUAUACAACCAUACAAGUACUAUGAUUCAUUUUGAUCACAUACAUGCAUAUACUUUUCACUCACAUUCAUAUCCCACAUUUACCUAUAUAUUCUUUUCCAUAUACAUGCUUUUCAUAAUUUCUUUUCUUUACAUCACAAUGUCUCCAAAGUAGGACCUUACAUUUGACCAUCUUUAGUACAUUUGCACCAUUCAUAUACCUAUAAUCAUCAAAUAACAAAAGAUGAUAUAAUAAUGGUAUGCAACUACAAAAUAUGAAAUCCGACUCGGGUGGUCACUAUUUAUGGCGCGAUAUCUUUACCGCAGUCGUCCGCCGGCUCACUCGGUCUCAGCUCUGUGGAAAUAGUGGGGUGAGAACUACAACAAAGUUCCCAGUGGGUUCAGCCCUCAACUUCGCCGACUUUCCCACUAGGUCUAACUCAGGCAUAAUAGAAUGAAUAAGCAGAUAGAUAGGUAACCAAUUAUACAAAUGCAGCUAAUAUGCCUGAACAAUAAUAUUCAAUAAUCAUGCUGAAUGAAGUGUUCAUGAUGAAUGCAGGUUCUCAUUUCUCAUUGUUUAAUCUCAUGGCUAACCCGUAGGUGUCACCCAAUGCAACUCACCAACUCAUAAUCCCAAGUAUCGGAGAGAAAUACCUACAACCUGAACGGGACCGUCGUCUGGGGAGAACUACUACGACCCAGUGAUGACUACUCCGAAGCUCAUCGCUCGAGGGGGAGCUACCACCCUCCGAGCCAUGACGUAAGGCGAGUAUGAUCCAAUCCUUAACUCUAAGGAUUCCAAGUUCAAUCCAUUCCUUAAAUAUAAGGAAGCAAUGCUCAUGUGACUCUUAACUAUAAGGUUGUUAUGUCACAAUGCCAACUCUCACAUGCACUUAGCAUUCUCUACUUUCUUUUAGUGUCAUUUAUGCUACAUGUUCUUGUACUCCAUCUCUAGCAUUUAAUACUCAUUAAUGCCAUACACUAACUCUAGUGUUUCAAUGCUCUAGCAUUCACGUUCUCAUUAAUGCCACACACUAACUGUAGUGUCAUCGUUGCAUUUACUAAUGCCACUCGAUCUAAAUGUCAUAGUGUCACAUUGUUCUUUGCCUCAACUAGGUUUUCAUAUCACAAUUCAUGCAUCAUAGGGUUCAUAGGUUCUCAACAAUCUCAUAAUGCAUUUGUACUCACAACAUGCAACAAUUUAUAUAACACCGAUCUCAAUUACCCUAUAAUGCAUGCAAUCCAAUAUAUGCUCAAGAGUGACACAUUAGGCAUAAAGGAAAGUUCAAAGAUUUUGAGAAGCACCAUCCACCUCGUAGGUUUGCUAAGGUGCUCGGGUUCAAGUUCCACGAUUUUUAGCCGCCUAUAUCCUUGCCUGCGGUAAAAUGAAGCCAAAUUAGGCUUUUUCGCUCCUAUCAUUGCAUAGACUUUUCGUUUCGACGAACCGAGUGUACCAACGCGUCGGAAAUACCCCAAAUUAGGUUUCUAUAAGGUCAAUUAGACCUUAGAACCAUUCAAUGCAAAAGCCCCAAAUUUGGGUGCCCUAGCCAUGUCACAUAUACUCAUACCCCAUUUUGAUCUCUACCAUAAGCAAGAAUAACCUUAUUAUCAUCUAGAGGUUCCAUUAAAACCAUUCCUAGGUCAAUCAAUUCCCAUUUUAGGGUUCUACCAUGAGAGGGCUUAAAUCUUACCUCUAAAAGCUCCCUUUCUUGCACCUAGGAAGAAGAAGAAGAAGAAGCUCCACCCUUUUGCCUUCUUCUCCACUAAACUCUCCUCCUUGCUCCACCUCUUGAGAGAGAGAGAGAGAUUCUAGAGAGAGAGGGAGAGAGAGAGCCUUGAGUGUGUGUGUGUGUGAGAGAAAUGAGAGAAAACUCACAUUUGCCUCUUUGCAUAUCCCACUUGAUGCACAAAUGCAUUUGGGCCCCUCAACUUUGUCCAUAUCACACUGCCCAGACUGGGCAAUUUCGAGCUGCGGGGACAGGUCUCUCUAGCAGGGUCCGGUCCUCGAGAGCACCUCUUCGUAGUCUACGCAGCCAAGGUCCGGUCUCCCACUGAAGGACCGGUCCCCGAGAGCACAUUUUGUGCAAACUGGCCUUUUUGCAUUUCCACACGUAUGGGGUCCGGUCCCUCCCACCAGGGACCGGUCCCCGAGAACACAAAACCUGCAAUUGUGCAGUUUUGCAUUAGCUUGCUCUCCGAGACCUCCUACAAUGCACUUUGUGCAUUUUUGACGCAUCCGGCCUUUCCGAAGCAUUUUUGACGCAUCCGGCCUCUCCGAGACCUCCUACAAUGCACUUUGACCAAUUUGGCUAAAGUUCGAUAGCUUCUACCGAAGUUUUGGUAUAUUACAUAUAGUGAUCUUUCUAAAGCUGCCUUAAUUUACGAAUUUCGCUUAGUGUGCAGUCUAUAUUGUUUUCCAAAUUCUGAAAUAUUCUGUUAUUUCUCUCCAGCCAUACAAGCCACUAGACCACUCUAAGCGUUAGAAAGCUUUUUCUCCUAUUUGGAUUUCGACAUGCUUCCCAAAGAUUUGUAGUUGUCGUGUUGCUUAAAAUAGCAUUAGUAUUAGGUAGGAGACACAGGAGCAAGUAUUGUUAGAUGUAUGCCCUAGAAGCCAACCAGGCCGACACAUGUAUUUUUUCUAGAACAUAAAUUUGUAUUUGACUUUAAAAUAUUAUGAAUAAAUUUGGGUUCUUAUUUUCAUUCAUGUUGUGUAUGUGUCGAUGAAUCGCCCAAGAAAUUAAUAAGAUGAUGACAUAUAUUCUCAAGCGUUGAGAAUUUGAGACAUGUGUCAUUGGUGGUUAAUUCCUUAAUGCUCCCGAUCAAUAGAUCAUCACGGGGACGGUGAUUGAUCCGGUAAGAUCGGUGCAUAGGUCGCUUACCUUUUUGGGUAGACGGGUCUCGAGUCAACAGUGUGGGGACACUGAAGCGAAUAUGUAGGUUGUUGUUAGAGAACAAGGGUACCGAGCGUGACCAACGCAAGAAGUCACUUGAAUGUCUACUUACUCGUCAGUGACUUACUCAAUGUUGAAAUAGUGUGACUGGUCCUUUGACCUGUGAUGCCUCGGCUAUUCACAAUGAGGUUACUGUAGUUUGACUGUAUAUACACUUGGUCCCUGACCAUUCGGAUCCUUGCGGUGCAUGUUGGCUGCACUAGGUUCACUGUAGGAAUAGAGUGCGCACUUAGAUAGAAUCUAUCUCCUUUGGUAGAUAGGGGUGUUAGUCCUAUGUGAUUUAUGAGACCGAGCUUAGAAGACCUUGGUUAGGGCAGAGUUAAUAGCGGAAAAGGGUUUCCGAUAUUAAAACUCGAGUCGAAUAAAUUUAACACAUGACAGACGAUGGGGUUUGACGAGUUAUUCUAUAACCUCCGUCUAGUCGAGACUCAUGAUAGAAGGAUUGUAUCACACGGUAACUGCACCAAGAGAUUCAGUAUUCCAUUCUACUAGAAUGCCACUACAUGCUGCUAGGCACCACUAGUGGAUUGUGAGACUCAUGAGAAUUAUCUAGAUGAUCGAUAAUUCUCAUUGGGCUGAGUUGGAAUUAUUCCGAUCCACUGAAAGGAGUUUCAGUGAUAUUGUUGAUAGUGAUCAAAACAUAUCUCACUACCAGAUAGAAUAGAACCUAUGGGGUCACAUACAUAAGAGGUUGUGAUUGAUCAGAUAGCUAGAUCGCGAUUAUUGAAUCACCGGAGGACCUAAUUAUCAAUAUGUUGAUAAUUGGACUAAUUUAUAAUUGUUACAAAUUAGUGGUAUUAAAGUGUAAAUAUUACUAGAGAGGAUUUACUAAUAGUUAGUAAAUUAUAAGAGGACUUAUGUGCAAAUAUUGCAUUAUUAAUUUGAUAUGAUUAAAUUAAGAUAAAGUUCAAGUCGAAUCAAAUUAGGAUUUGAUCGGUCUAACAAAUUAAGGAAAUGAUAAAUUUAAAUCUAGAUUUGUACUUAUUCUUAAUGGUUAUUAUAUUAUUAAAAGAGGACUAUAUCCCUAUAUAUAAUAUAUGAGAGUUUUUAAAAAAUCCUAGCCGUCAUCUUUCUUCUUCUCUCUCUUCUAUCUUUUAGCAAAAAAAGUCCUUUGCAAGGGAGCUAGCACCCAGGUGAGGACAUCGAUCAAAUCAACAACCUCGUUUGGAUACCCAUAAUGGCUGGACGCGUGUGCGGCUGUAACGACCCAGCCCACUAGCAAUAAUAACUCGUUGGGCCAAACUACCGGCCCGAAAUACUUAAGCCCAGUUAUUAUUACUAGUGUCUAAGUCUCUUAUAUACCCAAUCACAUCCCCAUUUCUAUCCGAUGUGGGAUUAUUGGGGUGUGACAGACUCCCCCCGUUAAGGCCCUGACGUCCUCGUCAGUCUAAUCACAUACACAGCCCAAGAUCAUCAGGCAAUGUAAGACUCGUCUCGCUAGCCUUGUCAUCCAGACCCUAACAUAGCCCGUCACCUCGUCAUUCAGACUCCGGCAUAGCGUGUCACCUUGUCUUUCAGACCCUGGCUCAGCCGAGACUCGCCACACAUUUUCGGCUGGUGAACUGGCUCUGAUACCAAAUGUAAUGACCUAGACCACUAGCAAUAAUAACUCAUUGGGCUAAACCACUGGCCCAAAAUACUUAAGUCUAGUUAUUAUUACUAGUGUCUAAGUCUCUUAUAUAUCCAAUCACAUCCCCAUUUCUAUCCGAUGUGGAAUUAUUGGGGUGUGAUAGCGGCUUCAAGAGAACCCAAUUCUACGAUCAUCAAAUUGAGGUGAAGAUCUAUCCGCGCAAAAGGUAAAAAUUCGAUCUUAUUUUUCUCUUUUAAUCAUAAAGAACAUGAGGAAUCUUGAUUGUGUGGUUUUUGAGAUUGGAUCUCGAGAGUUUUCAAAAUCAAAUUUGUUUGAUUUUUUUUCGCGUUUUUAUCGUACGCAAUUUUCUAACAGUGGUAUCAGAGCCAUCCUCAAUCCUCUUGUUUUUCAAUAUUAAAAUUAUGAAUUUGGGUAUUUUAAAUCGUUCUUCGCCGGUCGAACGAUUUAUAGAUCGUUUUUUAUUGAUUCGAAAAAUCGUCAGCUGAUUAAACAAUUUAAUCUAUUGUUGCAAGCAAAAAAAAAAAAAAAAACUGUAGCGUCCGUACGGACGCUACUGUACUAUCCGUACGGAAUUUUUUAAAAUUUUUUUAAAAAUAAUUUGAUUAGAUCGUUUUAAAAUAAUAAAAAGAAAAGAGGUGGAUCAAAUUUAAUUAUAUAUAUCAAAUUAAUAUCUUGAUGAGAUCAAGUUGUUUUGUUUGAAAAUUAAGUUGUUGAUCAAAAUUAUAAACGAUCAAUAAGAUUGAUUGUUUUUAAUAAUUUAGUCAUUGAUUUUUCGAAUCAUCGUUGAACGGUUAAUUAGAAUACCCAAAAUUAAUUAUUAUGUAUGUGAUGUAUGAGAUACAUAUCGAUGAUGAUCAUGGAUAGCGACCUAUUUAUUUUUGUUUUGAUAUGUGAUGUAUGAUGUGUAUGCAGAAUCCUGUAAUUUUAAAUUUGUUUAAAUAAGAACUUUGUAUUAGAGAUGGCUUUUUUGUGCCUGUGUGCACAAGCCGAUUUAUUUGGAGACCUGUGUGUCACAAUAGGUUAGAAAUAAAAAUGAUCAAAUGUAAUUAAUUUUUAUUUCAUUUUUAUUGUUAGGUUGUAUAAUGUAUGGUUGCACGUCAUUGGUUGAUCGGUUGCUAGCCGAGAGGUACGCAAAGACUUAAUCGAGAUGAAUAGUUGAUGGUGGUCGGAUCAAGAUGUUGAUAGGAUCGGAUCAAAUUAUAGCUCCGGAUCGAAUCAAGUAGUUGAAGACGAUCAAACUAAUGACGUGUGUGUGCUUGUAAUUUAUGACCCUAAGACCCCGAUUCCGACUUAGUGGCUCGAGUCCGAAUCCACUUCUAAGAUCCAUGAUCAUCACCAGCUAAAUUAUAUUUUUCAUGUGCAUAUUGUUUUUAUUUGCAUUAGAUGUAAAUAAAUAAAAUAAAAUUUGAGACUUAAAUUUUAAUCUCCUCACAAAUACUAAGUCGAGCGGUCUUUCGCCGUUGUAGAAGUGCGGGCGUUUUUCUGGUGUUGAUUGGCACGGCUGGUUACAGUGGUCAGUUGCAUCGGGAAGGCGCAACCACUCUAUUAGCAUGAGAUGCUGCGGAGUAAAGAUAGGGUUGGGCCCAAUAACUGUCAAGUGAGGGACCCAAUGACGGUUUUACUUACGCAUUUGAACGGUGGGUCUGACUUAACUAAGGAAUGGGCCAAUAACUGUUAGGUGAGGCCUACAGGAUUUUGUAAGGACUGAGAUUUUGGCAGUGCAGCUAAACUCUCUGUUGAUGAUGUUUCUGUGUGUAAUUUAAUUACAUAAGCACUCAUCAAGUUUUAGGAGAAAACGAGUUAGAAGGGAGAUUCUACGCGACUUUUACUUUUCACUUAAGUGAAUAGUAACUCCGAUUUUCCGGAGAAGCCACGAAGUAGAGUUGGCUUUCGGCGCGUAUCAGACUUCGUUCAUAGCGGUCCAAUAGCUCGUUUUGAACGGUUCAGCUAUUCUGGAACCAAUAGCCCUGACAGAUUUCAGAUCUGAUGCAUGGUUUUCGAGAAAAAGGGGUUUGAUUGGAUUUAUAUAUAUAUAUAUAUAUGUGUAUAUAUAUGUGUUUUAUAGUGGAAAUAUUGAGGGUGGGUUUCGUCGCAAAUCGACGACCAAAUUAGAUCAAAUGAAAAGCUAGUUCGAUGCCCUUGUCGUGUUGAACGCGCUGGUGUGAUCCGUUCGGAAAUUCGACAGAUGGAUCGUCGAGAAUCGAUAUUUGCUGAGGGGUCGAAUUGGCAAAAACGGAAUUUCGCGAAAGGUCCAAUAUUUAAUGUACCGUUUGGUGCGAUUUCCAACGUCGAGGUGCGGGCGUGCAAAGUGCUCAUGCUGUCAAGGCUGGACCAUAAAUACUUAUCUUUGGGAGGGGUUUUUUGCAAAUUGUCCAUAGUAUAUAUAUGGGCAGCUAGGGUUUUCUUGCACAAACCCUAGCCCUAGCUGACCCAUCACCUCCCUGCUAACCCAAGCUGACCUCAGCCCUUCCCUGCCCUCGUCGUGCUCGCGCCCCGGCCGCCGGCAAGCUGCUCCGGCCGCUGGAAGAACCUCCCUCUCAACUCCUCUCUCCAUUUGUUCCUACCACUGUGGCUGUCGGCCUCUGGAUGUCACCAUAACCCGUGGAGUCUUCAUCCUCUGGCGCGGCCCAUCUCCGGCGCCGUCCCCGCCUGCCUCUGCUGUCUCGGGGCGCCGCAGGAGCCCCUGUGCAAGCUAUGCCCAAACCGAGCCAACUCAGGCCAAGUUGACCUAGGCUCGGGACUCGCGAGUAGUGGAAGCCCAAGCUCGGCUGUCCCGUCGUCGUCUGGCUGCCGGCGUCCUCUCGCGCGCCCCCCCGCAGUCCCCGNCUGUGUAAGCUGCGGCCAAACCGAGCCAACUCAGGCCGAGUUGACCUAGGCUCGGGACUCGCGAGCAGUGGAAGCCCAAGCUCGGCUGUCCCGUCGUCGUCUGGCUUCGGGCGUCCUCCCGUGAGCACCCCCGCCGUCCCCGCGCGCCGCCGGCCGCCGUUCGAGCUCCCUGCGGCCGCCCAGACUUGGUGCGGGCCGAGGAUGGGCUUCCCUCCUAUCCGCACGUCGCCGCCGCCCACAACGGGGAGCACCACCCUUCCCACGGCCUUCGGCGACGGAUCGUCGUCGCCCCGAGCUCCUCCGGCCGCCGCCGGGCCGCCGCGGACCACUUGAACCCGAGAGCAAGCCGCGGCUUGAUCUCCUCCGCCGCGCCACCGGCCGCCGCCCGCUGCUGGCCAGCACCUGCCCCGGACCUCUCCGACCAGACGCACCCUUCCCCGGCCGGAUCGCCUGUCGCCCGGCCACCGGCGACCAACCCUAGCUCCACUACCUAGGUAAGGCUGUAAUUUUGUUGACAACACUGUAGUUUGGAGUUUCGGUCACCUUUCCGGUGAUCCGAGGACACUUCGACACCCCAGGAAGUGAGCACGAUAAUCUUGGAUUCGUGUUGAACAUCGUGCUCACCUCCGCAGGGUCAACGAUGCCCUGGUUAGCGAAUUAAACGUGAUCUUAGCGCUGUGCGCGCUAUUUUGCUAAUUUCUGCAUCGCUUAUGCGCGUGCCACAGUGGCCGGCAGUGCUCUAAAAGGUAAACACGGCCUUCGGCACGUCGAGACCUAUCAGCUGGUGUUUCGGUUUGGCUGAUUGACCUCUGGUUUGCGUAGACGGAGCAUAAAAGCCCAGAAAUCACAUAAAAUAAUAUGAUUUUAUGCAUUUGGGAGGGCUUUUAUGCAAUUAUGGUUAUUGUAGUCGCUGUUGGCAGCAUGUGUGGGCAGAGGGUAACCUCUGGACUGAUUGUCCAAGGCCCUAGGCCCUUUACGGAAUCGGAGAGUGAUUUUCGGUGCGUUUUUCGGCAAAAUUCGCUUAUAGAACGCGUUUUCGGUUUGGAAUUCUUCCGACGGUGUUUCGUGGUCGAUUGGUGAGUCGCUGAGCCUGGUUGGCUGGUCACCCGUGUCGUUUUGGGUGUUUGGAAACGACUGGUGAGCGACGGUGGGUUCCGGUGUUGAAAUUGACACUUCUGGGAACCCGGAUCGGAACGAUUAUCCGACGGUAAUCGUUUCGGAGUGAGAUAAUGUUUUGGCUGCCAAGUCACACGUAAAUUCGUGUUUUGUGGCAGCAGUAGACUCAUAUCUUGAGUUGGUGAGUUUCGGGACAGUUCGUGGGUCCCGGCGGAAUCUCGAUACGGUUUUCGGGACUUCCGGUGAGUUCGGCAAUCGGUUUUGGGAAACCGAUUCCCGUAGAUAUAAUUGUGGGGUUAUGUGUUAGUGUUUUAUAUUUGUGGGUUAGAUACUAACCCGGUGGACCCUCCGUAGGUCCAGUUUACGAUCUUUCGCAGUCAGAAGACAGACGCGACAUUCGUACAGGUGAAUACUUCGAUCCGACGUCGGUAUAGUGGUGCACAUUCGGUGAUGGUUUCUUACCUUUGCCCUCUUAUUAUUAUUCGUGCUUAUACUAUAUGUUGAGCCUAGCACCCACGUUGUUUGGUUUUACUCUACUCAGAUGUUUUCAUGCUUAGUAUCAUGUGUAGGAGUAGAGUAGUUUAUCUGUAUGUGAUACCAUGUUUCCUUGUUGCUUUACUUGCCUGUUCUACAUAUCCUGUAUCAUGUCUAGAGUAGAGCGGUUUCGUGACUAUCUCUGAGAUGGUGACCUAGUCGGUCAGUGCAUUGUAUCUGUUUUCAUGACCUGAUUGGUCGGUCGUUGUAUCUCGUGUCGGUUCCUUGACUUCUGUCGUUCGAUAACCGUUGAGGUCGAUAUACCCUGAGGGGUUGGAUUGUCGGCUAAUGGUCGACGGCAGUUCUGGAUUCUAUUUAUACACUCUGGUGACCUAUUCAUCGAUUCGUCAUGCAUAUAUGUUAGUUGACUUGAGUAGUCAGCACUUGUAUACCUUCGGUAGGAUGUUGAGUUGUUCCAUCCUAGUUGACCUGGUUGGUCGGUUCUCCUAUGUGGUAUCUGUGACCUGGUUGGUUGAUGUUCAUAUAUUAUACCAGUGACCUGGUUGGUCGAUUAGAUUACUUGAUGACCUAUACGGUCGAUGUGCCCCGAGGGGCUGUGAUUGUUGGCUGGUUGCCGACGGUUGGCCUUUGAGCAUAUCAGCAUUGAUCGUCCGAGACUCGUUCUCAUUUCACGAACACCAGCGAUCUGAUCCACCGCAAGAGGGUGUUCUUUUCCGGAAAAGUGGUUGCAGGUGCCAACUCGUGAGCCCUAGAGGGGUUAUAUGCAUGGUAGAGUGGCAGUGGUACUGUCAGGAGGUCUCCGGUGUGAACCUCCAGGGCACAGGCUUGAGGUUUGCGGUGUGGACCAACAGAGCAGCAGAUUUCAGAUUGGGUAUAUUUGGUUUAUACAUCCGGUUGACGCAUAUGUCUAUAGUAGCAGUUAUUGCAUGCAUACUUACAAUUCUUUCCAUAUACUUGUCUUGUUACUAUAGUUUUGAUACCCAUGUAUGCAUUCAGUUCUUCUUUACGAUAGCGGUAGUUGUUCUUUUACAUCCCGUUUAUGUAUUAUCGUUGCUACUGUAUUUUGUAUAUCUGCUCAUGAUCUUAUUUAUCUCUUUCUGAUCCGGUGAGUACUCCUCGCCUUCAUCGACUUGCGGUACCCACUGGGAGGGGAGACAUAUUUACAUGUUCUCACCUCCCCCACCAUUUUUCAGGUAUUGCGGGCAGUGAGGGUUGAGACAAGAUAUGAGACAUGUUCGUAGCGGUCGAUAGAGCUUUCGACUCGGUUGGUUUGGUUUAGUUACUACCCCUUUACUUCUGUUGAUAUAUGACUUAGACAGUUAUUUGGUUUAGUUGUUAUUACUUAUGAAUUCACAUGGUUUUAUGAAAGUAGUAAAAGGAAUUGUGGAUUUUGUGAAUCAGAAAAUUAUUUUCUACCCCUCGUGGUAGUGUUUUAAAAGAAAAAGGGUUUCCGUGUAGAAAACAGAUUUGAAAAAGGUAUUCUUGUGAUUUUCAUAAACUAGUAUUUGAAAAUGUGUUUCCGGGUAGAAAACAUUUAAACUAAUAGUUAUGGAUUUCUGAAUAAACCCGGAAUGUGAUUCUGUGGUGAAUGGUGUAUGAAUAUGAAUGUCUUUAUGUUCAGAUGUGGUUGUAUCCUGUUUGUAUCUUGUACUUCUGCGACGCCAUGCAAAUACAGGGGAGACUCUAUCCAUGUGAACAGUGGACUCCCUAUAUUUGCGGCGGAUCUGGCAUACCUUCGGGGUCAGGUUUUCAGAAAAAAAAUUUUCGUUGCGUUUUUAGACUACAAAAAGUCCCCGAGGCGUGACAGAUUUGGAGACCGAUCACUGCAAUUUGCUUGAGAAGCAUUGGACAAGAGUUGUCCAUUCAUUGGUUAGCAUAUCACCAAUAACUAUUAGGUGAGGUGGUAUGUUAAACUGGUGGGACCGCAGUACCCACUUGAAAUCUUUUGUCGCAUUGGGUUUCCGUUUCUCUACCCGAGGAGUGUAAGAGACUCGAGAAAAUAGCGGGAGGCUAAAAUUUGUUUUUAAAAUCCCUAAAACAAAAUUUUCAAAACAAAUACAAAUAUCUAACUUGAAUUUUUUACUUUCUGCAAAACAAAUGUCUGCUUCAAAUUAUCUCUCUCGUAUUUUUGAAACAAACCGCUUAACCAUAACUAAUUAUAAAGACUGGCUAUGAAACUUAAAAAUAGUUUUAAAUUCUAAGAAGCUCUGCAAUGUUCUCGACCAGGAAAACUUCACGUUACUAAACCAUUCAAUAACUAAUCAAAGGGCAGUCUGUACAUGAUCAAACAAUGAUCAAAGACCUCAAGGAGCUUGAGAAGCUUGGCGUGAAAAUGGACAAGGAAUUGCAAGUUGAUCUGAUCCUAUAAUCCCUUCCUAUAUCAUAUGGAUAUUUUAUUGUAAACUACCAUAUAAAUAAAAUUGACUGCACCAACGCGGAGUUAUUGAACAUGUUGGUAACUAUAGAGAGAAGUUUGAAAAAUUCAAAGGACUCGGUUCUCGCUGUGGAGCGGGCUUCCUCUCCAAAAGAACGUCUAAUUGGAUGAAGAAAUCCGCAAAGAAACAAAAGACGAAGAAUAAGCCCAAGAGGGAAGCUCUUAAGAAGAAGGUCGCUAACAAAGAAAAAUGUUUCUACUGCAAUGUUGAUGGUCAUUGGAAGAGGAACUAUCCUGUUUACCUGGAGAGCCUGAAGCCUGAAGAAUAAUAGGAAGGUGUAACGACCCAGCCUACUAGCAAUAAUAACUCGUUGGGCCCAACCACUGGCCCAAAAUGCUUAAGCCCAGUUAUUAUUACUAGUGUCUAAGUCUCUUNAGAAUUAAAUUAAAUGGAGUAGAAAUUGCUCUUACUCAAUAUAAUGAAUUUUUAGAAAUUAAUUCAAUAAAUUAUUCAAAUAGGGAAAAAAUUUUCAAAUAGUAAAUAGUAGUUUAUGUGAAAUGUAUGGUGUUGAUGCAACUGCUUCGGGUAGUAAAUGAUCAUAUUCUUCACAGUUACAAAGCAGCAGCAGUAUUAGUAGUGGUAAAACUAGUAAAAAUAUAAUUUUAUCUUUAGUGAGAAAACAAAAACAAACGGAUUUUAGUGCACCUUCUUUUAUUGAACUUUAGUUUUACUUAAUGAUGAAUCAGAUAAAUUAGAUAUUUUAGCCUGGUAGAAAACAUAUGAAAGUACAUAUCCCGUGCUUUCUGUCAUGGCACGUGAUCUACUAACUGUGCAGGUUUCAACAGUGGGGCAUCCGAGCCUACUUUUAGUGUAGGUGGAAGAAUAUUGGAUGAUUAUAGAACCCAGAAUAUAAGAUAAAUGAGGUCAUGAGUCUAUGUAACGACCCAGCCCACUAGCAACAAUAACUUGUUGGGCUCAACAACCGGCCCAAAAUGCUUAAGCCUAUUUAUUAUUACUAGUGUCUAAGUCUCUUAUAAACCCAAUGACAACCCUAUUCCCAUCCGAUGUGGGAUUAUUGGGGUGUCACAGACUCCCCCUGUUAAGGCCCAGACGUCCUCGUUAGUCCAAUCACACACACAGCCUAAGAUCACUAGGCGAUGUGAGACUCGUCUCGCUAGCCCGUCAUCCAGACUCUCGCUCCGCCGAGACUCGCCACACAUGUCCAGCUGGUGAACCGGCUCUAAUACCAAAUGUAACGACCCAGCCCAGUAGCAACAAUAACUUAUUGGGCCCAACAACCGGCCCAAAAUGCUUAAACUCAGUUAUUAUUACUAGUGUUUAAGUCUCUUAUAAACCGAAUGACAACCCUAUUCCCAUUCAAUGUGGGAUUAUUGGGGUGUCACAGUCUACAUCUUCAGAUGAAACAGAAUUAACUACCUAAAAAUAUACCAACACUUAUGGCAUACUAGAGUGCAAUCGCCCCAAUCUCCAGACUAUUGCUUACUAGUUUUUGCACCUCUCCUUUUUUAUUUUGUACCUCUCUUUAGUAUGUACCCUUUUUUAAGUAAAAAAAAUGAUGUAAUGAAGAACAAAAUUAUAUUAAUUUUUUUUUCUAUUGGUUGCUAAUUGGUUGCAUAAACAAUACCAUUUUAUUUUAAAUAUAUUUUUGAUUUUAUAAAUAUUUGUACUUUUCUCUAAUGUAAUUAUAUAAUAUGAUUAAUUCAAAUUUUACANCCAGACCCUUGCUCAGCCGAGACUCGCCACAUAUGUCCAGCUGGUGAACCAGCUCUGAUACCAAAUGUAAUGACCCAACCCACUAGCAAUAAUAACUUGUUGGGCCCAAUCACCGGCCCAAAAUGCUUAAGCACAGUUAUUAUUACUAGUGUCGAAGUCUCUUAUAAAGACAAUGACAACCCCAUUCCCAUCCGAUGUAGGACUAUUGGGAUGCCAUAGAAGGACACACCUUCGGAAGGUAUGUCAGACUUGCUCGUAAUAGAAACUAACCUUACGGCUUGCUCUACUUCCAGUUGAGUUAUAGACUCUGAUUUUAGUGCUUUUUUGUACUUCAAUGUAGAGUCUAUGGAAAAGUAGAGGGCUUAGAAAAGAUGAAGUGACCCUACAGGUAGGCAACGGGGCAAGAGUUGCUGCUGUGACUGUUGGCACCUAUCCUUUGCGAUUACCGUUAGGAUAUGUUUUAUUACUUAAAAACUGUUAUUAUAUACCUGCUGCUAGAAGGAAUUUGAUUUCUGUUUCUUCCUUAGCAGUUGAUGGUUAUAUAUUUAACUUUGACAAAGACUAUUGCAUAAUUCAUUUUAGAAAUAAAAUUAUUAGCCGUGGUUUUGUGAUUCACAGUAUUUAUCAUUUACAUAUGGAUGUAUCUGUAAAUGUUCCUGAGCAGGUAGUGAGUGCUGUUGAGUCUAAAAGACCUAGAGUUGAGUUGAACCUAAAGUAUAUGUGGCAGCUUAAGCUUAGUCAUAUUAGAGAAGAAAGGAUAAACAAAUUGGAUAAAGAUGGGCUUCUUGGCUCAUUGACUUCAGAGUCUUAUCCAGUUUGUGAAUCUUGUCUUCAAGAAAAAUUGACUAAAUUAUCCUUUGUAGGACAAGGGGAAAGGGCAACUGAGAUACUUGCCUUGAUACACACUGAUGUGUGUGGCCCAUUUGAUGUGCAUGGUAGGGGUGAUUAUCUCUACUUCAUAACUUUUACUAAUGAUUAUUUACGGUAUGGGUGUGUGUAUCUUAUGAGAUACAAAUCUAAGACUUUUGAAAAGUUCAAAGAAUUCAGAUAUGAAGUAGAAAAGCAAACCGAAAAAUGCAUCAAAGUUUUUCGAUCAGAUCGAGGAGGAGAAUAACUUAGUGGAGAGUUCCUAAAUUAUCUCAAAGAAAAUCGCAUAGUCUCACAAUGGACUCCUCCGGGAACACCCCAACUCAACGAGGUGUCGUAACAGAGAAAUUCGAUCCAUGAUGAGUUUCACUAAUCUUCCUUUGUUUCUUUGAGGACAUGCUUUGCUUACCGCAGCUUAUUUGUUAAAUAGAUUUCCCUCUAAAUCUGUUUCUACCACGUCAUAUGAGAUGUGGGAUGGUAAGAAGCCAAGUCUCGGUCAUAUCAAGAUUUGGGGGUGUCCGGCAUAUGUCAAGCGACUACAGGCUGACAAGUUAGAGGUUAGGUCUGAGAGGGCUCGUUUUAUUGGAUAUCCUAAAAAAUCUUUAGGUUACUAUUUUCAUAUCCCAAAGAAUCACAAUGUAGUUGUGAGCUGACAUGCUAUGUUCUUGAAAAAACAGUUUAUUCAAGAAUGAGCUAGUGGGAGGAAAAUUGAGCUCGAAGAGAGUCUCUGAAGAGUAACGAGUCAUCAAACCUACAGAACCUAUUCAAGCUGAACUAGUACAUGUAGUACCUCCUCCACCUCAUAGGUCGAGUAGAAUCUCCCAUCCUCCUAAAAGAUACUUAGAUAUCGUUACGGAAGUGUAGAGAAAAUGUUCCUCAUGGGAGAUAGGGAAUAUGGAGAUGAUCCCAAAACCUACAACGAGGCGAAGUCUGACAUCGAUUCCGAGAAAUGGCCGGAUACCAUGAAAUCAGAAAUUGACUCAAUGCACUCCAACUAGUUUGGAUUUUGAUAGAUCCACCAGAAGGUAUAGUACCUAUCGAGUGUAAAUGGAUUUACAAAAAAAAGAUAGGUUCGGAUGGAAAGGUUGAGACCUAUAAAGCAAGGCUAGUGGCGAAAGGCUAUAGUCAACUCAAAGGUAUUGACUAUCAGGAGACCUUUUCGCCUGUGGCCAUGCUUAAAUCCAUUCAAACACUGCUUGCCCUUGCAACAUACCAUGAUUAUGAGAUCUAGCAAAUGGAUGUGAAAACUGUCUUCCUAAAUGGAUAUCUUGAGGAAGAAAUCUAUAUGAAGCAGCCUCUGGGUUUCACUCCCGGUGACGAAAGUCACAAAGUAUGCAAGUUGCAACGGUCCAUUUAUGGACAUAAGCAAGCAUCUCGGAUUUGGAAUACUCGUUUCAAUGACGUGAUUAAAUUGUUUGAUUUUGUUAAGAAUGAGUAGGAACCAUGUCUUUAUAAAAAGGUCAGUGGGAGAGCUGUCACAUUCCUCGUAUUGUACGUGGAUGAUAUUCUCCUAAUUGGGAAUGACAUUCCAAUGCUGACUUCAGUUAAGAUGUAGUUGUCUAAAGAAUUCUCCAUGAAAGAUCUAGGAGAAGCAUCUAAUAUUCUGGGAAUAAAGGUAUAUAGAGAUAGAUCUAAAAGGAUGUUAGGCUUCUCACAAAAAAUGUACAUAGAGGAGGUGCUGAAGAGGCUCGGCAUGGAAAACCCCAAAAGAGGACUUUUACCUCUUAGACAUGAAAUUUAUCUCUCUAAAAAAAUGUGCCCCAAUACAUUUGAAGAGAUUCAACGUAUGAGUAAGAUCCCUUAUGCCUCAGCUAUAGGGAGUCUUAUGUACGUCAUGCUAUAUACACGACCUGAUAUCGCGCUUGCUGUGAGUGUCACAAGCAGAUAUCAAUCUAAUCCAGGCGAUGAGUGCUGGACUGCUGUGAAGAAUAUACUUAAGUACUUGAGAAGGAUUAAGGAUAUGUUCUUGGUCUUUAGAGUAGGAGAAUUAAAAAUACAAGGAUAUACUGAUUCAGACUUUAUGUCUGAUAUUGACGAUAGAAAGUUUACAUCAAGAUGUGUGUUCUUAUGCAAUGGUGGCUCAGUGUAUUGCAAGAGUUCCAAACAACCAAUUAUUGCUGACUUUCUAUGGAACCAGAGUAUAUCGCCGCAUCUGAAGCUGCAAAAGAAGCCUUCUGGUUCAAGAAAUUUAUCGCAGAACUAGGUGUGAUGCCAUCGGAUGCCAUACCAUUCUAUUGCGACAAUAAUAGCGCCAUACCCUAGCUAAGGAGCCUAGGUCUCAUCAGAAGUCCAAGCAUAUAGAGCGGCGGUUUCAUAUAAUACGCGACUACCUCGACAAGAAAUACAUUGAGAUAUAGAGAGUAGACUCCACGGAUAAUGUGGCAGGCCCAUUGGCUAAACAAGUUAGCCAGCAAAAGACUGAAGUGUAAGAUAUGGAUCCCAAAGAUCUAAAAGGUAAAUAACACCUAGAAGGGGGUGAAUAGGUGUAAACCACAAAUUCAAAAUUCUCGAUGCAAAAUAAAACUAAAUGCGGAAAAUUAAAACCAACACAUCAAGAUUUUACGUGGGAAAACUCCAACUCGAAGUAAAAAACCCACGGAACCGAUCACACGAAACAAUCCACUACUAAAAAUUGAGUACAAGGUGAUUUACUAAAUACACGACCCAACUUUUACCGAAUCCUUGUUGUUGAUCGUCUUCGCUGGUCCUCGAUCGAUCGAACUCCUCCAAUCGAUCACGCCGCUACUCCUCGCAGCAACAACGCCUCGAAUCCACGAGCGUCCACAGAAUCCUUGGCCUCACGUGAAGUCCUCGCACAAACACUCCAUCCGGAGCUCGUAGAAGAUAAUAAUUAGUGGUGAUUCAAUUUCUUAGAAAAAUCAUAAGAUAUGAGGAGAAACCUUUCAAUCCAUCACUAACUCGAUUCUCAAUGAAACUUUGGAAUAGAAAUCUAGAAUCGAGUUGAUGAUUGAAAAUAAAAACUUGUUUUUAAAACAUAGAUCGAAAAGCUCCAAGAACAAGUUUUUAGGGUUUCUAAAAGUUUUUCUUUCUAAUCUUAUGUAAUAGGACGCUCCUCAUAGCUUAUUUAUAGGUUUAGAAGACUUAUAGAUAAACUAGGAUUUAAAAACCAAGUUUUAAAAAUGAAAGACGGUCUCAGGGUCCGGACCUCCCGCAGGGUCCGGACCUUGACACCAGGGUCCGGACCCUCUCUGCGUAUCAGAAAAUACAACGUACGGUGUCCGGACCCUAACCCGAGGGUCCGGACCCUCUCUGCAUGUACACAAAGAAGACCUAUGGGGCCCGGACCCUAAACCUAGGGUCCGGAUCCCGAACCUCGAAAAACUCAGUUUUUCUAGUUUUUACAUUUUAAAAACCAUCCUAAGUCUUCCAACCACUUUUACAUGUGUAGAAUUUCACCACAAAUUAUUAACACACAUACGUGAGAUACCAAGCAUCACGAACAAGUCUUUUCAUCAAGAAUCACACAAUCUUCGUCUCAAUCUUCGUCUUCAACUCUUCAAGACUCCAUUCGACUUCACAAAAUCCGUCAACUUAGAAAAGUCCUUAACAUGAAGUCCACCUUGAGAAUAUGGGGCUUAGUUAUAUGGCUGAUUGGUUUUAGUGCAAGUGGAAGUUGUUAGAUGUAUGCCCUAGAAGCCAACUAGGCCGACACAUGAAUUAUUUUUAGGACAUAAAUUUGUAUUUGACUUUAAAAUAUUAUGAAUAAAUUUGGGUUCUUAUUUUCAUUCAUGUUGUGUAUGUGUCCAUGAAUCGUCCAAGGAAUUAAUAAGAUGAUGACAUAUAUUCUCAAGAGUUGAGAAUUUGAGACAUGUGUUAUUGGUAGUUAAUUCCUAAAUGCUCCCGAUCAAUAGAUCAUCACGGGGACGGUGAUUGAUCCGGUGAGAUUGGUGCAUAGGUCACUUCCCUUUUUGGGUAGACGGGUCUCGAGUCGACAGUGUGGGGACACUGAAGCGAAUAUGCAGGUGGUUGUUAGAGAACAAGGGUACCGAGCGUGACCAAGGCGAGAAGUCACUUGGAUGUCUACUCACUCGUCAGUGACUUACUCAAUGUUGCAGUAGUGUGACUGGUCCUUUGACCUACGGUGCCUCGGCUAUUCACAAUGAGGUUACUAUAGUUUGACUGUACAUACACUUGGUCUCUAGCCAUUCAGGUUCUUGCGGUGCAUGUUGGUUGCGCUAGGUUUCAUUGUAGGAAUAUGGUACGCACUUAGAUGGAAUCUAUCUCCCUUGGUAGAUAGGGGUGUUAGUCCAAUGUGAUUUAUGAGAUCGAGUUUAAAAGACCUUGGUCAUGGCAGAGUUAAUAGCGGAAAAGGGUUUCCAAUAUUAGAAACUCGAGUCGAAUAAAUUUAACAUAUGACAGACGAUGGGGUUUGACGAGUUAUUCCAUAACCUCCGUCUAGUCGGGACUCAUGAUAGAAGGAUUGUAUCACACGGUAACUGCACCAAGAGGUUCAGUAUUCCAUUCUACUGGAAUGCCACUACAUGCUGCUAGGCGUCACUGGUGGAUUGUGAGACUCAUGAGGAUUAUCUAGAUGAUCAAUAAUUCUCAUUGGGCUGAGUUGGAAUUGUUCCGAUCCACUAAAAGGAGUUUUAGUGAUAUUGUUGAUAGUGAUCAAGAUACAUCUCACUACUCGAUAGAAUAGAACCUAUGGGGUCACACACAUAAGAGGUUGUGUGUCACGCUCCGAGCCCGCCUCUUUGGUCGGAUUCGGGCACGCCAACAGACUGCCGAACGGACAGAGUUUCUCCUGUACCGCAGACAGAGUCUCCUCUGUAUGUUCAAGGCGCACAAUCAUACAAUACGUGAGGUUCCAACCAGGAACAGUAUUCAAUCAAAGAUUGCAUAAGGAAGGUAUCAAAAACAUAAUUACAACUAAGUUAUUACAAUCAUUCAACUUACAUACAUUUUACAUAUUACAUCUUUCAUUCUUUUUAGCUUCCAAAUACAAUCUAGCUUUAACAAGAUUACUACAUUUAUGAUUGAAUGAUUCUAACCCCCAAACACAAUGCAAUUCUUGUUAUUUCAUUACAACUUGGUUCUUUUUUUUUUUUGACAUUCCUAAGUAGCCGACUCAGGGUACCGCUAUCUUUGGUCUCGGUGGUAGGGCGCUAACUAUGGAGUUACGCCCUCGCCUCGCGCCGCCGCGCCGCUCACGUGUGAACCUGUACCCCCAAAAGUAACACGGGGGUGAGAACUAUUGUCCAUAGUUCCUAGUGGGUACGGCCAUCCAAGGAAAAAGCUCGACCCACCAGGUCCAAAAGAGGCACUGCAAACAUAUUAGUCGAACAGAUAUCCACAAAUAUUCAAUGCAAAUAUUAAAUACAUGUUUAUACCUCAAGACAUGCAAUAUGUAAAUCAUGCAACUUAUGCAAGUAGAUUUAUUGAUUUUACUCUCUAUCAUUUACCUUUCUUUAUAUUAUUAGCAAUUCUUUAUCACUCGCCAUUCUUUACUUUUUAUUCUUAGCCACAUUUCGCUCAAAUGUCAUUCUUUCCUAAGGCUACAUUUACCUUAGCCAACUAUGUCACUCGACUCGGUCUUGAGUCAAUUCAUGAUGAAUGCAAGAUCACUGCUCAGAAUCCAAUCUCUAGGCUAGCCCGUAGGUUUCGCUCUCAAUAGACUUACCAACUCAAAUCCCAAAAAUUGGGGAGACUACUACACCCGACGGGACCGUCCUCUCGGGAGACUACUACACCCAGUGAUUAUAACUCUGGAGCACAUCGCCUGAGGGGGAGCUACCGCCCUCGAGCAAGGACUUACAAGUGAGUAUGAUCCAAUCCUUAACUAUAAGGAUGUCAAGUUCAAUCCAUUCCUUAACUAUACGGAAACAAUGCACAUAUGAUUCUUAACUCUAAGAUUGUUAUGUCAUAAUGUCACUAUUACUCUUUUACUUGCAUUCUUUACUGUCAUUAGUGUCAUUUACACUACUUGUUCUUUAUACUCGUUUUCAUGCACACGUUUGUUCUCAUUAAUGCAACACACACUAAGUGUUCUCUUUCUAGCAUUCUUUAGCAUUUAUUAUAUUCAUUAAUGCCACUUAUAUAUUUAUGUCAACAUGUCACUUUGUUUCUAAGUUUUCAUUGUUAUGUCAAAUGCCACGAUGUCACAAUUGCACAUGUAUAUACUUUUUAGCACAUUUCACAACUUUCCAUCAUUCAUACUUUCAUCUAGCAUACUCCACAAUGUGAACAUGCAUAUUCAUUUAUCAUAUUCCAAUAUAUGUCUAUAUACAUAUACCAAACAUUCAUAUGCCAUCUAACAUGUUCCAUAAUUUAUCAACAUGCAUAUUACCUCUAACAUAUUCCUCAAUGUAUUAACAAGUUUAUCUCAACGGUAGGUAAUAAACAUCAAGCAUAAUAAGGUUCAUGCAUCCAUAUUACCUUAUGCAACCUACCACUAUACAUGUAUGCAUCAAUAAUGAAAUAUUACUUUGCUUCGACAUGGAAGCGAGAUAGACAUUUCGGUAAGCACAACCCAACUGUUAUCGCGUUCCGAUUGCUUAUCGACACUUGCAAUCGGCCUCCCGCGGCACCCGCCGCCCAGUUCGGCUUGAACUCGCACUUGACCACCAAACAGCCGCCAAUCCGCGAUCUGAAAAAUUAAGGUCUAUAACUUGAUGCAACGAUGCUCCGGAUCCGUUCUCAUGAGUUUUGGACAUCACCUCGGCCCUCCAGGCGGAAAUGAAGUCGAAACGCCCGUUUCUUCAAUAUCUUCGCACCGGCUCGACGAAUCGCCGAACCGACUUCGCCAACGCGUUCGUAUACCUAGCAAUUAGAUUUAUAUAGGUUCAAUUUAGAUCAAAACCCAUCUAUAACAAAAGCCCCAAUUUGGAGCUCUAAUAGUGCACUAUGACAACAUACACUCUAAACCCAUUUAAAUCAAGCAUUAACAAGCAUGGUUUCAUCUAGAGAUUCCUCUAAAAUCAUUCCUAGGUCAAUUAAACCGAAUUCUAAGGUUCUACCAUUUCAAACCUAAUCUUUACAUAUGCUCCAAAUAACCCAAAUUUUAAGGAUUUAGCAUGCUAACAACACAGUAGAGAUCAUUAGAACCUCAUACAUAAAGGAUUUAAUUAAAAUCCCAAUUGCAACCCUAGAUUUCCAUUUCAUCAAGAGAGUCUCAUUAAUCAUGAUAAUCUUUUCAUUAAACUAGUUUAGAAUCAUAUAGAGUUUCCAUUUAUGCCAUUCUCAAAGAAUUUACACAAAACCCUAACCUUAAAUCCACAAAAUCUCACCUUGUUCUCCAAGCUUCCAAGCUAAAUCCACCAUUGGAGGGCUUGCUUUACCAUGGAGAGCUCCAACUUCAUCUCCAACAUCAUCUCCUCCAAAAUCCCGAAUUUGAGAGAGAAAUCAAGAGAGAGGAGAGAGAUAUCUCGAGAGAGAAAGGGAGACUUUCUCUCUCCCUCCAUGUGUGCGUGUGUGGGCUGGUGUAGUGCACGGUUGACGGAGAAGAAAAAGGCUAGCGCUGAUUUUACACAAAGCCCCCUCUACAAUAUACUAUUCACACUAGCAGUUUAGCAGUUUACAAACUGACGUUUUUCGCCGGAGCCCUUCUGAAUGUCCGUUUGCGCUCAAAUUUUACAGUCAGGCUCAGUUUUACUUUACUUAACAAAAAAAAUUUUAUCUUUCAAUUUCGACCCUGUUUGGUCGCCGAAAGCUCUACCGAACUGUAAUCUCUAGUAGAUAGCAGUCGGAUUUUAUUUUUCAUUUUUCGGGUGUCAGAAUGGCAUGAAACUUUAAAUUUAGCCACAUAAAAAUAAUUCUGACAUAUCCUCCAGUUUUCAUAAUUUUCUGACACUGUACAUUUUCUGCUAAAAUAUCAGCCCCGUCUCUUAUAGAAAAUUCUAAAUCUUCUGUUUCCGUUCCGAUUUCAGCACAGGUCAUUUCUGACUUAUAUUUUACUUCACUAAAUUGAAUAAAAAUAGUAUCUCACACUAUUUUUAAUUAUUUUUUACUUUUAUAUCAAAAUCCGGUAUGUUACAUUGUGAUUGAUCGGAUAGCUAAAUCGUAAUUAUUGAAUCGCUGGAGGACUUAAUUGUCAAUAUGUUGAUAAUUGAACUAAUUUAUAAUUGUUACAAAUUAGUGGUAUUAAAGUAUAAAUGUUACUAGAGAGAAUUUACUAAUAGUUAGUAAAUUAUGAGAGGACUUAUGUGCAAAUGUUGCAUUAUUAAUUCGAUAUGAUUAAAUUAAGAUAAAGUUCAAGUCGAAUCAAAUUAGGAUUUGAUCGGUCUAACCAAUUAAGGAAAGGAUAAAUUUAAAUCUAGAUUUGUACUUAUCCUUAAUGGUUAUUAUAUUAUUAAAAGAGGAUUAUAUCCCUAUAUAUAAUAUAUGAGAGUUUUUAGAAAACCCUAGCCGUCAUCUCUCUUCUUCUCUCUCUUCCAUCUUUUAGCAAAAAAGACGUCCUUUGCAAGGGAGCUAGCACUCUGGUGAGGACAUUGAUCAAAUCAAUAACCUCGUGUGGAUACCUAUAGAGGCCGGACGCGUGUGCGGCUUCAAGAGAACCCAAUUCUACGAUCAUCAAAUUGAGGUGAAGAUCUAUCCACGCAAAAGGUAAAGAUUCGAUCUUGCUUUUCUUCUUUAGUCAAAGAACAUGAGGGAUUCUAAUUAUGUGGUUUUUGAGAUUAGAUCUUGAGAGUUUUCAAAAUCAAAUUUGUUUGAUUUCUUUUUUCGCUGCAUUUUUACCGUACGCAAUUUUUUAACAGGUAUUUGACACAAACACACUUCAUGAAUAGGUGGUCUAUUGUCUCGAAUUCAAUAGCAUAGAGCACACAGUUUUGUUCCCCAAGCCAACCUUUUUUUUACAGAUUAUCAACAGCAAGUACUUUUUUUCUCAAUACAAGGCAAACGAAGUUCUUAACUUUCUCUGGUGUCUUCAGCUUCCAAAUUUGUGUAGGUGGUUCAGUCUAUAACUCCACCAUGCUUAAGAAAACUAUAAAGCGAUUUAACUAAGAACUGUUGUAAGUCCAUCUCCAUUUGGCCAAGUCCUAUCCAUCCUUCACAACUACAUCUAUGAGUAAUUCUUUCAUGUCAUCCAUCAUAUCUCUCUCUUUCUGGGAUGAGGGGCCAUAGUCUCUUAGAAUCAUAUCCCAUUUCCAUCCCCUUCUUGUAAAGCAAUCUUUCACCUAAUAGUUUUUGCAUCGAGUAUGGUUGUAAAUAGUAGGGAAGGAUGUUCGUAGCGAGCAAUCACCACACCAUAUAUUUGACCAAAAAUCAAUCCAUUUUCCAUCUCCUAACGUGAAUGUCAUCCCGUGGCCCGCAUUUAAAAAUAUCUCUCAUUUAUAGAACACCUUUCCACUAUUGUGAGUAUGGCUGAAAACUUGAUCUUUCUCUAGGAGGCUUUCUCCUUCUAUAAUAUAGUGCCCUAAUCAACUUGUUCCAUUUAAGUUUCGGUUUCGUAAAAAAUCUCCACCACCGUUUUGCUAGAAGAGCAAUAUUCAUCGUCGCAUGAUCUUUGAUCCCAAAACCACUGUCUUUUUUGCUCAUGCAAAGAGAUUUCCACUAGAUCAAGCAAAAGCGCCACUGACUGUUGUGUUGCCCUUCCAGAAGAAAACCCUUCUUAGUGCCUUAAUGCGACGUACAACCUAUUUUGGUACCUCUUGCACCCUAGAAUGGCAGCCAAUCUGAUCUUGUGCAUGCGGCGUCCAAAGUAAAAUAGUUCUAAUUUAUCCUUAUUGAUCUUCAAACCUGAGGCCCAUUCGAAGAUAUGCCAUAUAAAUUGAGGAUUCUUCAUAAAUCUUUUUUUUGCCUCAUAAAUAUAUAUCAUAUCAUCCGCAUAUUGAAUAAGAGUUACUUUACUAUCCGGCAUAGGUCCCAAUCCUCUAAUCAAGUUAUUUUUCUCUGCUAGUUCUGUCUCCUUGCUAGACUCCAAUCAUUAUGAGAAAGAGAAAGGGGAAGAGUGGGUCCCUUUAUUGUACUCCUUUUUUUUACUUUGAUCCACUGGGUUGGCUUUCCAUUCACUAAAAUCGCAACUUUUGCAUUGAUAGUACAUUGAUCGACCCAUCGGCACCAUUUGUGAUCCACUCCCAACCAAAUCAUAAUCUUUUAAGAAAUUGCCAAUUAACCUUGUCAUAAGCUUUCUCAAAAUCAACUUUCACCCUUGCUCCUUUCAUUGCUAAUUUGGUGCCCCACGUUACUAGCUCACUAGCCGUCACAAAUGAGUCAAGAAUUAUACGACCCUUUAUAAAUGCAGAUUAUGAAGGUGAAAAAUAUCCUUCAUUACCAUUUCCAAUCUAUUUGCAAGAACUUACGAUAUUAUCAUUUACACUCCAUUAAUAAGGCUAAUUGGCCGAAAAUCAUUAGCACUGUUAGCACCUUCUUUUCUAGGGACCAGACAAAUGUAGGAAAAAUCAAUAGCUCCCGCGUUUACUCGGCCUUCAUAGAGCUCCUGAAAGAUUUUCAAGAUAUCUUCCCGUAUAGUCUCCCAAAAAGUUUGGUAAAAUAAAUCAGGCCUAGGUGCCUUAUCUGCUCCCAAUUGAAAUAACCUCAACCCUAUAGUGCAUGAAUGCCAAUUAUAUAUAUACGUAUAUGCUCAACAAGGAGACAUAGACAUAAUGAAGGAUUCGAAGAUUUCGGAUAGCACCACCCACCUCGUAGGGAUGCCGAGAUGCGAGAAUCCAAGUCCCGCGAUUUUGGACACCUAUCUCUCUUGACCCAUGGCUAACGAAGGCAAAACGAAGCUUUCUCUCCAUAUCUUGCCGUAGACUCGUCGGAACGUCGAUCCGGGUCUUCCAAUGCAUCGGAUUUACCCUCAAUUAGGAUUACAUGAGAUCAAUUCCAUGCUAGAUCUCCAAUCCUACAAAAUUCCAAUUCCAUGUUUAGGGUUCACAUAACCUCAACCUACAUAUCAGGAAGUGGUGAAUCGUGCACUUAUUGUGGAGAAAGGUGCAGAGAUCACUAAAGAGGAAAGGGAAGCUUUUGAUCGAGAAAAAGAAAAAAGGCAAGCAGCCGAGGGUAGCAGUCAAACACACUCUAAGAGGCCGCUGAAGCAUCCGAGGAGCCAGUCGCGAGGGCGCGGUUCUACAAUGACUCGUGGAGCACCGGAUCGUCGGCGAGCACUGCGUUGUUUGAUCUGUGGUGUUCCUUACUUUCCACCGUAGUGUCCACAACGUGGGGGCAAGUGCUCCUCUGUGGCCAGGAGGGCCAUUUUUGUUCUGAGUGCCUGAGGGGUUUCUUUCCAACGCCGUCAUCUGCGUCAGCACCCGCGUCACCGGCUCCAAGUCAGGGACUCUAUCGACACACUACCAGAUUGGGCGGCCACCUGUUCAAUGUUAGUCUGAGACACUGCGCCAGGCACCAAGUGGGUGUAUGUAUGCCGCCUAGACUGAGGAGGCAGCAGCAGCAGAGAAGGUCGUUACAGGUAUCAUUUUAAUUAAUGACGUCAAAGUUCGUGCAUUAUUUGAUACCAGUGAAUCUCAUUCCUUUAUUGAUUGGCUAUUUGCCGAGUUACACAGCAUUGAGCUUGUAACACACUGAACUUUAGCAAAUUGCAAGGUUCGAGUGUUUGAUUGUGUUCUGAGCUUUUCCGAGUUUUUUGGAGGGUCGUUGACCGUGUUCUGACGUAUGACUCAUGUCCCGAUGAGCGAGGAUGAGAACUUAGCACCAAAAUCUCUAAAUUGCAGAUUUUGGGCUCCUCUCGGGUUGAGCUCUGCAGGGCAGAGUAUCGGUGCUGCAUCGGUCGAGUACCGGUACUAGACCUAGUACCAGUACGGCAUUGCAAGGAUAUCGGUACUCUGUGUGUUUGCUCGCUUACCCGAGGCUCGUGUUUGCACGUGCUGUUGCCUGGUACCGGUAUUCCAACCCGCGUACCGGUACGCAGUGCAGAUGCAGACUGCACGAUUGUUGAGGAAUUUUUUUGAAUUUGUAACAACUCUAUAUAUACCCCACGCCCCCUUUUGGGUUCCUUGAGCUUGGAACCAGUAAAGAGAAGGGUAAGGAGCCUCUCAUCUUCCCCUCUUUGAUUUUCUUUUCUUUUUGCUUGGAUUUUGGAUGAUUAAUCACCUCUUUUUGCUUCUCUUUGCAUGUUGGUGGUUCUCCCACCAUUGGAGAAGCCUUGGAGCUUGGAUUGAAGCUUUUUUGAGGAUAGAACUUCAACCCUAGCACCUUCCUAGCUAGGUUUGGAGCUUCAAGAGAGGUUAGUAACCUUGAUCUUCCCUUUAGAUCAUAUUUUUUGUUGAUUUUUGUGAUAAAAACUUAGAAUGAGAGAUCUAAAAUUUUAUUUGGGGAUUUUUUAUUUGUAGCUUUUGGGGUUUAAUUGAUGGGUGUAGAACUUUCUUUUAGGUGGGAUUAGAAAUAUUCUAGCUUCCAUUUGGAGUUUGGAAGGGUUCUAUACCAUUCAAGGUGAGUUUUGACCUCUUGUUGGGUUGGUUAAAGUUUAGCUCAUGGGUAUUCGUUCGUUGCCCCUAACCCUUUUAGAAUCUUUGUUAGGGAGCUAGGAGACUAGUGGUCAUCCUCGUUCGCGCAAUCGAAGGAGAUUCGAGGAGUUCUUUGUGGGUUUGACCUUAUCGAAAUGGGUGGACUCCUCCUAUGUUAUACUCUUUAUUGUAAAAUAGAAAAUCUUGCAUAUUCAUGCUAGAUAGAGCAUAUGUGAAUUGUAGAAUGCUUAAAAUGCAUAUGUUAUAUAUCAUGUUAUUUCACCUCUAUGUAGUAAAGAGAUAAGUACAUAGUAAUCAUGUAAGUGAAUGGCAUUCGUUUAUAUGGUUUGAAAUCAUAUUUCAUUUAGUAAAAAUGAUAAGUAUAACAUACUCUUGGACAUAGAACUCAUGCUUGACAUAGUGGACAUAAAUGUCAUAAAGUGGGAUUCAACUUAGUAAAUGGAUAAACUCUUACUUGAUGACAUAGUGACAGGCCAUUGGGACACUAGCCUUUAUACCAUAUUUUAGAUAUGAUGACAUUGCACUUGAGACGGAUGACUACGCUUGCUUGCUAUUGUGCUCAUUCGCACAUGCUUGUGAGGGUCGCUUCCCACAAGCCGGUACUCCGAAGAUAACUAACGCGACAUAAGCUCGCCCGUGCGGGAUUGGGCGCCGAAAUGGAAUGUCGUGGGGAAGGCUCAUUCCUAGAGUGGUAAUGUUGACUACUAUGGGGCCAUUAGGCACGGCGCAAACCGAACUACCCUUGCGUAGGUCCUAUAUGAUUGGAACAAUAUUGAAUUAAAAUGCAAUAUUGACAUUAGACUAAUUGUAAAUGUUGACAUUCUACUAGCUGUACUUGUGGACAUCAUGCUAAUUAUAUAUAUGUUCAUUCAUGUUAGAAUAGCACAUAUACUUGUGGAACUUCAUGCUAAGUAGAGGCAUAGUAGUUUAGUAAGUUUUACUUCAGGCUUAAUAUACAUGUUGUUCAUUUCAUUGACAUGUUAAAUUUCACUACUUAUGCCUCCAUAACCUAGUGGUGUAUUUCGCUGAUGUCUCUUACCCACUCGAAACUAUUGAUUAAUAGUUCUCACGCCCCCUGUUUUGUUAUUUUCGUUACAGAGCCUUCCACUCCGGGAGAGGCUAGGGAUCGCGGCAAGGGUGUCGCAUCUAGCUAGAUUGCAAGGAGUUUUUACUUAGGUGGCUCACCUCUCUAUUUUUGUAUUUAUUGUAGAGAGAGACUAUUGUACCAUAUGUGUAGAGACCACUAUUUUUGUAUAUUUUGUACCUUGUAUUUGGAUCUUGGGAUGUAUCUUCCUUAUGGUUUAUGUUCGUUGUUUAGUUCUUUUAUAUUUCCAUUUGUCAUUAGAAUUUAGUUGUAUUCUCGCUCUGAUAUCUCUAGAUGCUUAUUACUUUUGUUUUAUUUAUGGCUUUGUUGUAGACGUCUUAUAUGUUGUAGGCAUAUGGCGGGUCUGGACACGCACCGGGCGGGCUUCCACUGGGUCCCGGGGCGUGACAGAGUUGGUACCUACUUUGCAUUCUAGAUGAGUGAUUGUACCGAACCAUAUCUUGGACAUUCGAGAGUUCUGCCCUAACUGGCCUAUAUGGGUAGGGGAUUGGAUUAUGCCUCUUGAUUUGUUGGCAGUGCAUAAGCUUGGUGAGUUUGAUAUAGUGUUAGGUAUGGAUUGGCUUACGAGGUACUAUGCUACUAUCGAUUGCAAGAAUCGAACGGUGACCUUUCGGGAACCGGGACAGGAUGUGGUAGUAUUCAGAGGAUGCCAGAGCUCGCUAUUUGCGAUGACUAUAAGCUCUUCGCGAGCUAGAUAGCUGAUCAGGAGAGGUUGUGUAGCCUUCUUGGCUAGUAUUACUGCGAGGGAUGGAGAUAUCCCUAAGAUUGAUGAUAUCCCGGUGGUACGGAAGUUUGGUGAUGUGUUUCCAACGGAGUUGCCAGGUAUGCCAUCUGAUAGAAAAUUUGAGUUUGUGGUAGAUCUUGUUCCCAGACUACCCUAAUCUUAAAAGCACCCUAUAGGAUGGCGCUAGCUGAAUUGAAAGAGCUGAGGGCAGAGUUGCAGGAUCUAUUGGACAAGGGUUUCAUCUGUCACGCCCCGGGGCCGAUUUUAAAAGUCUUUUUAAAAUUCAUUACCAUGUUUGAAAUCAGAGUUGCGGAAAACGUGCCCUUUUUUUUUCAACUUAGCCCACGUGACGUAUAGAUCCGCCACAAAUACAAAGUUCCUCUGCCCACUCGAACAGAGUCUCCUUUGUAUUUGCUUGGCGUACCAACAGCUACAUCAGGAUCUCAACCACAGUCUAUGUAAUAUACUGAACUUCUAAUUCAUGAAGUUACAAUGUAUGUUAGCAUAGAAAGCCAUUGGAAUCAUUCCAGUGAGGUUCGGGAGCAUUCGGGUGCUUCGGUGCGCGUAGGCGCGAAAACGGAACCCAAAGGGCUAUGUCGGACCAUAGACUAAAUCCGGCAUUAGCGUUGAUGAAAAGAUGAUGAAAAUAUGUUUGAAAACAUAUUUGGAGAGUCUCGAUUCGAUUUGAAAAGAAUCGGAGACCAAACGAGCGAAAACGAGCGAAAACAGACGAAAAUUGGUGAAAAUGCUGAAAAUUUGGCUAAGUCCUUGAAGGCUGAUUUCUAGACCUUCGGGGACCGGUCUCUCAGCCAAGGACUGGUCUCUCAGGGACCGGUCCCUCAUCCAAGGACCGGUCCCCGAAGCCCGAAAAUGCCCAGUUCGGGCUGUUGCAAGAGAAGCAUAGUUGAGGGGUUUAUAUGCAAUUUUGGCAUGAGAAGAGUGUAUAGAAUGGGGAUUUGGGGCUUUUCUCUCUUCUCCCUCACCCUUUCAACUCUAAACCCUCUCUCUCUCUCUAGAAGAAGGGAAGAAAGAGAAAGAAGAGAAGAAGAAGGAGAAGAAGACAAGGUGGAGGAAAGUCAACCUUAUCAUAUUCUUCCUUGCAAUGGAGCAAGCUUCUUGAGGUAAGCUUCUUGGAGCUUUAAUGGUAGAUCUUUAGGGUUAGGUUCUUAUACUCUAAAGAUGAUUUUAGUGGAAUCCUAGGAUGCUAAAUAGAUGGUUAAUGCAUGAUUCAUGAAGUUAAAUGAUGGAUUUUGUUAUAAUAGCAUCUAGGGCUCCAAAAAAGGGGUUUUUGUAAAUAGUUGGGUUUGAUUUCAAUUGACCCUCUGUAAACCUAAUUGGGGAUCAAACGAACACGAUGGAACGCUCGGUUCGACAAUCCGACGAGUGUACGCAAAGUUAUUGAUGAAACGGUAUGUUUUGGUAUAGAUAGCCCAGCACGCGAGAUAGACGCCCAAAAAUCAUGAAAACGGAUCUGAAGCAUCGUGGUAACGGGGAAUAAACUCCAGAAUAGACGGAUCGCGGAUUGGUGACCGUUCGGGUGGUUGCGCGAGAGGACAAGCCAAACCAGAUCACGGGUGCCGCGGGAGGCGGAUUGCAAGUGACUACAAGCAAUCGGAACGAGUUAAGAGGUGGGUUGUGCUUACUGAAGCGACUAGGUCGCCUUCAUGCCAAAGUUUAGUGUGUUUCACUAUUGAUGCAUGAUAAGAAUGUUAAGUAUGAAUGCAUGAUAAGAAUGCUAAGUAAGAAUGCACCAUAAUGAUGCUAAUAAAUGCAUAUAAUGGCAUGAGCUAGAUGCUAAGUAAAUGCAUGUGAAGUAUGCUAAUGAAUUCAAGAGCUAAAUGCUAAAUGAGUAUGUAAGACAUACGCUAGAUAAAUGCAUAAGUUAAAUGCCAAGUAACAUGAGCUAGAUGCAUGUUUUAGAAAUGGAUGCAUGAUUGAAAUGCUAAUAAAGAAUGCAUGAGAUAUGUGCUAAGUAUGAAUGCAUGAGUUGUAAGCUAAAGUGUAAAUCGAUGAUCAUUUGAGAAGAACAUAAGUAUGUGCAUGAGAUGCUAAAGAAUAUAUGCAUAAUUCAUAUUAUGAGAAUAUGUUAGAAUAACAUGAAGGUUGAACUUGAGUCAAUGAACUCUAAGUAAAGUAAGGAACUCAAUAAAUGUGGCAUGUAAAGAAUGCUAAGUAUAAAUAACAAGAACAUGAGUGGCAUUAAACCUAGUGUUAUUGAACAUAGGUUACUCACGAGUGGCAUGUCAAGUAUAAUUCCUAGGUGUGGACAACUAGCAAAAUAAGAACAUGAGUGGCAUUGAACCUAGAGUCAAGUAAACCUAGGUUGUGAACAAAGUGACAUGGAAUCUAGGGUCAAAUGAACCUAGGUGGUAAAGAAUAUUGAACCUAGUGUUAAUGAACCUAGGCUAAAAAGAUAACGACGUUGAACCUAAUGUAUAAACUUAGGUUGAGUAAAGGCUUGGACCUAGAUAGGUCGAUACUAUAGGGUGAGACCAACUCUUGAGAGAUGUAAAGUGGAUUCCGGAAUCCCUGUUGCCAGAGCAGCGGCUGCUUGUGACGCACUGGACCUUUGCAAAUUGCGAGGUUCGAGUGUUUGAUCUAUGCGACGAGCCAUCUCAGACUUUCUGAAGGGUCGUAGACAGUGUUCCGACCCAUGGUUCGAGUCCCGAGAAUUGUGGUUUGAAGCGGUGUACCAAAAUCCAAAAAGUUGGAUUUUUGGUUAGCUCUCGGGUUGCCUUCAGCAGGCUGCGUACCGGUACGGGUUCGCUUGCUGUACCGGUACGUGAUCGAUUGCUGUACCGGUACGCGGUUGUGUACCGGUACACAGACCAAUUCCCAGCAAACCCGAGGCUCGGGUUUGGCUUUUCGUGGGUGGUGUACCGGUACACAAACCCGUGUACCGGUACACAGUGCAGAGCGGGCUGUUUUNAAAGAAUAAAGAAUAAAGAAGGGCUAAUACUAAAGAUUGGCAAGUAAUAAAGAAUAAAGAAAGGCAAAUGUUAAAGAAUAGCUAGUAAAAUAAAGAAUGACUAAGACUAAAGAAUGGAUAAGAAUAAAGUGUAGAAGCAAUUAAUCUACUUAUAUGAGUUGCAUAAUAUACAUGAUGCAUGUUGUGAGGCAAAAGCAUGGUAAUGUUAGUUGCAUGAUUUAUGAUUUCAUAUCUAUCUAUUGGACUAACAUGUUGUUUGCCACUUUUGGACCUGAUGGUCGAGCUCUUCCCUUGGGUGGCCGUACCCACUGGGAACCAUGGAGUUGGUUCUCACUUCACGUUGUUUUGGGGUGUUACAGGUUCACAUGUGAGCGGCGCGGCGGCGCGAGGCAAGGGCGUAGCUCCGUAGUUAGCGCCCUACCACUGAGAUCAGAUAGCAGCACCCUGAGUCGACUUCUUAGGGGUAUAAAAUCCAAAGAACCAAGAGUGUGAUAAUUGUAAGAACAAUGUUGUAAUAACUAUGUUAAAACUAAAUUGUAUUUGGAAGUAAGAAUCAAGGAAUUAAAUGUGAUGUAAUUUAAGAAUGCAAAAAUAUAAUAUGUGAGAUGAAUGCUUGUAAUAGUAAGUAGAUUUAUAUUUUUGAUACUUCCUUAUGCAAUUUUUGGUUGAAAUGUGUUCCUGGUUGGAACUUCGUACAUUGUAUUGAUUGCGACGCCUUGAACGUACAGGAGAAAUCCUGUCCGUUCGGCGGUCUGUUGGCGUACCCGAAUCCGACCAAAGAGGCGGGCUCGGGGCGUGAUAAUCUACAUAAAAGGUACUGGACCUCUAAAAUAAUGAAGUUACGGUUUAUGUUUGUUUGGAAAGCCAUUGGAAUUGUUCCGGUGAAGUUCGGAAGCAUUCGGGCGUUUCAGGAGCGCGUAGGCGCGAAAACGGGACCCGAAAGGCUAUGUUGGACCGAGAGCUAAAUCCGGCUUCAGCGUGGAUGAAAAGAUGAUGAAAACAAGCUCGAAAACAUGUUUGGAGAGUCUUGGUUUGAUUUGAAAAGAAUCGGAGACCAAACGAGCGAAAACGAGCGAAAACGGGAGAAAAACGAAAAAGGCUGAAAUUUGGUUAAGUCUGGAAUUCUGGACCUAUGGGGACGGUUCCCUCGGCCAGGGACAGGUCCCUCAGGGACCGGUCCCUCAUGCAAGGACCGGUCCCCGUAGCUUGAAAAUGCCCAGUUCGGGCUGUUGCAAUAGAGGCAUUGUUGAGGAGUUUUUAUGCAAAAAUGGCAUAUAAAGGGUUAAGUAAGGGGUCUCUCUCUUUUUUCUCCCACUCUCCCUCAACCUAAAACCUAAAACACUCUCUCUCUCUCUCUCUAAAACUCUCUUGCUCUCUCUCUUGGAGGUGGGAAGAAGGAAGAAGGAGAAGGUGGAGAAGGAGGCUAGGAGAAAGAGCUUCAUCUCCAUUAUCUCCAUCAUCUUCUUCCUCGCUUUGGAGCAAGCGUGUUGAGGUAAUUAAGCUUCUAGGGCUUUAAUGAUGAUUUCUUAGGGUUUGGUUUAUGCACUAUAAGAGUUGUUUAGAGAGAAUCCUAGGAUGUUAAAUAGAUGAAUAUUGCUUGAAUUGAGACCUAGUUUGGGUAUUCUUGCAAUGGUUAACAUCUAGGGCUCCGAAAGGAGGUUUUUGUAAAUAGUUGGGUUUGAUUUCAAUUGACCCUCUGUAAAUCUAAUUGCUAGGUAAACGAACGCGUUGGUGAAGUCGGUUCGACGAUUUGUCGAGCCAUUGUAAAGAUAUUGAAGAAACUGACGAUUUAGCUUCGUUUCCGCCUGGAGGGCCGAGGCGACGUCCAAAAAUCAUGAAAGCGGAUUUGGAGCACCAAACCGUAGACCUAUAAUUUUUGGAGCCGCGAUUCGGCGCACGGUUGGUGCGCAACUGCAAGAUCGGGCCAAACCGGGUGCCGGGUGCUGCGGGAGGCCGUUUGCAAGUGUCGACAAGCAAUCGGAGAGCAAAUCGAGGUGGGUUGUGCUCACCAAAGCGACUAGGUCACCUAUAUGUCUAAGAGUAAUGUUUAAUAUUGAUGCAUACAUCUGUAGCGGUAGGUUGCAUGAGAUGAUAUAGAUGCCUGAAUCUUAUUAUGCUUGAUGUUUAAUGCCUACCAAUGAGAUAGGUAUGUUAAUGCAUGAUGAGCAUGUUAUAGAGAUGCUAGAUGAAUGCAUGAUUACAUGAUGCUAAGAGGAGCAUAAUAACAUAAUGACUAAUAAUGAAUGCAUGUUGGCAUUGAGAUGAAUGCAUGAUUACACGAUGCUAGGGGAAUGCAUGAUGACACGUUGCAUAUACUAGAUGAUGAUGACCUAUCACGAGAUGCUAGUUGCAUUGUAGGAUAUAUGUCCAUUGCCCUUUCUUAUGCUUUCUAAUAUAUAUCAUAGUGUGAGUUGAAUACUUAAUAUGUGGAUAGAUAAGGAUUGGAUCUUGACGUUGAAUCCUAUAGUGCCAAAAGUAAGAUGAACUCGAGGUUAUUUAGUGACAUAGAGAGUGGCAUCUAAAUGUUUAAAGAACAGAACGAGUGGCACCAAUGUAGUGUAUAUGACACUAGUGGAAUGUGAACAUAGGGAUAGAUGGAUUCCCUAGUAAAUGACUCGUAAACAAAGAACUUUGUAUAGCUAAGCACAUAUGCAUGAUUGUCGGAAUAGGUGAGUUCCGAAAGAGUUGUUGGCCCUUGUUCGUAGGGUGUCCUCAAGUGGAGAGGAUAGAUCAAGCUUACGGUCUGUUAUUGGGGUGGUAUAGCCAUCCGGGGUGGUAUAGCCAUCCAAAUUGUCAUCGAGUACUCCGGAGUGUCGGGUGACUAGGACAGAGUUGAUGUCCGCAGACAAUCCCGGGUUUGAGAGCGAGUUGAGUCUCCUUACCCUACGGGAUGAUGAUGUGAGUUGAGGGCAAACCUUCGGGUUAGCUAAUGGAUUGGGUGACAAACAUAUGAGUUGUAGUUGCAUCCUAGUUGAGUGGAUUUAAGGCUGAGGUGCAAGCGAGACGUCCUUCACCUUGAGCCUGGCUUUGUGCGGUAUUCCGCGGAUGAUUGACUCAAGACCGAGUCGGGUGGAUAGCUUGUAAAGGCAGGUUAAACCUUAUGAGCAGAACUGUAAUUGACAUGAAUCUAAGAUAAAGAAAAACUUAGAAGUCAAUUGGAUGAGCUAUGUAUAGCAGGAUUGAAAGUAGUGUCGAUUGAAUUACUAGUUGGUUGCACGGUUGCAUAAACUGCAUGAAUUUCAUAUUACAUGUUGCGAGGCAUGUUAUCUGUUAGUUGCAUAAUUACAUGACGAUAUAUAUCUGUAGAGAUUUUUGGACUAACAUGAUUGCAGGGCCUCCUUGGACCUAUUGGUCGAGCUUUUCCCUUGGGUGGCCAUAUCCACUGGGAACCAUGGAGUUGGUUCUCACCCUACGUUGUUUUGGGGUGUUAUAGGUUCGCACGUGAGCGGCGCGGCGGCGGCGCGAGGAAAGGGCGUAGCUCCAUAGAUAGCGCCCUACCCCAGAGACCAGAGAUAGUGGUACCCCAAGUCGACAUAGCCUAGGGGUAGAGGAAACGGACAAAGAACAAACUUAUAAUAAUCUUGCGAUCAUUGAUUUUAUGUGCAAGUAAAGGUAAUGAAAAUGUAAUGUAAUAAUGCAAUUGUGAUGUAAAAAUGAAUCUAAUGGGAAUCCUUGUAAUAACAUAGGAUGUGUUAUGUUGUUUUAUACCUUCCUUAUGCAAUCAUUGUAUGAAUAUUGUUCCUGUUUGGAACCUCUUGUAUUGUACUAAUUGCGACGCCUAGGACGUACAGGGGAGACUCUAUCCGUUUGGCGGUCUGUCGGCGUGCCCGAACCUGACCAAAUAGGCGGGGCUCAGGACGUAACACUACAUUUACCAAUCAACAAUCAUCAUGCCAUGCAUUUCCAUACAGCUAGCAAUCCUUGGAGAUGAUGCAUGCCUCUAAGCACUCCUUAGGCGCUGGAUGAUGCAAUGCACAAUACAACAGUCAUCCUAUUAAAAGUGCUCCCCACCCGGAAGCUUUGCUUUUAAAACUCUAAUUCAAACAUUUACGAAAACCAAUUCGAAAACCUUUUGAAAACUGUUUUCUACACGGAAACUCUAUUUUGAAAAUCGGCUACCUCGAGGGGUAGAAAACCACAAUGUAUAAAUCCGUAAAUAUAUAAAUCGAGAAUCAACUAUCCAUAAAACCAAAACCAAGAAUCCGCAAAUCUCUAAUCUCAGAUCCACAAUCUAAUGCAUAGGAGGAAAACCAACUCAUUCAAACAUUCAAACAUCAGUAAUGAUCAUCUAACUGAACCAUUUAUUAUUAACAACUACUAAGAGCAAGAAUGAAAUAUAACCAGGGUGACGGUCGCUACUGCCAACUAGCUAGAUCGUCCUCCCGUCAAGCCCAAAAACUAACUCCUCGUCCAAGUCACCUGGGGGGGAAUGGGGGGUGAGAAACCGCAACCAUGGUUUCCCAGUGGGUACGACAGAACCACGAAGGCAAGCCGUAAUCACCGAAAACCAAAAGAGAUAAAUAAACAAGUAUAGAUGCUAAUAUACGAAAACGAACUACAGUAGCUAUAACAGAUAUGAACAUGAUAUGAUAUAAGAACAACUACAGUAGUAAUAGAAACAGGAUAAUAACUGAGCAAGAACGAAACUACUACUGUAAUAAAACUCAACUGAACGGAUGCCUCAAGGGUAAAUAGUCCAAAAUCAAACCCAAUCUGAUGCUGCUAUAUUGGUCCACAGACCUCAAGCGUUGCCUGUCACAUAACAGACACUGUCAACUUAUUCAUGCGUCACCGACGACCUAUCCGGAUACGUACACCCCUUGGUUGGUGGCCAAACCAACCUGGUGUCUAGAAUACACAGUGUUGUGACUAAAUUAUGCUGGUAUGCUCAAACAAAAACCGACAAAAGAGACCGGUGCCUUGGCCGAAGCCAGGUGCAAGGGCGUACAACGCCGAACCACGAUCAACUAGAUCGAAACACACGACAAAAGAGUCGAUGUGUUGUCUGGACCCAAGGUCCACAGAGAUACAAUAUAUAUGCAACCUGCUCUACAUGUCUAUAUACAACUAACCACAUGUAAUCAAUAAGGUAAAGAUAACGAACGGUAAGCAAAGGUACAUGACAUGUAGAGACUACAAUACUGAUAUGAAAGAACAGAGGAAAGGUGAAACGAUCUCACCAACUACAAGCUCGAAGCACCCACCUGUCACUGUCGCGUCGGAACACUUGGUACGCACAGAGUCUAUCGGACCUAAGGAGAUCCACCAGGUCAGUAUCCAAACCACUAACCGAAAGCACGAUACUCACAAACCCCCACACAAGAUCCCUGUAAUCGGUUUCCCAAAAUCGAUCACCGUAACUCACCGAAAGUCCCGAAAACCACACUGGGACGCUGUCGGGACCAACUAAGUGUCCCGAAACUCACCGACUCAUACCACGAGUCACCCGCUGCCACAAAACACACUAAUUUGAAUGUCUUGGCAGCAAACACAAGGUAACACAACCCAACAAUUAUCGUCGGAUAAUUGUUCGGAUCCGGGUUCCCGGAAGUGUCUAUUUCGACUCCGGAACCCACCGUCGCUCACCCGUCAUCACCGAACCCACAAUAUGAUGAUGGUGACCAGCCAAGAAGGCUCAACAACAAUUUACAGGACAACCAAACCACGUCGGAUGAAAUCCAAACUGAAAUCGCGUUCUUUCGGCGAAUUUCGCCGAAAAACACAACGAAAUCGACUCUUCGAUUUCAGCAAAAGCUAACGGAUUAUGGACAAUCAGUCCAGAGGUCACCACACACGCCUACACACUACCCACAGUAGCCACAAGGUGCACAAUUGCACAAAAGCCCGUGUGUUUACAUAAAAUCCCAAUAUUUUAUGUAAAUCGGGCAAUAACAUGGUUCGUUCAUUCCAACCGAGGACUUUCGAGGUCCACCGAGACACGUACCGACAGGUCUCGAUGUGCCGGAGGCCAUGCUCCUGGUCCGGAGCACAUCGGUUCACUGUGGGAGGCGUGGGAGCAACCCGAAAAUUCUGCGAAUAGAGCGCAGUCGGGGAAAAUCGCGCCGAAUAGCACUAACCGGACUCUGUUAAUCCAAAGUGAGGUGAGCACUGUGAUCAGCACUGACCAACGAUCACCGUGCUCACCUCCGGAAGCAUCAGGACAGCCUCGGAUCGUCGAAAAAGUGCGCGCAAACCCACAACGACAGUCAAAAAGGCCCAAAGGGAGCGACACUACCGAAACAGCGAAACGGAGCUUUUCCGACAGAAACUAAGGUGAACACGAUGAUCAAAAGUUUGCCACGAUCAUCGUGCUCCCUUCCGUGGAGAUCGAGGAGCCUCGUAUAGCUCGGAACAACAAGCCGCAAAGAACCCUAUUUCAGGCUUGGCCGGAGCAAGCUUGCUUCGGCCGGCUUCCGGCGGCACGGCGAGGCACGCGCGGGCCAGGGAUGGGUGCGGGGGAGCUGAGGAGUAUGGUGCUCACCUUGGAUGGUAGCGGAGAGCGGCGGCGGCGACGGCGGAGCAAACCAAACCCGGACUAGCUAGGGCUUGGGUUCCAGGGAAACUGCGGCCACGGCGGUGGCCGGAGCACCUCGGGGACUACGUCGGGGAGUUGCUGGAGGCCGGAGGGUGCCUCGGGUGCGACCUCGAGCUGCGGCGGCGCAAGGAAGGAGCCGCGGAGUCAGCUCGGCCCGAGCAGACUGGGGCGGCCGAGGGCUGGCCGAGGCGGCGGCGGCGUCUCGCUUGGGUGGCGGCGGCCGGCCGCCUGAGGUCGGGGAGGUGCUACAGGAGUGGCCCAAUGUGGCGGCAACGCGAGGGGAAGGUUGCGAGCUGACCUCGUCCUGGGCUCGGGCUGGGUGGCUGCAGAACCUUGUAGCGGCAGCGGCAGCGCGGAGGAGGCGGCGGCGGUCGGCGUGGAGACUUGCCGGGGCACGGGGCGACGCCGGCGAAGGGCCUGGAGGCAAAGCAGCCUCGGCCUGGCUCUAACCCGAGAGAAAAAGAGAGAGGAAGAUGGCAAGGCUGCGGCUGCCUUGCCAUCUGCGGCAGCAGCGGUUGCUGCACGCGCGGUCUCGGUCGGCGGCGGCCGGCGAGUGCGCGGCAUGGCAGGGGAGAGGGAAGAAGGCGGCUAGGUCAACUGGUUCAUCUAGGGUUAGGGUUAGGGAGAGGUGAACCUUAUCCUUCUUGAGGGUGUAGAUGUCCUCAAACAACGCCUCCAUCGUGGCCAACCACGACUCCACCAACCACGGAUCCUUCACGUCUCCAUUAAAGGGUGGUGGGUUGAAUCGCUUGAAUGUCGUCAACGCAGCAAACGAUCGCUCCUGCUCGAAGCCGAUGAACUCGAUGCCGUCGGAGGAAUAGUCGUCACCGGUGCUGCCGCCACCGCAGGAGGUGGUGCUAUAAGUGCAACAGGUGCAGGCGGAUCCCUCGGCACAGAUGACGCUGCCGCCGCCUGUCGCGCCAUCAUCGCAUGGAGCUGUCCAAUUUGCUCCCCCUGAAGCCGCAUAGCCCCGGCCAAAGCCGCGACUUGGGCUCGCAGCUCGCGCACUUCAUCCGAUCUUUCCUGCUCGGGCACUUCAUCAGGCAAUGCCGAAGCGGCUCUACGCGUGUAGCGUCUCGGGGACAUUGUUCCUAAAACGUAACACACGCAUUAAUACUCGACACAUGUGACUCUUACAUGUUCCAAAUAACUACCCAAUUAAGCAAAAGCAAUCAAGUGUAUUUAUUUCUAACCCUUGGCAUCAUGUGGUCGGCCGCCCCACAAGACCUCUUAAGAAGAAAACAAUUAGGCACUUGAAUUCAUCUCUAGUUCCUUUUAGACAAGUACAAAUGUCAACCCAAUCAACUAGCUUCCGCAAUUACCAAGUCCACUUAAACGUUUCCUAAGUCCCUAAGGUCUCCAAACCUAAGGUUCCUAAGUCCAUCCUAGACUUUUGCUUUCUUCCAUCGCUGUGAUACCAUUAUAUCUGUCACGCCCUAAUCCCCGCCAAUUUGGUCAGGUUCGGGUCACGUCAAUAGACGCCGAACGGACAGCAUCUCCCCUGUCCGCCCAAGGCUCUAACCACAAGUAUAAUUAAGCAAUCAACCAAAAUAAUUUACAAUUAUACAAGGCUUGCGCGAGGGUAAGGAAUAACGGAAGCGAAAGCUCUAAGCUAAUAUAUACAACCAUACAUGAUAUUUGAUUAAAUUUAAACUAAAUACAAGUGAACUAAAACUAUUACAUUCUUUUCCUUUUCAUUCAUAAUUUCUUUUACAUCUUAAUCAUUCUCCAAAAUACAUGAAUUGUUUCAACUUUUACAUCUAUAAAUCAACAAAAGAAAGUUGAUACAUGUAGACAAAAGGGAAUGACUAAAUGCAUAAACUUUGGCGGCCACUAGCUAUGGCGCAAUACCCUUGCCUCGGUCAUCCGCCGCCCCCUUGCGCUCGGACCUGUAGGGCUAGUGGUGUGAGAACUACAAUAAAGUUCCCAGUGGGUUCGGCAACCGACCUCGCCGACUUACCCCCUAGGUCUAUUCAGGUAUAAGUAUUUCAAAGGAAAGAUGAUAGUAACCAUACUAAUGCUAAUACUAUGCUUGCAAGAAAUCUGUCAGUGGAUAUAUAUAAUCGAAGCAAUAUUAAAUAUGCAUGCAUGUUUUUCCAUGAUUUCACUUUGGCUUUUACCCAAUCUUACCGGUUAAUCUUGUUAACCGCAAUAACUCACAACACAAAUCCCUUUUUGAUUUGGGAGGCUCUAAGCACUACAAGACCCGAGGGACCGUCUUCGGGGACCGCGCUCCCCGUGGUGACAAUUCCGGAACGCAUCGCUUGAGGGGGAGCUGGGAGCUACCACCCUCAAGCCAAGACUUAUCGCGAGUAUCGAUCCAAUUCCCACUUAGGGAAUGUAUAGCCACUAGCCACAAUGCCAUUAUCAUAAUAGGUUUUUACCUAUUUAUUCAUACCACUCUCUAGGUCAUUCUUACCACAAUGCCUCAAUUGGUUAAACUAUGUUUAACAAUUCAUCUCUCAAUGCCAAUCAUGUCUCUAGUGUCAAUGUCACCAUUAUUUAAUAUUGUCCAAGUCCAAGUCUCACAUUCAUACAAGUUUAGGGUCUCAACAUACAUGUCCAUUAUGAUUCUAUCAUUCUCUAUGUCCAACUACAUUAGAAGCAUUCAAAUGAUGUCUAAUCAAAUUCACAUGUAAAAUUACCCUACAUGCAUGAAUGAAUUUAUAUACAAGUAUGCUCAAUAAAGGUGAAAAUAGACAUAAAGGAGAAUCUGAUGAUUCCGGCGGGCAGCCCCCACCUUGAGUUGUAGUAGAUGAAGAAUACGAUGACUUCCGAACUUUACGAACGCCGAAUCCGCAUCCUAUAACUAAAAUAGUGCCAAAUUAGGCCCUAUAUACACAAACUAUACUUAGACAUUUUCGUAAUGUCGAAUGGAGUUGUCCAACGCGUCGGGAAUACCCCCAAUUAGGUUUCCAAGAGAUCAAUUUGCCUCGAAAAAAUUUUAGGACAAAAAUUUCAAUUUGGGUGCCCUGACAAUGCCAUAUUCGAAUUUUUCCUAGAUUGAUCUCAACUCUAAGCAAAUACUAGCUUAGAAUCACCUAGGAAGCAUUCUAAUAAGGUUUCCAAUCCUUUAGAACCAUCCCUAGGGCAUCUACCAUGAACCCUAGAAGUUCACCAUGAGAGCUCCUCAAGAAAACCAUGUAUUUCAUGGAUUCAAGGUCUCUAGGGGUUUCCUCACUUGUAGAGAGAUCAAAAUCCAAAAAUCUAAGGUUUAAACCCAAACCCUAGACUCAUAUUUGCAUAAGGACUCACCUUUGCCGAAGCUCCUCCAAAGCCUUCUUGUUGGAGAGCUUCUAGGUCCACCAAAACCCUAAAACUCCACCUUCUCCAAGCUCUUCCCCACCUUUCUCAAGCUCUAGGGCUUGCUUCUAGAGAGAGAAAAAGAGAAAAUGUGAGGGGGGAGUGUGAAUGGCUGUGGGAGAGAAGGAGAGAGGGUGUAGGGCCUAUAACAUGUUGUAACAAUUGCAACAUGGCCCUCCCAGUUUUCAUUCAGUGCACUGCCCAGCUUGGGCAAUUUUCGUGCAGAGAGACCGGUCCCCCGACGAGGGAUCGGUCCCCGAGAGCCUUCAGCCUGGUUACGCGUUCGGGAACCGGUCCCUCUGGCCGGGGGACCGGUUGCAUCACGCGUACGCCGCAACCUUCAGCUAGAGCAAUUCAGCACAAAAUGGGCAGUUGCCCAUUUUUCACGCGUACAGGGACCGGUCCUUCAACUCAGGGACCGGUCCCCGAGAGCACAAAGGCUGCAGUCUUACAGACUUGCUCCAGCUUGCUCUUGAAGACCUCUUAUAAUGCACUUUUGCUCUUUUUGAUGCCUUCGGCCUUUUCGAAGUGUACAAACCUCGCACUUUGGUCAUUUUGACUAAAGUUCGAUAUUCACUUACCGAUAUUUCGGUAUGUUACAAAUAUAGCCCACAUGCUCUGGUUUUCCAAUGUAAACUUCUUUAAUCAACUUAGAGUUAUCGACCCAUAUUCAACUUAUAUGAAUUAAGCAUUCAUUUAGCAUUCUCUACAACAUGUCAUUAUGCAUUCCAUCUAGCAUGUUCUACAACAUGUCAUUAUGCAUUCCAUGCCCUUUAUCAUAUGCAUUCAACUAGCAUCAAUCACAUGCAUUUAUCUAGCAUUUCUAUAAUAUGUUAACAUGCAUUCUUUGGUAGCCUAACAUAGCAUUCACCUCAUGCAUACAUAUGUUUUACCACUAGCUACCAUUAUAUGCAUCAAUAGUAAACAUCACUUCGCUUCGACAUGGAAGCGAGCUAAACAUUCCGAUGAGCACAACCCACCUCAAAUCGCUUUCCGACUGCUUGUAGUUACUUGCAAUCGGCCUCCCGCGGCACUUGUUGUCCGGUUCGGUCCGAUCUUGCUAAUAAUCACCAACCGUGCGUCAAUUCGUGGCCUCGACUUUUAAGGGUCUAAAACUUGAUGCCGCGAUGCUACGAAUUCGAUUUCGUGAUUUUUGGAUGUCGCUUCGACCCUCCAGGCGGAAACGAAGCUCAAACGGUCCUUUUUCCAAAUAUCUUUAUGUAGACUUGUCGGAUCGUCGAACAGAGCCCACCAACGCGUCGGAAAUAUCUUCAAUUAGGUUUACAUAGGGUUAAUUUACAUUUAAACCCACCCAUGACAAAUGCCCCAAUUUGGAUGCCCCCUAACAAUGCCAUUUGCCUAAUACACCACUUUGAUCUCUAAAACAAGCAAAAGAGAGCUUGUUCAACCUCUAGGAACUCAUUUAGAACUAUUUAAACCAUUCUUAGGGCGUUUGAAACAAACCCUAGAAAUCCACCAUAGGAGCACUAUGAAGAAACAUGAGUUUUCAUGUGUUCUAUUGCCUCUACAAGGUUUCUUCACUUGUAAGAAGAUCAAAACCAAAGAUAUAGGGCAUAAAACCAAACCCUAACAUCGUUGUUACAAGAAACCUUACCUUAGCUCCAAGCACUCCAAGGUCCACCUUGUAGGAGAGCUUCUAAGCCCUUCAAAAGCUCCAAUCUCCACUUGAUCUCCUUCAAAUCCACCUCUAAUCCACCUUAGUAGAGAGCUUCUAGAGAGAGAGAGGGAGAGAAAUGAGAAAAGAGGGGUGUUCUCAGCUGGGAACAAGAGAAAAGAGGGGUUGGGGUCUUAUAUAGGCUGUUACAAUAGCAAAUAAGCCCUCCUUUUUAUAUUUACAGCAGACCAACUAGCUAUUUUCGCAGCACUGCGUAUCGAUACGCAGGAUUCUGUCACCGGUUUAACAGCCUUUUUUACUCAAACCCGAGAGCAGCUGUUCUCGGUCUGCUGUCUGGUACCGGUACUAACCAGGGGUGUCAACGGUUUAACAGCCUUUUUUAGACUCAGCCAAAUUUUCAGCUUUUCUCCGUUUUCCCUCGUUUUCGCUCGUUAGGCCUCCGAUUCAUCUCAAAUCGCACCGAGACCCCCAAAAAACAUUUUCGAGCGUGUUUCAACCAUCUUUUUAUCCACACUUAUGCCGGAUUUAGUCCAUGGUCCAACAUAGCCUUUCGGGUUCCGUUUUCGCGCUCAACGCACACUAAAACACCCGAAUGCUCCCGAACCUCAAUCUCGCAUUGUUUCGACUCUAAUUCACGCCGAGCAAUGCUAAAACCUUUCCAACUCCAUUGGAACUCAACAUUAACCCUUCCAACAUUGUUGGAAUGUUAAAUGAACUCGACCUAAGUCUAAUAACCUUAGGUCCAAUGCCACUAUACUCAUAGCCUAGGUUCAUUUGACUCUAAGUUCAAUGCCACUCAUGUCAUAACUUAGAUUUACUUGACUCUAGGUUCAAUUCUCAACCUAUGUUCAAUAACACUAGGUUUCAAUGCCACUCAUGAUACUUGUCAUCCUAGUUAUUCACACUUAGGAUUCUUUACAUGCCACACUUGUCGAGUUCUUGACUGUACUUAGAGUUCGUCGUCUCAAGUUCAACAUUCAUGUCAUUCUAGCAUAAUCUCGCAAUAUGAAUCAUGCAUAUAUUCUUUAGCAUCUCAUGCACAUGCAUAUGCAUUCAUAAUUAGCGUCUUAAUCUCAUACAUUCAUUUAGCAUUUAGCUCUUGCAUUCGUUUAGCACCUAAGUUAGGUACUCGUUUAGCAUCUAGCUCAUACUUCCACUUAGCAUAUAUCUUAUGUAUUCUUUAUUAGCAUCUCAAUCAUGCAUUUACAGAACAUCUAGUUCAUGCAUCUAGCUCAUGUAUUUAUUUAGCAUACAUCUUAUACAUGCAUCUAGUAUUUAACUCAUGCACUUAGCAAAUACUCUAUGCAUUCAUUUAGAUUCUAGCUCAUGUAUCCACUUAGCAUGUACCUCAUGUGUUCACCACUAGUAUCUAUCUCAUGCAUUCUUGAUUAACCUCUACAUCAUGCAUUCAUAUAGUAUCUCAUGGUAGGUAACAACAUCAAGCAUAAUAUGAUCUAGGCAUUCAUAUUAUCAAGUACAACCUACCAACUAUACAUGCAUCAACAACACUCAUACUUUACUUUGGCUUGGAAGUGACCUAAUCACUUCGGUGAAGCACAACUCACCUCGUAUGGUUACUACAGUGCCACGGUUCAAGUUUCGUGAUUUUUAGUCGCCUAUUCUCUCGCCUGCGGCAAAACGAAACCAAAUUAGGUUUUUUUCCUCAUAUCUUUGCGUAGACUCAUCGGAUUGGCGAACCGACUCUUCCAACGAGUUAGAAAUACCCCUAAUUUGAUUUCUACAAGGUCAAUUUACCUUGAAACCAACCUAGGGCAAAAGUCCCAAUUUUGAUGCCCUAACAAUGCCAUUUGCCCAAUACACCAUUUUGAUAUCUAAGACAAGCGAAAACAAGCUUAAUCAUCAUCUAGAAACUCAUCUAGAACCAUUUAAACCAUUCUUAGGGCAUUUAAAGCAAAUCCUAGGAUUCUACCAUGAGAGCAUAUAGACAACCAUGAAUUUUCAUGAGUUUCAUGGUCUCUAGUAGGUUUCCUCUCAUGUAAGAAGAUCAAAACCAAGUGUUCUAGGGUAUAAAACCAAACUCUAGCCUAGUUCUUACAAGAAACCUCACCUUAGCCCAAAAGCUCACCAAGCUACACCUUAUAGGAGAGCUUUAGAUCCUCUAAAAGCUCAAAAAUCUCCUUUUUAUCUCCUCCAAUCUCCUCCUUUCACCUUUGGGAAGAGCUCCUAGAGAGAGAGAGGGAGAGAAAUGAGAGAGGAGGGGGUGUUUUUGGCUGUGAGUGAGAGCGGAGGGGUGUGGGAUCUUAUAUAGGUUGCCACAAUUGCAAAUAAGCCUUCCACUUUCUUUUAUUUGCAACAAACCAGACCUGCUGUUUCGCAGCACUGCGUACCGGUACGCGGGUGGGCAUCAUCGGUACUCCCCCUGUUCAACAGCCUAACCCGAGAGCUGAUGUUUCUCGGGUUGCUGUAGGGUACCGGUACUACCAAGGACAGUCACCAAUUAACCAGCUUGGCAGAGGCCAAACCCGAGAGCUGGCUUCUCGGGUGGCCUGCCUGGUACGGGUACUCCCCUGGUGCUUCACCGGUUAAGCAGUGCCCAGACUGCAGUUUGGCAGUGUUUCGACUUCGUUUCACGCCGAGCAAUGCUAAAACCCUUCAAACUCACUUGGAACUCAACUUUAAUCCUUCCAAUAUUGUUGGAAUGUCAAAUGGACUUUGUCCAACUAUUUCUCUCGCAUAUUUUGGUCAAUUUGACUAAAGAUCGACAUAGCUUACCGAGAUUUCGGUAUAUUACAUAUAGCAUUUCAAAAUAUCAUCUAUUCAUGCCAAAUCGCUCAAAUUGAACCCAAAAAAUUCUAAUUAACCUCAAAAUAUUGCUAAUUUUUGCCAAAUCACUCAAAUCUAUAUAAAAAAAUUGUUAUAUUUGAAAAAAAUACUCACGGAUGGGAUCGGUGGCAUGGAGAUUACAAAAGCGAUAUGUGUAGAGGAGGAUCAGCGCGAGAAUAUUAAAAUAGAAUUAAUCUUGUAAUGAUUGAUACUGUAAGCCUAAAUUUAAAAUCUAAUUAUUUUACAUAUUAGGUAAAUAUAUUUUAAAAUUUCAUAAAAAAUUUAACAAAAUGAAAGAAUGAAACGGUAGCUACGAAUAAUUGGUCUAGUAAUCAAUUAUGAUUAUAAUUAUCAUUAAUUGAUGAAACGUUAAUAUACAAAUAAUUGAUGAAAUAUUAAUAAAUCAUAUACUAUACGGCCAAGAACGUAUAGUUGGGGAGGAGAGGGGAGGGGAAGGGAUGGGGGAGAGAGAGUUAUUAUAAAAAGAAAAAAUAGAAUUAAUAGAUGAAACGUUAUAAUUAAUAGAUGAAACGUUAAUAUAGAAUUAAUUGAUGAAAUAUUAAAGAAUUAUAUAGGAGAGGGGUUAAUAGAUUAUUAUAUUAUAUUAUAUAUUAUUAUUAUGAGGAUGAAGGGUUUCUUGCCACGUUGCAAGAAAUAUUGUGGCUUCAUUUAGGUUAAUAGAUAAUAAAUAAUAAAUAAUAGAAGUAAUAGAUUAUUAGAUAAUAGAUGGAUUACUCUUUAGUGUAAUUAAUAUAUAGGUAUCUCCCCUAUAUGCUUUCACUGGAAUAAAAAGGAAAAAAACACACCAUUAGAUUCUAGGAACUUAAAUUUCUCAUGAAUGGCAUUAAAUAUUCAACAUAAUAAUAGUUCAAUAUUUCGAUGAAGAUGUGUAAAUGUGAUUUAGGCUAGACCUAGCUACUUAUAAGCUGAGGUGAGAAAAUUUACAAUCCCUGGGACACGUGUAAAGGAACGAAAAUGAAUAUGGAUAUAUUUGAUGUUCCUUCGGAGAAACGCAAUUGUUAGUUAAUGCUAUCUACGUAUUCCUUCGUGUGUUAAUAAACACAUAAACACUGAAAACCAAACGAAUAAAUUAAAGUCUCCAGAUCAGAGAGAGAGAGAGAGAGAGAGAGAGAGAGUAAGAGAGGGACUGAUUUGUUGUUUUGUGAUUUGGACCCAACACUUGUAAUCUGUAGCUAUGUAUCUGCUGUCCGAGUGUCACGCACAUGUACAGUACAUGGUCGUGCUUAUACUUGGAAUUGUUAUUCAUAAUCCAGCCAAACAUCAAUAAUGUCGGUUUUGCUUCGAAAGCUAGCUUUUGCGACCAAAUGUAACCGUGACCUUACUGAUAUUAUUCAGCUGAUACCUCAAACAGGUACUUAAAAAAAAACACUAAAAAAGGUGCAAAGCUCCUUUUUUCUCGUUCGGUAAAAGGUGCAAUGCUCUUCUUUAUUUUGCUUGGUGAAAGGUGCAAUGCCGGCAACUCUGGACAUCCAUUGUCAGCAUUGCUUGUUUUAAUUACUUGGUGAAAGGAGCAAGAGCAAUGCGUGUUUUUUUUUUUUUUUUUUUUUUUUUUUUUUUUUUGAGAGGGGGCAAGGAUUAAAUCCCUGACCUCUUGGUUUACAGCCGGAAUGCCAUCUGACAGCACUUGACGAUGGUGGUAGAGAGGCCAUAUUAUUAUAAUAAAAUAUUGAUGAUAUUAAGAGAAGUUUCAUAAUAAAAAUUCUUAAUUUCAACGUAUCUUCACUCUUGCGAAAAGUUGCAAGUUCAGAGUGAAAAUUUCAGUUGUGGGCCUGAAAAACUUUUUUCCGCACAUUAGAUAUGUGAUGUGAAGUUACAUGCACAAUAAGCAAAGCAGAAAGAACCUUUCUCCUUCCAAGCAAUUUGGGGACGCCCAUAAAAAGUUCCUACACGGACUAAUGUGAUGCAGUCAGAUGGUUUGAUCCGUCACGAAAAAGUAACGGAGCGCCCACGCAGUUGCCGCUACCGUCACGUAUUUCCGUCACGUUUUAAAGUCGAGAAGCAAGUAGAAACAUCAAGCACUCCUCUCAUCUUUUUCCACCUACCCCACCACCACAGCCACGUGUCAGUUAGGAUCGGGCUGUGGCCCGAGUAUAAAUACCUUGGAGUUCUCCCAACUUGUUCCUUCCCAAAUUGUAUGAGCGGGCACUCCUAAGCGUCCAAAUUAAGAGCCAGCGCUCUACCAAAAGAAGUGGGGGGCAUUCCUCUGGAAUAAUGCACUUCUGCUAGCUGCUAAAUCUCUAUCGAUUCGAUCUGUCUGUCUGUCUAUCGAUAUCUAUCCAUCCAUCCAUCCAUCCAUCCAUCGAUCUAUCUGUCUGCUAAGCUAUCGGAUCGCCGUCAUCUAUCCAUCUGCGUCUAUUUUCAUUUUGUUUCUACUCCAGGGGAUUUUGAGAGGUACGAGCGAGAUGAAGUGAUCACUUUCCAAGAUGAAUGGCCAUAUAUAUAUAUAUAUAUAUUUGACCUGAUUAUUUGGAAUUUUAGUGGCAGAAUUAAUUGUACUAAUUAACAGUCUUUGGUUUGUAACAUCAAUCGAUAUAAAUAAUAAUAUAAAUAAAUUGGUCGGUCGGUGGUUUGGUGGUGAUCGUCACAGGAAGAUGACGGUGACUCCGAGGAUCACGAUCAGCGACGGCAACCUGGUGGUCCAUGGCAAGACCAUCCUCACCGGCGUGCCUGACAACAUCGUCCUCACCCACGCCUCCGGGGCCGGCCUCGUCGACGGCGCCUUCGUCGGCGCCACCGCCGAGGAAUCCAAGAGCCUCCACGUCUUCCCCGUAGGCGCUCUCCGGUAAUAAUUAAAUAAAUAAAUUGACUCAAUUAAUUAACUCUCCUCCUCCUCUUAAUUUACUAUCAUCCAUGAAGGAUGGUUGCCGAUCGAUAUGUAUGUAUGUAUGUAUGUAUGUAUGCACAUACAGGGAUGUUCGGUUCAUGUGCUGCUUCCGGUUCAAGCUGUGGUGGAUGACGCAGCGGAUGGGGACGUGCGGGCGGGAUGUGCCGCUUGAGACGCAGUUCAUGCUGGUGGAGAGCAAAGACGGGGGGGGCGCCGCGGGGGAGACGGUCUACACGGUGCUGCUGCCCCUCCUGGAGGGCCAGUUCCGUGCCGUGCUGCAGGGCAACGUGAGGGACCAGAUCGAGAUCUGCCUGGAGAGCGGUAAGUUGGAAUUUGGAAUUCAUCCGAACAAUCGAACUAGCUAGCAAUCGGAGACGUCCGUACGGUACUUGUAGCAGUAGCAGUAGCAGUAGCACUAGUGGUAGCUAGGAUGCCUCAGAUCAGAGGGCUAGAAUUGCAUCGCGCCGGAUUCUCUGUGUGGGCAGGGGACAAGGCGGUUCAGACUAAGCUGGGGAUGCAUAUGGUCUACGUGCACGCCGGGGCCAAUCCUUUUGAAGUCAUCAACCAGGCUGUCAAGUAUGUACCGCAAGCUUAAUUUCCUCAUUCCUCAACUUCACUUUCUUUUUUCAAUUCUUUUAAUCUAUUAUUAUUAUUAUUAUUAUUAUUAUUACCAUUUUUUUUAAUCUUUUGUUUUAUUUAAUUUUUUUUUGUUUUUAAACUGUUAAACGAAAUGAUACUAUGUUUAAUAGUUUCAUUAAUUAUUAAUUAUAUAAUAAUUACCUAUUAACCGCAUUUUAUUAAUUAACUAGCUAUUAACCGCCAUUCCAAAAUGUUUUUUUGUUGGUUAUUUGUUUGUGUUUUUGUAUUUUUCUUUGUUCCCUCCUUUUUAUCUAUCAAAAAUGCCUAAAUGCUGACCGAGAAUUAAACAAAAAAUAGGGUGGUUGAAAGGCACCUGCAGACCUUCCAUCACAGGGAGAAGAAGAAGGUACUCAUAUAUAUUUAUGAAUUUAUGGUCCACUCACGUUACUCAUAUUUAAGUGCAUGCUAUCCGUACUCAUGAUACUCGACAGUUCUUGUGUUGUAAUUUUUCUUAUAUUUUACUCAUCUAUCUAGUAUGUUCUGCCGUAAGAAAAACGAAGCGACUUAGCUGUUGAUGAUUACAUAUACCCCACACGCAGUUGCCUUCGUUCCUCGAUUGGUUCGGAUGGUGCACAUGGGAUGCUUUCUACACUGAUGUUACAGCUGAGGGCGUCCGCCACGGCCUCCAAAGGUAACCAUCUGAGUCUCGAUUCAUCGAUCCAUUCGCUCCUUUGUUUGAUUCAACUAUGGAUUCAUUGGUGAGGGGGGUGUGAAUCUCAACGGCUGGUUUCUACUCGUGUUCAUAUAGUUUAGCAGAAGGUGGGACCCCGCCGCGGUUUCUGAUCAUAGACGACGGAUGGCAGCAGAUCGGGACAGAGGUCAAGGAUCAAUCCACUGCUGUCGUACAGGAGGGAGCACAGUAUGAUCGUCAAUCAAUCAAUCAAUUCAUUCUUUCCUCGCCCCAAUUGGGAUCGGUACUUGUCCUGCAGUUCGCUGAUCCGAUUUGCUAUAUGUUCUGCAGAUUUGCGAACCGACUCACGGGGAUCAAAGAGAAUGCAAAGUUCCAGAAAAAUAAUGAACAAAACGACCAAACCCCAGGCCUCAAGCUGCUCGUGGAUGAGGCCAAGCGUCAGCACAACGUCAAGUAGGUGCACUCCCAAUUUGCUGUUUGAAAUUUGAAAUAUGCUGCAUCGGUAGGAAAAAUCAUGCUUGCUUGUGUUGGUUGCAGAUAUGUGUAUGUGUGGCACGCGCUGGCGGGGUAUUGGGGUGGCGUGAAGCCGGCGGCAGAGGGUAUGGAACACUACGAGACGGCGCUGGCAUACCCUGUUCAGUCCCCGGGUGUGAUGGGGAACCAGCCAGACAUUGUGAUGGACAGUCUGUCCGUGCACGGGCUGGGCCUGGUGCACCCACAGAAGGUGUACAACUUCUACAACGAGCUUCAUGCGUAUCUUGCCUCGUGCGGCGUGGAUGGGGUCAAGGUCGACGUGCAGAACAUCAUCGAGACCCUCGGUGCUGGACACGGGGGACGUGUCUCUCUUACACGUGCCUACCACCAGGCUCUGGAGGCCUCCGUGAGCCGCAACUUCCCGGACAAUGGAUGCAUUUCCUGUAUGUGCCACAACACCGAUAUGCUUUACAGGUACUUAAAUCUGAUGUGUACAAUUCCUUGUAUUCAUUGUGAUUCUUAGUUUGUUUCGGAUGUGAAUAGCUGGGUUUCUGCUUUUUGCAGUGCGAAGCAGACGGCGGUGGUGAGAGCAUCGGAUGACUUCUAUCCGAGGGACCCUGCUUCGCACACUAUCCACAUCUCAUCCGUGGCGUACAACACGCUCUUCUUGGGAGAGUUUAUGCAACCUGAUUGGGAUAUGUUCCAUGUCUGUACAUUUUGCGAGUAAACUUAUUUGUCAAUUAUUUACGAUGAAUUACGAGUAAUUAUAACCCAUAAAUUGUGGUAUUUUCAGAGUCUACACCCAGCGGCGGAAUACCACGGCGCAGCUCGAGCUAUAGGUGGUUGUGCCAUUUAUGUUAGGUAAGCUACCAUUUAAAGAUCUUUUCGGAUUUCUAUUGUUGUUUCAUAAUUGAGUGCUGCAAUUGUCCUACUGGUUCACUUGGUAUUUGGUAACACUUGUGAAUCCAAUUUGUGCUGUUAUGUCUUUUUUUCUCAUUCUAUGAUUGAUAUUUCUACCUAUGGAUUGCAUGGUAUAUAUAUCAGCGACAAGCCAGGAAACCACAACUUCGACCUGUUAAAAAAACUAGUUCUACCUGAUGGGUCUGUCCUCCGUGCUCAGCUCCCUGGCCGCCCUACGCGUGAUAGUUUAUUCUCCGACCCGGCCCGUGAUGGCACGAGGUGAGUUAUCCAUUAGCACUUCUACUGUCUAAUACUGAUCAAUUUGUUGAACAAAAGAGGAACAUAAAGUAAAGUGGUGGUGUCACUCUUGCAGCCUGUUGAAGAUAUGGAAUGUGAACGAGUGCUCUGGAGUGGUGGGCAUCUUCAAUUGCCAGGGCGCCGGAUGGUGCAGGAUCACAAAGAAGACACGUGUCCAUGAUGCAGCACCCGGUACCCUGACCGGCAACCUCCAUGCUGAAGAUGUUGAUACCAUCGCCAAACUUGCAGGCCCGGACUGGGAUGGACAAACUGUUGUCUACUGUUUCAAAUCAGGUUAAACUAGAUGGCUCCAUCCAACUAUUUUAAGUUCAUCAUUCUUCGAUCUCGUGCAUAGUGUUGAGCUAGUCUGACGUGCUCUACUCUGUGUCCUCAGGUGAAUUGAUUCGGCUACCCGUAGGUGCUACCUUGCCGGUGACCCUGAAAGUUCUCGAAUAUGAGCUCUUCCACAUCUGCCCUAUCAAGGUGCCGAGCUGUCCCAACUCUCGCAAUCACCGUUUUAAAACUGUUUAAUUUAUAAGCUAUAGCCCUUUCAUUUCCUGUUAUCUUCCCACUUCCAGGUGAUCGCCCCCGGCAUCUCCUUUGCGCCCAUCGGCCUGCUUAAUAUGUUCAACUGUGGCGGAGCCAUAGAGCAAUUCGACAUCCGUUAUGAAGACAAAAAAGCAGAGCAAUCGGGGGAUUAUGGAGCAGCCAAUGCAGCGGUGCUCCUCAAGGUCCGAGGCUGUGGUCGAUUUGGGGCUUACUCUUCCAAGAAGCCGAUUAAAUGCACAUUAGAUUCGUCCGAGAUGGAGUUCAAUUACGACUCGACCACCGGUCUCAUGACUAUCGAAAUCCCUGUGCCGGAGAAGGAAAUGUAUAAGUGGACUCUGGAGAUCCAAGUCUAGAUGUGCAAUUAUAAGCCUAUUUGGAGUGCCUUUGCUUUGUUCUCUCUAGUACUUGUGUGUCCGAGGGUCGACGGAUGUUGUGGUGAAUGUUUUAUUGCGGAGGGAGCUUUAUCCGGGGAGGAUUUGUACCUUUCGGCUUUCGAGCCGUGUAAUAAGCACAUUGUGCUUGCAACAACUCAUGCAAUAAGAUUUUAGUACUUUUAUCUAUAAUACAAUCCAAUGGUGUACUCUUGCUUUUGUAUUUCUGCUCGGAUUCGGCAGAAACCCUUAACUUGAAAGUUCUAUCUGUACCUAGCUAGCCCUUUAUCUCCUUUUGUUAUUUUUCACGGAUGCAGUAAAAGCCGUUUAAGUAGGCAAUUAAUGAAUGGGGUAACGGGUGAACAUCGACAGAGUUCCAGCUAAUUCACUUUUCACUGCGCUGAAUUUAAUCAAUUGGCACGUCAAUUUUCAAAAUUAUUCUAUUCCUCUCAAUAUUGAUUCGUCGUACUACCCUUUGGAGUUUGGCACUAUAUUUCAUUUCAACGCCUGCUUGAACAAACAUGAUCUGAUGGACUCUAGCAGUGUUCUCUUUUCAAAAAAUUGCGUCCCUUUGAAACCACAGUCAAGCAAAUAAAUAUAGGCUAUGCAUAUCAAAUCCGGCAGGACUAGUUGUUGCUUCACUCGACAGCCUUUGUUUCAUAGAAGCUGUUUCUUCUAGAAAAGUCAUAUUUUGGAUAACUCAAGGAAACUUAAUUCCAAAAAAGAAAAUAAUUCGCCAGUUGAUCUUGGUCGUGUGCUAUGCAUUUACACACGCUCUUUAACCAUCUUAAUUAAUUCAAAGUCUGUUGCGGACAACCCAAAAUUCUUUGGAAUCCUUUUUCGAAACAGUUGGGCUAUUGCUCAUCAUCCUACACAUGCAGAAAAUUACUAUUAUUUUGCUCAAUGAACUUAGGACGCGUUUGGUUCAGAUGUGUUGGCAUUCGGUUAACCCAAAUCGGGUGUGCCUAUGAUCAGGCUCAAUCCAAUGAUUAUUAUAUCGUCUAAUUAGACUAGACUUAAUUUAGCUUUUAAGUUGAAAAACUAAUUUGAGAUAUAUUCUAGCUAUAUUAGAAUAACUAUUAAAAACCGAUUCGGCCUAAUCUUUUACUUACCUAUUAGGGUGUUGGGAUCCCUUAUAAAUAUACAACCGAUCCUCUCAUAAAAUAACAAGAAGGAAAAUAGAAAAAAAAAAAAAUCUUUAUAAAUUCGUGAUAAAUUUGUGAGUCAUCUUUGCAAGAUUGAGAAACCACAUCCUCCGUUAAUAUAUUGCUUCUAGAGAGCCUUGAAUGGUGGAUUAUAAAUGUAACUCAUUCGUAGCUCGAUCUACCGCCAGUUUGGAGCUCUAGAAGACCCUCACGGGCGAUCCGAUGAUACAUUAAUCAACUUUUACGAUCCGGGGAUUAUCGCAUGCUAACACGACUUGCUUUUGAAACAAGUACGAACAAAUAUUUCUGCUGCGAUCUACAAGAAGAGAAAUCAAAAUCAGAAUGUUGGAAUAGAAAUGAGCCAGAAUUUAAAACAGAAUUGAUAAAAAUAAUAAUUUGUUUGGUUCAUAGGAGGAGUUCGAAUCGGAGUCGGAAUUAGAAUCAUGUCUAAAUAUAUGGAAAUUCAAAAAAUUUACAUUUUUGUUAUAAUUUAAAUUUUUUAUUCAAAUUUUGAUUGAAAACUUGAAUCUAAAUUUGAACUUACAAUUUGAACUUAAAAUUUGAAUUUACAAUUCAAAUUCAAGGUCUAUGUUGAAACCUAUAUAUAUUCAGAACUAUAAAUUAAAAUUUAGAAACUUAAAAUUUAAAUUUUAAAUUCAUAUUUCAAAUUUAAAUUUGAAAUUAUGGUUUAAUCUAAUGAUUUUAUAUGAUUUAUACUUGAAUUAAAAUAAUUAUUAAUGGAAAAACAAUCUUUUUUAAUCCCUUCGGAAUCAAAAUUAACUCACACUAUGAAGGUGGGAGUUACUUCUGAGAUAUUCGAAUUCCCCUAGACUGAGAAUCAGAAUGCCAAUACUUCAAUCCAAAUACCAAUAAUGAGAAUAGUUUAUUCCGAUUUUUAUUUUAAGUCUCAAAUAUUUCAAACCGAACAUGCAUGCAUUGAAUUUUACUGACAUAUAUAGUUAUAACUUUCGGAUUCCUUGAGCGUGCUACUUCAUUAGCUAAGAAAAUCAGGCGUAAUCUUCAUGAGUCAUAUGUCGUCUCUGCGUACGCGGAGGACCUUCGACAAAGAAGCGUGAAUGCCGUGUUCGCUUCUGCUUGCAGAAUUUGGUCGACGACAUUCCAUCUCCAAAAAUUUUCUUUCUUUGACACCUGGUAGGGCUCAAUCAAGAAAAAUCAAGUACUGACGUGGGUGACCUUUUAUCUUCAUUUGGAAUAAAAUGGCCCUAAUGAAAAUGUUACUACUGGUUGUUCAGAUUUGCAUAUCAGUAAAAUACAAGAAAUCUUUAUAUAUCAAUACCAGAGGUUCCAACAGAUAUUAAUACCUGGUCUAGCUCUUUAUUUCCUCUAUCAAACAUUUCUGUGUUUCAUUUUUUAAAAAAAUAAUAAAAAAAUAAAAUCAUCUCUAUUCAUAUUUUCAUCCGUUUAAAUCCUUAUUUUUGAGGGAUCUAGUGAGAAUCAGGUUAGCAUUAAUAUCUAAUCUCCCUAUGAUCUAUAAAUAUAUGAGGAAUUGACCAUGCACAUAAUAUAUAACUAAAUUAGAAUUAUCGCUCCAUAAAAAUUCUUUCUCUUUAUUUCACUCUAGGGCAUCAUCAGAAGCUCUAGGAAUUUAGGCAGUGUGUUUCGAUUAACUCUGGUAACAGGUUUGUGACGAGAAAAAUCAACUCUGUAUACAUGCUAAGGACGAAAAAAGAUAUUAGUUGGAUUGAGCAGUUCGUAAAACAAGCUGAGAUUAGAUCUGAGCAAUUACAAAGUAAAAUUUGCAACAAAAGGAUAUGUAAAAUCUAUGUGACUUUUUAUCAUGAAUUAGUUCAUAAUUUCCAACAAUAGUAUUGGAGCUGUACGGUGCUUGUUUUUCGCUCUAUGAUCCAUUUUUUUCGAUAUCUAAAAAAAAAAAUUAUUUAAAUUGUUUUUUGGAUACUAUGGAAGGAUUAAUUUGCACAAAAAANAAAAAACUGGCAUUGUCUUGAGUUGCAACUGGUGACCAGACUCCGCUCAAUCGUAACUCAAGAUUGUAUACGAACUUGUCCCCAUCUGUGCAUGUGAUCUGCAUGAUUUUAGGCGUGCUAAAUUGUGCAUGCCAGAUGUGCAGGACAAAUGCGUAAGUGUCCCUCACCAGCCCGUACAGGUUCAACCGGUGCCUUGGGCCGCGCAGGGGCCCUCUCUAGCGCAGGCUAGCCUGCGAGCCAAGCCAGCCAACGUCACGCACGAAGUUGCAGUGGAAGUCCCCCACUGCAUCAAUAGACCCGUCGUAUGCGCAAGGACGUACCCUGUAUGCACAAAGCAUCAAAGAACAACCUGCUAGAAAUCAACAAUCCUAGAUGUCCACAACUAACCAGAAUGCAAAAUUCCUAGAUGUCUAAAUCUAACAAGUAUAACAGGUAUAGUUAUAUGUACAUCCAUCAUAUCAAAAAUAUCAACAUAAAUAUACAUACAAAGAUAUCAACAUCAAUCAGCCGAAAAAUAAACUAUAAGUACAUCCUAUACUGGCUGUCAUGUCCCGAGCUCGCCAAUUUGGUCGGUUCGGACACGCGCACAGACGCCAAACGGAUAGAGUCUCUCCUGUCCACCCGAGGCUUAACUACAACAAUAGCAUGUAUAAAGAGUUGCCCAGGAAAACAUCAAUAUACAUGACUUGCACUAGGGCAAGUAAACAAGAGCAAGUGAAAGAAAAUUUCUAUCUAUUACAACCAUACAAUUUGAACUUUGAUUACAUUUAGCCAAAAUACAACUCUUUUACAUAUGUCAUUUCAUACAUUGUUCAUCUCCCAAAAUACAUCCAUUACAUGUUUUUUUCAUCAAAUACAAAAGAUGAAAAUAAAGGGUACAACUAAUGCACCAAGGUCCACUACCUAGGGCGCUAUGCCCUUGCUGGAAUCCUCGACCGCCUCACUCGCGCUAGGAUCUGCAAAAUGGUGGGGUGAGAACUACAAGAAGUUUCAUGUGGGUUCGACCGCCGACCCCGCCGACUUUCUCAUUAGAUCUAAUCAGGCAUAAGUAGAGAAAGAUAGAUAAACAACUCAAAACUAAUGCAGCUACUAUAUCUGUAACAAGAAACAAUACAUAUAAGAUACUCAUGAUGCACGUCAUGUCCAUUACCAUAAACUAAUCAUUUUGGCUAACCCAUAGGUUAAGCCCAACUCACUAAACCAAAUCUCUUUUUAUAGAGGAGAAUUUUGCUACAACCCGAUGGGAUCAUCUGCUGGAGAGAAUUUCGGUACCGCCCAGUUGAUGACAACUCCGGAGCUCACCGCUUGAGGUGGAGCGACCACCCUCAAGCAUAUCAGACUAUAUGUGAGUAUGACCUAAUCUUCUAACCAUGAGGAUACCAUGUCAACUAAUACCAUAACACUCGUAGUGUACCAUUCUCUAACAUUCAAUGUUUCUAGGUGCUGUUCAACUCAUCUAGCCAUAAUGUCACCAUAUUUACUGUAACGCCCCCAAUAGUCCCACAUUUGAUGGGAUACUGAUUUCGAUCAGUUUAUAUGAGACCUACACGCUAGUAAUAAUAACUGGGCUCAAGCAUUUUGGCCGAUGGUUUGGGUUCAACGAGUUAUUAUUGUUAGCGGGUCAGGUCGGGUCGUUAUAAUUGGUAUCAGAGCCGAAUACCAGCCGGAAGUGUGAGAGCUAAGUGUUAUGCGGGGCAAAGUGCUACACCAAUGGGUUUGGUGGGAGCCACCUCUUGAACCCGUAGGAGCCACCUCUAGAUUCUCACAUCGAAAGGUAAUUCUGGUCCCGGUCUGUCUGUCUAUAAUCUGGUUUGGACCCGACGAGGACGUCAGGGUCUAAACAGGGGGAGUUUGUAACGCCCCCAAUAGUCCCACAUCGGAUGUGAUACUGAUUCCGAGUUUAUAUGAGAUCUACACACUAGUAAUAAUAACUGGGCUUAAGAUGGAUCGGUUGUUCGGGCCCAAUGAGUUAUUGUUGCUAGCGGGUCGAAUCGUUACAUUUACUACAUUGUCAAUGUUCACAUCUUAGUUCAUACAUCUAUUGGGUUCUCAUGUGUCCAAGGUUCCAUUCUCAAUUUGUCACGCCCCGAGCGCCGCGUUUUCCUAAAGGUGUCGCCGAUGCGAGGAAUUAGACGGUUUGGGCUCCGGGGGAAGCUAAGUCCCCGGUACCUCGGACCGUUUGAGCUAUUGGAGCGGGUCGGCGCGAUGGAGUACAAGAUAGCAUUACCACCGAGGCUUGCAGGAGUGCAUGAUGUAUUUCACGUAUCGAACCUCCGCAAGUAUGUUCACGACCCCGAGCAUAUCCUGUCGUUUGAACCGUCCGAGAUCCAAGAGGACGUGACCUAUGAGGAGUUCCCGGCAUACAUCAUCGAUCGAGAAGUAAGAAAACUACGAAAUCGCGAGAUUCCGUAUGUUAAGAUUCGUUGGUUCAAUCACGAUGAUCGGGAAGCUACUUGGGAGCUCGAGAGCGCAAUGCGGCAGCAUUAUCCUCACCUCUUUAACGAGCUGAAAUGAGGUAUGAGUUUAAGUCUAAAUUAAGUAAGUUUCGCGGACGAAACUAAAUUUAAGGAGUGGAGAAUGUAACAUACCGAAAUCUCGGCAAUUAAAUUCGAACCUUGGUCAAAUUGACCAAAGUGCGAGGUUGGUACACUUCGGAGAGGCCGAAGGCGUCAAAUAAUGCAAAAAUGCAUUACUGGGGAUCUUCGAGAGCUUUUGGAAAUCAAAAUCUGCAAACUGCAGGUUUUGUACUCUUGGGGACCGGUCCCUGGUGGGAGAGACCGGUCCCCGAACGCGUAGGCAGCGGGGUGGGCUGAGAAAUUGGCUAAGUCCUGGAAAAUCAGCUCUCGGGAAUCGGUCCCUGUGAAGAGAGACUGGUCCCCAGCGACCGGUUCCAUUGAGGGAGACCGGUUGCAUCGCGCGCAGCCUGCCCAGUCAACGGGAGAAGUUCUCGGGGACCGCUCCCGGGUCGGGGAGACCGGUCCCUCACUGCGAAAAAUGCCCAGUCUGGGCAGUGCACUGGAGAUAAAAUGCGGGGGCUUAAAUGCAAUUGUCACAACACCUUAUAUGGCCCAACCCUCUCUCCCUCACAGCAGCCAACCUCUCCACUCUCACUCCUCUCAUUUCCCUCUCUUCCUCUCUCUAGAAUCCUAGCUCUAGAGCUUGGAGAAGAAGAAAAAGAAGCUUGAGGAGGGAUUUUUGGUGGAUUUGGUGGGUCUAGAAGCUCUCCAACAAGAAGGCCUUGGUAGAGCUUGGGACUAAAGGUAAGUUUUUGCAAGAUAUCUUCUAGGGUUAGGAUUUAAACCCUAAGUUUUGGAGUUUUGAACUUCUUAGAGGUUCAUGUUAGAGCCAUGAACACCAUGAAACUCUAGUUUUCUUCAUGGUGCUCUAAUGGGGGAUUUCUAGGGUUUGCAUUCUAAGCCCUAGAGAUGGUUGGAAUGGUUCUAAAUGAGCUCCUAGAGGUUAGAUAAGCUCUUUUUUACUUGUUUUAGAUAUCAAAACCUAUGAGUUUGCUAAUAGUGGCAUUAGGGCACCAAAUUUGGGACUUUUACCUCCGAGUGUUUCUAAGGCAAAUUGACCUUGUAGAAACCUAAUUGGGGGUAUCCCCGACGCGUGGGACAACUCCGUUUAACGUUACGAAAAUGUUUAGAUGGAGUUAUUGAUAAAAAGCCUAAUUCGGCUUUGUUUUGCCGUAGGCAAAAAAGUAAAGCUUCAAAAAUUUUAAUUAAGAAAUUCACCGUAGCAUCCUCUCAACUUUCUUAGGUGGGUGGUGCAUUCCAAGGAUCUCGAAAAUUUCUUUAUGUCUAAGUGUCAUGUUUUGAGCAUAUGUACAUAUUUAAGCAUUUUGCAUAAUAGGGUUAAAUUGUAAACUUUUAUAGCAUGAUGUAAAUUCAAAUGCAUGUCAAAUACUUGUAAGAAUGUGAGAAUGAUAAUCCCUAUGUAUGCAUGAAUGUGACAAGAACCUAGAAGGGUUAGUAAACAAAAGUGACACUAUGACAUAGAUCUAACGAGUGGCAUUGAUGAGUUUAGAAUAUUUAGAAAACAAGUGUGGCAUUUAGCAUGAGAACAAGAACAUAGCACUUAGAAAACAAGUGUGGCAUGAGUACAAGAACUUUGUAGUGUAUAUGACACUAGUGAUAGUAAAGAAUGCAAAGAAAAGAAUGAUUGAGACAUUAUGACAUUUUAACCUUAGAGUUAAGGGUCAUUUGAGCAUGGUCUUCCUUAAAAGUUAAGGAAUGGAUUGAACUUAGAAUCCUCAAUGUAGGAUUGAUCGUACUCACCUUUAGUCCUUGCUUGAGGGUGGUAGCUCCCCCUCGGGCGAUGUGCUCCGGAGUUGAUAUCACUGGGUUGUAGCGGAUAUCUCCCCAAAGGACGGUCCUAUCGGGUUGUAGCGAGUAUCUCCCCGGUUAUUAGGAUUUUGGGUUGGUGAGUUUGUUAAGGGCGAAACCUACGGGUUAGCCAAGAGAUUAGGUAAAGAAAUUGUGAUCCUGCAUUCAUCAUAAGUAUUAUAUCGAGCAUCGCAUUUUAUAUUGUUCAGGCAUAUUAGUUGUAUUUAUUAGUUGGUUACUUUCUUUUCUCUACUCUAUUAUGCCUGAUUAGAUCUAGUGGGAUAGUCGGCGUGGUUGGUUGCCGAACCCACUGGAAACUUUGUUGUAGUUCUCACACCCCUAUUUCCAUAGAGCCGGAACCGAGCGAGCAGGCUGAUGAUCGCGGUAAGGGCAUCGCGCCCUAGUUAGAGACCUCCCGAGUGGUUAUCAUUUUGUAGUGGCAUACCCUCUACUUAUACAUCAUCUUUGGUAUCUUGAUGAUUAUACUAUUAUGAACAUGUUAAAUGAAUGAUGUAAAAGAGUUUAUGUUUAAAUGCAAAAAUUUAUAUUUGAGAUCAUGCGAUGUAAAAGAGAAGAAAUGAUGCAAAAUUAUAAUUGAUUUCCUAAGUGCAGUUUAUUACUUUCCCUAUUGGCUAUUGCUUGCCCUCGUGCAAACCAUUGUGUAUACUUCCGCUUAUGCAAAUUGUUACUCUAUUGAUACUUUUUGUUGAGCCUUGGGCGGACAGGGGAGGCUCUGUCCAUUCAGCGUCUGUUCAACGCUCUCGAACCGGCCAAAAGGAUCGGGCUCGGGGCGUGACAAUUUACCUUACGAUCAAAAGGUCACAAAAUUGAUAAUUUUUAACGGCCGGUAUGAGAUAUUUGCUAGUUUAACAGUGUAAAAGAAUCGAAAUCGGUUGAAUAUUUGAUAGAAAAUUUUAUUCACUACAUAGAUAAAGAUCAAUAACUCCGAUCUUAAAUUGAAAGAUCCGAUCAUCCAUUUUUAAGAUGUCGUUCGAUUUUGACCGUUCAUUUUAUACCCGCUUGAUGGACUUUAUUAUGAUUUUGAAAAAUUACGAAAUUUAUUUUCUAGAAGUUUGAAAUACUCUAGAUCAUAUUUAACGGAGUGGAUCGUCGAUCUGGAAGCUCCAUCAUUGAAAACAACUUAUGAGUACGAAGGGCCCAAUACUCAUAGUAGCCUUACUCUCUCUCUCUCUCUCUCUCUCUCUCUCUCUCUCUUCUUUCCUCUAUAAUAUUAUAAUAUAUAAUAUACUAUAGAAGAGAGAGAGAGAGAGAGAUGAGAGAGAGAAGAGAGAAGUGAGAGAGAGAGCAGAAGAGAGGCAUAUGCUUCUGGAAGCACGGAGGCGGCUCCGUAUCCAGGUCGUUUUCGAUGUUUCGACUUUCGAAUCGUCGAUCGGCUCCGUUAGACUUGAUCUAGGUAUUUGAAGUAUCUAGGAAAUAAAUUUGCGAUUUUUCGAUAUAUUUGCAAGUAAUCGAAGUGGCUCAAAAUCAACGGUUGAAAAUAAAAAUCUUACAAAUAUGAUGAUAUGACAUUAAAUUUUAGAUCAAACCUAUUUGAUCUUGUUUUAUAUGGUAUAAAAGAAUUUUCUAUCAAAAUUUCAUGUGAUUUGGAUAUUUCUACACCGCUUAAACUUGCAAACGGCUCACCACGGCCGUUAAAAUUAUUGAAUUUGAGCCCAUUCGAUCACUAGGCAAAUGAUAUCGAAAAUCACAAAAUUUAUUUUCUAAGUACUUCAAAUACUCUAGAUCAACUCUAAUGGGCGCAUCGUCGAUUUCGAAAGUCCGAACAUCGAAAAUAAUCUGGAAGCACGAGAGGGCUGGUAUGGGCUCCUGUGCUUCCAAGAAGCAUACCAGCCCUCUCUCUCUCUCUCUCUCUCUCUCUCUCUCUAUACUAUAAUAUAAUAUAUAUAUUCAGAGGGAGGAGGAGGUGAUGAGACCUGAGAUCUGCUUGGGGUCUUCAGUGAACCCGGGGAUCCUCACGAGAGGACGGAGAAAGAGAGAGUAGGGCUGUUUUGCUCUUAGGAGUAUGGAGGCCUCCGUGCUCCUGAGCCGUUUUCAAUGAUGGAAUUUUCGAAUUGACGAUUGGCUCCGUUAAACUUGAUUUAGCAUAUUUGAAGUUUAUAGAAAAUAAUUUUUGCGAUUUUUUGAUAUCAUUUACCUAGUAAUCGAAAGGAUUCAAAAUCCAUAAUAUUUAAUAGUUGAUAUCUGCCGUUUUCAAGUUUAACGGUGUAGAAGUAUUCAAAUCAGAUGAAAUUUUGAUACAAAAUUCUUUAUACUAUCUACAACAAGAUCAAUAUUUCUGAUCGAAAAUUUUAGUGCUAUAUCACCACUUUUUAUAGGACUUUUAUUUCCAGCCGUUAAAAAUUAUUGAUAUUGAAUUCUUUCGAUUGCUAGGUAAGUAAUAUCGAAAAAUCGCAAAAAUUAUUUUUUAGAAACUUCAAAUACGCUAGAUCAAGUUUAACGGAGCCGAUUAUCGAUUCGAAAAUUCCAUCAUCGAAAACGGCUCAGGAGUGAGAGCACAGCAGUCCUGCUAUAUAUAUAUAUAUGCGGGGGCUACUAUACUCUUAUGAGUAUAGACCCCCUUAUACUCAUAAAUUUUUAACCAUUGAUUGAUGGGAUGUGAGGUUAGGAUGAUGGUGGUCCCUACUUAGAAUGAUAGUGGUCCCCUAGAGUUGAGUGGGUAGUUAGUUGAAUAGUAUGAUCUAACGGGUGAAAAUGAUCAAUUGAAAAAAUCCAAAGGCUAAAAACUUAUGAGUAUAAGGGAGCCAAUACUCAUAAAAGUAUAGUAGGCGGACUCUAUAUAUAUAUAUAUAGAGAGAGUACGGCUAAUGUGCUUAUGGAAGCACUGAGGCCUCUGUGCUUUCAAUUUGUUUUUGAUGUUGGGACUUUCGAAUCGACGAUCGGCUCCAUUAGACUUGAUCUAGAGUAUUUGAAGUAUCUAGAAAAUAAAUUUUGCGAUUUUUCGAUAUCAUUUGCCUAGUGAUCGAAGGGGCUAAAAAUCAACGGCUGAAAAUAAAAAUCUCACAAAAUGUGAUGAUAUGACAUUAAAAAUUUAGAUCAAAGAUAUUGAUCUUAUUUUAUAUAGUAUAAAGACUUUUCUAUCAAAAUUUCACGUGAUUUGGAUAUUUCUACACCGUUAAACUUGCAACCGGCUCACCACGGUUAUUAAAAUUAUUGAUUUUGAGCCCCUUUGAUCACUAGACAAAUGAUAUCGAAAAAUCGUAAAAUUUAUUUUCUAGGUACUUCAAAUACUCUAGAUCAACUCUAACGGAGCCGAUCGUCGAUUCGAAAGUCCGAACAUCGAAAAUAACUUGGAAGCACGGAGGCCUCCGUGCUUCCAUAAGCAUACCAGCACAACUCUAUAUAUAUAUAUAUAGAGUGAGGCUACUAUGCUUCUGGAAACACGAAGCCUUCCGUGCUUCCAGGUCGUUUUCUAUGUUGCGACUUUUGAAUCGUCAAUCGGCAACGUUAAACUUGAUUUAGAGUAUUUGAAGUGCCUAAAAAAUAAAUUAUGCGAUUUUUCGAUAUUAUUUGCCUAGUGAACAACGGGGCUCAAAAUCAACGGCUGAAAAUAAAAAUCAUACAAAACGUGAUAAUAUGAUAUUAAAAUUUUAGAUCAAAGAUAUUGAUUUUGUUUUAUAUAGUAUAAAGAAUUUUCUAUUAAAACUUCACGUGAUUUGGAUAUUUCUACACCGUUAAACUUGCAAAUAGUUCACUAUGGCCAUUAAAAUUAUUGAUUUUGAGCCCCUUCAAUCACUAGGCAAAUGAUAUCGAAAAAUCAUAAAAUUUAUUUUCUAAGUACUUCAAAUACUCUAGAUCAAGUCUAACGAAGCCGAUCGACGAUUCGAAAGUCACAACAUCGAAAACGACCUGAAAGCACGGAAGGCUCCGUGCUUCCAAAAUGAUAGUAGCCUUACACUAUAUAUAUAUAUAUAUAUAUCUAUAGAGAGAGAGAGAGAGAGAGAGAGAGAGAGAGAGAGUGGGUUGGUAUGCUUCUGGAAGCAUGGAGCCCUCCGUGCUUCCAAGUUGUUUUCGAUUUUUGGACUUUCGAAUCGACGAUCGAUCUGUUAGAGUUAAAUUCUAGAAGUAUUUUGAAGCUUACCUAGAAAAUAAAUUUUGUGAUUUUUCGAUAUCAUGUUGCCUAGCUGAUCGAAGGGCUCAAAAUUAAUAAUUUAAAUAGCGUCGUGAGCCGUUUGCAAGUUUAAACGGUGUAGAAAAUAUUCAAAUCUACAUAAAAAUUUUGAUAGAAAAUUCUUUACCCAUAUAAAACAAGUUAAUAACUUUGAAUCUAAAAUUUUAAUGUCAUAUCUUAUAUUUUUGAAGAUUUUUAUUUUCAGUCGUUGAUUUUGAGCCACUUCGAUCAGCUAGGCAAAAUGAUUAUCGAAAAAUUCCAAAUUUAUUCGAGAUAAUUCAAAUACUCCAGACUCAAGUUCUAAUGGAGCCGAUCUCGAUUCGAAAGGUCCGAACAUUCGAAAACACUUGGAAAGCACAGAACGCUCUUCUGCUUCCAGAAGCAUACCAGACGCAAUAUAGUAUAUACUAUAUAUAGAGAGAGAGAGAGAGGAGAGAGAAGAGGCGGCCGGGAGAGAGAGAGAGAGAGAGGCUAGGCUGCUAUAUAUAGCAACGGACGCCUGCCGUGCUACAAGUUGUUUCAAUGAUGCCGCUUCCAAUCGACGAUCGGCUUCGUUAGAUUUGAUUACACUAUUCAAAGUAUUUGAAACUAAAUUUCAUAAUUUUUCGUAUCAUUAUCGGUAUUAAACGAGUAGUCUAAAAAUAAACGGCCGAAAUAAAAUAAUCUCAUUAAAAAGUGCAUGAUAUGAAGACUUUGAAUUUAAGAUCAGAGAGUACGUUACUAUCUUUAUUUAAAUAGUAAAAAAAAUUUCUAUAAAAAUUCAAUCUGUUUGGCAUUGUUUAUGACACCGUUUAAAUUUACAAAUAUAUCCAUUUUACCCAUUAAAAUUACAAUUUUGAGAUAUUUUUGAUCACUAGCACAAUGAUGUCGACAAUUUUGAAAUUUCAUUUCCAAAAUACUUUCAAUAAGUUGUAAGACAAGUCUAACGGAACGAUCGUUGAUUUUUGGAAGCUGCAUCAUCGAAACAACUUGAAUAGCACGGAAGGCCUCCGUGCUAGUCGAUAUAUAGCAGUCCCGGAUAUAGAUAUAUAUAUAUAUAUAGUAUAUAUUAUAUAUAUUAUAUAUAUCAUAUAUAUUAGUAAUAUAGUAUAUAUGUCCGGCUAGCUAACUAUCAAUAGUAGCAAGUCCAUUAGUACUAUGAGGGGCUUUCUAUCGUUAAGAGUUCACCCUUUGAUCAUUUUUUCAUACCGUUGGAUUAUAACUAUUAAACAACCACCCCACUCAACCUAGGACCACUAUCAAUUUAACCGGGACCCAUAUCUCCUAACCGGACUAUUCUUCUAUCAACGCGGAAAACUCAAUAGUACCUAAGGGCUUGGGUACUAUUGAUAGUAUAAGUACAUUAAUUCUAUACUAUAAUUAUAUUAUAUGACUAUAUAGUAUAUAUAUAUAGAAGUUGGACUGGCUACUAUUAGGUAGCAAAAUUCUAUGUUGCUGACAGUUUUUUACGCUUUGAGAUUAAUCAUUUUUCAUUAUUUCUAACCAAUGGAUUAAGAUACUAUAACCCAGUGGGACCACUUCAACCCUAGGGGGGACCAUUCAACUCUAACCGACUAAUAUCAUCCUGACCUACAAUUUCUUAUCCAAGGGUAAAAAUUUGAUAGCAAAAAAGCGUUUACUAUUAAUAGUAUUCCAGCCUAAUUCUAUAUAUAUAUAUAUAAUAUAUAUAUAUAUAUAUAUAUAUAUAUAUAAAAGAAACUAUCUCUAUAUGCAGUGCAACCAAGGAGCGUAAUUCACCACUUCAACCAUCCAAGGGCCAUUUCCGUCAACUCGUGGUGUCCAGUAUUUUCUCCAACUAAAAACAGAAAAAGGAGAGGUAAAUUCUAGGCUCUUGGAUUGAGGGUUACAACAAAUGUACCCACAAAAGUUGUAGACUUAUUUAUUAGUGAUUCUUUUUUCGUAUAGGUGAAAUUGAACAAAUGGUCCCGUAUUCCCCGCAUAUUGCAGCAUCUAGAUUCUGCACUUUUAAUAUUUCCUUCUUAAUUGGUAAGCAGUACUGUACUGUAUAUUUAAACGCUUUAAAAUCUAAACUGGCACAAUGUACACUUUAUUCUCUAAAUUAUUGCUUUUCAAAAUAAUAUAAUUAUUUUGUACUGUCAUGCACAGAAUAACUUAUGUAUUUAAGUUUUUUUUUUUAAAAAAAAAGUUAGACAUCUAAAAUGAUAUUUUCACUGAUUAUUUGAAAUUAUUUUAAUUUUUAACAAAAUAAUCAACUUUUACCUCCUUAUCUGUAAAAUAAACUAUAUAUUUAUUUUAGUGCAAAAGUGGAUGUAAGAGGAAUACUUUUUACUAGCUGUCAAAGAUCGAUAUUCCACUUCAUAUAAAAUGAUAAUUUUGCCGCUUCAUUUGCAAGCGCAAAUAGAAUUAAAAGGAUACAUUUUGAACAAAAGUCACAUUUUAUACAUCCGGGGAGAAGAAUAAUUUUUACGGAUACCAGUGAAGAUCCCGCAAUUUGGCUGGUUUGAGAUUUAAUAAUCAAUAUAAAUUAGUUAUCGCCUCUUUUAAGGUAAUAUAUUUUCGGAAAAAUAAUAAUUUUAUCACAUGAUCACUUAUCUAGUUUAGAGCAAAGCAAUUAUUAACAAAAUUGCAGAUUCAAAUUAUAUAGGUGUAUUUAUGUAAAAGAAUGAGAAGAAAAUGUUUUACAAGAUCUCUAUUCGUAGACAAAAUAUAUCAGAGGAAUAACUUUUCAUGGACUAAAUAAUAGGACUAAGACUACGUAUAAAAUAUAAAUAAUAAAGUAGUUAAAAUAAAGUUGAUUUAAAUAUUAGUGGAGGAAAGAGAGCUGCGGAGAGGUAUAGAAGUUUACUAGCAAUUUACCCGCUCAUUGUAGCGGGUGAGAUUUUUAAAUUCACAAUUAUUAUAUUAUACGUUAGAUAAAAUUAUUUAAUAGAAUUAAAUAAAAAUGUUAAUUUAUAUAUAUAUCUCUUGCUGUUUGAAGAGAGAGAAGAGAAAAUUAAAUAAAAAUUAAAGUGAGAGAGAGCACUUUCAAACUUUCAAAUAUAGUAUAUUUUACUCAUAAUGUAGAAAAAUAAAAUUAAAGAUCUUUGAAAAUAUAUAGUUAUUAAAUUCAAUUUUAAAAUUAUUUUAAAUAUCUAUAUCUUCUAUAUGGAGGAAGUGAAAAAAGAGAGCAUUAAAUUAAAAAUUAAACUAAGGGAGAGAGAAAAACGGCAUGCACAUUUCUCGAUUAGAGAGAAAAAGUAUGAACAUUAAAUUAAAUAAAAAUUAAGUAAGAGAGAAAGUACAGUAGGGAUUUAAAAUUCUAAUUUUUGAAGUUGAAAAUUUGGGAAUAAAUAUUAUAAAUUUUAAAAUUGUAAAAUUUAAAUUUUGAAAUUUGAAAUUUGGAAUUUAAAAUUUUGAUGUCCAAAAUUUAAAAUUUUAGAAUAUAAAAUUUUAAAAUUCUAUAUAUAUAAAGAGAGAGAGAGAGAAGAGAGAGAGAGAGAGAGAGAGAGAGAGAGUCCGGCUACUUUACUCUUAUAAGUAUGAUCGCCCUCGUACUCAUAAGUUGUUUUUAAUGAUAGAGUUUUCGAAUCGACAAUCCAUACUGCUAAAUAUUAUCUAGAGCAUUUAAAACUUGUAGAAAUCAAAUUUCAUAAUUUUUCAACAUUAUUUAUCUUACCAUCAAAAGGUCACAAAAUUGUCAAUUUUUAACGAUCGGUAUGAGAUACUUGCUAGUUUAACGGUGCAAUAGAAUUAGAAUAGGUUAAAUUUUUGAUAAAAAAAUUCUAUUCACUACUUAGAUAAAGAUCAAUAACUCUGAUCUUACACUAAAUGAUCUGAUCAUCCAUUUUUAGGUCGUUAUUCGAUUUUGAUCAUUUAUUUUAUGCCCGCUUGAUGAUUUUAUUAUAAUUUCGAAAAAUUACGAAAUUUACUUUUUAGAAGUUUCAAAUAUUUUAGAUCAUAUUUAACAGAAUGGAGAGAGAGAGAGAGAGAGAGAGAGCGCUAGGCUAGUAUACUAUCAGAAGCACCGAGGCCUUUGUGCUACCAAGUUGUUAUCAAUGAUGCAGCUUUCAAAUCGACGAUCAAUUUCGUUAGACUUGAGCUACACUAUUAAAAGUAUUUAGAAAGUAAAUUUUAUAAUUUUUCGACAUCAUUUGGCUAAUGAUCAAAAAGUCUCAAAAUUGACAAUUUUAAUGAUCGAUAUGAUACGUUUGUGAAUUUAACGGUAUAAAAUAAUUUAAAUCUGAUGAAUUUUUUAUUGAAAAUUCUUUUCACUAUUUAGAGUAAAGGUGUAUUUGGUUCGCUCUUUUUCACUCUAGAUCGGAAUCGGAAUGGGCGAAUUCGUUUGUGGGUAUUUGGUAUGCGGGAGUCGCAUUCCCAUUCUGAUUUCGUUUGCUGAGUGGAAUAGGAAUCCCCCAAUCAUCUUUUUUUCCAAUCCAGCCUAGGAGGCUGGAUUGGAAGUUGAAUUCGGACGGAAUGGAUAUUUAUUCAGAUUAAAUUUAUUUUUUCAACUUUUUUAAUUAAAAAAUGAGUUUAAAUUUAGAAAUUAAAUUUAUAAUUUUAAAUUUUAUUUUGNCAGCUUUCAAAUCAACGAUCAGUUUCAUUAGACUUGAUCUACACUAUUAAAAGUAUUUGGAAAGUAAAUUUCAUAAUUUUUCGACAUCAUUUGGCUAGUGAUCAAAAAGUCUCAAAAUUGACAAUUUUAAUGAUCGAUAUGAUACGUUUGUGAAUUUAACGGUAUAAAACAAUCCAAAUCCGAUGAAUUUUUUAAGAAAAUUCUUUUCACUAUUUAGAGUAAGGGUGUAUUUAGUUCGCUCUUUUUCACUCUGGAUCGAAAUCGGAAUGGGCGAAUCCGUUUAUGGGAAUUUGGUAUGCGGGAGUCGCAUGCCCAUUCUGAUUUCGUUUGCUGAGUGCAUGGAAUAGGAAUCCCCUAAUCAUCCUUUUUUCCAAUCCAGCCUAGGAGGCCGGAUUGGAAAUUGAAUUCGGAUAGAAUGGAUAUUUAUUCAGAUUAAAUUUAUUUUUUCCACUUUUUUAAUUAAAAAAUGAGUUUAAAUUUAGAAAUUAAAUUUAUAAUUUUAAAUUUUAUUUUGAACUUGAAUUAAAAAUUAAAAUUUAAUCAAAUAUUUUGAAUUUAACUUACGAAUUUGAAUUUAAAUUAAAUUUUAAUUUAUAUAAAGUUUUAUUCAAAUUUUAUUUAAAACUUAAAUUUAAUUUAUGGAUUCAAAUUAAAAUUUAACUUGUAAUUUUAAGUUUGAAUUUGAAUAAAUCAAAAUUUAGUUUUAUAUUUUGAAUUAUCCACUCAACUUCAAAGUUUAAUUUUUUUUUAAAAAAAAUAGAUUUAAAAUUUUGACAUUUUUCAAAAUUUUGAUAUAAAUUUUUAAUAUUUAAUUUUUAAUUUAAAUUUAAAUUUAUAUAUUAUAAAGAUAAAGUUAGUAUAUUAAUUUGAUUACGUUUUUUAUAUCUAUCUGAACCAAACACCGACAAUAGAAAUGAUUUAUUUCAAUUUCGAUUCAGGUGAUGAACCAAACAGAAUUAGGUAAUGAGUCAUUCCGAUUCUGAUUCCAGCUUAUUUCGAUUCCGAUUCUGAUUCCAGCUUAUUUCGAUUCCGAUUCUGAUUCCGAUUCGACUUUAAACCAAACAUGCAGAAUAUUCUACAAAGUUAUAUAUUUAUAUGUAUAAAAAAAUUUAAAAAUAAAGUGAUUAAAAUAUUUUAAAUAAACUAAUUUAAUAAAAAGACGAGGGAAGUUUUUUUUUUUUUUUUUUUUUUUUUUUAAGAGAUAGGUAGUACGCUACCCGCUUCGUUUAUUUCAUUUAGAAAUAAACUUAGCUGGAAAUGUGAAUCAACUAGGAUUCGAACUUGGGUGUCGAGUACCAACCACCAAUCUCUUUGCCACUUGCUCUAGGGACGGUUGGUGACCAAAUUAUAAUCUCAUAACCGAGGGAAGUUAGUUAAUAUAUAAUCUUAUAACCAAAUUAUUUGAUAUAUUUAGGAUUUAAAUAUUCAGGUGAAAAAUACAGGGACUGAUCCACAAAAGUAGAAUAUUAUAGGGACUAAUCAUACAUUCUAUCCUGUAUAUAUAGAGGCAGUGAGGCCUCAAAUAACCCCCGCUCUCGUGUGUUCUUCUUCGUCCGCUUCCCCGCGUCUCCAGCUACUCCAUAAGCCCUCGCGUGGAAUUUCGAAGGAUUUGGAGCCGAAUUGGGAAGGAAUUAAUCCGUCUCAUCACUGUUUUUGCGUUCUUCGUCGUCGAUUCUGAUCUCCGAAGUUGCAUUCUUGGUACGAUUCCAUUUUCUUACCAUCCUCAGUUGAAUAAUCUCGUUAUGAGAGUUUUAAUCGGCGUAGCAUCAUAGUUUAAUGGUUUGUUCAUUGGAUUAGGGCCGUUGGGGUGGAAAUGCUUCUAUAAUCUUUUUCAAUCUCAUAAUUUUGGUUUCAAAUGCGUUAAAAUUGGACAAGAGGCAAAGAUUUUAGUAUUAGCAGAGUUUUUCUUUCCGAUCGUUCUUUAUUUUGGUGUGAAUUAUUUGUUGUUCUUUACUGGGAAUGUGGACAUUCUGUAAUGAAUGUUGUAUAGGAAGCAGGGUUUCUGAUUACCUUUGAAAUGGAAGUUAAAGUUUUUGUAUGAUUUCGUAUAAAUUAAACGACAUUGAUCUGAUGUGAUGAAGUUUGUGGCCUAUUUCCUUUCUGUAGUUCUUUUUCUUGGAAAUUUCUUUUAUUAGGUACCCUCGUUUACGUUUCUGCACAAUUCAGGAUCAUUUAGUAAUAUAUCACGCAGGUUUACAUCGGAUGAGGAAUAGCCUCUUUGCCCACUUGCUGCAUACUAGGUCUUUAGGUUUCAGCUACAUAGUAAUAAUGUUGGUGCUCGAAUAAAUAAUGUUGGUACGCCAUAGCUAACAUGGCAAGAACAGUCUACAGAACUAGGAGGAGUCAUUGGCAUCCAAAUCUUGGUGGCCGUUCUAAAUCUGAAACUAUAGGUAUGGGAUCACAUGAGCUAAAGUUGGCUUAAUUUGGAUAAUUUGUGGAAAAUUUCUUCUGCAUGACAUAUAUAUGUCAUCAUGGGAAUCGAAUCGAUGAUAUGUUUUCGCUUGGAAGUCAAAACAUCUAGCUGGUUAUGGAUUUAAUUAUUUGGCAGAUGGGAAAUAAGAACGUUACUUUUCAAGAAGAAGGGAAAGAACGAAAGAACGAAAGAAAGAAAGAAAGAGCAUAUUAACCUCGUCCAUACAGGCAUCCGCAGUAGUAAUCGACUUUAAUGACCUCAGAAGGUUAUUGAGUUUAAUAAUAUCAUCUCCUCUUUAAGUUUCUAUCAUCCUAUUUUCUCUACAAAUGUGCAGUUAGGGUCCAGGUCCACGGAAUCAUUCAAUUUUAGGCCUUCCACUGUUCUGCUCCUACAGAAGUGCUGUAACUUUGCCUGAGAUAUCAUGUGGAUACUUUUGGUUCUAGAGAUCAGCCUCGAAUAUGUUUAUUGCUGUGUGUUCCAUAUAAUUCUAAUUGUUGAGUCUAUUUCCCCCAGCUUAUCUAAAGCGAAGCAAAGACCGUAAUAGCAGCUGGGAAACAAACUGGGAGUAAAAGGUCAAAUUGAGAUAAAAUGGGUGCUUGCUGCUCGUCGGGGGGAGCUGACUCAAAUAACCCACCUGUAUAUUUCUGCUUGAGCAUUUCCUGACUUCCUCUAUUGAGUUAGAUGUGUUCCAUUACCUUUUUAUUUUGUAAUCGGGAAAUUUCAGUCUGAAGCUCUGAUUGCUUCAAUCCUUAACAUGGCUAUAUUGCACACCAUAAGGAUGUCUUUUAUUGUAAUCUGAACGUUUACCUGAGGUUAUCCCUCUCUAUCUGCAUGUUUAUAAUGUGGACGCAUUUGAUCAAGAUGUUUUGUGCUUCUAAUGUUUUGUUAAUAAUUUGACAUACGAGAAACAAGAUGCUUGUUCUGAAUUUAGGGAGUAUUUUCUGAAUAUUCUACAUUAUAUUUGUUUUUUGCUUAUGCACUUUAGUUUGAAAGGGUGAUAGUCGUGGCAGGAUUCAAGGUAGAUGCCAUGACCAUGUAUCUCCUCAUAAUAAUUUGUUGAACCUGGGAUGAACACACAAAGAACGUUUUUUUUUUUUAAUAAUAAUAGAAGAUUUGCAAAGACGAUCAGCAAAAUUCUGUAAAUACAGACUUGUAACCUAUUUUAAAGCUCAUAUUCGAAGAAUGUGGGGUUCUAAAUCAUUGGUAGAUAUGUUUUCUAGAUAACUUGGACGAAGUUCUUGUUAAGGGCUGGAAACAUUUUUGUUUUUUGUUUUUGUUUUCCUCUACUGGAAAUUGAGAAGUGCAAACAUUUCUUUUUUUUUUUUGGAGAAGAAAGUUAGGAGGUUCAGAGUUAAAGAGUUAUACAUCUCUAGAUAUUUACUCUUAUAUGUGUGUUUCCACUGACAAAUAAACGGGCUCAUUUUUGUUUGAAGUCCAGCUUGAUUGAUUUUAAAAGGUCAAAGCUUGCGUUCCUUUCUAGCUCGUGCGUAAAUAAUGCAUUAUUCAGUCUAGAUUUCUUGUCUUAUUUGCACUGUCCAUUGGCAAUGUCUUUUGACUGUACCAAUUCAAUGGGUAUGGAUACGCUUUGUUAUAUUGAACUGCAGUCAUUUGUAGGAAUCUCUAUAUUAUGUACUAGUAGACGACAUAUUUUUGGCAAAUUCUUUAAAUUUGAGUUUUUAAUCUAAAGAACAAAUCAAGUAAUUAAUCUUCUUUAAUGUCUAGCCCUCACAAAACCAAGCUCUCCAGCCUGCGCAAAUCCAACAGGUGCAUGAACAAUUACCUUCUACCCAACCUGUGGCGAAUGUGGAUACAUCUGCUCCAAUUACCUUUCCAGCAAUGCCUCGACCAUUGCCUUUCAGUCUUCUCUAUGGGAGCUCAGAAACGGCUGCUGGAAGUUCUGAAAAUAGAGGUAAGAUUGCUGAUCAUACAGCAGCAGAGGGUUUAAUAAAGAUUAUGAGGUCAAGAGAUGUGUUAAUGUGGCAGAAGAUGAAAUUCAUGAGGUAAAGGAAACAAUUUCUCAAGCCAUUUCAGAAGAGGAGGAUUUUUGUAUCAUCUGUCUUGAAGGUAACUGUUAAACCUCCCAGCCCCUCUCUUCUUGUAUAGAAUCAAGAAAUUCCUGUCCUAUGCUGUUAAUAUGUUUGUUAGAACACUUUAGUUUGGAAUUUGAUAGAAUACUAGCAAGUCAUGGAUAUUUUCUUCGUAGAAUUUUUUUCUUUCUUUUAGUUGAGCUUUCUAUUUUGCUGAGAUACAUAUAAACAUAUAAAGUUUAAGUAGCACUCUUUUUUUACUUUUAUUGUACGACAUGCUGCCAUGCUUUUGAAACUUAGAGACAUGCAUAAUUGUACAGUAGUACCUGACUACAAAGGGUACAAAAAAUAUUAUUGUGAAUCGAUUGUGUUGUUCAAAAUGAUAUUUGAACAAUUUCUGGGAAAAAAAUGUACUAAAUUAAUCUUGUUAAUCUUAUUUAGCCCAACCAGCCUUCUUUUGCAACUCUUGCUUCAGUUUGGUGAUUUAAUUCACUUUCAUGAAAAUGUUGUGAACUCUCUCUCUCUCUCUCUCUCUCUCUCUCUCUCUCUCUCUGUAUGUGUAAUAAAAAGGUGUUGGGUUAAUGGUUGAUUUAUUACAUUAGAUUUCCUGAACAACUUCAUUGUGCUGCAAUCAACAGACUAUUCCAAAUAAUUGCGCACUGAAAUCUUCCCCUUUCUCCAGAGUAUACUGCAGAGAAUCCUCACAUUGUCCCAAAAUGCGGACAUAAUUUUCAUCUGAAUUGCAUACUUGCUUGGCUGGAGCGAAGUGACCGCUGCCCUGUUUGUGACCAGGUGUGCACUUUGAAGAACUAGGAUUGCUAUUUUACACAUUGUAACAUGUUCAUUUUAAAUGCUCUGCGCGCACAGUUAAAGAAUCGAAAAAGGAAAGAAAAGAAAAAUAAAUGGGGAGUUUUCAUCUGAAUUCCUGUUUGCAGAUAAUAUUGAGAGAUGAUCUUCUCGGAAUGCAAACCUGAUACGUGUAAAGCGGGCUUUGAGUUUCUUUCAUGUUGGUGCCAGACCGGAUGAAAAGGAAUAGAAACUCUUCUUAGCAGGGAAACUUUUUUUUUUUUUUUUUUAAUAUUUUUUUUUUUUUUUUUUUUUUUUUUUUCUCACUCGAAUUUUUGCGUGGAGCGGUUGGUGAUGGCUCUUUAAAUUCUCCAGAUUUUCACAAAAGGAGGAUAAGGUGGAAAAGGAAAAGGAAAAAANUGUAAAGCGGGCUUUGAGUUUCUUUCAUGUUGGUGCCAGACCGGAUGAAAAGGAAUAGAAACUCUUCUUAGCAGGGAAACUUUUUUUUUUUUUUUGUUAAUAUUUUUUUUUUCUUUAACAAUCGAGUGCUCUCACUCGAAUUUUUGCGUGGAGCGGUUGGUGAUGGCUCUUUAAAUUCUCCAGAUUUUCACAAAAGGAGGAUAAGGUGGAAAAGGAAAAGGAAAAAAGAAAAAGGAAAGAGAAAGAUGACUUCCAACUCGAGUAACCAAAUUUUCUGUGCUCUCUAGUUUUCCUGUAGAUGCUCUGAUGUUUUUGUUCUGAUUACAGAAUAGGUUAAUAAAUAGUUACUUGAAAUUCUACGAUUUAAACUCAAGGACUACCGUUGAACGAGCAUUUGGUUCAACAUAUUUUUGUUGCCUAUUGUUCUACCACUAUGGAUAAGUGAUCCGAGCUUUCUAUUAUUUUCUCUUUAUUCUUUGGAAAAUGUGCAUUGUACAUGAAUACUUCUUCUUGACUCUAUCGCAUUCAAUAUUAGAGCAUCCAGAUUGACGCAUCAAAUGUAUUAUUUCUGUGCUGUACUUUUAUUACUUGCCUGUUUUUAUCAUCUGUUAUCCGAUAUAUAUAUAAUCAAUAUGAUAUUCAAAGUUUCAGCAGUUCUGGGACUAUCUGAUAUAGUUGGGCUGGUAAUUGGUUCAAAAUAAAUGUUACUUGGACUUGAUGAGGUUUCUCGCCCCGUUGAAUUGUUUUGCCGCGAGACAAAGGCUUGAAGCUUGUUAUGAGUCAAUAUUAGGAAACGAGAAGAUCAAGCAAACUUGCUAUCACUUAUAUAUACUAGAUUACUCCUAGAUAAUUCCACUGAUUGAUAUUUCAAAGCAUGUGGUAGUGCCGUCCCAUUGCUAAAAUACUAUCCGAAGAAUGAUGUUGCAAUAUUAGAACAUGCCCCAGUCUUAAUGAUACGAUUCUAUUUUAUCAUUAGAGAGAAAUGAUCACUCUAAGGGAAUCGAACCUCGAAAAGAAAGAUAUUAAGAGAUGGAGAGAGAUAGGAAGGAAUAGAAUGAGAAGAAAGAUAGAGCAAGACGGCUAAUUUCUUAUUAUUCUCUAAAUCCGAAGGCCGUGUUUGGUUCGAGUAUAGAUAAGAACUGCUUAUUCUAGGAAUAGGUACUAAGUUCGGGUAUAACCAGUAACUACACCAAUUUUGCGUUUGGAUAAAAAUUGAGUUGUUCCUUACAAUAAAAUAAAUAGUGUUUGGAUGGUUAGGUUGGAACAAAUGGAAUAAGAGUUAUAUUUUAGAUUAAAAUUAUUUUAUCAAAUUAAUUAACACCAAAAUAUUACUUAAAAAUAAUAAAUUAAUAUUAGUAAUUAUAAAUAAUAAAAUAAUAAAUAAAUAAAUAAAUAAUUAUAAAUAAUAAAUUAUUAAUAAUUAUAAAAUAUAAAUUAAUUAAUUAAUAAAAAAUUAAUUAGAUAAUAAAUUAUAAAUAAUAAAUUAUUAAUAAUAUUCAAUAAUAAAUAAUUAAUUAAUAAUAAAUUAAUUAGUUUUAGUUUUACGGUUAACGGUAACUAUUAAAAUAGAUAAAUAUACUUAAAUAAUCAAUAAAUAAUUAAAAAAAAAUUACAAUUACUAAUUAAUAAAUUAAUUAUAAAUACGUACAAAUAAAUCAUAAUAAGUAUACAAUAAUCAAAAUUAUUAAUAAUUAUAAAACAUCAAAUUUGAAUUACGAACAAAAAAAAAAAUAAAAAUAUUACAACGAAGAGUGAGUACUAAUAAAAAUAUAAAAUAAAUAAAUAAUAAAUAUUACUAGAAAUAAUGAGAGUCACAUAAUAGAAUAUAAUUGAAGGACAAUAAUAAAUUGUUUAACAUUAUACUAAUCUAAACAUUAAAUAAAUCUAAAUAAAAAUCAUUAUUAUUAAUUAAAAAAUUAUAAAUAAUAAUAGAAUAAUUAAUAAUAAUAAAUUAUUAUUAAUUAUAAACAAAUUAAUUAAUUGAUAUUAAAUUAAUUUAUUAAAUAACUAUUAAUAAUUAUAAAAAAUAAUAAAUAAAUAAAUUAUAAUUAAUUAAUUAAUAGUAAAUUAAAUAAAUAAUUAAUAAGAAAUUAAUUAAUUAACAAUAAAUUAAUGAUAAAUUAGUUAAUUGUAGAUUAAUAAAUUAGUUAAUAAUUAAUUAAUUAUAAAUUGAUAAAUAAACAAAAUUAAGUAAUUAUUAAUAAUUAUAAAUAAUAAUAAUUUAAUUAAUAAUUAUAAAUUAAUAAAUUAAUAAAUUACUUUAUUAUUUAAGCAAUAAAUAAUGAUUUAAAUAUAUUUAAAUAUCAUAAUAUAAAUUAUUAAUAAAAUUAAUUAUUUAAUAUCAUAAGUAAAAUUAUUUUUAGACUUCAUUUAACCUUAUUCUUGGAUUGGAACAAGCUUGUUCCAGGGAAAAGGUGGAACAGUAGUUCCAGUGUUAUACCGGCUUAUUCUAGAAAUCCGAGAACUGCAAUUCUCGGGUACCAAACGUAGCGUUUGGGAACAAAAGGGGGAACAAGAGCUUAUUCCCCUCUUGUUCCCGAACCAAACGCUACCACAUUUAUAUAAUCUAAUCCUAAUUAAACUUUAUCCAAAAUAAGCAAAAUAUUCUAAAAUAAUAAUAUAUCUUUUCAUAAUUAGAAAAUUUCUAAUUUAGGGAACAUAUCAUUCCACCACCCUCGAAAGCCACUUGUUCUCAGGGUGGAAAAUCCACAAUCCUAUCUAUUGCCUUUAGAUCAUUUUCUUUGUUUUCCUCAUGUUUGCCCUCGAUCAAAAAAUAGUUGCUUUAAGUUGCAUCAAUGUCUGGGACUAUAUUUUUAAUCACAUUUGUAUUAGAAGCCCUAAUCUUUCUUGCUUUUGCUUCAACCGGUGUAAGGCGUUUUAUAGAUGGAAGCGCCUUAUUAGAUGUUGGUAUUGUUGCAACGACCUGACCCGCUAGCAACAAUAACUCGUUGGGCCCAAACCAUCGGCCCAAAAUGCUUAAGCCGGAUUAUUAUUACUAGCGUGUAGGCCUCAUAUAAACUGAUCGGAAUCAGUAUCCCAUCCGAUGUGGGACUAUUGGGGGCGUUACAAACUCCCUCUGUUUAGACCCUGACGUCCUCGUCGGGUCCAAAUCAUAUCACAGACAGACAAACCAGGACCAUUACCACGCGAUGUGAGAUUCUAGAGGUGGCUCCUACAGGUUCAAGAGGUGGCUCCCACCAAACCCGUUGGUGUAGCACUUUGUCCCGCAUAGCACUUAGUUCUCACACUUUCGGCUGGUAUUCGGCUCUGAUACCAAUUGCAACGACCCGACCCGCUAGCAACAAUAACUCGUUGGGCCCAAAUCAUCGGCCCAAAAUGUUUAAGCCCAGUUAUUAUUACUAGUGUCUAAGUUUCUUAUAAACCCAAUGACAACUCCAUUCCCAUCCGAUGUGGGAUUAUUGGGGUGUCACAGACUCCCCCCGUUAAGGCCCUGACGUCCUCGUCAGUCCAAUCACACACACAGCCCAAGACCACCAAGCGAUGUGAGACUCGUCUCGCUAGCCCGUCAUCCAGACCCUAGCUCAGUCGAGACUCGCCACACAUGUCCAGUUGGUGAACCGGCUCGGAUACCAAAUGCAACGACCCGACCUGCUAGCAACAAGAAUUCGUUGGGCCCAAACCAUCAGCCCAAAAUGCUUAAGUCGGAUUAUUAUUACUAGCGUGUAGGCCUCAUAUAAACUGAUCGGAAUCAGUAUCCCAUCCGAUGUGGGACUAUUGGGGGCGUUACAAUUGUGGAAGCAAACAAGAGGGAAGACUUCAUAAUGCUAUAUUGAGCUAUCAACUUCUUCUCCUAUAGAUGAGCAAGACCGAUGGCGGCUGACAUAGAAGCUAGUUGGAAGGUGCGAACAUCAUGCUUUAAAUCCUCCCUCAACACACUAACAAAGCAACUUAUGAAAAAUGACUCGAUCAACCCUAAAAUGCAAUUUGAAAGUAUUUCAAAUCAAGCCCAAUAGCCAUGAACACUCUGAGUAGGUUCUUGUUGUAAUUUUGAUAACUCUUCCAUAUAGUCCUCAUACAUGGUCAGACCAAAGUAGUGCAGAGGGCUUCUACGAAGUCCUCACAUGCUAUGACUCCAUGGCCCUUCUCAAACCAUUAAAACCAUUGUGAUGCUUCCUUUCCACAUGGUAAGAUGCAAGCAAAACCUUUUGUGGAUUACUCAGCCCGAUACACCCAUCAAGUCGGAUCCUCUCCAUCAAAUUUAGGAAACUCCAAGCAUGUGACGCAAGGUUGCACCAUCAUAUAAUUUUGGAAAAACUUCAAAUACCACCCUGUGGUUUCACACUUUCUCACUUGAGUACCCUAUAGUUUAAAGUGUAUCAAUCUAGUGUCAUGUGGUUUCAUUUUUAUAUUUUUAUUAUCCAUUUCACUAAUUUUUUUUGAAAAAAUUUCAAAAACCCCCCUGUGGUUUCGCACUUUUUCAUUUUAGUACCCUGUGGUUUAAAGUGUAUCAAGUUAGUACCCUGUGGUUUCGUACUUUUUCAUUUUAGUACCCUGUGGUUUAAAGUGUAUCAAGUUAGUACCCUGUGGUUUCUCACUUUAUCACUUUAGUACCCUGUGGUUUAAAGUGUAUCAAGUUAGUACUCUGUGGUUUUAUUUUUGUAUCAAGUAGUACCCUGUGGUUUUAUUUUUGUAUCAAGUUAGUACCCUGUAGUUUUUAAACCACAGGGUACUAAAGUGAUAAAGUGCGAAACCACAAGGUACUAACUUGAUACACUUUAAAUCACAGGGUACUAAAGUGAAAAAGUGCAAAACCACAGGGUACUAACUUGAUACACUUUAAACCACAUGGUACUAAAGUGAAAAAAAGUGAAACCACAAGGGGGGUAUUUGAAGUUUUUCCCAUUUUUUUUGUUAAAUCAGCGACAAAGUUAAAACUAAAGGGUAUUAAAGUAAAUAUUUGAUAAACCUAGGUGGGGUAUCUGAAGUUUUUUUUAUAUGAUUUAACAAAAUAUCAACAGAAAAGCUGACGAAAAAUAAAAAUGAAACCACAGGGCACUAAUUUGAUACACUUUAAACCACAGGAUACUAAAGUGAGAAAGUGCUAAACCACAGGGGUGGUAUUUGAAGUUUAACCUAUAAUUUUCUAUUAGAUAUGUCUCGAAUUCUAGAACCGCAAAGUUUUCUAACCCUAUAAUAUUUUGAUUAUCCCAUUAAGUUUAGAUUAUACCCAAUUGUAUUGAGAUAUUCCUAAUCUUAGUGGGUUUGUAUUCCUAAUUAUAUUAGGAUUUAGCCACUAUUACAAAUAUACAAUUUAUUCUAUUAAUUUGGUGCGGCAGGUAAGAGAGAGUAUGGGUGUAUUUUUUGGAAUUAAGAUUUUGUAAAAGAGGCAUAUUUUGUACACCACUUUGAUUCUAAUAAAAUCUUCGCUCCAUAUUCACCCGUGGAUGUAGGCCGGUGGCCGAACCACGUAAAUAUUGUGUGCUUUAUUUUUCUUCUCUCGUUCUAAAUUCUUUUUUGGUAUUUUCGCACCCAACGAACUAGAUUUUUUUGGUUUUAGUUCUAACAAGCUGGUAUCAGAACCAGAUUGUUCGUUUGGUUAUUUAAGACGUCGACAAAAUUUGAGAUCGAGAAGUUUGCUCACUCCAGUAGUUUCGCUCUACGGCAAGUUGUCAUUUUGAUGCAACAGACAUUGUAAAAUGCGUAGUUGGAGAAUGAGAAGAUUGACACUUCAGAGAACCCUGCAGAUUUGCUUAUUAAGUUUUUUCGGUGGUCAAGUUCAAGUAUUCCAUAAACUUGAUUCACAUGUGCAAUAGCAGUUCAGGAGCUUUUGGGAUUUUGGUGGAGAAGACAGAGAAUUCAAUCCAAUGUGGAGAUUGUUAAAUAUUGUGUGUUUUAUUUUUCUUCUCUCAUUCUCGAUUCUCUUUUGGUAUUUUCUCACCCGAUGAAGCAGAUCUUUUCUGCCUUUGUCAUAACAACCUGGUAUCAGAGCCGGAUUGUUCGUUUGGUGUUUAAGACGUCAACAAAGUUUGAGAUCGAGAAGUUUGAUUUGCUCUAUGGCAAGUUUGUUGGCUUAAAUGGGCCAGCAUCCUGCCAUGUGGCAGGAGGCCAUAUGGGCCAAGUUAUGUUCGAAAUGGCGUCAGGCUGGGUGGACCAAGUCAUGUUCGAAGUGGCAUGAGGUAUGUUGGGCCGAGUCACAAUCGAGACCCGUGGGCGCCGUAUCUGUAGGCUUUAAGUGAAUUGGUUACGUAUUUCUAACGGCUCGAGCUUUUGGGAUUCAUGGUUAGCGCCAACGAUCCGACAAGUGGUAUCUGAGCCAGAGGUCACGGGUGUGACUCCCGCAUGCUGCAAAUGUGUGCAAGUGCUGGAGGGGGGAUUGUUGACAUAAUGGGCUAGGCCAGCAUCCUGCCCUGUGGCAGGAGGCCAUGUGGGCCGAGUCAUGUUCGAAAUGGCAUGAGGCUAGGUAGGCCGAGUCAUCCUUCAAAGUUGUCAUUCUGAUACAAUAAAGGUUGCAAAAGGCGUAGUUGGAGAAUGAGAAGAUUGACACUUCAGAGAACCCCGCAGAUUUGCUCAUUAAGUUUUUCAGUGAUCAAGUUCAAAUACUCCGUAAACUUCAUUCACAUGUGCAGCAACAUUUCAAGAGCUUUUUUUGGGUGUUCAAGACGUCGACGAAGUUUGAGAUCGAGAAAUUUGAUUGCUCCAGCAGUUUCGCUCUAUGGCAAGUUGUCGUUUUGAUGCAAAAAAGGUUGCAAAAGGCAUAGCCGGAGAUGAGAAGAUUGGAACUUCAGAGAAUCCCGCGGAUUUUCUCAUUAAGUUUUUAGACGAUGAAGUUCAAGUAUUCUGUAAACUUGUUCGCAUGUGCAGUAGUACUUCAGCAGCUUUUGGGAUUUUUGUGGAGAAGGCAGAGAAUUCAAAUCAAGGUGGAGAUUGUUAGAUUUAUCUCGAAUUCUAAAACUGCGAGGUUUUCUAUCCCUAUUUUGUUUUGAUUAUCCUAUUAAGUUUAGAUUGUGCCAAUCUUAUUGAGAUAUUCCUAAUCUUAGUGGGUUUGUAUUCCUAAUUAUAUUAGGAUUUAGCCACUAUUAUAAAUAUACUCUUUAUUCUAUUAAUUUGGUGAGGCGGAUGAGAGAGAAAGAGUAUGGGUGUAUUUUUUGGAAUUAGGGUUUUGUGAGAGAGGCAUAUUUUGUACACUACUUUGAUUAUAAUGAAGAUCCCCGCUCCGUUUUCGCCCGUGGACGUAGGCCUAUGGCCGAACCACGUAAUAUUGUAUGCUUUAUUUUCUUCUCUCGUUCUCGAUUCUCUUUUUGUAUUUUCGCACCCGACAAACUAGAUUUUUUCAAUUUUAGGUCUAACAUCUUCUAUAGAAGGAACAAACACUCCUUCCUUUAUGGGAAUUGGUAGCAAAGGACAGUUUUUGUUGGAACUCGAGACAGAUCUAUCUUCAGAUGGUGCAUGCGCCUGCAAAUCCAUCUUCGUGCUCCUAGCAAUGAUCAGAUUUUUAAUAUUGUUAAUAGAGUCGAUAAUGUGCUUUACUUCGGUUUCCAAUUUGUUGAAUCAGGCGUCGACAUUGGAAAAUCGAGCGUUCAUCUUCUCUUUUCUUACAAACUCCUUUUCCGUCUUCAGGAAAUUUUUUUGUGCUUGAGUCAAACACCAUACAAGACUCUGAUACCAAAUGAUAUGAUUCUACCAUAUCAAUAGUAAUAAAUGAUCACUUCGAGGUGAUCGGACCUCGUAGAGAGAGAUAUUAAGAGAUAGAGAGAGAUAAGGAGGAAUAGAAAGAGAGAAAAGAUAGAACAAGAUGGCGACUAAUUUCUUAUUAUCCUCUAAACCCUAAAAGAUACUCAUUUAUAUUAUCUAACUCUCAUGUCCCGGAUUACCACGGUAACCUGCACACGCCAACAAAUCCACCGCAUAUAAGGGAAGCCCCAUUCACACGAAGCAUUUAAACCUGCAAAGCAUAACCAAAGAGCUACUACUAUAAUAGAUAUCAAAGCUAAAAUAAAUAGCAACCAUGUAUAGAGCAUAUUAAAUCACAUCCAUAACACAACCACAUCUCCACAAAAACAGUCGAAAUAGUAAAGGUAACCUUGCAAGUCCUAAUAUAUACAAUAUGCUUGUGAGGACUGAGAUUUUUCUGUGUAAUUUGAUACUUUUUAAUGAUGUUUUAUGAGCAAUUUAAUUUUAAAAUCGCUUGUCUAAUUUCAGCGGAAAAUGAGUUGAAAUAAAGACGUACGGUGGAUUUUACUAUUCACUUAAAUGAAUAGUAAACGGUAUUUCAAAUUGAGGCAAUGACAUGUGGAUGGCUUCGGUCGUGAAUCGGACACCAUUUCAAACGAUCCAAUAGGUCGAUUUUGAUGGUCUGACUAUGCCGAAGAUAAUGGUGCUGACUGAUUUUACGUUCGAUGCACGAUUUUUGAGAAAACUAUCUUUAUUGUAGAUUGGUCAAUUAUUAUUUAGUGUUCUUGCUAUUUAGAAUUAUCUGAUGCUUCGUUUUGCUUGAAAAUGCAUGAGGAAGGACCUUUCUGCGAGAGAAAGGCUGUGAAAAAGGACCAGGUCAUAAAUCAGGGAGUUUGUGGUGUUUUUUGGGCUAUCAUCCUAAACCAUGCAUGUAUAUAUAGUUAUAUUAGGGUUUCAUUAGCCCUAACCCUAAUUCCAAACCCUCUUCGCCUCCCUCUCUGGCCAACCUGAGGCCUUCCCUGCCACCAUCGUCGCCGCUCCGGCCGCCGGGAGAAACCUCUCAUUCUUUUCUCUCUUUCUCUCUCUCUUUGUUGGAGAGGUGAUUCAAGAUCCAUCCCAUGCAGCCGCCACCUUUGGACCGUCGCCAUUACCGGCAGGGCCUCCGGUGACGCUCCUUGAGCCGCUCCUGGCGCUUCCACGUUCCAGGAAUAGUUGAAGCCGAGAGGGGGUGCCCUGGUGGGUGCUGCGGCCGCGGGGUUCUACCUAACCGCCAUCGCCGCGCUACGCCGCCGCCGUCCUUCAUCGGUCUCAGGGGGACCUCCGGCACCGCCCCUGCCGUUCUCGGCCUAUCACCAUCGUCGCAUGAGGCUGCCCAAGCUGCGACCUCUUUCUGACCACAGCACCGCCACUAUCGUCGCCCUCGCUGAAAGUUUUGAGGGGCCCAAGGAUCUAUCUAGAUUGUAUCUAUCACCUAGAGGGGGGUGAAUAGGUGUACCAGCCAAAAAACACAAAUCUCGAUGCAAUAAAAAUAAAUGCGGAAAAUAAAAAGCACAUCGAGAUUUACGUGGAAAAACUCCAACUUGGAGAAAAACCCACGGGACCAACACGCGAAAAAAUAAUUCACUAAGAGAAAAGAUUACAAGGUGAUUACCGACUCAACGGACUCAACCUGUCUUAACCUCCUAUGAAUCUCGCGCAAUCCUCCGGGUUGUCCACGCCCUCACGUUCGAAUCCACGAACGCCUCCACUUCGAAUCCACGAAGCUUCAAUCACGCCGAAUCCACGACGCCACUCGAAUCCACGAGCCCACGAUCCGAAUCCACGAACCGCCUUCGUUCACACCGAAUCCACGACGCCGUUCAUGAAGAACAUCAUGUGUAUGGUGAUCCUUCGCUUAGAGUAUCGAUGAAAACUAGAGAAGCGAACUCCAAGCGAAGAGGAGAUCAAAUCGACAUAUUGAUAUCAAAAUCCAAAAUCUCGAUUUGACCUAAAAGAGGCUUUUUGUAGAAAAUAGGUUUUAGAUAAAAUCCGAGCCUCUAGGAUUUCUCAAACAUGUAUUUUCGUGAUGCUUGAUAUGUUAGAGAACCCCAAUAGCUUAUUUAUAGACUUUAGAAUCAAUUGGAGUCGGAUUAGAAAGUUUUCACGAUUUUACACUGUGUACCGGUACGCGAAAAGCUGUCACCGGUUACACAAUGACGGAACGAAAAUUUGCAUUGCCAAUGUUGAUGGCUGUAGCAGUACUGGGCACUUGCUGUACUGAUACACAAUGCAAUUUUCUGGAUUUUUCACUGUUUCGGGUUCCGCUACUUUCCGAGGCACUUUCUAAUCCAUUAAACUUUAUGUUUAUGAUUCUAAUGCCUAUAACUAAGUAUGAAUCACCAUAACAUGAAUUAAAACUUUACCUUUACGUCGUGAUUCACAUUGAGAGCUAUUUUCCAAAAUCUUCGAAAUUUUGAAUUCUUCAAUCUUCGUCAAUCCGCUUCGAUCCUUCAAGACUCCGACUUACUUCACGAAACUUGCCAAUACUUCACGAAACCUCACUCCGCCGGCAGUAGGUGCGACGGCCUCCCCUAGGUGAGGCGACCCUUCUCUGGCUGGAGCUUGCCUCGGCAUUCCGCCAGCCACCUAGGGUGUGCCCUAGCUCUGCCUGGGCUAGGUUCAGGAGUGGUCUAGAGUUGGGUUGGUUGUUCUGGCCAACAACAACAUCAUCAAACCUCCGUAGCGUGUGCACGGCUUCUCUGGGACCCUGAAGAGUCCAGUGCUCACCUCCGUUGCAACUAGGAAGCCUCAAAUAAAAGUGCUUGGUGUGUUAGCAGCUGCACAUCAUAGUUGGAUGUUUUCUCGCUGUUUUGAGGCUUUCUAAGUCACUGAUUGUGCUUCGUAUAGUGAGCAUGAGUCUCGUAGCAUCUAGACGAUUUAAAUUGAUAGGUUGCUUGGGUCCAUUGCAGCACGGAUCGUGGUAACGAGCCUAAAAGCCACCUCUAUGUUAUUAUUUGAAUAGUACUUAAUAAUAUAGUUACAUCGCUGAGUGAAUGGAGCUUCGGGGACCCAAAGCACUGCCCUGAACAAUGUGUAAUCAUUGUCGGUGACCUCUUGACUGAUUGUUGAAGGUCCAGGGGCCGUUGCAAAGAUAAAACGGGAUUCCGCGGGUAUUAAUUGGUGGAAAUACAUCGGACGUUGUUUGAGUUUGAGUUUCCACAUUUUGGCAAUGUGGACUUUUCGUAUUUUGGCAAUGUGGACAUCCCUAAUACACCGCCAAGCCUUAUUGGCUGGUUGCUACUACCAUCUCUAAAACCUAAAGAUGAUAGGUUAGCGGCGGAGGGUUUCGGAGCCAAAAUCGGCAAUUACGGAAACCCAUUUCGGCAGAUUCUCGCUUAAUCGAUCCCUCGAUUUUUAUUGGGGUUGCUUGCUGCCCAAACAUCUAAUUUCAUGCGUUUGGGGUCAGCGAUUGGCUUACGUGAGGAUCAAGAACUUUCGGAGCUCUUUGUGGGUCUCGAAGGCGUCCCUGUGAGUUGCCGAAAGCUUUUGGCGAGUAUAGGAAAAUCAAUUUUCGUAACUGUUCUUUCGAGAGUUAUAGGUCUUGUUGGUUUGUUUGGAGUCUUGUGAGGGUAGGAUUUGACUCGGUGGAUCUUUCAUAUGAAUGGCAGACAGUUUCGUGCAUUCUAGAAGUUGAGUGCACGAUAGUAUAGAUGGGUACUUCAAGCUGAUAGUCAGUGAGAUCGUAUCAUCACUAUUCGCUAUCUCUACCUUUCUAUAUCUGUUUCUUUCGUCUCUACAUGUCGGCGUUGCUUCAUUUACCAUUCGCAUAUAUAUGCUUUGUUACUUGCAUAGUGAUAGUUGUUCUUAGACAUGUAGACCAAGCUUGUAUAUAUUGACCAUAUGUGGACUUUUAGGCCUUGUCAUGUGUUUCGAUCUGGUUGAUCAAGAUUCGGCAUCUAUACACCCUAGCAUCUGGCUUCGGCCAAGGCAUCGGCUUAUGCCAAGUUUGUAUUAAGCAUAUUGCAUGACUUCGUCAUGACAUUUGGGUGUAUUCAUUGACACCAGGUUGGUUUGACCAUCGACCAGAGGUGUACUUAUUCGGGUAGGUCGUCUAAUUGGGCGCAUGGAUCGGGUCGGUGCAAGUUAGUGACAAGCUCCACCUGAGGUCAAAGGUCCAAUAUGGUAGGAUAUAGAUUGGGUACAGGCUUUGGUUUCAACCCUUUAGGCAUAUACUGCAUAGUAUUUUAUUUACAGUAGCGGCUUUUAUUCCUUACUCUUUAUCAUACAUAUUGUCAUAACUAUUGUAGUUCUCUUUCAUAUCACGACACUUGUAUCAGUUUGUUCUACUUUUAUUGUUUUUCAGUGAUUACAACUUGCCUUUGUGGCUCUGUCAUACGCACUAGAAAACCUCGUUGUGGUUUCUCAUACCCUUCUUCCCAGGUGGCAUGGGCGAGGAGUUAGACUACGGUGCGACGGAAGAAUGGCCUAGCUAGCUAGCAUUAGUGGUCUUUACCUUGCUUCAUUUUUUUAUUGUAUUCAGUAGUUUAAAUAAAUGAAUGGUCUAGUUAGAUGAUCGAGUUAUUAUUGCAUGAAUAAUAAUCUUGGAUUGUAUGAAUUUGGAAUUUCAAUUAUGCAUGUACUUGGAAGUUUUUGGACUUUAGUAUUUCUACUUGUAGAAUUAUGUUAUAUGGUUUCUACCGCUCGUGAUAGUUAGUUUUCAAAAUAUUGAGUUUUCGUGUAGAAAAUAGUUUUCAAAAGGAUUUUGAAUGAUUUUCGAUUGAUGGUUAUUUAGAGUUUAAAAAUAAAACUUUUAGGUUGGGAGCGCUUUUAAAUAGGAUGAUUGUUGUAUUGUGCAUCGCAUCAUCUAGCGCCUAAGAAGUGCUUAGAAGCAUGCAUCAUUCCUACGGAUGGCUAACUGUAUAGAAAUGCAUUGUAUUGAUUGCUUGUGGAUUUCGUGAAUGUGGGUUGUGAAUUGUGAUCCUAUAUGUUAAGAUAUAAAGUGGUACGUCGUACAAAUACAGAGAAGACUCUGUCCAUGUGGGUAAAGGAACUUGUAUUUGUGGUGGGUCUGUGCGUCACAUGGACCAAGCUAUUUUUAAAAGAAGAAAUUGGCACAUUUUUUGCAGCUUUGCUUUCUAAACCAGUAUCUUUUUAUACAAAGGCUCUUCCAAAUAGGCCUCGGGGUGUGACAAUGCUCUACCAAAAAAUAGUGUUAUCAAGUGCUCCACUAGUACAUCUAUCUCGACUAGGAGAAGCUAACUAUCCCGCAAUCCCCUUACCUCAGUCAGACGCAGCAAUAGGAAUAGAGAGCUCUGUAAAAUAAAAAAGGUAACAACAAAAUGUGUGAGAACUACUAGGCAAGUAGUUUCCAAUAGGUACAAUCACAGACGACGACGAUCUACCCACUAGGCCUACCGAAGACAAGAGAACUAUACUGAGCUGUAAAGCAAGAUAUAUAAAAAUGAGCUAGAAAGAAAUCUACAGCUACCAUGCCUUUAUACUAUAGCUGCUCGAGAUAGCAACAGAUAACUGGGAUGCAUCAACUAGUUAUAGGGUACUUCAACCAUAACCCAAUCUCAUCGACCGACUCGAGGGUCCGGUCAAGUCUGCGCCUACCUACUGCCACGGCACCACUUUUGCAGAUUGCCCAUUAAAAUAUAGGUCGCUCAUCAGGGUAGCCGCAACAUCAACACUAAAGACAAACACUCGAGCAGUACUCGAUGGGCGCGACCCCACUGAGUAUAUAAUAUGUAUCUCUGUUGAGCUCAAUACAGUUCAUGCAGGUUGUAGUUAAUACAAAUAAUCAACCAGAUUCUAAAACCACUAUCCACGUGUCCUAAACAUAAUCUGGAGUGUAACCCAAUGAUCUGGAACCAUCGUAUCAUCCACAGCAAUAGUUGAACUCCAAACAACCCACUAACUAAUCUCACCCCAAAACCUGGGAAUGCAACCAUCCCAUACUAUCACAACCCUCACCCACUAUCCUCGGUAAAGAAUUGUCACGCCCCGGGUUUCAGCGGAAGCCCACCGGGCGUGUGCACAGAUCCGCCGUGUGCACAGAUCCGCACAGAUUCACCAAACCAUAGUUAGUUAAUUCGGAUUUGGGAAAAUUUUGAUACAGAUAUAAUACGCAUAAAAUUGAUUUUCUAAUUUUUAAAUUCGUUGAAAAAUUCGGCUUAAAAAACGAAUUUGGUAUAAAAUAUAAAAUAUAAGAUAAUCUAUAUUUGAAAAUAAAAAUUAUAAGUUUUUUAUUCAUAUUUUCAAUAAUUCGGGAAUAAUUCGCAAAAAAUUCGCGAAUAAUUCGGCUGGCCCAAAAUUCGCGAAUAAUUCUCUUUUUUUCGGAAAAAUUCGUAAAUGGACCGUUUAAUUUGGAUUUUCAAUCAUUCACAAAUAAUUCGCGAAUUAACUAACUAGGCACGAAACACCCCCGACAUACACAAGGCAUCUACAACAAACAUAAAGAAAAGUAUAUACCAUUCCUAACAUGAUAAUCAGAGCAAAAAAUAUAAUUCCACUAGAUACAUAAACUCAAACUAAAUACAUCUCCUAGACUACAAUCCUCCAAACAAGAAGUAUAACAUACACACUAGGAAGUUCAAAUAAAUUACAAGAUUAUAUCUUUAAACUAAACCAAAGAAAGCUUUUUACGGGCUCGUCUAUCUCAACAUCAAGGAGGCUCUAGCUAGUCGCUGACCCCUUGCCACGAACCCUAACCUUUCCCGUGCGGAAGGCUCUGAAACAAAAACAAUCAACAAAUAGGAGUGAGAACUAUUAAACAAUAAUUUUCAGUGGGUAAGCCGCCGAGAGUGGCGAAAUACACCAUUAGGUUAACUGAGGCAUGAAUAAAAUACAACAAGUAGGAGAUGUACAUGCAACAGUUAAUUGAAAUGGUUCAUAUAUAAACAUGCCUCAACAAGAUAUGUUUUCUAACAUGUCUGUUAUACUAAUUAUCACAUAUGCAAGUUUUGUAAUUCAUGCAAGUUACAUGUUUGUCCAUUUUUAAACUAUAUGCCAUAAUUAACAAGGAAUUCCAUCAUUAUAAUAAACUGGCUAAUAUUAUCAUAUUACACUAACAUAAGAAUGUCAUUACAACUACUGACUAACAGGAAUGUCAACUUUCUAGUGUGUUCAUUUACUAGGUAUGCCUCAACUAGUGUCACAAGGUAACAUCUACUAGUAUGUCCAUCCAAUGUCAAGUUUAUUUACAUUUAUCCAAUUAACGAGGGACUUACACGUGGUAAAGUUCCGGCUCGUGCUGUGCCUAAUGGCCCCGUGAUAGUCAACACUCCCCACGGCAAUCCACUUCGGCGCUCAAUCCCGCACUGGCGAUCUGUCGUCGCAAGGCUAACUCCGGAGUGCCGGCUUGUAGAGAGCGAUCCUCACAAGCUUGUGCGAAUGAGCACAAUGGCAAGCAAGCGUGAUCAAUAGCAUAGUGUCCACAAGUCACAUACUCAAUCAUCAUGUCUAAAACAUGGAAUCAUAACAUCGACUCGAAGGUCGAGUACUAUAUCACUUAUGUCAUGUUUUGCUAACAGUUAACUUGGUUUAAUUCUACACUAGUUUCACCUCUCAUUGAUCCAAUAAAAGAUAUACUAUUUUCCACUAUAAUACCACAGUCGUUCAAUGAACUACAAGAGUGUUAACUAACCAUGAUUUAAGUCAUGCACAUAUCCUGCUACACGAGCCUCCACUUCAUGGAGUAUAAGAUAAACAUGAAAGUAAUUUCAUUGAACCGAACAAUUAUAUACAAUUGCCCCUUUUUAUUCGCCCAAAGGCGUAGCCAUCCUUUUGUCAUGUUAAAGGCGUAGCCAUCCUUUUUGUCAUGUCUAACAUGAAAGGCAACUAUCGACCUGAAUGUAGAGUACAAUGUCAUAAUGCUCACUUAGUUAUGUAAUUAGUUAAGUGCAAUAUGCUUAACUUUAUAAGUCAUAUAUCUCAACCAUACAAUAGGUCAUAUUUACCCUUGUCUAAAAUGCAUACAUUAACUGUCAUGCAAAUUAUGCAAAUUGAACUCAGUAUUUCCACUAACCAUGCGAAGUCCUGUAGGACUUUCAUUUACUCACCUCUAUCAUGCGUUCUAGUGUUGUAUAAGAGGAAAAUGCAUUUACAUGCCAUCUAGUGUACAAGUCCACAUGCUAAUGCUCUACUACAUAGAGUAUGAAAUUUCUACAGGUAACAUGAUUGUAUCAUGCAUUCGAAAAUUCUACUAGAUCAUAAUUAGUAUGAAUAUACACCAAAUUAUGUCUUAUAAUAAUAACGAAGACGUAGAGGGAGUUCACCCAUUUCGGUAAGGUCAAACCCACCAGAUAUUCUUCGAACUCGUACGUUUGCUCGCGCGAAGAUGUCUUUUAGCCUCCCAACACCCUAACAAAUAUUCUAAAUGAAUUAGGAGCUUCUAACAGCCUCCCACAAAAUCCCUCAAAAUUCAACCCAAAAAUGGGUAGAAAAUACCUUAAAUAGACAGAGACUUAUCCCAAAACUUCAAUUGAGGUUGGGAUACUUCAAUUCCCACCUAAACAAGAAUUUUGCAACCAUUAAUUAAGCUCCAAAAGCUCAGUCAAGAGAAACCUCAACACUAAACUCAAUUUCUACCAAUUCCACCAAAAUCACAUACCAAAAAUGGCAAUUAAGUAGCUAACCUUUCAAGAGCUCCAAACUCAGCCAACCUCGGGCUAGGGUUGGAGAUUUAUUCUCAAAACACUCCCUUCUACACUUCCAAGAUCCCUCCAAGAAUCACAACACAAGCCUCCAUGGAAAAAAGAAGAGAAAAGGGAUCAAUUCCAACAAUUUCCACCAAAAGUUGGAAAGAAAUCUAGAGAGAGAAAGAGAAGAAGCUCACCUACCAUUGCUCAGGUUCUAGCACAAAAGAACAGCUGGGGGGGGGGGGGGGGGGGGNGGGGGCGGUUGGGGAUAAACACGCUGCCCUAUUACCAAAAGACCCCUCACCAACUCACAAACAAAACAUUCUGCCACAUUGAGUACCGGUACUCGAAUUGGAGUAUCGGUACCCGGCACUCAGACAUACAAAACCCAAGUGUUGAACCUUCGGGUUUAAUGCAGUGUACCGGUACCCAGCCCAGUACCGGUACUCAACACCCAUUCUCAAACAAGAGAGCAGCCCAUUCUGGCAUGCAAUGGGGUUCCGGUACCUCACUCAGGUACCGAUACUCAACACUCAAAACCUGCAGUUUGCAGAUUUUAGUGUCAGUAAUCCGAUCUCACACUAAUAGAACUUAAGUUAGGUGUCGGUACACUACCAGCAACCCUCAAAAUAGCUAGAAUAGUUCUAAAUACUAUUCUUACACUAGAACCUUACAAUUUGCUAAAGUUCAGUGUAUUACAAGAACUCAAGCCCCCACUAUCCUUGGUAAAGAACUCAAGUAACCAUGAUGCCAACAGUGUAGGGUUGACUAAUUCAAUCAUCUUUAUCAAGUGAACAAUAUGAAUGAUAAAAAUUCACCUAGACAUUUGGGAUGCAAUUUUUCGCUAGUAGUUAAUCUUACAAUACAACUAGAUUUCACUACUAAUAACUUUAAUUUCAAUAACUAUCCCAUAAAGGAUACUACCCAUGUGACCUUGGCACAAUCCAGUAUGCAUACAAUUUGUCCGAAACCGUCAUACCAACCCAUGGCAAAAGUGAAUCUCUAACUAGUAUACCAACUGACAUCACCCCAACUCCUAAGCGUAAAGUAAUCCUACACUACCAUAAAUAACCACCGCUGACUACCUGGGCAUAAUCAGUUGAAACUGAUACAACAAAUUAAAUUAUUGCAUGAUUUAGUUUGAGGAAAAUACACUACAGUGCAUGUGGGAGGAUUAUCAUUUCACCUAGAUGGCUAAAGAAUUAAUUGCAAGUGGAAUAUCAAUGCCAAGCAACUAGGUUCAGGUUCAACAUAAACUAUGUCCAAUUUACUACUAACUAACUAAGAACAAUGUCUAGUUUUCUACCAAAUAACAUACUGUAUACGUGCUGGGUUACAAGCUAGACAUAGUGAAUAGUCUAUUGUAUUCGGGAAUCUUAAACCCACCUGAAAAAGGAAAAACUAAUCUAAUAGUGGAAUAAACCGCUCAAAGACCUCCUCACAGUGCAGGAAGACUCCACAAGACCGAAACUCCAACCACUCAAGUAAAACCAAUAGGAAAUCUCCGGAUCUAGCUAAAGAAAAAAGGCCAUUAGUCCUCAUCCUCCUCACUUAGUGACGAACAACACCCGCUGGCCAAGCUUGCAGAAGAACUCCACCUUGGGCAGGCGCACAGUCCCUUUGUUUCAGCUCCAGAACCAGUAAAGGAGAUCUAGGAAGUAGGGAAAGAGAAGGAGAUGGAGUGAUGGUAAAAGUCUCUGGAUGAUUCAGAAGUGAAAAAGAUGUGAACUGUGAACCCCUGGACAUGUAUAAAGAAAGAACAAUUGCAACGGCACCUUAUAAACUUAACGCACCUCAGCCCAAACUACUAUUUUGGGGCACCUGAAUUGAGCUUUCCAGUACCCAAACCUAUCGUAGCUCCACCCAAAUGAUCCCGCAGGCACCCGGUGAGAAGUGCGGAUCCAUUGUAACUCCAUCCGAAAGUUUUCGGGCAUCCGAAACUGUAGUGUACCGGAUUUUUUUUUUAUAUAGAAGCAAGUGUAAAUAAAAAUAGUGUAAUAUACUAUUUUAUCGGACUUAAAGAAAUAAAAUAUAAGUCGAAAAUGACUUGUGCUGAGAUCGAAACGAAAACAGAAGAUUUAGAAUUUUCUGUGAGAAAGAGGCUGAUAUUUUAGCAAAAAAUGCACAGUGUCAAAAAAUUAUGAAAACCUGGGAAUAUGUCGGGAUUAUUUUUAUGAGGUUAGAUUUAAAGUUCAUGUCAAUCCGACACCCGGAAGGUGAAAAAUAAAAUCCGACUGCUAUCUACUAGAGAUUAUAGUUCGGUAGGACUUUCGGUGACCAAACAUGGUCUAAAAUGGAAAGUUAAGAUAUAUUCCGUUUAUUUAGCAAAAACCGAGCCUGACUGUGAAAUUUGAGCGAAAACGGACAUUCAGAAGGGCCGGCGAAAGGUAUUUGUACCUGAGCUGCUAAACUGAAAAUAGUAAUAGUGUUAUGUGAGGGGUUUACUUGGAGGUGAAGUUUCAUAUAUAUAUAUAUAUAUAUAUGAGGGACUUUUUCUCUCAUUCUCCACCACUUAAACCAAAAGAGAAACCUUCCCUUUCUCUCUCUAAACCUUUCUCUCUCCUAGAGUUUUGCUCCAAUAGUGGAGAUUUGGUGGAAGAAGCUUACUUGGAGAUGAAGCUUUCUUCUUCUUCACCAUUGGCUUGAAGAGAGCUUGGGUUUGAGGUGAGCUUUAUGGGAUUUUAUGGUUUUAGGUUAGGGGUUUUGUGUAAAUCCCUUCUAAAUGAGUUUAAUUGGAAUCCUAGUUGAUUCUAAACCUUGUUAUUGCAUAAUCUAUCAUGAGAUUUGAAUUUUAUGCAAUAUAAGGGUUUUUAGAGUUUCAAAAGAGGGCUUUUGAUCAUGAGAUGUUUUGAUCUCAAUUGAUCAUAUGUUUCCACAAUUGAAGGUAAAACCGACGCGGAGGAUCACUCGGAUUGAGAUUCCGUUGAGCCGGUGGUGGUCAAAGUGAAGAAAAUCCUAUUUUUGCUUCGUUUGCCGCAGUCAGAAGAAAUCGACGGCCAUAAAUCGCGCUGCUAGGCUAUCCACUUCGUGUCGACGCCACGAGGUGGGGGGUGCUAUCCGAAAUAACCGAGUUUCAUUCUAUGUCUAAGUUCUACUAUUAUUGACCAUAUAUCAUCAUGUAUAGAAUUGUGAGAAUCCUAUGAGUUGUGGUAAUUUCAUGCUUAGUGUGAGGGAUGAUGAUAAUCCAUGAUUGCAUGAUACUUGUAGGAAUAUUUAUUUGCAUGAUGUUGAGAUAGAUGUGGACAUGUAUAUUGCAUGAGAACUUUUAUAUGAUGCCAAUAUUGUAACACACUGAAUCUUUGCAAAUUGCGAGGUUCAAGUGUUUGGUCUGUGCUCUAAGCCUUUCUGUAAGUUUUGGGAUGCCCAAGGAUCUAUCUAGAUUGUAUCCAACACCUAGAAGGGGGUGAAUAGGUGUAACGGCCAAAACCUCAAAUCUCGAUGCAAUAAAAGUAAAUGCGAAAAAUAAAAAUCACACCGAGAUUUACGUGAAAAAACUCCAACUUGGAGAAAAACCCACGGGACCAACACGCGAAAAAAUAAUUUACUAAGAGAAAAGAUUACAAGGUGAUUACCGACUCCACGAACUCGACCUCUCCUAACCUCCUAUGAGUCUCGCGCAAUCCUCCGGGUUGUCCACGCCCUCACGUUUAAAUCCACGAACGCCACGUUCCAAAUCCACGAAACACCUCCACUGCGAAUCCACGAAGCUCUAGCACUUCGAAUCCACGAAGCUUUCGAUCCGAAUCCUCGAAUCCCUUGAUCAUGCCGAAUCCACGACGCCGUUCAUGAAGAGCAUCAUGAUUAUGGUGAUCCUUCGCUUAGAGUAUCGAUGAAAACCAGAGAACAAACCUCCAAGCGAAGAAGAGAUCAAAUCGACAUAUAGAUAUCGAAUUACAAUAUCUCGAUUUGACCUAAACGAGGCUAAUAUGUAGAAAAUAGGUUUUAGAAGAAAUCCGAGCCUCUAGGGUUUCUCAAACAUGUAUUUUCGUGAUGCUUAAUCUGUUAGAGAACCCCAAUAGCUUAUUUAUAGACUUUAGAAUCAAUUAGAGUCGGAUUUGAAAGCUUUUUAGAUUUUUAUAUUGUGUACCGGUACACUUUUAAGCUGUUACCGGUUACACGAUGACGGAACAGAAAACUUGCGAAACAUUGUAACCGAUGACAUGUCGCUGGUUGUACUGGAUAUCACGCCCCUGGCCCGAGACCCCUACCAAUUUGGCACGGUUCAGGCGCGGCGAACGGACGCCGAACGAACAGCACCUCCCCUGUCCACCGAAGGCUCAACAACAGAUCGAGUACAAGAAUUUACCCCGGAUUUUAAAUUCUAUAAGUACACAAUCAACGGGGCACAAACAGUGCCAACAACAAAGAGCAAGUAAUCCACAAGAUACACGAGUGAAAUAAAGAGAGAACUUACUAACUAUUACACCACAUUUGCAUCUUGUAUACAAUUACAUUUUUUUUCUCAAAAUGAAUACAUAUUUUCUUCUAGUACAUAGCUCUCCAAAGUCCUCACCUACAUGAAUCUCUCUUAAAUACAUAGGUGUGCUAAUGCAAAAGGAAAGCUACUACUCUACCAAGAAUCCUGACUGGUCGGGUGCGAUGCCCUUGCCGCGGUCCUCGCCCGGCAAACCUGUACCUAGCCUUGGAAAUAGAGUGGGGUGAGAACUAUCUUCCAUAGUUUCCAGUGGGAUCGGCCGCCGACUCCGCCGAUCUCCCCACUAGGUCCAAGUGGGCACAAGUAACAACGAGAUAGAUAGAUAGAUAUAUAUAUCAAAGCUGUAAAGACAUAAUAGGAAAACUAUACUACUAUGCCCAUAAUCAUGUGUAAUGAAUGCAUGCAUUAUAUAGUAAAAGGUUACUAUCAUGUUAACAAGUUCUAUCCAUGUUCGAUAAGCAAUGUUCAAUGUCAUUAUUAACUUUUCAUUUACGCAAUCUGUAGCAAAACCCUUGGGUUUGCCUAUGACUCACAUAUCCAUCCCAUUGGGUAAGGAGGCUCCAUGUGCCCCCGAACUCGGGACUGUCUGCGGACAACUCUGUCCUAAUCACCCGACACUCCGGUGUACUCGACGACCAAUCCUCUCCAUGUGAGGAUAUGGAUGGCUUUACCACCCCAAAUAACAGACUGUGAGCUUGAUCUAUCCUCUCCACGUGAAGAUACCCUACGAACUAGUGCCAACAUUUCUCUCGGAACUCAACUAUUCCGGCACUCAUGCAUAGUUACUUAGCUCUACUAAGUUCAUUGUUCACGAGUCAUUUUCUAGGAAAUCCACCUACCCCUAAGUUCAUGAACCUUUAGUGUCAAAUACACUACAUAAUGCCACUCGUUCUCUUCUUUAAACAUUUAGAUGCCACUCUCUAUGUCACUAAAUAACCAUCGAGUUCAUCUCUUCACUUUAGCACUAUAGGAUCCACGUUCCGACCUAAUCCUUACCUAUCCAUUUCACCAAGUAUUCCAUGCACACUAGGUUAACAUUUAGAAGCAUAAGGAAAAAGUGCUACAAUGCAAUCCUACAAUACAACAUGCAAGAGAUGAGAUUAUAUGUUAUUCUAAGACACAAUAGAGAGUUCGGUUGCUUCGGGAUGACACCCCCCAUCUUUUGAGGGUAUGAAGGUUCUAGAAAUGCCUCUCGCCGAACGUUAUGAUGAUGUCUCGGCCUCCUUGGUCCAAGACGGCGCUCAAUCGGCUAUAUUUCGCCGAUAGCUUUUCAUCCGCUCGACGAAUCGAAAAUCCGACUUCGCCCCCGCGUUUAGACACCUAUCAAUUAGGUUUACAAACUAUCAAAUGAGAUCAAUCUCAUCAUUUAUCAAAAAUCCCAAUUUGGAGCCCUAGGCUUGCACCUAUAGCAAACCACUCCAUCCAAACCCUAGAUUCUAGCAUUAAUCUAUUUAGAAGCAUGCUAGAGGUCCAUUUGACCCAUUUCCAAAGCCAAAAAUCCAAAACCCUUAGUUCCAUAUGCUAGGGUUUAGUAGCUUACCUCUUGAGCUACUCCAAAGGGAUGAAGAUGGAGAGAAGAAGAGUGGUAGAGAUGAUCUUCUCCAAGCUCCCCUUCUUCUUUUUCUUCUCCUCCUUCUUCUUCUUCUCUUUUCUUUCUUCUCCUUCUCUUUUCUUUCUUCUUUCUAGAGAGAGAGAGAGAGAGAGAGAGAGAGAGAGAGAGAGAGAGAGAGAUGGGAGUGAGGGUGGAAAUAAGAGAGGGAGAGAGAGCCCUUUGCUCUCUAUACCCCUUACUUAUGUCACAUUUUCAGUUUAGGCCCUCCACUUUUGCUCCUCUCAAGUUACUCUGCCUGGGCAGAUUUCGCGCAGAGGGACCGGUCCCUGGUCAGGAGAACCAGUCCCCUAGGACCUGCCCAAUUUUUACGCGUACGGGAACCAGUCCCUACCCGAGAGACCGGACCCUUGAGGACCGGUCCUUCCCGAGAGACCGGUUCCCGAGAGCUGACCUCUCGGGACUUGGCCAAAUUUUCACUUCUCCCGCGGGUUUCACCUACGGGGACCGGUCCCUCAGCCCAGGGACUGGUUGCAUCAGGCAACCCCGCAACCACCAACUACGGGGACCGGUCCUUCCCUGCCAGGGACCGAUCCCCGAGAGCAGAAUCUGCCAAGUGCAGAUUUUGCACUAUUUGCUCUCGUGGACUCAACUCCAAAGUACUUUUUGUGUUUUGGACAUCUUUAACUUUUCCGAAGGAUACCCACUCGACAAAUAGUCGAUCCUGGACGAAGUAUAACUAUCGAAUUUCGAGAAUUCACUUCCUUACACCGGAACACAAUUUGUACCGGUACACAUUCAAUGUUGUACGGGUACACUUUGCAUUUUCUUGAUUUUUUCAUGAUUUUGGAUUUUGCAAAGUUCCGAUGCACUUUCUAAUCCUGUAAACAUUAAUUUUCUGAUUCUAAUGCCUACAACUAAGUAUGGAUCACCAUAACAUGAAUUAAAAACUUACCUGGGUAUGGUGAUUCACGUCGUUAGUUAUUUUUCGAUUUCUUCGAAGUCUUGGAUUCUUCGAUCUUCGACGAUACGCACCGAUCCUUCAAGACUCCGACUCACUUCACGAAACUUGCCAACACACAAGGCUUAACACUUUCCACAGUUUCUAGAGGGUCGUAAAUAGUGUUCCAACCCAUGACACGCAUCCCGAGAAUUGAGGUUUAAAACUUUGCACCAAAACUCAAAAAGUUGGAUUUUUGGUCUGCUCUCGGGUUUGCCUCAGUAGGGUUGUGUACCGGUACAGCCUUGAUGGUUGUACCGGAAUCCAUUUUGUACCGGUACACCUUGAUGGUUGUACCGGUACAGAUGUGGUUUUCUGCCAACCCGAGGCUCAGGUUUGCGCAUUCGGGGGAGUUGUACCGGUACACUUUCAUGUGUACCGGUACACUUUGCCAGAUUGCAAACUGGCAGCUUUUGAGGGGUGUAUUUGCUAUUAUUGCUUCUCUAUACAUACCCCACGCCCUUAGAGAGUUCCCUGAGCUGGGAAACAGUGGAGACAAGGUAGGGAAGCCUCUCUCUUUCCCUAUUUGGAUUUGAUCUCCAUUUUGCAUGGAUUUUGGUGGAUUAAUCCCCUAUUUUUCUUCUUGGUGCAAUUUUCACCUUGGGAGAAGCUUGGACUUCGAGAUUGGAGCUUGAUAGGAGAGACAUCUUCGAACCUAGUGAACUUUGAUCCUUGUUUGAAGCUUCUAAGAGGUUAGCAACUUGUUUCUUCCUCUAGAUUCAAGCUUUGAUAGUUUAUUUUAGAUAAAACCCUAGAAAUGAAAAGUUAGGGUUUAUUUGGGGGUUUUGGAUUUAGGGCUUUUGGAGCUUGAUUUCUUGGAUUAGAACCUUCCUCUAGGUUGGAUUGGAAGGGUUCUAGCUCCCAUUUGGAGAUCGAGAGAGACUAUCACCAUCUUAGGUGAGUUUUGCCCCUUUUCGUGAUUUGGUUAAAGAUCAACCUAUGUGUUGUUCGUAACGUUCGUGUAACUCUCCUUUUACUAUCUUUAGGGUGCUAGGAGAAUAGUAGGCAACUUCGUUCGGCAAAACGAAGGGUUCCGAGGGGCUCUAGGUGGGUUUGGCCUCAUCAAAUAGGAUAAAAUUUCCUCUAUGGUGGUUUUACUCUCCGUAAAGUGGAAUUUCAUGCAUAUUUAUAUUAGAUGCAUUAUUUGUGAAUUUUAGAAUGCUUAGAAUGCAUAUAUUAUAUACAAUGUACAUUUAGACCUCUAUGUAGUAGAGAGCUAUUCCUGUUGGGAUCAUGAAUAUGGUUAGCAUUCUUAUACUUGGAUUGAGACCAUGUUUCAUUCAAUGAAAAUGACAAGUACAUUGUACCCUUGGACUUAUAGUGGCAUUGAGCUUGGCCUAUGUAUGAACUUAGUAAGCUAAUGUCAUAAAGGGGCAUUGGGCUUGGAAUGUAUUCGGGACAUAGUAAAACCUAGUGUCAUAAAGAGGCACUAGUGUUGGAACAAGAUUUAGACAUAAUGAGAUAUAUUGCCAUAAAGGGGCAGCGAAUAUAAUGAACAGUUAAACCUUCACUCUGAGACAUAGAACUAGACCGUUGGGUUGCUAGUGACUAUUACCAUGUUAGAGACAUGAUGAUCAAGUUCUUGAGACGACGACUAUACUUGCUUGUCAUUUGUGCUCAUUCGCAUAUGCUUGUGAGGGUCGCUCCCUACAAGCCGGCACUCCGGAGUUAGCCUACGCGACUUAUGAUCGCUCAUGCGGUAUUGAGAAGCCUACAGGGGCCUGGCGGGAUAGACUCAUUUCUCGAGUGGGAAUGCUGGAGCUAUCACGGGCACUUAGGCGGCACAAGCCGGAUUACCUUGUGUAGGUCCUUAAUUGGAAAUGAAAAUCGACACAGAGUCAUAUAAGUAAUAAUCACUACUAGACAGUUCAUAGUAGUUGGAUUUAUCGGGCAUUUGGACAUGUAGUGUAUUUGAUAGUAUUGCUUAUUACAUUAUAGCAUACCUGUUUGCCAUGUUGGAGCAUACUAGUCAUGUAUUGGUAUUUCGGACUAUGAUAGAAUAGAUGUACACCAUGUUGACAUCAUGUAUAUUUAUGGCAUUGUAGAUUAGCAUUUCAUUACAUGCUUUACAUAACGCAGCUUACUAGUAGUUCUUUUAUCUACUUAUGCUCUUGGGCCUAGUGGUGCAUUUUACUCAGGUCAGUAAUUGCCCACUGGGAACUAUAAAUUAUAGUUCUUACGCCCCCUGUUUUAUGUUUCCUUUCAGAGCCUUCCACGCCGGGAGAGGUUAGGGACCACGGAAAGGGUGUCGCCUCGAACUAGCUAGCUUUGGCGAGGGACUUGUCGAUAGGUGGUCUACCUCUCAUUGGUUCUUUUUUUGGAGAGGUUGAGAGUUGUACCUGUGUAUAGAGACCACCCUCUCUUUUGUGUGUAUUUUGAGACGGUUGUUGUAUUACUUUAUGUUUUACUUGAGUUGAGUAGUUCUCUUUCUUCCAUUUCUGUUGAUAGAAUUAGUUGUAUACUUGCUCUGAUAUCUCUAGUUACUGUUUACUCUUAUCUUUCAUACCUCUUUGUUGUAGACGCCUUAUAUGUGCAGGCAUAUGGUGGGUCUGGGUACGCACCGGGCGGGCCUAUGCCGGGUUCCGGGGCGUGACAAAUAUAGAUGUACUUAUGCAUGUUGCAUUGAGUUGCCAGUGGACAUAUGCAUGAGGAUAUGAUGUGAGAAUAGACUAGAUUCAUGAGGAACUAGUAUGUGAACCAAUGACAUUGUAAAAUUGGAAACCAUUGCAUAUGUGGCCGUCUUGAACAUAUAUAGCAUGCUUUGUGAUUGUUUGGGGUGUGGGAUCCCCGAUGUCCUCGGGCAGGAGGACUAGAUCAUACUUGAUUCAUCUGUUGUAUUUGAGGAGGUCGCGCCUCCCAUUUCUGUGAGCUCCAGAGUUGUAUCACAGUGAGAUUGAGACGGGGGAGGUGGUCACGACGGUGUGCCCCCGGCAGACGGUCACGGUGGCGUGAUGGUGUGGACUGAGUCGUGGUUCGACCUUGGGGUGAACCGAUUGGAUUGAAUCAAGGCAUGUUCAUGGCAUUACAUAGAGUGCAUACAUGGUAGAACUUAAACUUAUUCUUGUUGACAUGAUUGGUAAAGGCAUAGCUGCACAUUUGAAGCAUGAUGUAGAUGUAUAUGAGCAGGUUAGGCUUAUUGUUUAUCUAUUAUCUCUUUGACAUAUUGUCCUAUUUAUUGUUUCUAUGCCUUUCUUAGACCUAGUGGAAAAAUCGGCGAGGUCAACGGCCGAACCCACUGAGAACUAUGAAUAAUAGUUCUCACACCCUAUUUUGCAGAGCCUAGUACGAGUACAUGCGUCGAGGAUCACGGCAAGGGCGUCGCGCCCUAGAUAGAGUGGACCACCGGCGUUAGCUCACUACCCUCGAGUAUAGAAAGGAAAGAAUGAUAUGUAAAACCCUUUUGUGAAGAAAUGUGAUGUAUAUGAGAGAUGGCAUUUUGGUUGUAUGUAUGAGAAGUAAAGUGAAAUAUGUAAUGGUUCAUGUAUGUGAACAAGUGAUGUAAUAGAUAGUUUAAAUUCUCUUGUAUCUGUGAUUGCCUCUCUCAAUGUUAAAUACUAACAUCUCUUGUUGGAUAUGCAUGCAUAGACUUUGUUACGUUUCGGGCAGACAGGGGAAACUCUGUCCAUUCGGCGGGUUUGUUUCGGGCCCGAACUGUCCAAAUUGGUGGUGUCGGGUCGUGACAGAAACCUUGCGCCUGAAACUUUUGUAGUCAUUGUACACGUAUCGAGCCAACGACACAGAUCACCACCAACUCCAAAUCCAGGCUACAGUAUUUUCGAGGAUUCGAAGUAACAUCAAAACUUGCAUAGGAAUUCUGGGCGCCCUAAAUACUUUCUGGGUGUCCAAAACCUAUAAAAACUUUAGUUUCAACAAGUUUUUAGGUUCCGACAUCAUUUUCGCAUCUAUUUCCUGCUAAAACAACUCCAGUUCGGCCCAACACCACACAGACAUGCUGACCAGUUGCCCACACUCCCAAACCCAACUAAUAAGCUCCAGAACGCCACAUAAUAUGUCCGAUGAAUGUGUUUAUAGUAAAAGGAAAAUAGGGAAUCAAGUUGUAAUCAUGUGCUUAUAUGUAGAUGAUAUAUUAAUAUCUGUAACUAAUAUGGAUGCGAUCCAUUAUGAUAAAAGUUUGUUAACUGAAAAUUUUAAUAUGAAAGAUUUAGGUGAGGCAAAUAAUCCUAAAUACAGAAAUCAUUAGGAAGGAUAUUUUGAUAAUUUUAUCACAAGAGCAUUAUGCCGAGCAAUUGUCAAAGAAAUGGAUACUUUGAUUUAAAAUCUGUUAGUACUUUAACUCUAUGACGCACCUAAAGGAAAAUACAGGUGAUUCUAUUUGUGUUGAUAAAUAUGCACAAAUCAUAGUGUCAUUAGUUUUUUAGUUAAUUUUACUAGACCUAAUUUAGCUUUUUCUUCAAAUAAGCUAAGUAAAUAUUUGUGUUACCCAAGUAGAGGGCAUUGGUUAGCACUUAAAAGAGUACUUGCUUUUAUCAAAGGCUUUCUUUUAUAUAUGCGUUACAUUUUAGCGGUUACCCUCCUUUCUUAGAGGGCUACAAUGAUGCAAAUUGGAGUAGUAACACCUUUAAUAUCCAGUCCACUAUUAGGUGGUGCAGCUGUCUCGUGAAAAUUAACUAAACAAACACUAACAGCUAGAAGUACUAUGGGAUCUAAAAUGAUAGCGUUUAACCUUAUUGUUGGUGAGGUAAAAUGGCUGAGAGAAUUUCGCAUCAUAUUCCAUUUGGUAAGCAUCCAAUUCCACCAAGAUCAAUACAUUGUGAUUGUAGAGCAGUGAUUGAUAAACGUGCACAAAAAAAUUUAGAAGUAAAGAUGAGUAGACAUAUGAAGAUAUAAAUAUAUUAGAGAGUUAAUUAAACAAAAUAUGAUCUAUAAAGAAUAUUGCUGAUUAACUGGCUAAAGGUUUAUCUAGGGCAGUGGUUCUAUAGUCGUCGAGAGGAAUGGGGUUAAGCUCAUAAUAGAAGUCAUCGGCGAUGGGAACCCAACCUAAUUCCGAAUGUAUGACUAAUGUGUGGAGCUAUAAUGACUCGACCGGCUAACAAUAAUAACUCAUUGGGCUCGUACCACUCGCCCAAGUGCUUAAGCCCAGUUAUUAAUAGUAGUGUCUAUGGUUUCUUAUAUAACCAAUCACAGCCCUAUUCUCAUCUGAUGUGGAACUAUUGGAAUGUUACAAACACCCCCCCCCCCCACCCGCCUCCUUCCCCGUCUCCAUUUAGAGUCUGAUGUCUUUGUCAACCCAAUCACAUAGACACAUCCUAAGAUCAUCAGGCGAUGUGAGACUUGUCUCGUUAACCUUGUCAUUCUAACUCUGGCUUAAUCCGUCAUUCUCUGACACUAGGUUAGCCGUCAUUCUGACUCUGGCUCAGCCGAAACUCAUCUCACACUUCUGACUGGUAAAUUGUUCUUAUACCAAUUGUAAAAACCACGACCAGCUAGUAAUAAUAACUAAUUGGGCCGUCCCUAGAGCAAGUGGCAAAGGGCUUGGUGGUUGGUACUCGAGACCCAAGUUCGAAUCCUAAUUGAUUCACAAUUCCAGCUAAGUUCAUUUCUAAAUGAAAUAAACGAAGCGGGUAGCGUGCUAUCUAUCUCUCAAAAAAAAAAAAAAAAAACUAAUCGGGCCCACACUACCGGCUCAAAAUGCUUAAGCCCAGUUAUUGUUACUAGUAUCCAUGGUCUCUUACAUACCUAAUCACAAUCUCAUUCUCAUCUAAUGUGAAACUAUUUGAGUGUCAAAUUAAGGAGGACCCAACAUUUGUUGCUUGGAGAAGAGAGGAUUACAAUGACUUAGGCUUAAGGGCCUGGAGAGACUGAGGCUUUCUCGUCCUUCUUAAUCAGACUAAUUAACUUUGUUCCCUACGAGGUCCAGCAAUUAGGCGCCAAAAGUGGUGGUGGUUUCACAUAAACCAGAAAGAGGCAGCUGCUACUAGCAUACCUACUAACUUCUAACGACUAACAUGAAAAUGGACGCUACGUACAAACUAUAUAUGUGGCAAAGCACUAAUUAACUUGUUGGCAUCUGCAUCCACAAUGUAAUGCUUUAAAGUAGCUUCUAAAAGGAUAUCCAAACCAACCUCCGAAAUUGCGCCGCCGCCGCUUCCGAGUGAUCGCCAAGAGCUGGAGGGGAGGGUUUUCGCUGAGUUCAUCACUCCUACCUCAGAGGACUUUGGAAACAAAGGAUAUAUUUUAAUGCAUUUGCAUUGAUUGAUCGUAUCAUACGGACUGCUACGAACAAAUUAAUAUUUGUAAGGAGUUAUAAAGAGAAGAAGAAUUUUUUCACUCUCGAGGUCUCGGCCCUGUGUAGAGACUGUUCUUGGCUCGACGCCGAUCUCAAUGGAAGAAUUGUCUGUGAGGACUUGUAAUAAAUUUUGAUAACGACCCGACCAACCAACAACAAUAUAUAACUCGUUGGACCUAAACUAGGUGUCCAAAAUGAUUAAGCCUAAUUUUUAUUAGUAGCGUAUAUAUAACUCGUUGGACCUAAACUAGGUGUCCAAAAUGAUUAAGCCUAAUUUUUAUCAGUAGCGUAUAUAUAACUCGUUGGACCUAACUAGGUGUCCAAAUGAUUAAGCCUAAUUUUUAUUAGUAGCGUAUAAGCCUCAUAUAUUCUAAUCAGAAUUAGUUUUAUGGCGGUUAUCCGGCAGAUUUUUUUUUUUUUUUUUUUUUUGUUCUAUACUUUCUAAAAUAAAAUACAUAUAUAAUACAAAAUCAUAUAUAAUUUUAAAAGCAUAAUAUAAUUUGUUGUUUAAAAUAUCACAAUAUACAAUAAACAAUAAAAAUUUUAAAACGUAAUAUUACAUCAUAUAAAAAUAUUUUAUCAUCACAAAUUUUCGUGAUACAAAAUUAAUAAAUUUUUAUAAUUAUAAAACAUAUAUCAUAAAGUUUAUAUAUAAUUUCUUUAAAGAAAUACACAGGUAACCAUAAGUACUUGUAGGCUACCCAAAUGCUUACAACUUAAUAAGUACCGAUUUAUUAUUUAUCUAUAAUCUUUUAGGUAGGAAAACUAAUAAUACCUGCAAAUUAAAGGUAACCCGCGGGUACACAUGAAUAUGGGUAGAGAUCCGGGUUAAGCAUAGGGUGAGUUAUUUUUAAAUUCCCGCAUCUAAUGAAAAUAAGAAUCUGUUUGGCCUAAAUUCUAAAAAAAUUUCUACAAAAUUAAUUUGGCAUUUGCAUAAAAAAUCCACUUAUUUUGGGCUUUUGCAAAUGCGCCACCUUUUUCAUUUUUGCCCAAUUCGGUCCGUUUUUCUCGCCAAAACUGACCAAAAUACCCUUAUUACUUUUCUCUUUCCUCUUUCUCUCUCUUCUUCGUUUCUCUCGUUCUUUUUUUUUUCUCGCCGGUAGAGCGGAGGCGAGCGGAGGCAGAAACGGUCCGUCUCGCUCUCACCCUCAUGCUCUCGCCUCGCCUCGUCCAUGCACCCACCUUCCUCGCCUACCGACCCCCGUUAAGGUCGCGCCGCGACUUUUUUUUUUGCUUUUUUCUUUUCUUUUUUUCUCCGACUCUUCUCCACCGUCUCCGACGACGACGCCUCUCGCCUUCCCGCCCUUUCAUCUCUCCCCUCCCUCAUUUCUGCCGCCUCCACGACGAUUUAUCUUCGCCGGCGCUGACGUCGACACCGUAUGAGGUCACUGCAGCCGCUACAGCCUCGGAGCGGGGGGUCCUUAGCGGCGUCGUCACCGGCGCCGUCACCGGCGCCGUAGCUGUUGGCCAGAGAAGGUGACCAAAAAAAUUAUAGAAAAAACAGAAAAAAAAAAUAAGAUAAAAAAUUUAUAAAAGAAGGGAUGAGAUAGAAAUUACAUCGUUAAUUUACAAAAAAAAUUAUAAGUUGCAACUAUUUAAGGAUGUAAACUGCUGCUUUAAGAUAAAAAUUAUACUCUUUGAACGAAAAUUAUACUAUUUUUUAUCUUAAACUGCAUCCUUUUAAGUGAUAUUAUACCGUUCUCUCUCUUGUUGCACUGUUGUCUCUUAUUGUUGCACUAUUUCUCUCUUAUUUAUCACCAGAAAUGGAGCAACAAGAGAGAAGAAACGCUGCAACAAGAGGACAAAGAGGAGAAACAGUAUAAAUAUCUCUUAAAAGGGUGCAGUUUCUCUCUUAGUGCAUUGUUUCUCCUCUUGUUGCACUAUUUCUUCUAUUUGUUUACACAGAAAAUGGUGCAAAGAGGAGAAACAGCAACAAGAAAAGAAACAGUUAGUAUAUCUCUUAAAACAGUGCAGUUUCUCCUUUGUUGCACUAUUUCUCCUCUCUGUUUACACAGAAAUGGUGCAACAAGAGGAAGAACAGUAUAUUAUAUCUCUUAAACAGUGCAGUUUUUUUCUCUUUUUGCACUGUUUCUCUCUCUUGUUGCACUAUUUUUUUCUCUUAUUUACAACAGAAUGUGCAACAAGAAGGAGAAACAGUAAUAAAUAUCUCUUAAAAGGGUGCAGUUAAGAUAAAAAAUAGUGUAACAAGAGGAAGAAACAGUACAACUUUUGUUUAAAGAGUGUAACUUUCUCUUAAUGGAUGCAGUUUACAUCUGAAAGAGUGUAAUAAGAAGAGAAACAGUUGUAAAUAUUUCUCAAAGAGUGUAAUUUUCGUUUACAAGGGUAUAGUUUAUCUUAAAGCUGCAGUUUACAUCUUAAAUAGAGGCAACUUAUAAUUUUUUUUGCAGUUAACGAGUACAAAUUUGAUGUUCAUCCUUCUUUUUAUAUAAUUUUUUAUCUUUAUUUUUUUUCUGUUUUUUCUAUAAUUUUUUUUUGUCCCUUCUCUGCCAACAGCCACGCGUGCCGGCGACGACACGCUAUGGACCCAGCUCCGGCCUGUAGCGCCGCCGCAGUGACCUCCACGGUUGUCGACGUCGCCCGGCGAAGAUGCAUACGUCGUCUGGUAGGCGGACAGAGAAUGGGGGAGGCGAGGAGAUGAGAAGGCGGGGAGGACGAGAAGACGAGAGACGCAUCGUCGUCGGAGACGGUGGAGAAGAGUCGGAGAAGAAAAGAAAAGAAAAAGCAAAAAAAAAAAAAAAAAAAAAAAAAGUCGUGGCGCGCCUUAGCGGGUUGGAGGCGAGGAAGGUGGGGGUGCUGGACUGAGGGCAAGGGCGAGGGCGAGGGGGCGAGGGCUAGAGAAUGAUGGGGUGAUUGCUUCUAUACUUUCUAAAUAUAAAAUACAUAUAUAUAAAUACAAAAUUCAUAUAUAUAAUUUUUAAAAGCAUAAUAUAAUUUGUUGUUUAAAAUAUCACAAUAUACAAUAAACAAUAAAAAAUUUUAAAACGUAUAAAUUACAUCAUAUAAAAAUAUUUUAUCAUCACAAAUUUUCGUGAUACAAAAUUAAUAAAUUUUUUAUAAUUAUAAAAACAAUAUCAUAAAGUUUAUAUAUAAUUUUCUUUAAAGAAAUACACAGGUAACCAUAAGUACUUGUAGGCUACCCCAAAUGCCUACAACUUAAUAAGUACCGAUUUAUUUUAUCUAUAAUCUUUUAGGUAGGAAAAACUAAUAAUACCUGCAAAUUUAAAGGUAACCCGCGGGUACACAUGAAUAUGGGUAGAGAUCACCGGGUCUAAGCAUAGGGUGAGUAAUUUUUUAAAUUCCCGCAUCUAAUGAAAAUAAGAAUCUGUUUGGCCUAAAUUCUAAAAAAAUAAUUCUACAAAAUUAAUUUGGCCAAUUUGCAUAAAAAAUCCACUUAUUUUGGGCUUUUGCAAAAUCGGGCCACCUUUUUCAUUUUUGCAGAUUCGGUCCGUUUUUUCAGCAAACUGACCAAAAUACCCUUAUUACUUUUUCUCUUUCCUCUUUCUCUCUCUUCUUCGUUUCUCUCGUUCUUUUUUUUUUCUCGCCGGUAGAGCGGAGGCGGAGCGGAGGCAGAAACGGUCCGUCUCGCCUCUCACCCUCAUGCUCUCGCCCUCGCCCUCGUCCAUGCACCCCCACCUUCCUCGCCUNAGAGGCGAGACGGACCGUUUCCGCCUCCGCUCUGCCGGCGAGAAAAAAAAAGAACGAGAGAAACGAAGAGGAGAGAGAAAGAGGAAAGAGAAAAAGUAAAAAGGUUAUUUUGGUCAGUUUGCUGAAAAAGUGGACCGAAUCUGCAAAAACGAAAAAGGUGGCCCGGUUUUGCAAAAGCCCAAAAAAAGUGGAUUUUUUAUGCAAAUUGGCCAAUUAAUUUUGGUUUUAAUAAUUAAUUUUAGUUAAAAACUGUAGAGCUUUUGGCUAAACUUAAAUAAAAAGCAAAUUUUUUUUUGCCGAACUUUUACAAAGCUUUUUCCCACAAACUUCCAAGGGGCCUCAAACAUCAUCAACUCUGAAAAUAAUAAGAUUCCCUCCGAAGAGAGAUAAUCAUACUAACGACAGAGGCCGUGGGAAUCAUACAAUUCUAAUGCAAAAGCUUUUUUCAAAAUUCAUAAAUUACCCUAAAAAUUCCAAACCCUUAUUGAAAUUUAUAUUUUAAUUGAAAAUAUUAAGUUUACAUUAAAUCAAAAUUUAAACUAAACCAAUAGAAAGUCCUUUCAAUCAAAAAAAAUUAAUGGAUAAACUUCAAUUUACCCCAAUGGUUUAUUGCAUUUUAUUUUGUCGUACUGUAAUUCAAAACUUGCCGUCAACUGCAAGGUUUUUUGGGCUACUAAAAUUAUGAAACUUUUUUAUUAUAAAAAUAAGCAUUUAAAAUUUUUAUUUGUAAAACUAGACUUAAGUGUUGAAUGAUUUACCGUUUUUAGAAAACAGUAAUUCAAUCACCACUUUCUAAAAAUAAUAAACUAUUAACCACUUUUACGUAAUUUAUAUAUUUUUUUCAUAUUCGAACUCUAAAAUACAUAUAUAGCAUUAAAUGGCCAAUUUGCAUCAAAAAUCUACUUAUUUUGGGCUUUUGCAAAACUGGACCACCUUUUUCGUUUUUUUAUAUUCGGUCCGCUUUUUCAGCAAACUGACCAAAAUACCCUUAUACCUUUUUCUCUCUCCUCUUUUUUUUCUCUCGUUCUUUUUUUCUUUCUCUUCCCAUAGAGCGGCGGAGGCGAAGGAGGCGGCUUGUCCGGCGCAUCCUUACCCUCGCCCACACACCCGCGUACCUUCCUCGCCUCCGACCCUGCCGAGGCCGCACCACGACUUUUUUUUUUUUCCUCUUUGACUCUCCUCCACAGUUUCCGACGACGACGCCUCUCUCGCCUUCCCCGCCCUUCUCGUCCUCUCCCUCUUCUUCCUCCUCUGCCGCCUCCGACGACGACGCAUCUUCGUCUGCGCUGACAAUAUGCCAACGCAUCCUUACCCUCACCUGUACACCCCCGCACCUUCCUCGCCUCCAACCCUGCCGAGGCCGCGCCGCGACUCUUUUUUUUUUUUUUUUUUCCCUCUUCGACUCUCCUCCACUGUCUCCGACGACGACGCCUCUCUUGCCCUUCUCCGCCGUUCUCGUCCUCUCCCUCUCCCUUUUCCUCUGCCGCCUCCAACGACGAUACAUCUUCGCCGGCGCCGACACCGUUGAAGUCACUGCGGCACUGCAGCCUCGGAGCGGGGGGUUCUUAGCAGCAUUGUCGCCGGCGCCGUGGAGAAGGGUGACCAAAAAAAAUUAUAAAAAAAGUAAAAAAAAAUAAAGAUAAAAAAUUAUAGAAAAAGAAGGAUGAAGAUGAAAUUGUAUCGUUAACUGCAAAAAAAAUUAUAAGUUACACUACUUAAGAUGUAAACUGCAGCUUUAAGAUGAAAAUUACACUCUUUAAAUGAAAAUUACACUAUUUGGAAGAUAUUUACACUGUUUUUUCUCUUAUUGCACUCUUUUAGAUGUAAACUGCACCACUAAGAUGAAAAUUACAUUCUUUAAAUAAAAGUUGCACUAUUUCUCCUCUUGUUGCACCAUUUCUCCUCUCGUUACACUAUUUUUUAUCUUGAACUGCACCCAUUUAAGAGAUAUUUAAACUGUUUCUCCUCUUGUUGCACUGUUUUUUCUCUUGUUGCACUAUUUCUCCUCUUAUUAUACUAUUUUUCCUCUUAAAUGGUGCAGUUUAAGAUAAAAAUAGUGUAACAGGAGGAGAAAUAUUACAAUAAGAGGAGAAACAGUGCAACAAGAGGAAAAACAGUAUAAAUAUCUCUUAAAGGGGUGCAGUUUAAGAUAAAAAAUAGUGUAACAAGAAGAGAAAUAGUACAACAAGAGGAAAAACAGUGCAACUUUCGUUUAAAGAGUAUAACUUUCAUCUUAAUGGAUACAGUUUACAUCUGAAAGAGUGCAAUAAGAAAAGAAACAGUGUAAAUAUUUUUCAAAGAGUAAAAUUUUUGUUUAAAAAGUGUAAUUUUCAUCUUAAAGCUGCAGUUUACAUUUUAAUAAUUCAACUUAUAUUUUUUUUUUUUCAGUUAACGAUACAAUUUCAUUUUCAUCCUUUUUUUUCUAUAAUUUUUUAUCUUUAUUUUUUUUUCUUGCUUCUUUUAUAAUUUUUUUGGUCACCCCUCUUUGCCAACAUUGUGAAUGAUUUAACACAUUUAAAAUUAUUAACCGCAUAAAACUAGUUUUGCAAAUAAUUUUUUUAUGAAACCAUUUUUAUAAUUAUAAUAUUCUUUCAGGCAUUUACAAAAAGAAUUUCUCAACCACCCUAUGGUUCCGCCUAUUUUCAAUUCGCCACCCUCAGCUCAAAAAAUUACUUGACUUGCUAUAGUUUUAUUUUAAUUUUACUAUAAAAACCUGCCAAUAAAUAAAGUAGCGUCCUAUAUUUUCAGAAUAUUUUUUCUUUAUUGCCCUAAAAUUUUUUCGCACGAAACAGAAGUAAAACUACAAGAUAGUUGAGCACGAAACAGAAGUAAAACUACAAGAUAGUUGAGCGCAACUUAUUAAACCAUAAGGUGACUAAGUAAAAAAAAGGCACUAACCAAACAAAAGUCACAAUUUAAGCAGAAAAUUAAAAUUAAAAUUUACAAGAUAAAUAUACAAUUUGAAUUUAGUAUUUAACCUAAAAAUUUAAAUUUUUAAAUUUAUUCAGUUUGGAGUAAGCCCCUUGAGCUCUCUAAAUUUAAAAAAAUUAAGCACAAAUCGGAUUUAAUCUGUGUUUAAAAAUUAAAUCACAUGUUUGAUUUAUAAAUUUAUUUUUUUUUAAAAAAAAUUUAAAUAUAACGACAACAAUUCAUAAAAUUUGCCUACAUCAUAAUCUAAUUACACGAAUAUCUACUAGUUUAUCAAACAGGAUAUUUUCAUAUAUUUAGUAAUCUAUGAAAAAUCAUCAAUCAAACCAAUCACAAAAAUAUUAUAUUCCCUAGUAAAUCUUGUUUGAAUGACAUUCCUUUAAUUUAGCAAUUCCUAGAAUCUUUUACAAUAAUACGAACCAAGCGCAACGUAAGGGCCCUGGCGCCCCUUCGCCACCCAUAGGCGAUCUAGUCUAGUUAGUUAUUUCAAAUGGAAAAAUACAAUUUUGUAAACAAAUAGUGGCGGAAAUGUGAACAAAAAGACAAAAACAUGGAGCAAUAAUCAUAUGUUUGUUAAACUAGUAAUUGUUGCCGGCAUUCCGCAGCUCCAACCAAAAUUCUAGCCCCAUUGUAUUGUACUUGCAUAGCACCACCGGGGAAGGGGGCGAACAACGAACGGAUUGCGGCAUACAAUAUAAAAUUUAAAAACUGAACUAAAACAAACACUAUACUAGUACUGGAGAUGAUGAUGAAGCGCAUGUUAAAUGAGCUAAGCUAAGCUUUUGAAUAACUUAAAAAAGCCACCUAUCCCAUUGCAGUCAGAGGCUAAGUAUAACACAGAGAAUAUGACUAACACUGGAAAAUAGCAGCAGCCGCAACCGGAUGGGAUGUUCUCAUGAUACCAUCUACUACUUAUGAUAAAGAUAGACGAUGGAGAAGAUGAAGAAUGCCGCCAUCUGCAACGGAAGUCAAAAAGGAGUUUCAUCAGCAUGGACCUUUACUAUUUGCGUAAAUUCAAAACAAUAUCAAGAUCCAUAAUACUGCCCAAGUAAUGAUGCUGGUAUUUUGGGAUAGUACUGCUGCAAGUUCUACUUAUGUACAAAUCCUCCAACUAAGGAUUUGAAUAUCACAUCCUUAGGUCAAACCCUUCUUUUUUAAAAAAGAAAAGAAAAGAAAAGAAAAGAAAAUCUGAUUCUAUCAUUCGAUCUGAAUCACAUGAGAAGAAAAUACACUCAAACCUUGGAUUCAAAACUACUCUAAAACUGAAUGUUGAACAAAAUUUUCAUUUAUACCAUAUUAUUUAGAUCAAUCGCAGCAUUUGAUUCCUCAAAUUUUGCACAUUAGGAAGACAGCAGCCAAUAAACCCUCGAAGCUCACAUAACAAUAUGCCAACUGCUUUUAACUAGUAAACGCUAAGAAGAAAAUUUCAAAAAUUUUAAGAGGAAGAGCCAUGCCAAUAUCUAACAACUACUGAUAAAACUGUACUCUGUUGGACCAACUUUAUAGCAAAGAUUGAAAAGAUAAAACAUGCAUUGUUGAGCAAAUCUACAAUUUAUGCACUAAGAUGAGAAAAUUGACACAUAAAUUUAAACUAGAGAGCAAAAAGUAUAUUAGCUUAAAAUAAUGCUGACGGAAACAACAAUUAGAAUUCAGAAAGUUGCAUGCAUGUUAGUUUACACACACCAUCAUAGUCAAGCUCACCAAUUAUUUUAAAUAUAUUUAUUGAGUACACAAAUUAACUUUACAUUUUGCCGGCUCCAUUUAUCCAGUGAGAAGGAUAUUCAAGAAAUUAAUUCAGUGAAGAAUAAGCCUGACUUUUAGUUUCAUUUUAUCAUCCAAUACUUCAAUAUUACAUACAGAUUAAACUAAGGAUCCUACAGAUCUGCGGCGUAGUCUGAUACUAGAGAUCGACAGUUGGGCAAGGUCCUUAUACAGCAUCGACAUGGUUAGAUAACAUCAAGCAAUGAUGCCAGAUAAAUGAUGCAGAAUAAGAAUAAAAAAGAUUAACAAAAGUACUUACAGUAGAAAAUGAUGCCCCAUAAUAUGGAUAUGCUGCUGUUAUGAAUCUCUCAUACUCAUUGUGUCUGAAAGGACGAACAGGAAUCUGCGUUGCGCACAGGUACAGCAAUUUAAGGCCAAGAAGUCACGCAAUCUUGUUCGAUUAAAUAAAAGAACAAACAAGAUAAUCUUGUUCAAUCAAUAGAUGAACAAUUAUCAUGAUAUACGAGACAAUAAUUAAGCAACCAAGAAACACAUUAGUCUAAACUCUAAAGUAACAAGAGGUUAACUUUUCACUAUUAAACAUUCAUUCCAAAAUAUCAAGUAUACACAUUUCUAUAGCCGCACCCUGUAGAUAAAAGCCGUAAAGAACUAAAAGUUAAAAGUUAAAGCAGCCUCCUGAUAAAGAACUUUGGGCCACGAACUAACGGAAGUUAUCUCCCAAGUGUUAGCCAUAAAUUCAGAGGCAAUCUCCUCUAGCGUAAUUUGGAUACCCUCCCUCCCUCUCUCCCUCUCUUGGGCAUCUUUCGUCUUGCCUCACAAAAACAUGGUAGCAACUUGUAGACCACGUAGUUCUCUUCAACUCCAUUUGCAUAGGUUUUCAAUGUGCCAACAAGAAAUUUGCCAGCAUCCACAUUCAAAAAGGAGUGCAUGUUCGGUUUUUGGGUUGGAGGCCCUUCAAGUCAUCCAAAACGCACACCUUAACGUGCACUUAAAGGCCAAGGGAAAUGAAGCAUUGUUGUUAUGCUGACAAACAAAACAAUCAAUUGACCAUCAAUGUGCAGGUCUUUAGAUGUUCUUCAUCUUCUUUAUUCUUAUAUUUUAUUUUGUUUGCCUCCUUCCAUAUGCUACAUAUUCUUAUAUUGCUCUACCAUAAACAUUUAGCUGUAUCGUUAGGGGACUGUUUCAUAUGUAACUUGCUAAGUACAGAUGCACCCACAUAUUACACAGGCACUACACGGUUCUUAGUCACCAACAUACUAUUGUAUCCUUUAAGAAUAUAGUUUAGUACGCACAUGUUUCUUGUUAAUGGUAAUAUCAUUCCUAUACAUGUACUUUUCCCUAGACAAUAUGCUGAUGUAACGCUAGCUAAAAGAAAACGAUCAAAGCAACAAAAUAACUGAAAUAUUGCUCAGAAGAGUUCAUUGAUAUCACUUUUUAUGAUGUCCAUAAAGAAUAUUUCCAUCAUUCAAACAUACUUUGUUACCAUAAGUACAUCUCAUAUCAAUAUAUGCUUUUGGGUAUUUAUUUCAGAUUAUAAAUAUUUCAUGACUAUCUUGAAUAUAAAAGAAAUAUUUCAUGUACAUUUGAUUUUGGAAAGUUAGUGGAGCUUAGAAGCAAAUAUGCACACCCACGCACGUGCAGAAAAGCGUGUGAGCACGCCCACGCGCAUUUGUAUACUUAGUACAUGUGUUUCUUUCCAAGGAUGCCUAACUUACCCAUAAUCAGAAAAAUUUCGCUACUCAUAGUCCAAAACAUAAAGAGAUUCAUAGCAAUGAUAACUAGGAGAUGCCAGAUUUAUGCUAUGGUUCCAAUGUUAUGUAGUCACCCUUCUGUUCAUGCUUACAACGGGUCUCAGUAAGUGUGACUCAUAAAUAGAAAUGUCUAAGAGAUUUCAGAUUACUCUAGUUAUCUCCUAUAAAGAUAGCCGUGCCACUGUGAUGGAGCAUGUUGGUUUAUCAGAGGCAUGGAAUGCCGGCAUACCUCACCCUAUUUUGUAUUUUGGCAGUGCAAGCUUAUCAGCACGGGGUAGUUGUCCCAGACUAUGCCUGGCAGGCUGGCACAUCAAUCCUAUUAUGAUCUUAUUUACGCUAAUUGAUCAAUGGAAGAGCAAAAAUCACCACCAAAUAACUUGAAAGUAGCUUACAAAUUCAAGAAAAUAGUCCAAUCUUUGUAGCAGGGUGACACCCCCAAGAUUUGAAAUAUAACUACAUAUAUAAUAUAAUAUGGCUAAUCUUCUUAAUCCGGCUAAAGCAUUUUGAGCGAUGGCUAGGCUCAUCGAGUUAAGAGAUUAGCGUACAAGGGCGCGAGUAGUUCUAGGAUGGAUGACCCCCUAGGAAGCGAGGUCUCACAGUUGGUAUUAGAACCAAUCAUCAGUCGGAAGUGUGAAAUGAGUCACGGCUAUAGUUAGUUAAUUCGGAUUUGGCAAAAAUUCGGUACGGGUAUAAUUUGAAUAAAAUUCGUAUCUCAAUUUUUAAAUUUGUUGAAAAAUAUGGCUUAAAAAAAGGAUUCGCCAAUUAUUCGGAUACGCGACUUAUACAAAUAUUAUACAUCACCAAUUAACAAUUCGGGAUAAAAAAUUCGGCUAUUAAACCAAGCUCUUUUUCUCUAGAUUUAUGCUACUAGCAUAUAUAGUAAUAAAUUCUUAAAAAUAUAAAAAAAGAGAGAUACAAAUAAAGUAGAUUAAGUAAAAAAAGCAAUAGCAAAGUUUAUUGUCUCCAUCUUCAUCUUUUUCAUGAUUCACAUAUUUCGGAAGUUCAUGAAGUUUUUUAAUAAUUCAUGAAUAAUUCGGCAAUACUUCGACAAUAAUUCGGAAAGGAAUUUUAUCAAAAAAAUUUACACAUUUUUUUGGCCGAAUAGUUCGGCAGACGCGAAUUAUUUGUGAAUAAUAAAUCUAACCCAAAAAUUCGCGUAUUAUUCUGUUUUUUUCGGAAUAAAUUGUAUGCGGACUGUUUUAUUCGGAUUUUCAAUAAUUCGUGAAUAAUUUGCAAAUUAACUAUGGUCCCGGCUGAGCCACGAUACAGUGAGUAGAGAGUAGCUUCCCGACUGGCGAUCAUUAAGGGUGAAGAGCAACUCCCCAUAAGGUCAACUAAGGCACGAGAGACGAAACUCACAUCAUCUAAUAUUUGUGAGUUUGCUUGAGCCUAACGAGAACAUCCGGACUUAAAAGGAGGAGGAAUGUGACACCCCCAAGAUUUGAAAGUUCUAUAUAUAGGAUAUAAUAGGACUAAACCUUUUAACCCGGCUAUAGCAUUUUGGAUGGUGAUUGGGCCAAAGAGGCUAAGAGGGCUAAGGGUGCUAUAGCUAUAGAAUGGGUGACCCUUGAGGAAGUGGGGCUUCACAGGUAGGCUGGACAGAAGAGAAACAACAUUGGAAACAAACUCAAAAUAAAGGGCCGCACUGCAACCAAAAAGAAAAAAAAGGAGAAAGUGAAGGAGAAUAUGGUGAAAAAGAUACGGGAAAUAUAGAGAAGAGAGCACCCAGUUCAAAGUUAAGUGAGAGAGAAAAUAAGGACAACAAGAAAGAUUUCCAAAAGCCACAAAAAUGCUGCCAAGCAAAAAGAUGCCUAAAAUCAUCGCUAGCUGGAGAUAAUAUUAAACCCAAGACAAUCACUACGAAUAAAACCCAUAAUGAACAAGCAAGUCAAAACAUAUAACCAAGAAAUCCAGAUAUGAAAGAGUCGCACAAUGAAAGGAAUCAGGGGAAGGGCAGCCAUCUAGGAAAACAAAAGGAAAAAUAACCUAGAAGUGAUGAUUUGUUAUCAUUGACCACCAAUGAUGAUGAGUGCAGGCCCAAAACUAAACUAGAUAAAAUAAAAAUACUGAGAGCUUCCUUACAGCAUCACAAUAAUUGGUAACUUUCACCACCUGCAUACGACUUCGUCUAAAACAUGAUAUGCUGAGAGAUAGGUCUUCUUUAAAGCUUCUCAGUUUUCACCUACAAUAUGUAGUGACAAAUUUGAGGGCUAUCCAAUCUAAUCAAAUCUUGGUCCGAUCAGCGCAUACCCACAUACUACAGUCUGCCAGUAUUAUUACAACCAAAUAGCUCCUCAGAUAUCUCACUUGAGUUCUUUAGAUGUAUAAAUGGCUCCCAUAGACUAGAUUAGCAACUAGAUUGGUAAUUUCUCACAAGAUACGAACCAAGUAUUCCAUGGAGUCUUCUCUAGUUCAAGAAUCAAGUUAUGCUCUAAAUUUGAAAAAUUCUCUAAUGGCCUAAUGGUUUCAUACGAAUCUUUUUUCUUCAUUUUUUGCAACAAUUUGUUUAAGCGGAUAUUCUUCAGUACAGCAGGCAGCACAUACCCUGAACAAUUAAGUUUAACUAUGACGUACAAAUGAAUCUCUUUAAUUGAUGUUGUUCAUGAAUCACUGAUUAAGAAACAACAAUAUAAGGCCUCAGUUAGCAUCGUUAACGUUUUUUUUUUUUCUUUCAAAUAUAAUUUCGAUAUGAAGUACUGUAGGAGGGGAUGGUAGAACGCUUGCAAUCCUUAAAUCCAUGGUGUUUGUUUGACAACAAAAAGGAAAAACUUGGAAGGACCUUUCUUAGUUACCAAGAUUUGCGUGUGUGCGUGUCAUCCAUCACUUGGCUAGGUGUGUUGCAAUCUAACCAAUAACAAAAACAAGAAGAAAGCCUUUUCGUUGGUAUAUCAACGUAUAUAGAAUUGGUGUUUAAAAAAACAAAAGAAAAACAACAAUGAUGCCAAACGAGGCCUAAGAGAGAUUGCAUGAUAACUUUGACUCGCAGCCUGAUAAAUUUCCUUAGCAUGACCUGCUCUUCUCCUCCAUUGAGUUUGUUAUAACAUCUUCAACAUAAACAGAAAAAGCUUAAAAAGGGAGAUUUCAAAUUAACAUAUUGUAGAACCCAAGACAAUUAACAGUGAAUUUCUUAAAAGAGGGUGUAUUAUCACAGAUUUCAGAGCAGUUUGCAUCAAAACAAAAAUUGUCACUUUCAUGGCUUUCCAGUACUGUAGGUCAUGUGAGGGGCCUCGGUGAAUUUUCAUGUGAUAAACUGAUGUUCUAGGGAAAUAAAUUGAAUGCGUGCAAAAUAAUUGAAAAAGAGUUUCCAUUCAAAAAGUGAAACAUUUCAUGUGUCAAAGAGUGCAAUUUUUGAGGUGGAGGAACUUAUGAUCAAAACACACAUAUCGGUGAGUUUUGGAUAUGAAACUGUGAACAAGAGGGAUUAAAUUGCAAUUUUUACAACUUGUGAAAAAAGGGCAAUGCACGAAGGGGUUAUCAUUUCAUGUGAGAAAUUCUGGAAUUUCCACAAGCGGGACUUAUGUGAAAAUAGACCCGGCGAGGAAUAAGCGGAUUCAAGUUUCACGAAAUUCUGACGUUUUUGUGCAAAAUGGCACUAAAUGGAAGUAGAAGAGAGAAAUUUGAACGAGGGAUCACUUCACAAAAUGCGCGACAGUUUAAAUGCGAAACUGUGAAAUUUUACUACAUGAGGGGUUCCUCUGCAAAAUGUGCUGUACUCUGGACCUAUAACCUAAUCCUCUCUCCUCUCUUCAAGCCUCAAUCGCCGGACCCUCAUUGCUCCAGCACUGCACUCCGGCAAACCUCCUCCCUCCGCCCAUCUCUUUCUCUUCUCUCUCUCCAUACAUACAUACACCCUAAACCCUAAUCAUAUAGAGUCCGGCUACUAUACUAUUGAUAGUAUCAAGCCUUUGGUACUAUUGAGUUUUCUACCGUUAGAACUACCCUUUGAUCAUUUCCACCCAUUAGAUUAUACUGUUAAACCAACCACCCACUCAACCUUAGGGGACCACUAUCAUCCUAACCGCACAUCCUUUCAUCCAACGGCCAAAAACUCAAUAGUACCAAGGGCUUGGUACUAUUGAUAGUAUAGUAGCAUAAUUCUAUAUUCUAUAUAUAUAUAUAUAUAUACAUACACACAUAUAUUUACAUACACACACAUAUAUAUAUAUACACACACACAUAUAUAUACAUACAUAUAUAGAGUACGCCUACCGUGCUUUCGAAGGUACGGAGGCCUCCGUGCUUGUAAGUUGUUUUCGAUGAUAGGACAUCCGAUUCGACGAUCGGCUCCGUUAGGCAUAAUCUAUGCUAUUGGAACUAUCUAGAAACCAAAUUUUAUAAUUUUUCGACUUCAUUUACCAAGUGAUCAGAGGGUCUCAAAAAUGACUAUUUUAACGGCCGAUGUGGCACGUUUUGAAGUUCAACGGUGUAGAAGUAUCCAAAUUACAUGAAAUAAUAGAUAAUUUUACUUAACAUCAAGAGUAAGAACAAUACUUCCGAUUUGAAAUUUGAGUCUAUUAUCACUGUUUUUUAUUAGAUUUUUAUUUUCAACCGUUCAUUUUGAGGCUACUCGUUCACUAGGCAAACGAAAUUAAAAAAUUAUGAAAUUUGGUUUCUAGAUAGUUCUAAUAGCGUAGAUCAUGUCUAACAGAACCGAUCGCCAAAUUGGACGUCCCAUCAUCGAAAAUAACUUACAAGCAUAGAGGCCUCCGUACUUUCGAAAGUAUAGGAGCCUAGCUCUACAUAUAUAUAUAUAUAUAUAUAUAUAUAUAUAUAUAUAUAUAUAUAUAUAUAGAAGUCAACUACUAUCUUAUUAAUAGGAUUGAGGACAUUGUCCUAUCAAGUCGUUUGAAUGAUCGGAGAGUCAAAUUUAUAAUCGGUACCGUUGAAAUUGAUCUACACAAUUAGAAAUGUUUAGAAACCAAAUUUUAUAAUAUUUAAAAAUCAUUAUCAAGUUCAUCGAAGAGUUUGAAAAAUGAACGGUCAUAAAUGAAUAACCUUCUUAAAUAGAGGUUAGACUUUCUCAAUUCAUAAUCAGAGUUAUCAAACAUUAUCUAAAUAGUAUAAAGAAUUUUCUACCAAAAUUCAAGCAAUUUGGAUUGCUCUACACCGUUUAAAAAGCAAACAGUUCAUAUAGGCCGUCAAAAAUUGUCGAUUUUACGACACUUUGAUCACCAUGUAAAUAAUUUUUUAAAAUUUAUGAAAUUUAGUUUCUAGAUAUUUCAAAUAACUCUAGAUCAACUUUCAACGACUCCGAUCAUCGAUUCGGAAUAUCUAUCAUCAAGAACAACUUGAUAGGACAAGUGCUACUAUCCUCUUAAGAUGAUAGUAGCCCUAGCCUAUACACACACAACACACACACACACACACACACACACACAUAUAUAUAUAUAUAUAUAUAUAUAAAUAUAUAUAUAUAUAAUAUAUAUAUAUCAUACAUACAUAUAUAUAAUACAUAUAUAUAUAGAGCUAGGCUGAGCUAAGCUGGUAUACUAUUGGUAGCAUGGAGCCUCUCGUGCUAUCAGUUGUUUUCAAUGAUGCGCGCUUAAAUCGACGAUCGCUCCGUUAGACUUGAUCUACACUAUUGAAGUAUUGUAAACUAAAUUUAGAAUUUUUCGAUAUCAUUUACCUAUCAAACGAGUAGUCUAAAAAUGAACGGCUGAAAAUAAAAAUCUCAUAAAAAAAUGAUAAUAGAAGACUUGAUUUAAGAUCAGAGGUAUUGAUCUUACUCUAAAUAGUAAAAAGAAUUUUCUAUAAAAAAUUUCAUUUGAUUUGGAUUGUUUACACCGUUAAAUUACAAAUGCCUCACAUCUACCAUUAAAAUUGUCAAUUUUGAGACUUUUAUCACUAGCCAUGAAUGUUCGAAAAAUUAUGAAUUUAGUUUCCAAAUAAUUUUUAGUAAGUGUAGAUCAAGUCUAAUAGAGCCAAUCGUCGAUUUGGAAGCCGCAUCAUUAAAAACAACUUGGUAGCACGAGGCUCCGUGGCACCNNNNNNNNNNNNNNNNNNNNNNNNNGGAUUUCUACGUGUAGGCUCUGCGGGUACUUGACUUCGGGCCGCUUUGGAGUGGUUUUCCGUGUGAUGCAGCCGUGUCGUUCCUUUGGCUUAGGGACUUCUCCUUGCCGAGGGAUUAGCCUCGCGAGGUGGGGUUGCACUCGCUUUAUUGAAUAAGUAUCGUAUUUAGUCGAUCAUUUAUGAUUUUAGUUUUGUAUAUCAUGUUUAGCUCAAUUUGUCUGCGAUUAGUAUCGUUGAUGAACUCCGUAAUUUGAGAUACACUGAUUAGUAAACCCUAAUAUAUUCAUGUGAACUUGGUUUUACACUUAGGAGGAAGAAAACUGAAAAACUACGAGACAAGGGAUGUAAGUCAUAAGAAAUUUGCUGCGUAUUCAUAUCUUCUAACUGCCUUUCCAAGAUUAGGUAUUAUUACUAUCAUUCAAUGAUACUGAUACACUUUUAGCUCCCAUUAGGCUGCUAACAAGAAGAUUUGGAAGGCUUUGCACUCUAAAAGUAUGACUACUAUAGAACAAAGCUGUUGCAUAUAGAAGUAUGCUUGUCAUAGUCACGCUCAAUUUUCUUCUACGCUACCUAGAAUGGUCCGCUAGAAAUAUAUGCUAGUGUGGAGUAUCCAGAUAGUGGUCACGAGUUCAAGAUUUUUCACGAUAGAUUCACGCUUGUCAUGAGUCACAUUCGCUGAAAGAUCAGAGUUUGGCACGAUAAGCAAUUGAUUCGUAACUGGGAUCAAUCGACGGUAAUUUUUAAACAAGUAGGCCUUUACGAUAGUUGAUUUGGAGGGAAUUCAAAAGAAGUCCUUUGGCGAGCAUGUACGCGGGGUUGACUGAACCCGUUGCCUUUUUAUUUGGCCAGAAGAGAGUGUCUAUCUUCACUGCGAGAACUUUUAAUGCAGAGGGCACGUACCCAACAUUUCAUGUGGAUGAGAAGAGACGCCAAGCAGGCCAAGAGCUACGUUUGUGAGAGUUGCUUAGAAAGCCAAGUAUAUGGAUGUCGUUUGGCCUGCGACAUCUGCUUUAGGAGAGCAUCCAAUGGUAAAAACUUUAGUGAUCUUCUCAAUUUCAGCGAUAGUAAACUACACGUAACUAAACUAAGCUACGUUCCUACGUUGGUAGCGAAUAACUCAGCAUAGCCUAUGAAGCCUAAAAGAAAAUUAGAAGAACAGUGAUAGACACCUCAAGUAUAAGGCCUAAAGUGACCAACAACUUGGACCUCCUUCUUAUGUGAAAAAUAUCACACUUCUGCUUGAUGUCGUGAGGCAGAGAGGUGGCGGCGCUAUUUAUUUCGGCCGUUGGCUGUGCACGCUCAUUUGCAAAUACCGAUAACAAUAAAGCUUACCGCCUCAAGCUAAUGUGUGACCUUGGAACUUCUCUCCCGGACGUAGUAGUGUGGAGGUAGCUGAAUAGUCACAAACUGGCAGGACGGGUGUGAUCACAGUCCCAGAGACAACAGUCCUGAUUGGAUUGGAUUGAGCGCACUUGGGUCGAUAUGACUACAAGUGAUCGGAUAUUGCUGCAUGUAUGAAGACAAUUGGCUGGAAAUGAAUGUGUGUGAGGGUUAAGAUUCAUACUCGUCGAGAUUUAUGUAUCUCCUGCAUUUACUACUAUCCUUUGCUCCCUUCUGUAAGACUUAGUGGGUGACCGAUGUUGUUGAGGGCGGCACCCACUGCGACUACCAUGUUUUUACAUGUAGUUUCUAGCCUGUGUUACCGUUACCUCAGAAUUCACCCUGUUUUUGCAAGUCACCGUCGUCGGCUGCUGCUGUCCCAGAUCAGGAUCUGAAGGCAAGGGCGUCCACUGAGUUAGAGCCCUGCCAGAGUGACGAGCUAAGAGGUACUUUCGUCUACUGCAGGUAGAUGUUUUGUUUGAAGUCAUAUACAUCAGUUCUAAACUCGCAGUCGGCGAGUACCUUAUACUGUUGGUAUUUGACUAUGUAUAUGAACUCCGUUUGUUUACUUCAGUGUUUACUCUUAGCAGCUCUAUCUACUGUUCGUAGUAUUGUAAAUGUUUACAGGUAAGCUGUCGGCUUCGUAUACACGAAAAUUCUCUUUGUAUUACGCGGAUUGUCGCAUCCCUCGGAAAUUCGUUUGUAUUCAGUACAGCUUCGCUUUUGGUAUUAGGUUUCUAAUCAUGUUCUCAAUCGGAUUUCAUCAAGAUAUAAUCGAUCGAAAUUGAGCUACACAUGACAUAUCAAUAACCUAAAAUCAUACAUUCGACUAAUACGAUACUUAAGAAUAUAACCGAUGUAACUACCUCGCUACAACCUGGCAGCGUGACAGCCCCCGAUUUACCGUUCCCUCGGCACGCCGACAAAUCCAUCGUAACAAAAGGAAUUUUCCCUGUUACGAAGCGACGCUGUACUGUAAACCAAUACAAUACUACGACAGUUAGUAAUAAGACUGCUAGAAGGUAAACAAAGCUACAACAAACGAAGUUCCAUAUACAUAUUCCAUACCAAAAGUACAGAGGGGGUGGGGGGGGAGUUAUCGCACUGGGAGUUAAGUUAUACUAUGAUACAUGAACUCAAUAACCAAAAACAUCUACUACAGUAGGAUGACCUCUAGCUCGUACACGUCUCGGUAGGGCUCUAGCUCGUUGACAGCCCUUGCUCGAUACUGAUCUGCGACAAGUAGCCAGCCGACGACGGUACUCUGCAAAAACAGUGAGGUACACAUGAUAUAUCAAAACUGAAAAUUCUAAUAACAUUGAUGUAAAUACGAUACUUAGGGAAUAAACCGAUCGUAAGCCCACCUCGCGAGCUAAUCCUGGCGAACGAGGAAAGUCCGAAGCAAGGCAGCGCCCGGCUGGAUUCACCGAAAACCUCAAAGGCCGAAGUCAAGCUCCCGCCAACUUUCUAAACCGUAAAUCCGCAAUAAGCAUCAUUCUGGCUCUAAAACAGGCACAAGAGAAACCUAAAAUUCCGACCGCAAACCUUCACCAAUCCAGCAAAUAAGGGCUUCGUGAUUCUCUCGAAGUCCUGAAUCCACGAACCAAAUCUCGACAACAAAUCGCGACGCUCCCUACUCGAGUUACGAGCCGAAUACCAACGAUGCCGACGCUGGAAGCUGCCAGGGACAGCACCUAGCUGAAUUUGAAGAAGCUUGAAAUAAAGAAGCAUUGACAGGCACAGACCCACCUCGAGCAGCGACCUCGUAUUGGUGCGACGUUCGAGGACUGGCGGUAACACACCCUCGCCCGCUCUCAUAAGCGAUGCUACGCGCCAACAGACCGCGCUCGAUUAGCUCCGACGACGGACGUGACGUUGCUCCAAAAGCUUCCACCGUGCUCUCCCCAACUUGUCACGAAAUAGCUUCAGCUAGAUGAGAAACUUAAAUUAGCAAUCCCCAACAGCCUGCCACCUCUAAUUAAGGCGGUGGGCUGAUAAGGAUUGGUAAAGGACCAAACUACUCCAGUGGCAGUGCCGACUACGGCAGUGCCCCCACCAGCGCCAGUUGCGCCUUCCAGAGGGCCAGUACAGAUGACAGAGGCCGAGCAGGAGCGAUUGACGGAGAGACGCUACGGCAACAGACGCGCGCACGAACGGCUCCGCGACGCGACGUCGACGUUGACGUUGCUCCAAGCUUCCACCGUGCUCUCCACCACGAAUAGCUCAAGCUACAGAGAGAGAGACUUAAAUUAGCAAUCCCCAACAGCCUGCCACCUCUAAUUAAGGCGGUGGGCUGAUAAGGAUUGGUAAAGGACCAAACUACUCCAGUGACAGCGCCGACUACGGUACUGCCUCCACCAGCGCCAGUUGCGCCUUCCAGAGGGCCAGUACAGAUGACAGAGGCCGAGCAGGAGCGAUUAACAGAGAGGUUGGCCCGCUUUCGUCGCUUUGACUCGCCGACCUUCGAUGGCACUCGCCGACCUUCGAUGGCAGUUGCACUGAGCCCUGGGUGGUUGAGGGCUGGGUUAGUGCAAUGGAAAAGCUAUUUGAGGAUUUGUUCAUUCCAGAGAGGGACCAGGUACCUCUGGGAGUGCACUUUUAGCAGGUGAUGCUCAUGAUUGGUAGAAGAGAGUGAGGCAAGACCAGAGGCUGGUGGCGUCGCACCUGAGGUGGGAUCAGUUCUGUGGAAUGCUGUAUGGGAUGUAUUUUCCCAACAGCAUGAAAUAGAAGAUUGAGGAGGAUUUGAAGAAGAUCCAGCAGGGUGAGCGAACAGUUCAGGAGUAUGUUCGGGAGUUUACUAGACUCCUGAACUGUAUUCCGUUCGUGGCCAGAGACGAGGCACAUAGGGUCUACUUGUUUGAGUAGGGUUUGAGACCCGACCUUUUCAGGUUCGUUAGGGCGCAGAGGUCGAGGACUCUGGAUGCGUCCAUUGAGCAGGCAUUAUGGGAGGAGAGAGGAGAGGUGUCGCUGAGAGAGAGGGCUCAGGGGCCGGUGCAGAGUCAGGAUAGGAAGCGCCCAGCUUUAGACGACGAACAUCAGUCGAGUAGCAGGCGUCCGCCGAGACCUCCACGAUCGCGUUCUCAGUGUCGUGGGUUUUCGGGACGCCAGCGAUCCAGGGACUCUCGUCAGAGGGGCCAGCCCGAAAGGACGCCAGUGUGUGAUCUGCCGGGGACCACACUGGCCCCGACAGUGCGAGGAGAGGGAGGGCCGGUGUUACGGAUGUGGUCAGCCGGGACACAUGAGAGCAGCUUGUCCGCGAGCAGCAUCAUCAGUACCAUCUUCAGCAUCGGCACAGCAAGGACCUUCGCAGUCUUACGGGACGCCAUCGAGUUACCAUCAGGAGGAUAGAGCAUCCAUGCCGCGACAGGGUGAGCGGCGGCAGCAGGCUCCGAGUGGCAGAGUGUUUGCAGCACAGGUGGAGGACUCUUCAGCGGCCGACCGAGUGGUGGCAGGUAUCACUUUGCUUUCUGGUAUUAGAGCACGUACUUUAUUUGAUACCGGUGCCUCGCACUCCUUUGUUAGUCGCGCAUUUGCAUUGUUACAUGGUCUAGAGUUAGAGUCAUUGUCUAUGGCACGAGAGGUGCAGAUCCCCGACCAUGUGUUACAGGUUGCAGAGUGCUGUCGGUCUUGUCCAGUGCAGUUAGAUUCUUGGAUUAUGCCCGCAGACCUGUUGGUGUUAGGGCAGCUGCAGGACUUUGACAUUGUGCUCGGUAUGGUUUGGCUGGCGCGGUACUAUGCUACUAUCGACUGUAGAGCGAGGAUGGUGACGUUUCGCGAGCCAGGCCAGGAGGAGUUCACUUUCAGAGGCUGCAGGAGCACGUUGUUUGCCACGUGGAUUUCUUCAGCGAGAGCUCGACAGCUGAUGAGUAGAGGAUGUGUUGCCUUUAUAGCGACUGUUGUUGAGGUACCUACGGCAACGCCGGGACUCGAGGAUAUUCCUGUGGUCCGCGAGUUUUCAAAUGUGUUUCCCCGAGUUGACGACGAUGCCGCCGGAGAGGGAGAUUGAGUUUGUGAUUGAUGUAGUUUCUGGAACUGCACCAAUCUCAAAGGUACCCUAUCGGAUAGCACCGGCGGAGCUGAGAGAGCUAAAGGCGCAGCUUUAGGAUCUGAUGGAUAAGGGGUAUGUGAGACCCAGUGUAUCGCCUUGGGAAGCGCCGGUAUUAUUUGUAAAGAAGGAUGGGUCGCUCAGGUUGUGUGUAGAUUACCGGGAGCUGAAUAAAGUGACCAUCAAGAAUAAGUAUCCUUUGACGCGUAUUGAUGACCUGUUUGAUCAGCUGCAAGGAUUUGUGUCUCUCGAAGAUUGAUCUCCAGUCAGGUUACCACCAGUUGAGGGUGAGGGCCGAGGAUGUUCCCAAGACGGCUUUUCGGACUCGGUACGGGCAUUAUGAGUUUACGGUGAUGCCUUUUGGAUUGACGAAUGCCCCUGCCGCAUUCAUAGAUUUGAUGAACAGAGUGUUCAAGCCGUUCUUGGAUAGAUUUGUAGUAGUCUUCAUAGAUGAUAUCUUGAUAUACUCCCGAAGCGAUGUCGAGCACGAGGAGCACUUGAGGAUUGUGCUACAGCUUCUGAGAGAGAAGAAGUUGUAUGCCAAGUUAAAGAAGUGCGAGUUCUGGUUACGAGAAGUCGCUUUCUUGGGCCACGUGAUAUCAGCAGAGGGAGUAGCAGUCGACCCGAAGAAGAUUGAUGCGAUUUGGGAUUGGCCCAGACCGACGAUGGUGUCAGAGGUGAGGAGUUUCCUUGGACUAGCAGGAUAUUACAGUCUGUUUGUGGAAGGCUUUGCGAAGCUUUCCACACCCCUCACUCGAUUGACGCGCAAGGGGAUUAGAUUCAUCUGGAGUGAGGAUUGUCAGAGGAGCUUCGAUAAGAUGAGACAGAGGUUGACAUCAGCUCCUAUUCUUGCCCUUCCUGUGAUGGGGGAAAAGAUUCGUGAUCUAUAGUGAUGCAUCGCACAGUGGACUGGGUUGUGUGUUGAUGCAGCAUGGUAGGGUAAUUGCUUAUGCUUCACGGCAGUUAAAGGAUUAUAAGAAGAAUUACCCUACGCAUGACUUGGAGCUGGCCGCAGUAGUUUUUGCUUUGAAGUUGUUGCGGCAUUACUUGUACGGCGAGCACUGCGAGAUUUUUACUGAUCAUAAAAGUCUCAAGUAUCUGUUCACUCAAAGGGAACUGAAUCUGAGGCAGCGCCGGUGGUUAGAGUUACUGAAGGACUAUAACAUUAGUAUUCAGUAUCAUCCCGGCAGGGCGAAUGUAGUCGCAGAUGCGUUGAGCAGGAAAGCAGUGCAGGGCCUGAGUUUGAUGAUCACUGAGCAGAGGCCAUUACUCGAAGAGUUUCAGCGGCUGAGGCUUGAGAUAGUGUCCCCUGGAUCUACUGCGAGACUGAUGUCUCUGGUUUUUUUGCCCACUCUGUUGGAUAGGAUCCGGGAGAAACAGAGUGGGGAUCCAUACCUGUUGAGGAUUCGAGAGCAGUUAGACGGGGCAGGCUGAGGGUUUUGCGGUGGAUAGUUCGGGAGUACUACGGUACAGGGACCGGCUGUGUGUGCCUGUGGAUUCAGAGAUCCGAGAGGCUAUUUUGAGAGAGGCUCAUUGUUCACCUUAUACGGUUCACCCUGGGGGAACCAAGAUGUAUAAAGAUUUAAAGGCACAGUUUUGGUCGAAUGGAAUGAAGAGAGACAUUGGCAGAUUUGUGGCUCAGUGUUUGACUUGCGAACAGGUGAAGGCCGAGCAUCAGGUGCCUGCUGGCAAACUUCAGAGUCUGCCAGUGCCCGAGUGGAAAUGGGAGCAGAUCACGAUGGAUUUUGUCGUGGGGUUACCGAGAGCACAGGGUGGCUAUGAUGCGAUUUGGGUGAUAGUGGACAGACUGACCAAGUCUGCUCAUUUCCUACCAGUUCAGACUACCUGGUCCAGAGAGAGGCUCGCACAGCUAUACCUGGAUGAGAUUGUCAGGCUACACGGCUUGCCGGUAUCGAUUGUAUCCGACCGGGACCCGAGGUUUGUGGCACAUUUCUGGAGGAGUUUACAGACAGCUUUGGGGACUCAGUUACAUUUUAGCACGGCGUUCCACCCACAGACAAAUGGUCAAUCAGAGAGGACCAUUCAGACUCUAGAGGACAUGCUGAGAGCGUGCGUCCUGGACUUUGGAGAAAGGUGGUAUCGACAUUUGAGACUAGUUGAGUUUGCGUACAACAACAGCUAUCAUGCGAGCAUUCAGAUGGCUCCGUUUGAAGCGUUGUAUGGACGCAGAUGUCGAUCCCCUUUGUGUUGGAGUGAGGUGGGUGAAAGAAAGACGCUUGGGCCUGAGUUUUUGCUAGAGGCAGAGGAAAAUGUGAGAGUUGUUCGACGACACCUUUUGACAGCCCAGAGCUGCCGGAGGAGCUACGCCGAUACCAGGAGACGAGACUUAGAGUUUCAGAUUGGAGAUCAUGUUUUCCUCAAAGUCUCGCCAUCCAGAGGGAUUCGCCGAUUUGGAGUACGUGAAAAGCUCAGUCCACGGUUUGUUGGCCCUUUCGAGGUAUUGGAGCGAGUUGGACCGGUUGCAUACAGGAUCGCUCUACCCCCGCUACUUGCUGGCAUACACGAUGUCUUCCACGUCUUGGCAUUGAGAAGAUAUGUUUUCGAUCCUUCUCACGUGAUUGACUUCACUCCACUCGAGAUUGGCGAGGAUCUGAGAUACGAGGAGCGACCAUUGCGGAUUCUUGCUCGGGAGACGAAAGAACUGCGCAACCGGGUCAUCCCGUAUGUGAAAGUGCAGUGGAGCCAUCACGAGGAGCGGGAGGCGACUUGGGAGCCUGAGACGGUGAUGAAGUAGUCCUAUCCCUACCUAUUCGAUACCCUGAGCUGAGGUAUGUUUAAGUUUCGAGGACGAAACUUUUUGUAGUAGAGGAGGAUGUAGUAUCCUAGGUAGGCUAAUAGGGAGUUGGUAAAGGGCCUUUUGGUCCUUUAUCAAUCCUUAUCAGCCCACCGCCUUAAUUAGAGGUGGCAGACUGUUGGGGAUUACUAAUUUAAGUCUCUCUCUCUAGCUUGAACUAUUCGUGGUGGAGAGCACGGUGGAAGCUUGGAGCAACGUCGACGUCACGUCGCGGAGCUGUUCGAGCGCGCGUCUGUUGCCGUAGCAUCGCGAGGAGGCCGGGCGAGGGUGUGUUACAGCCGUCCUCGACGUCGCACAGAUACUAGGGUCGCUGUCGAGGUGGGUGUGCCGUCAAAUUGCUUCUUUAUUUCCAAGCUUCUUCAAAUUCGAGCUAGGUGCUGUUCCUGCAGACUUCCAGCGUCGAUCGUUAGCGUUUCGGCUCGUACUCGACGUAGAAGCGUCGGAUUUUGACGAGAUUUGGUUCGUUGGAUUCAGGACUUCUAGAGAAAUCCACGAAGCCCUUAUUUGCUGGAUUUGGUGAAGGUUUGCUGGGUCGGAAUUUUAGUUUUCUCUGCUGCUGUUUUUGAAGCAGAAUUGAUGCUUAUUGCCGGAUUCUACGUGUAGAGUUGGCGGGAGCUUAACUUCGGGCCUUUGGAGGUUUUCGGUGAUCCAGCCGGGCGUUUCUCAUAGUGAGUAUUCCAGGUAGUUUAGUUUUCAGUUACGCUCGUGCUGGGAUGCCGAGUGUAUUUUUACAGUAGCGUUCAAGCUGUUCCGGAUUGUUGGGUGCCGUCGGGGUUGACGGUGGACCGGUAUCGCCUUUUUGGCGUCGAAUUGUGCCGAGGGCACGUUACCUGUUGGUUGUUAGACCAGUUUGAGUCGGUUACUGGACUUUGACUUUCGAGAGCCUGAUUGAGCUCGACAGAGAUACGCUGCAUACUCGGUUGGGUAGCUCCCACGAGUGCCACUCCGGAGACGGGCGCUGUGCUUUCACGUUGGUGUCGCUCAUGCCGGUUGGACUUGCUCUCCACGGACUAGUAGUGUGGAUGUAGCUGGAUAGUCACAACUGGGCAGGGACGGGUGUGUUCACAGUCCCAGAGACGGGUAUGCUUACAGUCCCGAUUAGAUUGGGUUAGAUUUGAUAUUUCCUACAGUUGGUUAGUGUAGAGCAUGAUAGUGUAGUGAUUCAUAGCGGUAGAUUUUAUUCCUGCAUUUACUACUAUCCUUGCUCCCUUCUGUAGACUUAGUGGGUGGACCGAUGUUGUUGAGGGCGGCAGGUAGAUGUUUUGUUGAGGGCGGCAGGUAGAUGUUGUUGAGGGCGGCAACUAGAGGUACCCCUACUGCAGGCAGGUAGAUGUUUUGUUUUGAGUUCAUAUACAUAGUAUAUUUAACUCGCUAGUGCGAGUAACUCUGUACUUUUGGUAUUGGACUAUGUAUAUGGAACUCCGUUUGUUUAGCUUCUGUUUACUCUAGCAGCUCUAUACUACUGUUCGUAGUAUUGUAUGGUUUACAAGUACAGCUGUCGCUUCGUAUACAGGGAAAAUUCCUUUGUAUACGGCGGAUUUGUCAGCGUGCCCGGAGAACGUGUAAUCUGGGGCGUGACAAAUUAUUCGUUAUAUAAUUUAUUAUUAAAUUUUUAUGGAUAGAUCUCACAAUUUUUCUUAAAAAUUUUAAUAAAAAAUAAAUUUUUCUUCAAAAUUUUAAAAAAUAUUUUUAAUAGAUUCAAAAAUUAAAAGAAAUUAUUGGAACAAUUGUAGUAUUAUGUUAGUUAAUCUAGACAUCAUGCGAUCUCUCAUCAUAUCAAUGUUAUUGAAUCUUGCAAAUUGCAUGAGAACUUUAAGAAAAAAUAAUUUUCUCUAAUUUUGUAUUUUAUAAUUUUUAAAUUUUUGAAAAAGGUAAAAUCAAAAUAUUUUCAAAGUAAAUCAAUUUUUUAUGUUAUUCUCUAUGAGCUAUAAUUAUAUUUUACUUUACAUAUAUAAAAUAUCUAUUACUAUAUUAAUUGCUAAGUGUAAUAACUAAUAAACUAUACAUAGCCAAUAUUUAUAAUUAUUUUUCUAAAUCUUCCAAAAUAGUAUUAUAAGAGUUUAUUGGGAACAAAAAAAACUAAAAAAAUUGUGCCAAAACGUGCCACUAGAAGGUUAUGCGUAUCCAUCGGCACGCAAGCGUGCCACGCGUCAGCACGGAGGCGUAUCUAUACCGUACCAUGCCAUGCCAUGCGACAACCGACACGCCUCCAUGCCACAGCACUUUAAUCCUUGGCUCGUGCUGUGGACCUUGUUACUCGUCCCUAAUUUACUUUCUUUAUUAUCAUGUGUCGUUUAUGUGACUUAGUUUGAGAGUAGUUUUACUUGGAUUUUUCCUAUUGUAGUGGUUUAGUAAUUUCCUAGUUAUGGUUGUGAAUUGUAGUUGUAUUUGUUGUUAAUUCCUCUUUAUUCUGGUCGCUUGUGGUUGUGUACCUAUGCUCCUACGCCAUGCAUGUACAGGAAAGACUUCGUUCAUGUAGACAGAGGAAACUCUAUACGUGUGGUGAGUCUUACGUCUCAAGCAAGGUGUAAAAAAAGAAAAAAAAACUAUGCACUUUUCCACAAGACUUUUUUCAAAAUGGAAGGAUUUUUUUAAAAUACUUUCCAAAAAGGCCCGGGGCAUGACACAUAUAGAGCAUCUUCCUGCCUAGUAGUAAUGCAAUCAUCCAGAUAGAAGAUUGUUAAACCCCUUAUAUAGCAAAAACAUCUAGUAAUGAAUUUUAAAUAUUGCAUGCCAGAAAUGUUACUUCAGAUAACAGAAUUACCAUUAUAUCAGCAAAAAGCCCAUUUGCACUCAAAAAAAUUGGAAGUAAAUAUCUAAACUUUCUAUGUCAACGUCAAAAACCCUGAUCUCAUCAUGAAGAUCAGAAACCUACUCAACAUAAUAGCAAAGAAGUGUUGAUUAUCUUCUAUAUACAUACUUUGAAAGUCUUAUUUUCAGAUUUAUUCUUGUAGAAGGAAUUUAAAUGCUGAAGAGGGGUUCCAUACUCAGAAACCCUGGAUUUGAUAGAAAUCCCAGUGAGUCAAGUUAAAAUAAAGGGGCCUGUGGUUUAGAUUAACUUGCUAAAAAAACAGCAUCAACAUAUCUAUUCCAUUUUCAUAUUACAAAGUGACCAACAAAAAUCUUCAUUCAUGUGCAUACUGCUACCUCUCAAGACAGGAUGUAAAACAUGUAAAAAGAAUAAUCAGUGCGUAAUUAGUUCUUACAUAAAGGUAGAUGCUGAAACCAAAUUCCAGCAUCUGAAAACUAUGCCAUUUCAUUAUACAAUUACGACCUAUGCAGAGAAGCCACAGCUAAAUACUGCAAAACCAACUUUUUUAAACUGAAAAGUAAAACUUCAAAAACAUAGCUAACCUGCUUGGCGAGACGGAGACUGGUAUAUCCAAGCUUUUGGUACUCAACCUUAAAUUGGAAAACUCCGUAGACAUCCGGAACUUUAAAGGAUGUCGAAUAAAGACCCUAUCAAAAAAUAUCAUGAGUGUGUUACUACGAGAAGGUCGAUCAUUCUCCAAAUACGUGUUAGUGUCACUGAAACAUACCUUCUGGUUAUUCGACAAUGUUUUUAAAACAUAGGGACUCAUCAUGUAGAAUUGAACUUGAACAUCAUCAGCAACAUAAGGUUCCCAGCUUGUUCCAGACCAUUCAUAGAUUUCAACAGAGUAUUCCUAAAACAAAUAUCAAAGUUAGGAAUCAAAUAAGAGAGAAGAAAAUAUCUUCUUUUUUUCAUGAUAUCAUUUGUCACAACCAUUAUUAAGACAUUUACCAAAUCAUCAUUUAUACGGUACAUUGCAGGUUCUGUCAUUUCUCCAACUUUGCGAUGGCUGACAUUGACAGCCUGAAAAACCAUAAAUGUAACAUUCAUCGAUCAAUUGGAAACUAAUAAUUGAAGAUAUUUACCACAAAAUUAUAAGAGAUCAAAAGCAAGCUGUACUCUUGUUAUUUGUCAUAAUGUUAUUUGUUUUUCUCAAGUUUUUUGCAAUUAAAGGUGCCUAGGUUCCAGCAAUGUCCUUGAUUAAUUUUGCAAUUGUCAAUUGGUAGAAAACUCCCAAGUGUACGAUUUUGUCUGGCACGAUUUUAAUUAGCAUACAGUCAAUCUAGGGGGGACAAGAUACACAUAAGGGGACAAAAACAAAACGGAUAACCGACGAGUUAUUGUCAUGUUAAAUGUUUCACCUUGAGAUGGCCCCUUUCGUGGAAGACCCAUUUGCUGAUUUCAGUCACAAAUUGUUCAUUUCCAGAUUUCUCAUAUCUGCAAAUUCGUAUCAGAAUAUACAAACAUCUUUGAUCAGAGAAACUAUGUCAAACAUAAGAUUGACAGCUAAAAAAAUGUGUACAUCAGGCAGUUAACGUCUUAUUUUGUAUAGAGUGUAAGCAAAAAUCAUUUCUGCUAACAUGCAAUCAUUUGUUAUACUUCAGUAGUUACUACUUGAUUGUUUGAUUCUCUAGUGAUUUUCAUUUGCCUAUUGUCCCCCCAUUAUCUUUUUUUCGUGUCCCUUAUUACAUCAUUAAGCAAUUAAAAGAAGCUACACAUUAAUACUUUUCUUUUCUUAAACUUGCAAGAAACGUAUUCUUUAAGCAUUCAAGUUUCUAGUACAAGGGAUUAAACCUUGUCAAUUUACUUAGGCACCUGAUAAAGUUAAAAGAUGAUUUAAUUUCAUUAGCGGCAACUUAAAAAGCAAUUUGUUGACGAUCAUACAAAGUGCCACAGCACGAGUUCGUACUAGGCACUUAUUGUCACGGUUCAGCAUGUACGUGGGCCAUGGACAAAAUGCUUGUGCCUUGUCAAACUUCAGCAGGAAAAAGUUAAAUUUCUUUGGAAUCACAUCCCACCAUGCCAAUGUGUGCCGUUGACAUAACACUUAUGUGUCAUCCAUUUUGGCAUGAAAAAGAUUCAUUUUCUUUGGCACCAGUAAAUUCUUCUUGCUCUUAAUAUAUCUCUUAUCAAUAUCUUAUACUAUACUCAUGUAAUUACUAACUAAUUAUGAAAAAAAAAAAAAGGAUUUUUAGCCGUGCCAUUGGCACAGAUGUCAUAUCACUGAUUGGCACGGUACAGUACGAUGGGCAUGGCCCAAGCCGUUGGGCCCUUAUAUCAUUGAUAGCGCUACAGGCACACAGCAAAUGUGUUCUUAUUGGUUAGGCUGUUAGCAAGCAAUUAAAAUGCUCUCACCAUGUGAGAUAAGACGCUUAAAAAUGAAACAUUCUCAAAGACAUUCUUCUUACUAUGUGAGAUCUGGGGUGUUAAAUUCUAUAGUCCCAAAGUAGUCGUGCUGCACCCCUGUUACCCCUGUUACGAGCAUGGACCCCGAAAGAACCAAGCAGAAAAAUCAAAAAGCUUAAGUUGGACUCUGUUUGGCCUUAGUAGCACUGUACUGGCAGAAGAAUUAUCAAAAAAUAGGUAUACCAACUCUGUUCCACGUAUGGUAGUAGUCAAAACAACUUUUACAAAUCAUCUCCAUCAUAUAAGGCAAGAGUAUGUUAAUAUUACUACACUAAUACAAGAGAAUUUUUUUAUAAUUGUUUCUAUCAUUAAGAAGAUUGCCUGAAGAGCAGAAAUAGAGCAUCAUACCAUUGAAAGUUAUAUGCCUUUUUGCAUAAAACAUCCACCAGUUUUGCCUUUUUCCAUAAAACAUCCACCAGUUUUGCCUUUUUGCAAAAAGGAUCCAGCAUUUUAGAUUUUACAGAUAUGGCACGAAUUUUAGAAACUAACUAAAAUACCCUUAUUCCUUUUUUUCUCUCAAUCGUCUUUCUCCUCCCGCUCCUGGUUCGUCUCCCUCUUCCUCGCCGUUUUUUCCUCUCCUUCUCCUACAUCCUCUCCCUUCUCCUCCUCCUCCUCCUCCUCCACUGCCUCCACAUCAAUGCCACGCUCUGUUCUUUUAUCUCGCUUACACCACCCCCGACAACAAUUUGAACACGGCCCACAUUGCGGAGGUGAGGUGGCAACAAAGUGCAUGGCAUAAAUUGCAAAGGUGCCGCAGGAUUUGAGAGCGACGCAGAAAGAGAGCAUGUCGGGGCAGGGGCAGCUGGUGCGUCAGAGGACAAGGGCACGAUAGUGAAAAAUGAUUUCGAAGGUAGAAGAAAAUUAAAGAAAAAAUAAAGAAAAAGUAUAUUUUUCUUCUCCUGGGAAGAUCACCAUAUGUCGUGGCUGCUACAAAAAAGGCCAAGAAGCAGAGAACAAAGAAGAAGACGUUGCACUCUUUGAAGCGAAAGUUGCACCAUUUAAAACUAUUUGAAACUAAAUUGCACCACAUAAAGCAGAAGUUGCACUGUAUUAGACUUUAAGUUGCACUAUUUUAUGCAAAUUGGUCUAAGUUGCACUGUUUGAGACUUGGUCUUAAAUAGUGCAACUAAAGUCUUAAACAGUGAAACUUAAAUCUCAAACAAACAGUACAACCUCUAUUUUAUGUAGUGCAACUUAGUCUCAAAUAGUUUAGAUGGUGCAACUUUUGCCUCAAAGAGUGCAAUUUCAUCUCAAACAAUGCGAUUUCGUCUUCUUUUUCUUUCUUCUCUACCUGGCUUUUCUUGUAACGGUCACGACACAUGAUGAUCUUUCCAGACGAAGAAAAUUAAUGUUUUUUAUUUUUUUAUUCUUUCUUUUUCUUUUUCUUUCACCAUCUACAUCUUUUUCAACUAUCACCCCCUUUCCCGCCCUGUGCUGCAGCCGCCAACCCCGCCCUAACGUGCUCUCCUUCCUCAUCAUCCUCAAAUUCUACGGUGCUCUCGUCAACGUCGCUGUCACACGGUCGCGAUCUGUGCCAUAUUCGAGCCAACGUCGGAGAUGUGGGCGAUGUAAUAGAGCAAAGCAUAGUGUCAAUGUGGGGGCAAUGGCGAAGGAGAAGGGAGAGGAAGUGAGAGUAGGAGAGUAAGAAAAGGCAAGGAAGAGGGAGACGAAUCGAGAGCGAGAGAAAAACAAAUAAAAGAAAAAAAUGAGAGAAAAAAAAAAAGGUAUUUUGAUCAAUUUACUAAAUAUUCGGGCCAAACAUGCAAAAUCCAAAUGAUCGUCUAUUUUUGCAAAAAUGCAAAAUCGGAGGAUUUUCUAUGCAAAAAGGCCAAUGUUAUAUGACUUGUAGCCUGAUCAUAUAAAAUCAGCCAUAUUAAUCCUUUUUAUUACGGAUUUUAUAUUAGCAUAUUUCAUGGUUUGAAUCGAAGUCUUGAAGGGUUCAAUUCAUGAUUUUGAUAUCUGAAAACUAGAAGAUUUUGCAAAGAAAUCAAAAGAAAACUCAAAAGCGAAGAAUCAAUUUUUUCACCAGUUGAGUUCACGAUGCAUAGGUAUUAUCUAAAUGUUUUCAUGGUGAUUCUUACUUCUUUACGGUAUUGGAAUCAAUUAUAUAUGUUUAAACUAGAUUAGAAUAAGGUUUUAGGAACUGUGGGUUUUAAUCUAAUUCAAUUUUACAUUGAGUACCGGUACUAGUAAAGAGUUCAUCAAAAACAGAGUUUGAAAAACUGAAUUGAGUACCAGUGACCACGUUCAAUUCUGCAAAACCUAGUUCUUAGUUUUGAACUACGUAUCGGCUCCAAAGUUAAAAGCACCGGAAUUGAAAGUGUAUCGUACUAAAACUCGAGUUCUGAUACACAAUACUAGCAAUCUAGUGUUACAUUUUUCAGUAUCGGAAUUCAGCUUCAUGAACUGGUACACAAUGUUUAGAUUAAUAUUAUGUGUUCUAAUCCGACUCUAAUGUAUUCCAAAGUUAUAAAUAUGUACUUAGCAUUUCUCAAUCAGGGGAAUUAGCUUAGAAUCCACCCGAGAGCAACCCUAGAGGCUUUUUUUCGUUCUAAACCUUUUCUACCAAACAGCCUCUUCCGGAUAAACUCAAAGUUACUUCCAAGUUCAUUUUUCAUGUUAUAUCGAUCUGUCCUUCGCUUAGAAAGCUCUUCCCUGGUUCAUUGAUGAUAUUCUAAGUGUUGAAUCGCCAUCACAGCUUUUUGUUUUUGGUCCAUUGAAGUGUGCGUCGUGGAUUUGGUGUUGCAUCAUGAAUUCCACGUGAUCGAGGCAUUUUAGUGGAUUCGAAACGUUAAGCUCAUGGAUUCGAGAGGCGUUCAUGGAUUCGAACGUGGGCGUGGACUAGCCGGUGGAGUAGGCAAGAUCCAAAGAAGAUAAAAUAGACGUUUGAGUUCGCAGAGUCAGUAAUCACCUUAUAAUCCUUUAUUUCUUUGUGGAUUAUUAUUGCGUGUGUGAUCCCAUGAGUUUUUACUCCUGUUUGGAGCUUUUUUUCCCACAUAAAUCUCUAUGUGCUGGUUUUUACUUUCUGCAUUUACUUUUAUUGGAUAUAGUUUGUCUUAAUUUUGGCCUUCAUACCUAUUCACACCCCUCUAGGUAUUAACAUAACCUAUUAGAUCCUAGGGUUCAUUACUUAUAAUUUCUAGCAGUUCAACUUCAGUUUAGAAUUCAGUCCUUCAUCAACCUUACGGCAAUCUGAAGUUACUUGAAUUAUUCAUAUAUUAAUGAUGCACUGUAAAUCAUUACUAGUCUUGCUGGAUUCAAUAUGAACAUAGUUUAGGUAAAAUAAUCAGAAGCCUGAUCAACUAUAGGUUCUUUCGAAACAGAACCCGACACUUGUUUUUUCUCUUUUGGUGAAACCACCUCAACUUUUGAUCAUUUUGGUUUGUGUUUAUUAUGUUAGCUGAAAAUUGGAUUCUGUUAUUUUUAACAGUCACCCUGUUCUUUUAGUUCGAAUUCUAAAUUCUGUUAACAGUUAAUAGCUAGCAGGUAAAGCAGGGGUAAAGUUUGACGAAAUCCCAAAUGCAACCAACAAAAUUAGUCAAAAUUAAAAUAAAUAGAUGUUGAUGGGGUGUCAAGUGUCAACCGAAAAAAAAAAAAAAAAAAAAAUAGUAUUGAGUCCCUCAAAUAAUCCUUGUGCAUUUCAGCGGUCCUUUAAGCUAGAAACAGAUAUGGAGUAUUUUAGAAAUAUAGUGAUAAUUUUCUACCUUACAGGAACUUUUAGUCACAUGUUAAGGACAACUUUUGCACCUGGAGGUAAAACUCCUACUUUACAAAUGAUCCACUAAAUCAUCUCCCAGAAAUCUCAAGCACUCCUGUGCUUUUCAUUCCUACAAUUUAGGAUACCUCCAAAAGGAAAAGAAUAGGCACCUUACAUAACACAGAAGUCAUCCGCCCAAGAUAGACAGAAAAAAGGGACAAGUUUGAGCAAACAUUCUAAAAGAUUUGAAGAUUUUCAUCAAUAUCAUUUGUAUGAGGAGAUUAUCUUCAUUAUAAAUAAUAUUAUUCAUUUUAGAAUGUGGAAAAAAACAAGGAAAAAACAUAUGGUAAGUUAAUGGAGAGUAAAAAGUCAGAGAACUUUCAACUUGAGAGGUAAAAUUUAAAAUUCACCGCUUAAAGUUCCUUUGCUGAAGGAAUGCACCGCCAAGCUACACUUAGCUUUUGUGAUUUUAGACCUAAAUCCUAGAUGAAAGCCGACAUGGUGAUGCAGACCAAACCAUUUUUCUAAUUUUUAUCUUUUAGGCCAUUUUGGAUUUAAUCAGUUAUUCAAGAUUAUUUUUUAAAUAGUUGUUUAAGAUUUUUUUGGGUCAACUAACCAAAGAAACUGGGGAUAGAAAUAAAUCCAUACAUCUAAGGGAUCUACUUCAAGGAUCAAAUAAGGUACAUAUUAUAAGUAAAGACCACCAGGUUCUAUUCUAAUCAGAACUUUCCAGAGUAGGAAAAAGGGACUAGGAUAUUUCGCUGUCUCUAAGCCUGUUUGGCCGUAAUCUCUUCCAUUCAGCUUGGACUGUACGCAUUUCUCUUUUCUUCCUCUCUUGCCUUCUAAUUCCUUUUUCUUCUAUUCCUUCUUUUCUCCCACACAGCCAUAGCAGUAAAAGUACUGUUGCUAUAGUACCCAGUACCACUAUAAUAUCAGCACUAGUGCACUACACUAUUGCUACAAUAUUUUUUGCAUCAGAAGCCUAUACAAAUUCAUUCUCACUAUUGCUCAUUAAAGGCCCAUGCUGACUCUCUUCAUUUUAACUUAACGUGAUUAUUUUUAUUCUCCAUCAAUCCAUCUAGUAAACACCUAUAUUUUGGAGACAGUGGUUCUUAAAUGAUGCAGGAGCUUUAAUAUUAUGUUUUACUUUUCAAUUGUUUUAUUUAUUUUAGUUAGCUAGUUGUCAUGUGACUAGCAUGUGACUUAUUAUUAUAUUUUGAUGGUUAGGAUUUAAAGUUAGCCAAUAAGUCAUAUUUAAGGGGCGGUAUUGAAUAGCACCUUGUAACCCUAAUAUAAAAAGGAUGCAGAUCAGAUUACGACUGUUUUUUAUCAUCUUUUCAAUAUGUCUAAGAAUCUAGUGGUUUUCUUAAAACCCUAACUAUUCCAUCUUUAUUCAUAGGUCUUAUUAGCCUAAAUCCGCCUAUUUGCUCUCUGUUUUCCUCCCAUGCUACAUCAUUCUUGGUAUCAGAGCCAUGGUUAGACGUGAUAGAGGACGUGGAAGAGGAAAUCAAGGUCAGCAAAUAGAUAUGGCUGAGAUACGACGUAUGAUUGAUGAUUUGUCGCAGGCAGUACAAGCCUUGCAAGGGUAGGAACAUGUGGUGGCCCGUAUGGAGAAUCCAGAAGGUGACCACGGCCCUCUAGACAUGCCGAAAGGUAGUCUGGAGGAUACGACUAAUCAAGAAGACUUUGAAAAUCCCUUUCAUGAUGCUAGAACUGCAAACAAUGCGGUGCGAAGUGGAUUGGAGGAGCGAUUGCUGCAUGCCCUUGAUCUAAAUAGCAGCGAAUCAAAGAUUGAAGUUGCUGAUUUCUAUGAAAAUAUGCACACAGAAGAUUAUCUAGAUUGGGAAGCUAGUAUAGAUAAUUAUUUUAAGUGGAAACCCAUGGUUGAGAAUAGGAAGGUAUUGUUCGUGAAGCUUAAAUUGAAAGGCACUGCACUUCAAUGGUGGAAGAUUGCUGAAGAGCAACAUGCGUGGCAAGGCAAGCCAAAAGUCAACACUUGGGAACAAAUGAAAAUAAAGUUGCGGAAGCAAUUUUUACCGCUGAUUAUAUGGAGCAGUAUGAGACGUUCCAUUCGUUGAAACAGCGGAGUAUGAAUAAAGAAGCAAGAAUUUAAGUGCCCAUCGGCACGGACCGUAUCUAUCAUGCCGUAUCGUGCCAACAAGAUAUUGGCACGAUACAGCUCUCGUACUAAUGGCACAUCUCAAAACCCUCUAUUCUUCAAAUUAGUAAGUAAUUUUUUCAAUAAAGUUCAAAAGAUUUGAUAAAGAUACUGUUACAACAUAUUUAGUAUCUCAUGCUAUAUAAGGAUACAAUAUAUUACGACAUAUUUAGAGUAGGAUUACAUGAUAUGUGAUACCUAGUUAUAUUGUUACUAUAUUAGGCAUUGUUACUAUAUUAGACUCAUCUCUUGUAUUAUAUAACAUCAUCAAUAGAGCCCAUAAGGGAAUGCUCUUUUACCACCCUUUCUCUUAGCAUAUUACAGGUGGUUGUUUCUAGUUCUCCUAAAACUGCAUAUGAUGCUUGGAAAACUAUUGAAGCAUAUUUUCUUGAUAAAACUGCUUCCACGGCUUUCUCUCUAAAGUCCGAAUUGCGAAGCAUCAAGAAAGGUUCAAUGAACAUGAGCGAUUACAUGCAAAAGAUUAAAUCAAUUGGUGAUGCUCUACAAGCGAUCGAUGAAUCUGAAUCAGAUCGUAACUUGGUCAUGACAGUUUUUCUCGGGUUACCGGAAGUAAGGUUUAAAGUGCCGUGGCACGGGAGCGUGCCGUUGUCCCUGGCACAGUACGUCACAGGCACGCUUGCGUGCCGACACGCGGCACGCUUGCGUGCCGAUAAAUACGCAUGGCCUCCUACUGGCACGCUUUGGCACGAACCUAUUUUAGUUUUUUUUGUUCCAAUAAACUCUUAUAAUAUUAUUUUGAAAGAUUUAAACAAAAUAAUUAUGAAUAUUUACUAUAUAUACCUUACUAUACUCAUCAAUUAACAUGCAUGAAAACUUUUUGUAAGCAAAGUACAGCUAUACCUAAUGUAGAAUGAAAUUAAAAUAUAAUAAUAAAAUUCACAAGUAUAAUAAUUAUUUAAAUUUACAUAUUUACAUAGAAAUAACUACUUAAUUCCACAUAGAUCGUCGCGCUUAAUCAUCUGGCAUAUUAUUAUCUACAGAUACAAGAUUUAUUUGACAAUGUUGAUAUAAGUAUUGCUUGUAUUGUGAGAAAUUCAUAUAUUCCCAAUAUUACAUCUAUAUUUUUUGUUCUUUUAUUCUUUUUAAAAAUAUCUGAUCAAAAUUUGUUUAGGAAAUUGAUUUUUGUUCCUUUGAUUCAUCGAAAGUUUCGCGAUGUGACAAAUUUUGACAAUUUUUUGUGAAAAAAAAAAAUGGAUGUCAGUGGUGGGCUGCUCGGCUCGGGCCGGGUGCGGGGGUGAAGCCCUUGCGGUAUGGAUCGCUAUGUCAAUUAAAAAUUUACUCCUAUAUGAUAAAUAGAAGUUAAAAAAAAAGGCAUCCGCCAUAAAGGCAAAAAAAAGUUGAAAAAAGACAACAAAGUGAAAAAAUGACAAUAUAGGUGCCCAAGGGGGAAAGGGAGGCUCCAAACCCCAGAGAACUAAAGGAAAAAAAACAAAAAAAAAAAAAGCCAAAAAGAAAAAAAAAAAAUAUUGGCGCACGCACGGUAACGUGACGCCGGCACGCCCUGGUGCGCUUUGUCUCGAGCGGCACGCAGGUGCGUGCCGCGAGACAGAGGGGGGGUCCGAGACCCCCCCGUACCGUGCCCCCUUCUUGGGGGCACGGUACGGCACGGCCGGCACUUGAAUCCUUGACCGGAAGCAUAUAGGGCAAGGUUUAAAGUGUCGUGGCACAGAGGUGUGCCGCUCUUUCUCUGGCACGAUACGGCACGGGCACGCGUCCGUGCCGACACGUGGUACGAAUGCGUGCCAAUGGAUACGCAUGACCUCCUACUGGCACGCUUUGGCACGUAUUUAUUUAAGUUUUUUUGGUUCCAAUAAGCUUUUAUAAUGUUAUUUUGAAAGAUUUAGACAAAUAAUUAUUAAUAUUUGCAAUGUAUAGCUUACUAUACUCAUCAAUUAACAUGCAUGUAAGCAUUUUGUAUAUAAAGUACAACUAUACCUGAUGUAGAAUAGAAAUUAAAAUUCUUUUGUUUUUAUUUUUUUUUAUUUGAAAAGUACAACUAUACUUGCUGUAACAUUUGAAAAUUCUUUUGUUUUUAAUUUUUUUAGAAUUAAAAAAAUUAUAACAAAUAAAAUGACAAAAAAAUUUAUUUUCUAAAAACGUUUCAAGAUCUAUAUAUUGAUUCGAUUAGGAAGCAUAUAAUAACUAGAACAACCAAAAUAGUACCGUAAUUACAUCCAUUUUUUUUAUUCUUUUAAAAAAUAUCUGAUCAAAAUUUGUUUAGGAAAUCGAUUUUUAUUCCCCUGAUUCAUCGAAAAUUUUGCGAUGCGACAAAUUUUGACAAAAUAUUCUGCGAAGAAAAAAUGGAUGUCUGUGGCUGAAGCAGAGGGGCCCGCAUCGGAGAGGGGUGCGGAGGGCUUCGCCCCAUGCGGUAUGGAUCAGAUUUGUCAACUAAAAAUUUACUUCUAUAUUAAUAAAUAAGAAGUUAAAUUAUAAAUUUUUAAUUUAACAAAAAAAAAAGAAAAAGUCAAAAGAAAAAGCCAAAAAGAAAAAAAGAGGACGGCACGCUGCAUAGUGCUGCGGCACAUGGCCGCGUGCCGCUCUGUCUCAAGCGGCACAGGUCAUGUGCCACGGCACCCAGGAGAGGUCCGAGACCCUCUCCGUGCAGGGUACGACACGGGGCGGCACUUAAUACCUUGAUAUAGUGGUUUUGUCAGUGCCCUUAAUACAUAUCGACAUAAGCCUACUUUUGAACAACUUCGUCCACUUCUAAUGCAAGAGGAAACUGAAGCUCAACGUCGUACUAGUUUGACGACAUCACCAGCCACUCCCACUAUCGAUGGCGAAGCUCUUUAUGCAAAUCGUGGUGGAGUUAGAUAUCGCGAUGGUCGGGGACAAUACGGUAGAUUCAAUUCAUAUCCUGGUCGUGGAUCUCCUGGAGCCUAUUCGCAUUCUCAACCUAAUAAUUCUAAACCCUAUACUCCGACCUAUCAACCUUACAUUCCGAAAUCUGGCACACAAUGUUAGAUCUGCGGCAAGUUUAAUCAUUCGGCUCUUCAGUGUAGACAACGCUUAAAUCAUUCCUUUGUUGCAGAUGAUCUUCCUCAAACCUUUGCUGCUAUGAAUCUUCAUGAACCUGGUGAGGAAGUGUGGUAUCCUGACACCGGAGCAUCUAAUCAUAUGACCGCAACUUCUGGUAUUCUCUCAACCUCUAAACCUCAUAAAGGGCAUGAAAAAAUUCUUGUUGGUAAUGAAAAUUUACGUGAUAUUACUCAGACAGAUGAAACCCAGUUGCAUUCCUCCUCUAAAUCCUUAGCUCUUAAAAAUAUUCUUGUUGUUCCUUCUAUUAAGAAAAAUUUGCUUUCCGUACGCCAGUUCUGUCAUAAUAAUAAUUCCCUUUUUGAGUUUGACUCUUCUGGUUUUUCUGUGAAGAACAAGGAAACCGGGACGGAGCUCCUUCGAUGCCCUAGUUCGGGAACAUCACUCUAUUCACUCUCUUCUAAAGUUGCAAGUGUCGAAAAUAAGCAACAGCUAGCACUGGUUGCAUCUAGGGUUGAUAGUGAUAUUUGGCAUAGAUGGUUAGGUCACCCUAGUUUUUCUGUUCUUUCUACGUUCUUUAAAAAUAAUAAAAUUGUCUCAGAUUCUAUUUUGAAAUUAUCUGUUUGCAAUGCUUGUAAUAUGGAAAAACAAGUCAAACUUUCGUUUAAUGAUUCAGAAUCUCAGUCCGCUUUUCCCUUUCAUAUUGUUCAUUCGGAUGUAUGGCAAUCACCUGUUCCCUCACUCUCCGGCUACAAGUAUUAUGUUAUUUUUAUUAAUGAUUACUCUCGAUUCUCUUGGCUUUAUCUUUUAAAAUCUAAACACGAAGUUUUUGACAAAUUUUUGGAGUUUAAAAGAAUGGUUGAAAACAUAUUCCAUAGCUCGAUAAAAAUUUUCCAGUCCGACAAUGGCACUGAAUUUGUAAAUGAGUAGUUUUCUAAUCUGUUCACAAAAUGGCAUUAUUCACAGAUUUUCUUGUCAUUAUACUUCUCAACAAAAUGGUCUUGCUGAGAGGAAGCAUAGGCAUUUAUCUAACGUUGUUAGAAGCCUACUUUUUCAAGCUUGUUUACCUCCUCGGUUCUGGGCUGAGGCCAUUCAAACUGCCAUUUUCCUUGUAAAUAGAAUUCCAUCUCUCACUGUUUUAAAAGGACGAUCGCCAUAUGACAUUCUGCAUGGUUGUGCUUCUCUUGACUUGCAACUUAUUAGAAUUUUUGGAUGUUUAUGUUAUCCCGAUGUACAGGACAUUGCAGCUCACAAGCUCGCUCUCCGGUCACUUCCUUGUGUCUUCUUGGGUCUUUUUGACAAACAUAAAGGAUUUUGCUGUCUAUAUCCAAGCACCGGUAAAGUCUUUAUUUCUCGCCAUGUUACAUUUGUUGAACAUGUUUUUCCUUAUUCUUGUCUGUCUAAAUUUUCUUCUUCUUCCUCAUCCUCAUUUUCCAACUUGCAAAUGUUUCAAAGUUUUCUCUCUAAUCCGUUUUUACUGGGUGAAAGUCCUACCACUGUUGAUGCGAUUUCUGGCUUCUACUUCACAUGUCCUCCUCCUGAUAUUGGUUCACACACAUCGGUUUCACCGUCUGAGGACUUAUCAAUAUUUUCUUCUAGCUUGCAUUCUGAUGCUCCACAGGUUGGUCCUGAGAAUGUUGCCACUGUUGUUGGUCUAUCUGAGCUUCGGGUCUAUACCAGACUACACGCCAGCCGGCCUGCUGCUCCUUCUCCAUCUGCUACUGAUGUGCCACUUACUUUUUCUGAUAAUCCACCUCCUCAGCUUGCUACUGUCUCCUCUCCUUCAUUUUCUAUGGCUCCGCUGCCUACCCGUACCCAUUCUAUGCUCACUCGCUCUAUGACUAAGGAUUCCACAGGGUCUACUUCCUUACUCACUUCUGCCCAUUCUACUCUUCCUACUGAGCCUACUUCUUUUCAUGAGGCUUUUCAAGAUGCAGAUUGGCGUGCUGCCAUGGCUGAGGAAUUUGAUGCCUUACUGACUAAUGCUACUUGGGAUCUUGUUCCUCCUCCUUCUUCCAUUAAUCUCAUUGGAUGUAAAUGGAUAUACAAGGUAAAGCAGGAGGCGGAUGGUUCUCUUGAGCGUCUCAAGGCUCGACUUGUUGCUCAGGUUUACAAACAACAACGAGGUGUUGAUUUCGAUGAGACUUUUUCUCCCGUUGUCAAGGCGACCACUAUUCGUACUGUUCUCUCCGUGGCUUUAUCGUCCGGUUGGUCUCUUUAACCAAGGUUUAAAGUGCCGUGGCACGGGGGCGUGCCGCUACGUCCUUGGCACGGUACGGCACGGGCACGCUUGCGUGCCGACACGUGGCACGCUUGCGUGCCGACAGAUACGCACGACCUCCUACUGGCACGCUUUGGCACGAAUUUAUUUAAGUUUUUUUGGUUUCAGUAAGCUUUUAUAAUGUUAUUUUGAAAGAUUUAGGCAAGUUAUUAUUAUUUUUUGCUAUGUAUAGCUUAUUAUACUCAUCAAUUAACAUGCAUGUAAGCAUUUUGUAUAUAAAGUACAACUAUACCUGAUGUAGAAUAUAAAUUAAAAUUCUUUUGUUUUUAUUUUUUUUUAUUUGAAAAGUACAACUAUACUUGCUGUAACAAUUGAAAAUUCUUUUGUUUUUAAUUUUUUUGUAAUUUAAAAAAUUAUAACAGAUAAAAUGAUAGAAAAUUUUAUUUUUUCUAAAAAUUUAAAAUCUAUAUAUUGAUUGAUUUAGGAAGUAUAUAAUAACUAGAACAACGAGAAUAGUACUGCAAUUACAUCCAUAUUUUUUUUAUUCUUUAAAAAAUAUCUAAUCAAAAUUUGUUUAGGAGAUCAUUUUUGUUCCAUGAUCAUCGAAAAUUCGCGGUGCGACAAAUUUUGACAAAAUAAUUUGCGAAAAAAAAAUGGAUGUCUGUGGUGGAAAGAGAGGGUCGGGCACAGGCCGAGGGCGUAGCCACAUGGACAUCCGAGGGGGGUGCGGGGGCGAAGCCCCCCCCCGGGUAUGGAUGGAUUUAUCAAUAAAAAUUUGCUUUUAUAUUGUUAAAUAGAAGUUAAAUUAUAAUUUUUAAUUUAACAAAAGAAAAAGAAAAGUCAAAAAGAAAGCAAAAGGCAAAAAAAAAGGUACUAGCCAAAAGAAAAAAAAUGUUGACAAAAAGACAACACAAUGUCAAAAUAAAGAAAAAGUGAAUAAAGGCAAUAUAGAUGGCCGGGCGGAGGCUCUUUGUAUUCCAGAGAAAAAAAAAAGAGACAAAACAAAAAAAAAAAGCCAAAAAACUCAAAAAAAAAAAAAAAAAGGCCGGCACGCGGCACAGUGCCGCGGCACAUGGCCGCGUGCCGCUUUGUCUCGAGCGGCACGCGGCUUGUGCCGCGGCACCCAGGGGGGUCCGAGACCCCCCCUGUACCGUGCCCCCUUCUUGGGGGCACGGUACGGCACGGGGCGGCACCUUCAACCAUGUCUUUAACAACUUGAUGUGAAGAAUGCGUUUCUUCAUGGAACUCUCUUAAGAGGUUUAUAUGGCAUAACCACCGGAUUUUGUGGACCCCUCUCUUCCUCAUCACGUUUGUCGUCUCCGCAAGAAAAUCUAUGGUCUUAAGUAGGCCCCUCAGGCUUGGUUUCAGCAGUUCACUUCAUUUCUUUCUGAACUUGGUUUUGUCGGCAGUACCGCGGAUCCCUCGAUAUUUGUUUCUCCUUCCUCUUCUGGCACUCUCGUUCUUCUUUUAUACAUUGAUGAUAUUAUUAUCACUGGCAGCUCCUCUCUUUUGGAGGCUCUCAUUGUCACCCUACAACGUGAGUUUGCUAUGAAAGAUCUCGGGCCGCUCUAUUAUUUCUUGGGCAUUGCGGUUACUCCGUCUUCUUCUGAUCUUCAUCUGACUCAGCACAAAUAUACGCAUCAACUACUUCAACGCCAUGGCUUUCUUGAUUGUAAGCCUGUCUCUAGUCCUCUUUCUCCGGCCUCUCACCUCUCGUCUUAUGAGGGAAUUCUUAACGAUCCUUAUGUCUAUCGUCAGCUUGUUGGUGCUCUCCAGUAUCUCACCUUCACGAGACCGGAUAUUUCGUAUGCUGUCAACUCUGUUGCUCAGUAUUUGCAGACGCCUCGUGAACCACAUAUGCAAGCCGUCAAGCGUAUUCUACGUUAUAUUCAAGGGACCCUAUCUUAUGGUCUUCCACUCUCUCGCUAUGUCAAUCAUUCUCUUGUGGCGUUUGCCGAUGCUGAUUGGGCUGGUUGCCCCGAUACACGUCGCUCUACUUCUGGCUAUUGCGUCUUUCUCAGGCCCAAUCUUAUCUCCUAGUCUGCUAAGAAACAGCCCACCAUUUCUCGCUCAAGUUCUGAAGCGGAGUAUCGCGCUGUGGCAUAUACGCUUGCUAAUACAGUUUGGAUUCGCCGUUUACUCCAUGACCUUGGUGUUUUCUUAUGGCGCUCCAUCAGCAUCUAUUGUGAUAAUCUCAGCACGACUUAUCUUGCGGCUAAUCCGGUUCUCCAUGCUCGGACGAAGCAUAUUGAGCUUGACCAUCAGUUCCUACGUAAGAAAGUCCAGUCUGGUGAUUUGGACUUGGUGCACAUCUCUUCUGAUAAGCAACUUGCUGAUAUUUUCACCAAGCCUUUGUCGCCUUCUCGGUUUUCGAUAUUGCGGCUCAAUCUUCGCAUCCGACCACCGGAUGCUUAGCUUGCGAGGGUAUGUUACGACAUAUUUAGUAUCUCAUGCUAUAUAAGGAUACUAUAUAUUACGACAUAUUUAGAGUACGAUUAUAUGAUAUGAGAUACCUAGUUAUAUUGUUACUAUAUUAGGCAUUGUUACUAUAUUAGACUCAUCUCUUGUACUAUAUAACAUCAUCAAUAGAGCCUAUGAGGGAAUGCUCUUUUACCCUUCUUUCAGAUACAUAAUAAACUAUUAGAAUAUUUUGUUGCUAAAGAAAAUAAAUAUUUCAUGCCAUUAUGUGUCACCACACAUGUAUUUUUUGUGACCUGCACGCAUUGGCACAGCCCAGCACACACCGUGUCGUUCUGUGCCGGCAAGUUUCUGGCACGACCCCGUGCCACAACAUUUAAAACCACGUGUAGAAGAGUAUAAUUCUGAGUUCUACAAUUAUCGGUUUGAGUGGGAUUGAAUAAGACAAAUAAGCAAGUAACUUCUCGUUACUUGCCGGACUAACCCUUCUAUUAGAGAUGAGAUAGGAGUUGUUCGUUUGUUCAGUCUUGAAGAUGCUCGACAAUGUGCCUUGUUAGCGGAAAAGCGAGUGUGGCGAUAUGGUGUGUAAUGGCAUAGCUCAGGGAAGAUGACAGAACCAGGGUGGAGGUAACUAGGUAGGAGAUCGAAUAAAGGGUCGGGUCUGGGGAUCCACAAUCCGACUAGAGGGAAGCUGGGACUGAGGGUUGCUCGUGGGCCUCCACAAGCCGUCCAUCUCAAAUCCAGCUACAAGCCCAAUGGUUCGAUGUGGUCCAUGGACUCCACUAGUUGGUUAACAUUCUUAUAGCUACCAUUGUUUGUAUUCAAUUGCAUUUUAGUCCCUGUAAGACACCUAUAAAUAGGUGAAGAACUUUGGAGGCAGUUAUGAAUGGGAAUUGGCAUUUCUUCUACAAGCUUCUUCUCGUAUCUCCUUCUCUCUCUCUUCUUCUUCCUCCUCUAAACCCUCCUCAAAUCUCUAUCUCUUUCUCACUCAAACCCUCUCAAUUCCUCAUCAAUGGAGGAUUGUUAGCUACAUCGAGCCAAGGAUCCAUCAUCUCCACUCAGCGCAACUCAGAGUAGCUUCAUCAUUGCUACGCUGAGAGGAUCAGGGUGUGACAACUUGAUAUCAGAGCAGCUUCGAUCCACGAGGUAAGGAGAGUAGUAGUUCCACGGAUUGGAUCCAGAUCUCAGAUCUGUUGAACCAAUACAGGAACGCAUAACUCACAAUCCGAUUCUUCUUUUUUUAAAAAAAGAGAGUCAGAUUACAAGGGUUAGCUACUUCCUGUCGGAUCUAAGGAAAGAGAGGGCACAUCAGAGAAUUGAAGAGUUCGUCAUCGGAGGUAGAUCCGUCAUUGGGUCGAAGAAGAGCAAUCGAUUCAAAUUUGUUAGCAAAACAAAGGCGGCCAUAGCAGAGGGAACCCGAUUCAGAGUGCUUGAUGAGCAUGUGCAAUCUCUGGAGCAACACUUGCAUGAAUUAGCCACGGGGAGCAACAAGAGAUUUGAGGAACUCCAUCUCAAAAUUGAGGCUAUGAGGGCUGAGAAACAGAGCCACUAUGAAGCAUUGCGCAAGGAUUCAACUACCACCACCAAGAAACUGGAGCAAUUGAUGGAAGUGAUCUUAAAUCAUCAGCGGCUGUCAUUCUCCAAAGACACGGCAGGGUCGAUCACACAAGAGAGAGGUAUCCUCCCAACCCCAAAUAACUCAAUUAGAGAAGAUAAUAGUUCUUAUCAGUUGCAUAAUAGGCCUAGCCCACAAUUACCCUUGCCUCGAUUAGAGUUUCCACAUUUUAAUGGAGAUAAUCCUAAGAAUUGGGUGAGGCGAUGUGAGAAGUACUUUGAGAUCUUUGGAAUCAAAGAGCAACAGAAAUUAGAAGUUGCCGUUAUGCACAUGGGGCCUAAGGUAGAUACCUGGUUUCAUGGUUAUGUAGCUGAAAGGGGAGUAAUGAGCUGGGAAAUCUUUGCCCAAGAUGUUUGUAAACGAUUUGACUCUGAUGGUCUCCAUGAUGUUGUGGAAGAAUUCAAUAAGCUGACUCAACAAGGAACUGUAGAAGAUUAUCAAGAACAAUUCGAAUACCUUCGGUCAAGAUUAUUACAAACCGCUUCCCAAUUUGCCCCGGAGUAUUUCUUAUCUAGCUUCUUGAGUGGAUUAAAGGAAGAAUUAAGAUCUGCAGUUAAGAUGAUGUAUCCCCGUUCCCUCACUCAGGCUUUUGAGAUAGCAAGACUGCAGGAGCAGAACAUGGCAGCCAUGUUGAAGAAGAGCAGAAUAUGGGUUAAGAACCCAGGUAGUGCAACACUUUCCGACAGCAGCAAGGGUAACAGUUCGGCAACAAACCCCCGGGGGGUGGAUGCCACCAGGAACUAUACCAGCAAGCCAACAACGGAAAGGUCACAAACCAAUAGGCAACUAUGGGAACAAAGAAAGGUCGCGGGGCUAUGUUUCAAGUGCGGGGAUAAAUACUCUUUUGGGCAUCAGUGUAAACAGCAAACAGUAAGUGCUAUGGAAGCCACAGGAGAGGUGACUGAAGUCUAUGAUGAAGAAUAUCUGAAGAAAGUCAAUGAAGGGGAUGAACAGGAGGAUGAGGAAAAGGAGGAAAUUGGGUUGUCAGUACAUGCCUUUAAGUGCCGGAAACUUGGAAGAAACCAUUAAAAUUCAAGGAGAAUCAAAAGGGAAAGACCUGGUCAUAUUGGUGGAUACAGGAAGUACUCACAGUUUCCUCGAUAUAAACACGGCGAAGGAGAUCAAGACUACUAUAGCCCCCACUUCCUCCUUGUUAGUUACGGUUGCCAAUGGGCAAAAGGUUUUGAGUAAAUUGAAAUGCCCAGGAUUCAGUUGGAAAAUGCAAAAUGAGGGAUAUGUGGCUGAUUUGAGAGCGAUUCGAUUAGAAGGUUCAAGUAUGAUAUUGGGCAUUGACUGGCUGAAACUUCAUGGCCCGGUCACAUUCGACUAUGAGCAAAACAUAGUGUCGAUUAUGAAAGGAGGGAAAAAGUAGAGCUCAAGGGAAUGGCAGAAAAAGCAAAAAUUCGAAGUAUCACUGCCAGGCAAUGGGAUCAGGAGUAUUUAGAAGGCAACUGUUGUGCAGUGGCUCAACUAACCAGUAAAGAUGAGGAUCGGGAUUCUGUUCCUGCCGCGAUUCAAGAGGUUCUGCAGCAAUUUGAGGAUGUGUUUCAAGAGCCACGAGGGUUACCACCUGCUAGAUUACAGGAUCAUCGGAUACCGUUGCAAGCAGGAGCCCGACCUGUUAAUAUUAGACCUUAUCGCUAUAGUUACGAACAAAAGAAUGAAAUUGAGAAGUUGAUCAAGGAAAUGCUUACCUCAAAGGUAAUCCAACCGAGUAAUAGCCCCUAUGCUUCGCCGGUGUUGUUAGUCAAAAAAAAAGAUGAAAGUUGGAGAUUUUGUGUUGAUUACCGACAAUUGAACACACUUACUAUCAAGGACAAGUACCCGAUACCUAUAAUUGAAGACCUUUUGGAUGAGUUGGGUGGAUCCACUCUAUUCUCAAAGAUAGUUUUAAGGUCAGGAUAUCAUCAGAUCCGGAUGUAUCCAAGCGACAUUCCGAACACGGCAUUCCGAACUCAUGGGGGCCACUACGAGUUUCGGGUGAUGCCAUUCGGGCUCACCAAUGCCCCCGCCACCUUUCAAGCCAUAAUGAAUGAGGUAUUCGCUCCUUUGCUCCGCAAGUACGUCCUUAUAUUUUUCGAUGAUAUAUUGAUCUACAGUAAGUCACUGGAGGAGCAUGUCACUCACCUGGAGGUGGUACUCCAAAUUUUAAGAAAGAAUCAACUCUAUGCAAAGAGGUCGAAGUGUUUCUUUGGGCAGCGACAAAUAGAAUAUUUGGGUUACAUCAUCACACCAAAGGGAAUAGCUACAGAUCCUUGUAAAGUUGAAGCCAUGCAACAAUGGCCACGGCCAACUUCAGCAAGAGAGUUAAGAGGUUUUUUGGGCCUGACCGGUUACUAUAGAAAGUUUAUUAAGGGGUAUGGAGUUAUUAGUAAACCCUUGAUUGAUUUAUUGAAGAAAAAUGGAUUUGGAUGGGAUAGUUCUGCUCAAAAGGCCUUCGAAUUGCUGAAGAAAGUAAUGACUGAGGCCCCUGUGCUAGCCAUGCCUGAUUAUAAAAAGACAUUUAUUGUGGAAGUUGACGCGUGUGAGGAUGGCAUUGGAGCUGUGCUGAUGCAGGAGGGGAGACCUAUAGCCUAUCUCAGCAAGACCAGAAGCAAGAAGAAUCGGGGACUGUCCACAUAUGAAAAAGAGCUUUUGGGGUUGUUCAUGGCCGUAACGAAGUGGAGACACUACCUGAGUAUGAGACAAUUUAUCAUAAGAACAGACCACGAGAGCCUCAAAUAUCUCCUCGAACAGCGGAUCACUACCACGUUGCAGCAGAAGGGGAUGCUUAAAUUGCUGGGACUGGAUUAUAUGAUACAGUACAAGAAGGGUAGAGAGAAUAAGGUAGCUGACGCUUUAUCCCGUAGGAGAACGGAGUGCGGUAGCAGCCAGGCUAUCUCGGCGGUUGUUCCGGAGUGGACAGUUGAUAUUAUUACUAGUUACAAAGGAGACGAGGACUGCCAAAGGUUAAUAGCUCAACUGACAGUACAACCUAAUAGUUUAGCCAAUUACUCUAUGGUCCGGGGGAUAUUACGCUACAAAGAAAGGCUAUAUGUGGGAUCUGGUGGAGAGUUAAGACAGAAACUGCUCAUUCAGAUGCAUAGUUCGGCUAUGGGAGGUCAUUCUGGGCAGCAGACUACUUAUAAAAGGAUUAAGCAGACAUUUUUCUGGCCAGGCCUCAAGAAGCAAGUAGAAGAGAUGGUAAAGAACUGUUCUAUAUGCAUUCAGAACAAACCAGAUAAUCAGCCCUACGCAGGGUUGCUUCAACCAUUACCAGUUCCGCGACAGAUUUGGAGAGAAAUCAGCAUGGACUUUAUAGAGGGACUGCCGAGGUCGGAAGGCAAAAACUCUAUUCUGGUGGUCGUUGACAGAUUAACCAAGUAUGGGCAUUUCAUUCCUUUAUCCCAACCUUUCACAGUCAGUGAGGUUGCUAAAGCGUUCUUUGACACCAUCUACAAAUUGCACGGACUACCGGAGAAGAUUAUAUCAGAUCGAGACAGAGUCUUCACUAGCGAAUUGUGGAAAGAAUUGUUUAAGAUGCUGGGAACGAAGCUACACAUGAGCACUGCAUAUCAUCCCCAAACUGAUGGCCAAACCGAGAGGCUUAAUCGGUGUUUGGAAACAUAUUUGCGAUGCAUGUGUUUCCAACGACCGCAUAGUUGGCGGAAGUGGCUUUCCCAUGCCAAAUUGUGGUAUAAUACAAAUUACCACUCUUCUCUGGGGACAUCACCAUAUCAGGCUCUAUAUGGAUGUGAGCCCCCGAACUACCUGGUAGCCAAUUUGGGGCUGGGAACUGUGCACGAUGUAAGGGAAUGGGGGAAAGAAAGGGAAGGUGUAACUCGGGACCUGCGAGAAAAUCUCUUGAAGGCGCAGAAUCGCAUGAAGCAAUUCGCUGACCGUCGUAGUGUGGACAGAGAAUUUCAGGUAGGUGAUUCAGUUUACCUAAAGUUGCAACCUUACAGACAGUGCACAGUGGCGGAAAGAAGGAACUUGAAAUUGUUUUCUCGUUACUAUGGGCCUUUCGAGAUCUUGGAGAAGAUUGGUACCGUGGCCUACCGGUUGCAGCUUCCUGAAGGGUCGCGAGUUCACCCGGUGUUUCAUGUCUCUUUACUGAAGAAGAGUCCUCCCAGUGGACAGUCAGCCACCAGGGCCGCACCACCAACUGGUGAGGAAGAAGAACCGCGUUUGGAGCCGGUGGAGAUAUUGGACCGCCGUUCGAUUCGCCGGGGUAAUAAGGCCGUGACACAAGUAUUGAUCAAAUGGAACCAUCUACCUGAUGAUCUAGCGACCUGGGAGGAUUAUUGGUCGUUGAAGGAACAAUUUCCUGGUUUGGAUCCUUGAGGGCAAGGAUGGUCUGAAGGAGGAGGGAUUGUAAUGGCAUAGCUCAGGGAAGAUGACCGAACCAGGGUGGAGGUAACUAGGUAGGAGAUCGAAUAAAAGGUCGGGUCUGGGGAUCCACAAUCCGACUAGAGGGAAGCUGGGACUGAGGGUUGCUCGUGGGCCUCCACAAGCCGUCCAUCUCAGAUCCAGCUACAAGCCCAAUGGUUCGAUGUGGUCCAUGGACUCCACUAGUUGGUUAACAUUCUUAUAGCUACCAUUGUUUGUAUUGAAUUGCAUUUUAGUCCCUGUAAGACACCUAUAAAUAGGUGAAGAACUUUGGAGGCAGUUAUGAAUGGGAAUUGGCAUUUCUUCUACAAGCUUCUUCUCGUAUCUCCUUCUCUCUCUUCUUAUUCCUCCUCUAAACCCUCCUCAAAUCUCUAUCUCUUUCUCACUCAAACCCUCUCAAUUCCUCAUCAAUGGAGGAUUGUUAGCUACAUCGAGCCAAGGAUCCAUCAUCUCCACUCAGCGCAACUCAGAGUAGCUUCAUCAUUGCUACGCUGAGAGGAUCAAGGUGUGACAUGGUGCAAGAAAGCCUCUAGUAGGAAGAACAAUAGAUGCAACACAAAGAGGCUUUGGGGCUGUUUGAAAUGUUAAAAGUGAACAAACAGCUCAACGAACCAGCCGAGAAACCUAUGCGAAUAACCGACCAACUAGAGAAAGUGCAAGUAAUUUUGAACGGAAUGAUAAAGGAAAGACUAUGGUGCGGUAUGGAGCACAAAACCAUUCAAGCUCCACUGUCUCUAAAUGGGUAGCAACUCACAAAUUCGGUGUUUCACUUGUGGUGAAAAGGGUCAUAACUCUUAUGCAUGUCCGGAACAACGGAUGAACCUAGCAGAACUGGAGGACAAUGAAUAUGAUGAGUCGGAGACAAUUUAUGAUGAUUAUGUGGAAGAGAGCGAAGAAGUAAUCCAUCGAGUUCAAGGGGAGUCGUUGGUGGUUCGACAAGUGAUGACAGCAGCAAUUAAAGAAGAAGGAAGACUUGAGGUGACAAUUCGACAUUGCAUUUUUCGAACUCGUGUUCUUUGUGAUGGGAAGGUGUGUGACCUAGUUAUUGAUGGAGGUAGUAUGGAGAAUAUUAUUUCAAAAAGACGCUGUAGAAAAAUUGAAGUUGCCCAUCGAAAAACAUCCUUAACCCUACAAGAUCCGUUGGCUCAAGAAAGGCAAGGAAAUACUGGUUACAUCUCGUUGUUUGGUGAGGUUCACAAUGGGAGCUAAUUUGGAUGAUGAAGCUUUGAGCGAUGUUGUGCCUAUGGAUGUUGAUCAUAUACUUGUGGGAAGACCUUGGUUAUAUGACAUGACAAGGAACACUAUGCUAAGCCAAACACUUAUUCCUUCUAUAGAGACAACAAGAAGUAUACCUUGCAUCCGUUAAAGGAAGAAGUAAAAGAACUUGCUGGUGGUUCAAAAAGCAACAAGGUUAAUGGCUUUUUAUCUGCUGAACAAUUUGAAAUUGAGCGCCAAGAAGCAAGGUUUGCAUGUGCCUUAGUAAACAAAAUAGUAAAAAAGGAGCAGCUUACAAAAUUCCCGCGACAACAACCUGAAAUUCAGCAAUUGUUUAAGGAUUUUUCAGAUCUGGUUAGUGGUGACUUACCACAAGGUUUACCACCAAUUAAGAGCAUUCAACAUGCCAGCGAUUUAAUUCCAAGUGCCUCUUUACCAAAUCUGCCAGCAUAUAGAUUGCCACCUGUACAACGGGCCGAGAUGCAAAGACAAGUUGAGUUGGUGGCCAAGGGUUUGGUGCGUGAAAGCAAAAGUCUAUGUGCUUGUCCAGCUUUACUAGCCCCAAAGAAAGAUGGUUCUCGGAGGAUGUGCAUGGAUAGUCGUGCCAUCAAUAAAAUUACUAUAAAAUACAAAUUCCCAAUUUCUCGCUUGAACGAUAUGCUUGAUCAAUUAACUGAUUCUGUAGUGUAUACGAAGAUAGACUUGAAGAGUGGGUAUCAUCAAAUCAGGUUGAGGAUUGGUGACGAAUGGAAAACGGCAUUCAAAACACCGAAUGGCUUGUAUGAAUGGUUAGUGAUGCCGUUCGAACUCUCUAAUGCGCCAAGCACGUUUAAGCAAGUCACGACUGAGGUAUUGAAACCUCUUUUGAACAAAUUUGUUGUUGUCUAUUUCGAUGAUAUCCUAAUCUAUAGCCGCAGUGUGGAAGAACACUUAGUUCACUUACGCCAAGUUUUGGAGGUAUUCCAGCAGGAGCAACUCUUUAUAAACUUGAAGAAAUGUUCUUUCAUGGACCGUGAAGUUGUAUUUUUGGGAUUUAUUAUUUCAGCUGAAGGCAAAAAACCUGACCUGGGAAAGGUGCGGGCCAUUAGGGAGUGGCUUAUACCACGAACCAUUAAAGAAGUUUGAAGCUUCCAUGGGUUAGCCUCUUUUUAUAGGAGGUUCAUAAAGAAUUUCAGCUCCGUUAUGAGUCCUAUAACUGAAUGCUUGAAGAAGGAUAGUUUCGAGUGGUCGAAAUCAGCCCGAAGAGCCUUUGAACACAUUAAGACUAUGACAACUGCAGCAUCAAUUCUUUCAUUACCUGAUUUUGAAAAACUAUGUAUUCUGGAGUGUGAUGCAUCUCAUACUGGAAUCAGGGGCGUUCUUAGUCAAGAUAGGAAGCCCGUAGAGUUUUUCAGCGAGAAGCUGUUCAAUGCUAAACGAUGUUAUUCCACCUAUGACAUGGAGUUUUAUGCUUUGGUGAGGGCUAUUCAGCAUUGGGAGCACUAUUUGGCUUAUCGAGAGUUUGUGGUUUAUUCCGAUCAUCAAGCUUUAAGAUACUUGAGUUCUAAGAAGAAACUUAAUGCACGUCAUGCCAAGUGGAGUUCUUACCUUGAUGAGUUCAAUCAAACAAAUACAUGAAUGCCGAGUCUUCUACCUAUGACGUGUUGACUCCUCAGCUCUUCGAGUGCUAUUUUCCUCCGNGGAUCUGCCGCGAUCCCCACUGCCGCAACGUCACAUCCCACCUAUCUCGCAAUCCCGGAGAUCUCAUUGACCGUACCACAGAUCUCGGAUCUAGCGCCCCAAAUCCUGCUGUCCUGCACCAUCACAUGCAUCUCCAAUCAUCGGUACAGAUCUAGAAUUUGGUCCUUUCUAGAGGUCUACAAAAAAUGUGGGAGGAGAAGCCAACCGAAGGAUACAACAAAGCGCCCACACAAACCCCACAACUGUACACCACCCACGAUCCACUACCACACACACCAGAUCCAAAAAAAAAAGCAAGGUAGGCAAUGGUGGAGGCAACGGCGAAGGCUUCGUUGGCUUUGGAGUGAGAGGGAUUUGAGGUUGGAUAGAGAGUGGAGGCAUCAGAGGAGAAGUGCAGAGAAAGACUCUAGGACGAAGUAAUGAGGGUAGAGAUGAGGGUGAUGGGAGUUGGAGAGAGAGAGAGAGAAGAGCAUGUGCUCAAGCCUAGCAUCCAUGUCUUUUCAGAAAUGAGUGUAUUGCACUGCUACUGGUUUUGAUCUUUUCAAUUAUAUUUUUUGUUGGGUCUUAACUUUUAAAAUUUUAAUUUUAAAAUUUUAUACUUUCAAAAAUAUUUUGUCAGUUAUUUUAUAUUUAUUUAAUGUUAGAGGAAAACUAUUGUCUAAAUUUAAUACAUUUCUAUCGGCAUGGAUCAAGCUUCAAAAGGCAUGUCCUCGAUUUCUCAUUUUAUAUUUCAUAAUAUAACUGAAACUAAUUUUAUGUUUCUGUAGUAUUUCUUUUCUUUUUUUAUAUAUCUUAAGCUUUUUUAUACUGUUUUUUAUUUUCUUUUCCCUUUUUGUCAGUGGAAUAAUCCGCAAACAUUGCAUUUAAUCUUUAUGAUAUGCUUUAUUAUGUAAAUUAAUGUAGAGUUUAGAGCUUAGAGUUAGGAUUUAGUGUUUAAAAUUUUAGUUCCUAUUUUAAUUAGGGUAAAAAACAUACUGAUAUGAAUUAUGAACUAUUUUGAAUCAGUCACCCAACAUUUUAAAAUUUUAAUUUUACUACUCAUUCAAUAUUGUUUGAUUUAAGUCAGCCAACAGCAUUUAAACUUCAAAUUUGAAUGUAUUGUUUGUCUUUACAUGUUUAGUUAAUACACUUUAUACAAUUUUCACAACUAUGAAUUUAAAGUAACGUUAGGUGACUCAAAUUGAACAAUUGAAAGGUUGGGCAAUAAAAUCAAAAUUAAGGUUGAAUAGCCGAUUCAAGAUGGUUCAUAGUUUAGAUAAAUUCCAUACAUUUUAACUUAAAAUUAAUAAUAUUAAAAAAUUAUGGAAAAUAAAUUACCCGCCGCGAAGCGCAGGCCUACACUAGUUUUUCAUUAAAAUACAAGUAGGGGGAGUCUAACAUUGUGGCAGAUGCACUUAGUAUGCGAUCUACUCUACAAACGGUGAUGAGUAGUCAAGUAACUGGUUUCGAAGAGCUAAAAUAUCAAUACAAAACUUAUCCAUAUUUCAGUAAAAUAAUUGCUGAAUUGGAAGGGCCAACAAGGCUUGAAACUUUGCCUUAUUGUUUACACAACAGAUAUCUCUUCAAAGGCAACCAACUGUGCAUUCCAGAGGGAUCUUUGAGAGAGCAGAUUGUUAGAGAACAUCAUGGAAAUGGCUUGGGAGGUCAUUUUGGUAGAGAUAAGACCAUGUCAAUGGUUGCAGAUCGCUAUUUUUGGCCAAAAAUGUUCAAGAAUGUGGAUAGGUUGGGAAAAAGGUGUUAUGCUUGCCAAUUUGGUAGAGGUAGUUCGCAAAAUACCAGAUUGUAUACUCCAUUACCUAUGCCAGAUGCACCAUGGAUUCAUUUGAACAUGGAUUUUAUCUUGGGACUUCCAGAGACUGCCAAAGGAAAUGAUUCUAUCUUUGUUGUAGUGGAUCUAUUUUCGAAAAUGGCACAUUUCAUUCCUUGUUUGAAAACUUAUGAUGCUACACAUAUUGCUGAAUUAUUCUUUAAAGAAGUGGUGAGACUCCAUGGUGUUCCAUCUUCCAUUGUUUCAGAUAGAGAUGUCACAUUUGUGGGACACUUUUGGAGGACCUUAUGGAGAAAAAUGGGAACUCAUUUAAAAUAUUCUAAUGCUUGUCAUCCACAAACGGAUGGACAAACUGAAGCUAUUAAUGAAAAUAUGUUGAGAUGUCUUGUUAGGAAUCAUGCGAAGAGUUGGGACUUGAUUAUCCUCAAGCUGAAUUCGCUUACAACAAUUCAGUGAAUAGGACAAUCAAGAAGACGCCAUUUGAAGCUGCAUAUGGACUCAAACCGCAACAUGCACUUGACUUAGUUUCUUUGCCUUUGGGAGCUAGAGUUAGUGAUGAUGGAGAGGCAUUUCCAAAUCAUAUCCAACGAGUUCACGAGGAAGUUAAGGCUGCCUUGAAAACCAACAAUGAAAUUUAUGCGAAUGCAGCCAAUCUACAUCGUCAUUUCAAGGAAUUUGAAGAGGGGGAUUUGGUCCCUGUUCACUUGAGGAAGGAAAGGCUUCCUAAAGGCACAUACCACAAGCACAAGUCAAGGAAAUUUGGACCAUGCAAAGUGUUGAAGAAAAUAAGGUCAAAUGCUUAUUUAGUUGAGCUACCAUAAGAUUUACACAUCCAUCCCAUUUUUAAUGUUUCCAAUCUAUAUUCAUUUGAGGGUUUUGAUAGAGAAGUGGCUAAAAUUUCAGAUGAGUUUCAGCAAUAUCCAAAGGUUAUUGAAGAUGUUUUAGAUGUUAAAGAAGUCAAAUCUCAAAGGGCCAACCAGUAUAGAAGAUUUCUGGUGAAGUGGUUAGGAAAACCAGCUAGUGGGAGCACAUGGAUAGCUGAAGAUGAAUUAAUGAAGAUUGAUUCAAACAUGUAUAAUGAAGUCGUGAAGGUUUUCUUGCCGAAGUCGAGUUUUCCAAGCCAAGGAGAUUGACACAGGAGCUUUAAUAUUAUGUUUUGCUUUUCAAUUGUUUUAUUUAUUUUAUUUAGUUAGUUGUCAUGUGACUAGCAUGUGACUUAUUAUUAUAUUUUGAUGGUUAGGACUUAAAGUUAGCCAAUAAAUCAUAAUCACGGGCUGGUAUUGAAUAACACCUUGUAACCCUAAUAUAAAAGGGAUGCAAAUCAGAUUACGGCAGUUUUUUAUCAUGUUUUCAAUAUAUCUAAGAACCUAGUGGUUUUCUUAAAACCCAAACUAUUCCAUCUUUAUUCAUAGUCCUUAUUAGCCUUAAUCCGACUAUUUGCUCUCUGUUUUCCUCCCAUACUACGUCAUUAAAAUCCAAAUAUCAUAAACUUCUAGUCUUCAAUAGUGUAAUUAUUAAUGACAAAUGGCCAUCCAUACAACUAAAAAUAUCUCGAAAACUAGAUAGUCUAACCAGUUCAACUAGGUCUAUAAAACUGCUCUACAAGUGAACAGAAUAUAUGCAACAUCAAGUUACAUUUAUGUAAGCAUUGGCAAAAUGCCACUUGAACAUGGCAUUAGAAAAGUACCAAAACAAUGCCAGGUGAAAACCAAUAGAGAGCUAACUUCAUCUCAAGCAGUAUAAAACAAUAGAGAGCUAACUUGAUAUCAAGUCUUAAUUUCGAGCCCAUGAUUUCAACAAAGAAUGAUAAUUGCACAAAUAGAUAAUCUGCAAAUGAUACAAGGUUAAGUACUUACUUUAUCUUACUCCCAGCCUUCUGCACAACAGACUUCGAAAAUCUAAAAAUUGGAAAGAUAACUAGGUUAGAACUUUUAGUAAGCGAUUCUAGAGUGAAAAGUGAUUUUUUUUUUUUUUAAUAGAGCAUUUGGAAACGUUUUUUCUAAAAUCUAAUUCUGAUUUUCAGAAUCAAUUUUUUUAUUUUAGAGGCCUCAAAAUUAGAAGCAGCUAAAACCUGCUUCCUAACAUCUAAUUCUGCUUUUUGAGUUCAAGUUUCAAAUUUAAAUUUUGAUUUCGGAUUUGAAUUUUAAAUUUCAAAUUUUAAAUUCAAAAUAAUAAGUUUAAAUUUUUUAAUUUCAAAUUUUCAAAAUUUCAAUUUCAACUUUCAAAUUUUGAAUUUGAAAUUUCAAAUUUCCAAUUUAAAAUUUAAAUUUCAAAAUUUUAAAUUUCAAACUUUAAACUUAAGAAAAACUUAAAUUUUAAACAUUUAAAAUUUUUAAAUUUCUAUUUUCAAAUUUUAAACGUCAAAUUGCAAAUUUCAAAUUUUAAAAGUUAAAAUUCUUGUUCAGAUUUAAAAUUUGGUCUUUUGCACAAAAAAAUACACUAGUUUUGCAUUUUUGCAUAACUGGACCACAUUUUUCGUUUUUGUAGAUUCGAACCAAAAUUUUUGAAAAUGGACCAAAAUAUCUCGAUCCCUUAAACAUCUUAUCUCUCCUUCCUUUGCUCCCUAUUGGUAGCCCUAUUUUUUCACCACUGACGGUAGCCACAGGCACUAAUCCCUCCUCCGCCGUCUCCACACACCAUCGCAUUUGCGUCAUGGUGUUCCUCACAGGCAAGAGGAAGAUAACAAACUUGACCCGCUCGUCAUCGUGACUACUCAGACCUUGCUAGAGACGAAGACGAAGGUAGCAAAGGAGGACAAUGGUCGCUAGUAGAGAAUGCUUCCGAAGCGUGUUUGCUACGCGAGCGUGACCGACGGCGGCAAAAUGGUGGUGGUAAUAACAGAGAAAAAUCUUACGAAUGACACGAUAUUACUCUAUUUGAAAAAAAAAAGUUGCACUACUGAACAUAUAUUGCACUACGUAGCAAGAAAGUUACACUAUUUUACAUUUUAUCAUACGAAACAAAUAGUGCAACCUUCUUGCUAAAUAGUGCAACUUUUUCCAAAUAGUGCAACAUCACGUGUCUACCAGAUUUUUCUCUCUCAUUACCGCAACCACCUCAUCAUCGUCGGUCGCACUCGUGAACCCACUUACGAAUCUACUUCAGGGGCAUUCUUGACCAACGAUCAUCACCCCCCACCUCUGCCACCUUCGUUUCCAUCUCCAGUGACGCUCCUAACGGCGCCACCGUCGUUUCUACCACGGUGACCUCGUCAAACCACCCCAAGACAGCCACGGCCACAAGUGAGUCAAGCUUCAUCAUUGUCCUCUCACUCGUAAGUGAGGUAGGAGAGUGCGGCGGCGACACAGGGACAAUGGAGUGAGAAAAAACAAGGGGAGAAUGAGAGCAAAGACAGAGAGAAUAAGGAUAUUUUGUCAGUUUGAAAGAAAAAAAAUCGAUUCAGAUCUGCAAAAAACGAAAAAUGUGACCCACUUUUGCAAAAUCGCAAACUAGCAGGCUUUUUUUUUGCAAAAGGGCCUCAAAAUUUUGAAUUUUAAUAUUCAAUUUCAAAUUGCAAAAUUUCAUUUUAAUUUAGAUUUCAAAUUGGCCUAUCUUUCUUGCAGAUUCAGCCAAAAUUUUUUUAAAAUGAUCAAAAUAUCCCUAUUAUCUCUCUUUGCUCUCUUUAUCCUCUUUCUUCCUCUCACUACACCGUCCCAACGUCGCUAUUGCGCUCCUCUACUUAGCACAAGACUACAUGAGGGAAAGAACCAUGACGAAGCUUGACUCAUGACCAUGGCAAUUCUCAGCGGUGGCGUAACUCAAAGCAUCACCGAAAAUGGAGUCAGAGAUGGUAAAGGAAAAAGGCGUUGAUCACUAGUCGAGGAUGCUCCUGAAGCAAGUUCGCGAGCAGGUUUCACAAGCGUAGCCGACUGCGACGAGGUGGUGACAAUAGUAGCAAGGAAAAAAUCUGGCCAAUGACGUGAAGUUGCACUAUUUGAAUAUAUGUUUUACUAUUUAGCAAGAAAAUUGCACUAUUUGAUGCGUAUAUUAAACUGUAAAAUGGUGUAACUUUCUUGCUAAACAAUGCAACAUGUAUUCAAAUAGUGUAACUUUUUAAUAGUUCAACAUAGCGUUGUCGACUAGAUUUUUCCCUCUCACUAUCACCACCACCUCGUCGUCGUCAGUCACACGACUCACACUCGCUGCAAACAUGCCUCCAAAGCAUUCUGAACUAGCGAUCGUCGCCCUCUUCUGACACCUUCGUCUCCGUCUCCAGCAAAGCACCGAGCAGCCACGACGACGAGCGAGUCAAGUUCGUUGUGUUUCUCUCAAUCGUAAGGCAUUCACGACGCAAACGCAACGAAGGAGUUGGUGUGGAGACAGUGGAGGUAGGAUGAGCGCUCAAGACUACCACCAGUGGCGGAGACAUGGCCCUUGAGGAGAGGGCAGAGGAAAGAGAGAUCGUAUUUUUAGGGCACGAGUAUUUUGGUCUAUUUUCAUUUGGUCCGAAUCUGCAAAAAUAAAAAAUAUGGCCCAUUUUUGCAAAACCGCAAGACUACUGGAUUUCUUUUUGUAAAAAGCCUUUUUAAAUUUCAAAUUUUAAAAUUUUAAAUUUUAAAUUUGCAAAUUUUAAAAUUAAAAUUUCACAUUUUAUAUUUUAAAAUUUUAAAUUUCAAAUUUUACAUAAUCCCUUUAGAAAAUUUGCUAAACACUUUACAAGAUCACUUCAAAAAAAUCACUUUUCUACCGGGCUCAGUUAGUCACUCUACAACUUUUAGCUGAAAGCAAUUCUCCAAACCAAAAUAACUUCAGUUGAAAUCACUUCUCCUAAAGCUAGGCCAAAUAGGCCCAUACAAAUCCAAGAAAAAGCUAUAGAUGCAUACCGAUUGCUAAAUAGAUCCAAAGAUCCCGAUAUCAACACCCGAGCAUUGUUUCUUGCCUGAAGGAAUGAAAUACAUGGCUCAUUAGUUUUCCAUCCUAAACCAAGUACAAUACAAAAUAAAUUGUUUACUUGCCCAACUAAAAAUUAACCAUGCGUAACCAUGCAAAGCAAGAAUUAAAGUGUCGUGGCACAGGAGCAUGCCGGUAGGUAGUUGGCAUGGUAAGGCACAGGAACGGUUCCAUGUCAAACACAUGGCACGCUUGCGUGCCGAUAAGCACGCAUGGCCUCCUAAUGGCACAAGUUGGCAUAGCCCUAUUUUAUUUUUAUUGGUCCCAAUAAGAUCUUAUGAUGUUAUUUUAGAAGUUUAUAAUAAUAAUUAUCUCAUAUCAUAUUUACCAAUUUGCUAAUCUACAAUUAAAUAAUGAGCUUUAAUUUUACGACUGUAUUUGGUAAAAUUACCUAAUAUAUUCUUGUAUAAUUCUAUAUGAAAUUAUUUAAAUAUAGCUAGAUUAGUUAAAGUUUAGAGUAGAUUAGCUUAUAUGGAUUAGAUCAGGUAAUUCUAAAUUAGAUUUUAUAUAUAGUAGCUUAGAGUAAUUUGGAUAAUCUAGAAAGAACAAAAUCAAAGCCAACAGUAAAUAAAAAAUAUUUAUUUUUAAAAUAAUUUAAUAUAAUCUAGCCAAUUCUAGAUUAUAUUAUCUUAGGUUAGGUAAUUCUAGAUUAGAUUAGAUUAUAUGAGAUAUCGGAUUAGGUUAAUAUAAGUACAAACUACGUUAAAAUUAGUAUUUCUAUAUCAGAUUAAGUUAGACAUUAUAUUAGAUUAGAGUAAGUAAUCUAGAUUAGGUAAAUUUAGGAAAUAUAAAAUCAUCUAAAUCAAAUCUAAUUUUAAAUCAUAAUAUUUAUAUUUAAACUAGUUUAAUGCAAUCUAGGCUUCUGAAUUAGAUUAAAUUAGAUUAGGGCUUUUUUUGCAUUUAGCCCCCUGGCAAAUUUUUAUUUUAAAAAUAGCCCUGUCAAAAUUUAAUUUGCAAAAAUGGCCCUAGGCCUGCCAUGCAGGCGCCACGUCAGUGCCACGCGGGCGGAGCUGGGGGCGGUAGUUAAGUUAAACACGAUGAACCAUUCACCGUGUCUAAACACGGUGAAUGGUUCACCGUGUUUAGUACGUAUUUUUGUAUAUCGAAAAGAGGAAUAGGGAAUUUGUAUUCCUUUUCUUCUCUUUUUCAAAAAUCCAAACCCGAACCCGAACCCGAACCCGAAAAUCAAAUUAAAAUCCAAACCCGGAUUCGAACCAGACGGAUUUUAAAAAUUCAUACCCAUAUCCAUAUCUGACCAAAAACUCGAAACCCGAACCUGAACCCAGCGGGUUUUAAAAAUCUAUACCGUUGGAUGAAGAUCUAAGAAAUAAAAAUUAUUAAAUAUUUUAUAUAUUGUAUAAAUAAAUAAAAAUAAAUUAUGUAUAUAUAUAUAUAUAUAUAAUUUAUUCGAGUUUGGAUUCGGAUAAUAUUUCGGAUAUCCAUACCUAUUGACAUCCCUACUCCAUAUUCCUCUUUUCAAUAUACAAAAAAUACGUACUAAACACGGUGAACCAUUCACCGUGUUUGAACAUGGUGAAUGGUUCACCGUGUUCAACUUAACACACGGGCCCGGUCCUGUCCGCGCGGCGCUGACGUGGCGCCUGCGUGGCAGACCCAGGGCCAUUUUUGCAAAUUAAAUUUUGACAGGGCUAAUUUUAAAAUAAAAAUUUGGCAGGGGGUUAAAUGCAAAAAAAGCCCUUAGAUUAGGCUACAUGAUUCUAGAUUAGAAAAGAUUAGAUUAGAUAUUGGAUCUGAUAAUUUAAAUCUACAAUACAUUAGAUUAGAUUCCAAUUCCAUAAUUAGAUUAAAUUACCUAGAUUAGGUAAGUUAUUUUAAAUUUGAUCAAAUUUUAGAUUAGCUUAAUAUAUUAAAAUAGAUUUUAUAUGCAAAUCAAAUGAUAAGGGGGAAGAAGUUAGGGUAUAGAAACAAAAAGAACCAAAAAAAUAAAAAAGAGAGAGAAACUCACAUACUAUAAAAAAAGGGGGAAAACAAUAACAAAUAUUAAGAUAUAGUCGGCACGCACAGUAUGUAUCGCAACUCCUGCGUGCCCAACUGAAUGUAUCGCAGGGUACCGUGAUACAUAUCGCGGUAUUCUACUCUCUGCGAUAAAGGGAUUGUAUUGUGCCCCUUAUUUAGGGGCACGGUACGGCACAGGCUGGUACAUUAAUCCUUGAAUCAAAGCAUAUGCUACACUCUAGGAACAGAGUCAAUAAAUUAUUAUUAAACAAGCAAAUGAUCCCAAGCUUUUGCUUUCUAGGUAUCUCACUUUAGGUCUUUUCAUUUAAGUACUAGAUUUUCCUCAAGUUAUUCUCAACUUAUGACGAUCAGCCCAGCAAGAGCAGCAUUGAGUUAAACAUAUGCCACUAGAUUCAUUAACAUGUUUAGGUCCACAUACAUCUAUGCUGCCACAUGGUUUACAUGCUAAGUCCAACACUCAUUUUACUAAUGAAAUUGGCAUUCCAACAGCUUUCAGACUAAAUAAUGCCACACUUAGUCUCUCUGACAAUGAUUCUCAACAUGCAUUCUAAGCAGAACAACACAUAAAAUACUUCAGAAGUGAUAGUUUUGACUCAAAUAAUAAUUAAGAAACAUACAUUUGAUCUAGAAGAAAUUUUUAGUGCUUUACACCAUCUUGCUUAACUACAAGUACUUGUGCGGUCAACUCAUGAUAGUCGAGACAUACAGCUUGAUCGUUAGUUUUGAUACAAGUAAUGUCAUACACUCAUACUAUACUACUAAAGAUUAUUUUUGGAAGUCGUAAUGUUUCAGAUUAAAAUAUAUAUAUAUAUAUAGAGAGAGAGAGAGAGAGAGAGAAAGAGUCUAGCUAGCAUUCUUUCGUCUACACUAUUGGAGGUCUAUAGAGACUAAAUUUUAUGUUCUUUUGGCCAUCCUUUGAGUAAUGACCAAAAGGUCCCAAAAUUGAUAAUUUUAAAAGCCGAUGUGAUGCAUUUGUAAGUUUAAUCGCGUAGAACAAUCCAAAUCUAAUAAAAUUUUGAUAGAAAAUUCUUUUCACUAUUUAGAAUAAAAUCAACACCUCUGAUCUGAAAUUUAAGUCUUUUAUCAUUACUUUUUAUGAGACUUUUGCUUUCAGCCGUUCAUUUUUCAUUCUACAGUCAAAUGAUGUGGAAAACAUGAUAUUUGGUUCCUAGUACUACCAAUAGUGUAGAUCAUGUCUAAUUGAGUCGAUCGUCAAUUCGGAUGUCUCAUCAACGAAAAUAACUUGUUAGCACUAAGGGCUCCGUGCUAACGAAAGCAUACUAGUUGGACGAUAUAUAUUUUAUAUAUAUAUAUAUAUAUAUAGAGAGAGAGAGAGAGAGAGGAGUUACUAUCCUCUUAAGAGUACAGAGGCCUCUUCCUAUCAAAUCAUUUCGAUGAUCCAAACUCCAAAUUGAUAAUCACUAUUAAGUCCAUCAAAGAGCCAUAAAACGAACAAUUGAAAACGAAUAACCUUGUGAAACUAUAGGUUAAACUUCCGCAAAUGAAAAUCAGAGUCGUCAAACGUUAUCUAAAUAGUCAAAAAAAAUUUCUAUACAAAUUCACGCAGCUUGGCCUGUUCUAUAAGAUUAUUUAUUGAAUAAUUUACUUGAAUAAUUCAAUUGUAUGCGCCUGAUACUUCUUUUAAUUAUCCAACUAUUAAAGAUAAAACAGAUGGUAUGUAAUAAGAAUGGAACAAUAAUUUAUUUGAGAAAUUUCAAUGUAUGUGCUUGAUACUUCUUUCAAUUAUCCAAACUAUUAAAGAUAAAUGCAAAAGGACAGAUUUGGCUCAAAUACUUUUUGUGUUACAGCAACCGGUGUACACAAAGGCCAAGGUAUAUAGAAGGAUUCUACAAAUAUAGAUCAAGAGCUCUAGUUAAGGCAGGAAAUUCGAUAUUCUGAUAGAUUUUGGUUUUGCUAUUAUCAUGAUCUGUAGACUUGAAAAACAGGACAAUUUUUUUAAUUUCAUUCAACUAUUACAGCUAUUAUUUGUAGAUCACUAUCUCUUAUGUUGUUCUUUCUUUAUAGUAUAGUCAAUAUCUUGCAUUACAGUUAAUGUAAAAAAUCAUUAUCAAUGCUGUGAAACAUCAUUAUAUGUUUUACUCAUUUACUUGAAAAAGCAUAUACACAAUAAAUAAAACCCAUCCAUCCACUCCUAUCAUUUCGUACAUAUACAGUAAAUGCCAAAUGUAUAUUCACUAACAGACCAAUCCUAACUUUCCAAAGGUAUGCUUUAUCCAAAAUCCAAAUUUUAAUGCAUAUAUGCCUCAUAUCAAUAUCCAUGCUUGCAGCUUGACAGAUAGCAAAUAGAACGAGUUGCAUCAACUACUGACAGCAUCAAAACUAAUUCGUACCGUAAAUAAACAGCUCAACUUCUUUAACUAGUUCAAGAUAAAGGAAUUGGAGAAAAAUUGCUUGAUUAGUAACUUCUAGGGCACGUCUAGUUUGAAGGAUUUAAUGCUUGGAAUGUGAAUCGAAAUGGUCCAAUCCAAUUGCUGGUCUUUGUUUUGCGGGAUGGACAUUCCAAUUCCCAUUCCAGCGGAAAUCAAAUCCUCCAAAAAUGAUUCCCCCCCAUUUAGGUGGGCUUCAACUUUGAUUCCGGAAGGAAUUGAGAAGAGAACUUUUUUUUCGCACUAACAAUUAUUUUAAUUCAAAUAUAAAUCUAUAUUUAAUUUUAGAUUAUAAUUUUAUAUUUGAAUUUGAAUAAUGGAUUCAAAAUUAAAUUUCUAAUUUUUUUAAAUUCAUUCCCCUUUUUCCGCACUAAAAAUUAUUAAGUUUGAUAUUUGAAUUUACUUAUAAAUUUAAAUUUUAACUUUGAACUUGAAUUUGAGUUGUAAAUUCAAAUUUUAAGUUCAAAUUAUGGGUUCAAAUUUGGAUUCAAAUUUUGAUUACGAAUUUCAAUAGUAAAUUUAAAUUUUAACUAAAAAAAUUUUUUGACUUUUAAGUGAACAUGAUUCCAAUUCAAAUUCCCCUUACGAACCAAACAAAUUAGAGCUUUUAUCAUUCCGUUUUCGAUACCGGUCCAUUUCAAUUCCUAUUCCACUUUUGAUUCCCAUUUGGAACCAAACAUGCCCUUAUUGUGAAUUUUAGGUCCCAAAUUUAUAGUUGACAUUUUAUGAAAGACAAAUGACACCAAAUCUACCCAAAGGACUAUACCUGAUCUACCCAAAGGAACGCAUUCUUACGUAAGUAGAUUAAAAGGUUAAGUUCAACAUAAAAUCUAUGGCCAUCCAACUUGCAGUAAUGAAUAUUAGAACAUAAUGCCUUGGAAGCUGGAAAUGAAAUCAUACAAAGUAUCCCUGAAAAUUGAAAGUAAUGCUAAGCUUUAACCUGUAAUGGUUCAAAGCAAAGGACCAAGGGAAGUAAACAACUAUUAUGAAAAUUUUUUUUUUUUUUUUGAGAGAAAACUAUUAUGAAAAUUAAACAAGAGAGAUGUAUAGUAUAUAGUGGGAUCGCACUUGUCUUAUUAUAGAGGUAAGACAACCAGCUAUUUACCACAACCUUAAAGUCAAUUAACUAAAGCAAAUUUUCUAAUUUAUCAGCACUUGGACUGGUAAAAUUAGAAUAUCAUGUAAACAUUUCGGACUGGAUGAAGGAACAAAAUUCACGUAGAUGAUCCCAAAACAUUUGAGACUAAAAGCAAGUGUACGAAGAAUUGAAACAGCAUUGCGUGAGAGAACCUUUAGGUGACCAGAAGCAAACAAAACAAUGAGUUACCUGCAUGAUUGAAACCAGAGAUAUUGCCGAUCCAGUGAGAGAUGGAGGACUUGACAACUUAGUCUUUGGAUUUGCUAAAUAUGCUGAAGGGGAGGCAGACAAAACUUUCAGAACCUGAUUUAGAGAAUAAAGAAGGAAAAAAUGCAAAUGGUCAUUAAGAACAAGCAAAUAAAUUACCAAAUAACAUGAAGUGCAUGAAUCUUUCGGACAAAUUACAAGCCAGUCAAAUAAGCACGCAACUUGGAACUUACCAAACUAUUAGCAGGAUUAACAGAAUGCCCAGUUCCUCGGAAUAGUAUAGGAGCCUGUUAACAGUAUAUUUUCAAUAAGAAAGAGGAAAAAUGCAGCUUAAAAGGCAUGCUUAAAGGCAAGGAAUGAAACAAAAUUACAUAAUAAUUCUCCAAAGAUAGUAUAGGCGCCUGUUCAUAGUAUAUUUCUAUCAGAAAGAGAGAAAAAGCAGCACAAAAGGCACGCCUAAAGGAGCGAAACGAAAUACAUAACGCAAAUUGUCGGAAAGUUCUUCGAAAAUGUGUUGCCUUAAAGAGAAAAGAAGUAUACGAUUGCUGGUCUAGUUUCUAAACGAUAAUGUAUGGUCACAAAAUUUGAUUUAAUAAUAGAGAAUCAAAUGUCGACAGCACACUAGAUUCAAAAAUUUUCUUCAAUAAGAAUCCAAGAUUCUUAAGAGACGUGAACACAUAUUUCGCAUAUGAAAUUUGUAGUACUAAUUAGGGUAACAUACAACAGAAAUCAUAUCCUUUUUUAUUCCAUAACAAUUAGAUGAGAUAUAUGCAUUUUCCAACUAAGGAUUGCACAUUAUGCAAUAUUUUGCCAUUAGCUGUGGAGAAUUAAAAAGCAACACAAAAAUAUAACAGUAUCGGCAAUAAUAAUAAUUGCAUGAGAGGAAUUGCACUAGUAAUAUAAUCUCAUCUAUGUUUCCAUCGAAGAGGGCGUUGGAGACAAAGCAGGGUUUGUCUAUGGUUACAUGAGGUAGAUUAAGGUGGUUUCGUGCGGGAUUAAAGUCCCAAGGUGAGGACGAGACGAUGGUUGGUUCAACCAAUAUAGGGUUGUGUGACACAAAGGCUGGCUAGAGAAGCAAGCAGUUACAUGCUUCUCCAGUAGUGGUCCCACCAUCAUUUUGUAGCAUUAAAGAAGGCAAGAUUGAAAGCAUUUUCGCCUUUUUCUGGGGCUUCCAACACAUAAAAGCCGGUGCUUUUAGACACCGCAGUCCCAAAUUUGGCCUCAGGAUGCUAUAAUUUGCUGGUACGUUCCAUUUGGAUGGAGAGAAAAGAAGUUUAAAAAAAAAAGAAAAAAAAGAGCGAAAAGUCAGUAGAAAAAAUCACUCUCAUUUGGAUUGAAAUACGAGGCGAGAAAAGAAGAGAAAUGAAGAGCAAAUGACCUUCCACAACAGUGAAUCUCUUUUCUCUCCAAAGUGGAGAGAAAGGGAGAGAGUUAUUUUCUCUUCUUUCCUUCCCUUCAUCCAAAUAACAUGAGAGAAAAUUACUUACUUUUCUUCAUUUUCUCUCCUUUAGUUUCUCUUCUUUUCUCUGCUAGCCUCUCCAUUCAAACGAAGCAUUAAUGACUCGCUUGAUAUAUCCAUAUUACCAUACAUGGCAAUAACAAGCUUUUGAUUUCAUAGAGAUUGAAAAUCAGACGAAAUAGUAAAAUCAACUUACUUCAAUCUUUUUGUCCCCCAAAAUCACAUCUGAGUGGAUGAGGGCAUCACUGGCAAUGAGAGUGUGAUCCCCUUCGGUCUCCGAGACUGCGUAGCUGGUGUGGUCAAUAACCAGCGCUUCCAGAUCCUUGGUCCAACCAAGAAAACAUUAAAAUGUUAAUAAAUAAAAAACACUACUAAGAAGAGAACAAAUCAACAGCCAAAUCAAAAAAGGAGAAGAGGAAAAAACUCCUCUUGCCUCAUCGAAAUCUACACCACAUUCCGUGGCAAUGCCUCGGAUAACAUCAGAGGCAGAUGAGUCUGCUGCCAGAAUCAAAUCACGCCCAGAAUCCACGAACUCCAAAACCGCAUUUUGGUCCAGCGAGCCACCCAAACCUACAAAGAGCUCCCAAAAUAUAUAUAUAUACAUAUCAACCUUACAACACCGUAGCAGAUCCUACAGAUCUAGCGAGCAGAGAUCUGGUUACGCAUUUGGUUCGCAUUAUGUUUUUAAGAUACCCAGUAAUCCAAUCGGAAUGAGAAAAUAUGACGGUGUUUGGCUAAAUACAUUAAGUAAUCUAUUCGGUAAUCUUAAAUUCACUUGGUAAUGAGAUUAAUCCAAAGGUGCUAAUCCUAUUCCCUUGGGAGAGGGUAGGUAUCUCACAGUAAUUAUUGGGGUAAUGUUAAAUUUUUUUAACCUGACCUAUUAUUUCCUCCCUCCCACCAACCUGUCACCAACCCGUCCCUGAUCUCCUCUCACACCAUGCAAGACUCUCCCCGACCUCUUAUCUCGACCUAGGGCACCAUGCCAUGAUCACCUCCACCAAUCGCAGGGGCAUUGCUCGCCAUUUCUGAGGUUUCCUUGCUCCAGAACAAGGUUCGUGAGGUAAUUUCUUCUCCAUUUGCUUUUCCCAUUUCAGAUCUCAAUUCUUUUUUUUUUAUUUUUUUAUGGAUUUAUUGUUAUGCCAUGAGCAAAAUUUUUCUAGUUUGUAUUGAUGCUAUAAAAUGUUGUUUAAGUUGGUUUAGUGCAUUAUUUGCUUUGAUUUUGAAGGGAUUUAUUGUUUAAAUGAGUUUAUAUUCUAUUAGUUUUGAUUUGGAUAGGUUUAUUGGUUAAUUAGUUUAGAUUUAUACUGUAAUUCUGAAAAUGCAUGUAUUAAUUGUUUAGUUUACUGUAAUUUCCUUCCUUCUGUUUGCUCGCAAUCACUAAUUGGGAAUAACAUGAGGUAAAAUCAGAGGGUCACAGUAGUAAAUGUCAAUGAUAUGUUUUAUGAUAUAGAUUUUGCUGUCUAUUUAGUUUCUUAGAUUGAACAUUUCCAUUUCUCAAAAUAUUUUGUCACUAUAAUAUUUAUUGUCCAAACCUCUUCCUGAUUUUCGAAAGGCUAUCUAAGAUACCAUUUGCAAAUAUAUAUAUAUAAUUACGUAAAUGUAUACGUACGCAGAUCCCGUAUUUUCGGGAUUUGUGAGUAGUUUCUUGUACUUUUUACUAAAUUAGUUCUUGAACUUUCACAUAAGUUGUAUUUCAGUCAUCAAACAUCUAAUUUUUUUAAUCAUAAAAUAAUCAUUUUAUUCCUUUCUCUAAGAUGGCAUACUUACUUUAGUAUAAAUAUCAAACUAGAUUUUUUUGUUUUUAAGAGAAAGAUAGCAAGGUAUCUCUUUCGUUCAUUUUCCAGAAAUGAACUUAGCCAAACAUGUGAAGCAAUCGUAUGCAAUGUACAAAUGUGAAAGUUGAUUAAAUAUUUUAGUAACGACUAUGCAUGGACCCAGUCGCUAUAUUAAGAUAGUUAAUCAGUGGAUUAUCCUAUAUUCUGGUCCCAAUAAAAUUAUGGCAUUAAGCCAAUUGAAUUGAAAAAGUUUUUCUUAUGGCUAACUUAUGUCUAUGGAAAUAAUACUACAUAAAAAAAUACAUUUAUACAUACUUCAAUACAUGGCUAUGUAUAUAUAUAUAUAUAUAUAUAUAUAUAAAGAGAGAGAGAAAGAGGAGUACUUUUAUAUAAGUAGUUUGUCUAGGUUGAGUGGUCAAGUUGUAGAAGCUUUCAUACACAUAGGUAGCUAAUUGAUCUUUUAUCUAUAAGAUUCAGUAUCCUUUGAGCAUAUUUGAUAUUCCUAGGUAAUUGACAUCAUGCUUUUGAAUAUGCUAGAAAAGUAUUUACUUUAGUUAAUUUGAACAGAUGAAUAAGUUAAUUCUCUGAUAGUAACAAAAGAAAGUUGAGUUAAAAAGUACUAUUUAAUUGCUUUUUAAUUUAGUUUGACUGAAUUUUUUUUUUUCUAUUUGCUUUAUUUUAGUUGUGUUGAAGAUGGAUCUAACUUCAAAUGAAUUCAUGCCCGUGGUCGUGAGCAUUAUAAUGAUAUACAUGGAGAUGAUUAGAUUAUUGCUACUUUUAAAAUUAGUGGUGGUACUCUUUUAUGUUAGACAACACAUGAGACACCGUUGGGGAGGAAGACAAACAUUACAAAGGCACUUCAUAAGACAUAUAAAUAUUAGGAGAAUAAUCUAUGACAAUGAUCUGGCAUGUUAUGAGAACAAUCGUAUGGAUCGAAGGGCAUUUCAUGCACUUUGUGACCUUCUAUCGACCACUAGGAGAUUAAGCGGGACCCGAAAUAUAGCAAUAGAGGAAAUGGUUUCUUUCUUUCUACAUAUUAUUGCACAUGAUGUGAAGAAUAGGGUAAUUAAAAGGCAAUUUGUCAGAUCGGGGGAAACAAUAAGUAGACAUUUUAGUAUUGUUUUAAUUGCUAUCUUGCGAUGCCAUGGAAUUUUACUAAGAAAGUCUGAACCAAUUUCUGAGAACUCAACUGAUGAAAGGCAGAAGUGGUUUAAGGUAUUAACUCUUUUUUUUCAUAAAUCAAUUGAAAAUUAUAUGGCUAGUUUUAAUACGCAAAUAACAACACACAAUUUUAAUAUGCAGAAUUGUCUUGGUGCACUAGAUAGAACUCAUAUCCUUGUUCAUGUCCCUAUAGUUGAUAGGGCUAGAUAUCGAAAUAAAAACAAAGAUCUUACGACGAAUGUGUUAGGAGUGUGCUCACAAGAUAUGCAAUUUAUCUAUAUCUUGCCUAGUUGGGAGGGUUCAGCCUUAGACUCUAGGGUGCUUAGAGAUGCUAUCUCAAGACCAAAUGGGCUAACGGUUCCCAAGGCAAGUGUCUAAUAGGGUGUUCAUAGAAUUAUUUAUAUCUACAAUCAUUUAAUUUAUUUAAUGCAAUGUAAGUUAUUAUUAUCUUUGUGAUGCUGGUUAUUCAAAUGGCGAAAGGUUUCUCACGCCUUAUAGAGGUCAACGGUAUCAUCUGAGUGAGCGGAGGCAAAAUAAGAAGACGCAAACUCCACAAGAAUUCUACAAUUACAAACAUUCGUCCACACGAAAUGUCAUUGAGAGAUGUUUUGGAUUACUAAAAAGACGAUGGGCAAUACUUAGAGGAAAGUCUUAUUAUCCUUUAAGGUUGCGUUUGGUUCGAGUAUAAGUAAGAACUGCUUAUUCCAGAGAUAGGUACAAGUUCAGGUAUAAGCAGGAAUUAGACCAAUUUUACGUUUGGAUGAAAAUUAGAUUGUUCCUAGGAAUAAGGUAAUAGUGUUUGGAUGGUUAGAUUGGAACAAGAGAAAUAAGAGUUAUAAUUUGAAAUUAAAAUCAUAUUAUCUAAUUAAUUAACAUCAAAAUAUUACUUAAAAUAAAUAAUAAAUAAAUUAUAUUAUUAAUUAUUAAUAAUUAAUUAUAAAUAAUAAAAUAAUAAUAUAGAUUAUCUAAUUAUGAGUAAUAAUUAUUAAUAAUUAUUAAUUAAUAAUAAUAUCGAUUAUCUAAUUANNNNNNNNNNNNNNNNNNNNNNNNNNNNNNNNNNNNNNNNNNNNNNNNNNNNNNNNNNNNNNNNNNNNNNNNNNNNNNNNNNNNNNNNNNNNNNNNNNNNNNNNNNNNNNNNNNNNNNNNNNNNNNNNNNNNNNNNNNNNNNNNNNNUUGUUUUUUUUUUUUUUUUUUUUUUUUUCCUUCCUUCUCUCUUUUUACAUAUAGAGAAGAGGAUUUUUUUUUAAUUUAAUUACUUUUUUUAAUUGUAAAAAUUUAAAAUAUAUAAUUAUUUAUGCCUAACUUUUUAAUAUUUUAUAUUGUAUGUAUUCAAUAUAAAUUUUAAUUUUAGAAUCAUUUAGAUAUAAAUAAUACAAUAAAAAAUUAAAACAUAAUAUAAUUAAGUUAAUUUUUUAUUUUAGUAAAUUUAAUUACGAAAAUUACAUAAAAUAUACUAACUAAAUAUGUAAAGUUACAUUCAAAUUUUGAAGUUAAAGUACCAUCGAUUAACUCAAAUCUAACGUAUAAAAAAAUUAGAUAAUAAAAAAUAAAAGUUUUGGAAGUGAAUAGACGAUUCAAAAUGGUUCAUAAUUCAGAAAACUUUUAUAUGUUUUUACUGUCCCACGAGUGAUUAAUUUUACAUUUAAAAUUUUUUGAAAUAUCUAAAAUUUGAUUUGUUGAGUUUUAAUUUUAACAAUUAGGGUUUUUAAAACUCAUGUAAUUUUCUUAUAUAAAAUUAUUAAUUAAAAAAAAUGAUCAAUGCUUAACUCUCACUUUGUUUAAAAAAAAAACAAAACAUAAAAAAUGAAUAAAUUUUGCUUUUGGUCCUCAAAUAAUAAGACGCAUGAAAUUUGACUCAUCGACCUUUUAUGCGUUAUAAGUUUUUACUCAAACUAUAAAGUGUAUGACAUAGUUUUUUAAUUUUUCCUGCUAAAUGAUUAGUUACAAAAGGAUUUUUUUUUUUCGUGAACGUGUCACAUGUUACUGUAAAUAUAAUUUAUUAUUCUUAUGAUUUUUUUUUAUUCUUAUACUUUUAAUGUAAUGUCAACUGUUUUUUUCCUUAAAUUUUUCUAUUUUGUCCUUUUUAAUUCUAUUACUUUUUUUUUGCACUAUUUUUCUUUAAGCAGCGUUAAAUUGGUUGAUGCAGAUUCUUUUUAUUUCCUUAUAAUUUUUUUAAAAUUUAUUAAAUUAUUUCUGAUAAAAUUUAUUAUAUAAAGUUAAAAAAAUAUCCGACGUAUCGCGCGGGUUACCAUCCUAGUACUGGAUGCAAACGGAUCCGGGCUGAAUGGGACCGGUAAGUAGAAACCAAAAUUAUUAUUUAUGCAUUUAUUUAUUUUUAUUUUUACUUAGGCCAAUUUGCAUAAAAAAAUCCACUAGUUUUGCGUUUUUGCAAAAUUGGGUGACCUUUUUCAAUUUUACAGAUUCGGGCCGUAUUUUUAAAAAACUGACCAAAAUAUCCUUGUACUUUUCUCUCUCUCCUCUUUUUUUUUCUCUCGUUCUUUUUUCUUUUCUCUCCCCAGAGGAUGGCAGAGGUAGAGGCAAAGGCGAAGGCGGCCCACUUUGCCUUCGUCCGGCGCACCCUUUGCCUUCCUCCCCUCCGACCUCGCUGAGGCCGCGUUGCGACUAUUUUUUUUUCCUUCUCCAACCCUCCUCCACCGCCUCCGACGAUGACGACGCCUAUCUCACACUCUCUCACCCUUCCCCGCCCUUCUCGCCCUCUUCCUCUCCCUCCUCCUUCACCUCCUUCGUCAUCUCCGACGACGACGUCUCUCUGCCGACACCGACGCCGCCGAGGUUACUCCGUAGGGGACUCUUGACUAUAAAUUAUUUUAUUAUAAUAUGUUACUUAUGUAUUGACUACUAAUCCUCUAAGUUAGUGAUCAUGCUUGAUUUUGAAUUUAUAUAUAUUUUUUAUCCUAAAAUAAAUCAUACUAUAAUUUAUCCUACAUUUUAUUGUAAUAAAAUAAAAGUGAAAGAAAUGAAUUAUAGUGGCUUAAAGAUAAAAAAAAGAGCGAUACUAACUACUUACGAUUCUCGAACACUUUACUAUCCUGAUGUACUCGCUAAUAUGGUUGAUUUACAAUAGGAGUCCUCACUCAGAUAUAGAGAUUUUAAUUCUUAGUUAAUUUUCUGUAGUACUCGUUUGUCCUUUUUAUCUUUAGAAGUAUUGUUUUAUAAAAUACACUUAAAUAAAAUUUUGUACUUCAUUUCAGUCAAUUAAAAAUUUUUAAUAUAAAAAUAUAAAAAUAAUUUAUAUUAAAAAUUUCGGUAAAUUGUAUUGUUACCGUCUGAACUUUUGGCGAGUUUCACUUCACCCCCCCAGACUCCUAAAAUAGACAUCUAACACCCAAAACUCUAAUAUUUUAUUCAUUUUAUCCCUUCCGUCAGUUUUCGGUUAACGGAGCUUGACGGAAAACUGACGGAAGGGGUAAUAUGAAUGAAAUAUUAGAGUUUAGGGGGUUAGAUGUCCAUUUUAGAAGUUCGAGGGGUAAAGUGAAACUUCGCCAAAAGUUCACGGGGUAAUAAUGCAAUUUACCCUAUUUUUAAUUGCAGCUGAUAAUUGUUUAUUGAUUCCUUCUCUAACCUGAAAUUGAGGAAUCAAAUAUUUUAUUAGUUGUAUCUGUAGUGAUAAAAACAAUAAAGACUUUCUUCCAUCGCCGACGAUAAGGAUGCUACCGCCAAUGCUACCAAAAAUAAUGCUUUCACUCUAAUUAAUUUUUUUAUAUUUUUUUAUUUGUAAAUUCUAAGCUGAUGAUAAUAGAAAAUUAUUAUACUUUUUUUAAUAUUACAAUGAGCUUUUUUUAUUUAAACUAAUUUAUUUAUUUUAGUUAUUUGGUUUAUAUAUGUUUAGAAAUAAAUAUACUUUAGUUUCAUUCUUUAAUUUUUAAUUGCUCAAUACUGUCCGUUGUAUCGUGCGUAUUCCUUAACUAGUCAAUACAUGAAUUGGAAACCGAAAGAAGCCCUCCCCUUAUUUUGGAAAUGUGGAGCCCACAACUUUUUUUUAAGGAUUAAUUGCAUAGUACUCCGCAAACUUUCCACCAUUUUUUAUUUUGGUCCUUAAUUUUUUUUUUUUUGCAAUUAAGUUUUCAAACCUCUUAAUUUUAUCGCGAUAAAAUAGCAACCGUUAAAAAAUAUUUUAGAAUUAACAAAAUUAUCAUACCAUCGCCUAUUUAACUUUCUUUUGCAUGCCAAUUUUGAUCUCUAAAUUUUACAUAUUUUUCACUUUAGUUCCCAAAAAAUAUAUGAAUUGGCAACCCUAAAGAAAGCCCCUCCUUAUUUUGGAGGGUUGUGAAGCCCACACAAUUUUUUUAAGAAUUAAUUUAUAUAUAAUAAUAAUUUAUUUAUUUUAAAAGAUUAAUUACACAUUGGGCCCCAACCUUUUUACUAUUUUUUAUUUUGAUCCAUAAUCCCUAAAUUUUGCAUAUUUUUUACUUUAUUCCCUAAAAAUAAAAAUUUAAAAUUUUGAAUUUAAAUUCGGAAUUAAUCUGAAAAUUAAAAUCUUUAUCUAUCUGUCUAUCUAUUUAUAAUCUAUAAAUAAAAUACAUGAAAGAAAAUUUAGGAAUUAUGUAUUUUAUUAGUUGUAUCUGUAGUGAUUAAAAGUUAAUGAGAGUUUUUCUUUCAUCGUCAACGACAACAAUGAGGAUGCUACCAUCAAUACUACCAAAUAUAGUGCUUUCACUCUGAUUAAUUUUUUUAUAUUUUUUUAUUUGUAAAUUCUACGCUGAUGAUAAUAUGUCACGCCCCGGGGCCGAUUUUAAAAGCCUUUUUAAAAUCCAUUACUAUUUUGAAACAGAGUUGCAGAAGAGGUGCUAAUUUUUUUUUUUUUUUUCAACCUGGCCCACGUGACGUACAGAUCCGCCACAAAUAUAAAGUUCCUCUGUCCACUCGAACAUAGUCUUCUUUGUAUUUGCACGGCGUACCAACUAUACAACAGGAUCUCAACCCCAACCUACAUUUACAAAUCAACAACCAAUUUAUGAUAUGCAUUUCCAUACAGGUAACGAUCCUUAAAGAUGAUGCAUGCCUCUAAGCACUCCUUAGGCGCUAGAUGAUGCAAUGCACAAUACAACAAACAUCCUAUUUAAAAGUGCUCCCCACACAGAAGCUUUUGUUUGUAAACUCUAAUUCAUUCAUUCAUGAAAACUAUUCGAAAAACUUUUUAAAAUUGUUUCCCACACGGAAACUCUAUUUUGAAAAUCAACUACCUCAAGGGGUAGAAAACCACGAAGCGUAAAUAUGUAUAAAUACACAAAUCCGAGAACUGAAUAUCCAUAAAACCAAAACCAGUGAUCCACAAGAUCUCCAAUCAUGCAUAACGGAAAUCACAAACAUUCAAACAUCUAACUGGACCAUUUAUUAUUAACAACUACUAAAUGCGGGAAGAAAUAUAACCAGGGUGACGGUCGCUACUACCGACUAGCUAAAUCGUCCUCCCAUCGAGCCCAAAUACCAACUCCUCGUCCAUGUCACCUGGGGGGAAUGGGGGGUGAGAAACCGCAACCAUGGUUUCCCAGUGGGUACGACAGAGCCACGAAGGCAAGCCGUAAUCACAGAAAACCAAAGGAGAUAGAACAACAGAUAUAAACAUGAUAUGAUAUAAGAGCAACUACAGUAGUAAUAGAAACAAGAUAAUAACUGAGUAAGAACAAAACUACUACUGUAACCAAAAACUCAACUGAUCGGAUGCCUCAAAGGUGGAUAGUCCAAACCAAACCCAAUCUGAUACUGCUAUAUUGGUCCGCAGACCUCAAGCGUUGCUUGUCACCGAGCAGACACUGCCAACUAUUCAUGCGUCCAGCGACGACCUAUCCAGAUACGUACACCCCUUGGUUGGUGGCCAAACCAACCUGGUGUCUAGAAUACAUAGUGCUGUGACUAAAUCAUGCUGAUAUGCUCAAAUGAAAAUCGGCAAAAAGAGACCGGUGCCUUGGCCGAAGCCAGGUGAAAGGGCGUACAACGCCGAACCACGAUCAACCCAAUCGAAACACAUGACAAAGGAGUCAAUGUGUUGCCUGGACCCAAGGUUCAUAGAUAUACAGUAUAUAUAUAUAUGCAACCUGCUCUACAUGUCUAUCAACAACUAACAAAAUGCAACCAACAAAGUAAGAUAUACGAAUGAUAAUCAAAGCAAAGACAUAUAGAGACUACGAUACUGAUAUGAAAGAACAGAAAAAGGGUGAAACGAUCUCACCGACUACCAGCUCAGAGCACCCACCUGUCACUGUUGCAUCGGAACACUGAGUGCGCACGGAGUCUACCGGACCUACGAAGGUCCACCGGGUCAGUAUCCAACCCACUAAUCCAAAGCACAAGACUCACAAACCCCACACAAGUCCCCGAAUCGGUUUCCCAAAACCGAUCACCGUAACUCACCGGAAGUCCCGACAACCACACCAAGACACCGUCGGGACCCACAAGUGUCCUAAAACUCACCGACUCAUGUCACGAGUCACCCGCUGCGACAAAACACUCCUGUUUGGAUGUCUUGGCAGCAAACACAAGAUAACACCACUACACAAUUAUCGUCGGACAAUUGUACGAAUACAGCUUCCCGGAAGCGUCUAUUUCGACACCGGAACCCACCGUCGCUCACCAAUCAUCACCGAACCCACAAAAUGAUGAUGGUGACCAACCAACAAGGCUCAGCGACAAUUCACAGGAUAAACAAACCACGUCGGAAGAAAUCGGAACUGAAACCGCGUUCUUUCGGCGAAUUUUACCGAAAAACGCACCGAAAUCGACUUCUCGAUUUCCGUGAAGGCUAUCGAAUCAUGGACAAUCAGUCCAGAGGUCACCACACACACACAUGCACUGCCCACAGUAGCCACAAGGUGCACAAUUGCACAAAAGCUCCUAUAUUUAUAUAAAAUCCUAUCAUUUUAUAUAAAUCGGGUGAUUAUGUAGCUCGUUCACGCAAAAUGAGAACUUCUAAGGUCUACCGAGACACGUACUGAUAGGUCUCGAUGUGCUGGAGGCCGUGCUCAUGAUCCAGAGCACAACGGCUCACUGUGGGAGACGCGGCAGCAACCCGAAGUUCUGCGAACAGCGCGCAGUCAGGGAAAAUCGCGCCAAACAAGACUAAUCGAACUCUUUUGAUCCAAAGUGAGGUGAGCACUGUGAUCGGCACUGACCAACGAUCACCGUGCUCUCCUCCGAAGGCAUCAAGACAGCCUUGGAUCGCCGAAAAGUGCGCGCAAACCCGCAACAGCAGCCAAAAAGGCUCCACAGGGUCGACACUGCCGAAACAGCGAAAUAGAGCCUUCCCGACAGAAACUAAGGUGAGCAUGAUGAUCAGAAGUUUUCCACGAUCAUCGUGCUCCCUUCCGUAGAGAUCGAGGAGCCUCGGAUAGCUCAGAGCAACAAGCAGCCAAGAAAAACCCUAUUUUGGGCUUGGCCGGAGCAAGCUUGCUCCGACUGGCUUCCGGCGGCACGGCGAGGCGCGCGCGAGCCAAGCAUUGGUGCGGGCGAGUGGAGGAGCAUCAAGCUCACCUCGGUUGGCGGCGGGGAGCAGCGGCGGCGACGGUGGAGAGAACCAAGCCGGCACAAGCUAAGGCACGGGUCCAGUGGCUCCUCCCAGCGACGGCGAUGGCCGGGACAGGUCGGGGACGACGGCGGCGGGUCCCCAGAGGCCGGAGAAGAAGGAGAAGGCGGGCAACGGCGGCGGCAGCCCGCGGCUUGGGCGCGACCGCGUCGAGCUUGGCUCGGUCUGCAGACCAACGCGGCGGCGCCCAAGGUGUGCGGCGGCGGUGACGACCUUCCCGGCCGGGGGCGGGUUGCCGGAGGGUCUCGGAGUCGUCGCAAGUGCGGCACUAGGCGGCGGCGGUGGCGGUGGCGGUGGCAGCGCGGAGGGAGAGUGAGGUCAGCUCUGCCCGAGUAGACCUGGGGCGGCCGCGGAUGACAGAGGAUGCGGCAGCGGCCCACAGGGUCGACGGCGACGGCGCGCGGGGGUCGCCGGGGCUCCGGGGAAACCGUCGCGGCCGGGCUAAGGCGGUGGCGACGCACCGGCCAACUGCAGAACUCAGCUCGGCCCGAGCUUUGCCCUAGGUGGCAACAGGCUGUAGUGGCGGCAAAGGCGGCGCUCGGCGACGACGACAGGCGGCGGGGGAGGUCGCCGAGGCUGCGGGGGUGACGCCGGAGAGAAGAGCAACCUCGGGCUUGCCCCCGACCUGAGAUGAAGAGAGGUGAAAGAAGAGAGAUGAAGAGGGAAGGUGGCAAGGCUUGCGGCUGCGGCUGCGACGGCUUCUGGCCGGCCGGGCUCGGUCGGUGGCGGCCGGCGCAUGCGCGGCGGGGUAGUGGAGAUGUAUGAAGGUGGCUGGGGGGCAAAAAGGCUAGGGUUAGGGUUUCCAAUGGGCUAACCCUAAGAUACACUACAUAUAUAUAUGUUCCAAAUUGCGCAUAAGUCCCCUAGAACUCGAUAUUUUAAUCCGAGUCCUUCACAGUGCGAGUAAAACAUGCGAAUACCCUUCCACGUGCGAAUUCACGCGAAACAGUAUAUAAAAUGUCGCAACUUUUGCGAAAAUACCGUUUUGCCAACACCAACCAUUCCUCGAUCAACGUGCAAUCUCCGCAGAUCUGUCCGUCCGAUUUGCGAACGGAUCGCACCAGUACGAUCAGAACGACGGAGACAACAAAGCUACGAUUUUGGUUCGCCACGAUCGGUCACGGAUUUGCGACGAAAUCUGCUUUCUCACCAAAAGGCCAAAAUGACGCAUAAUACAUAUGAAACAUGUAUUUUCAGAUUUUCUCAAAAUCUGUGUGUCAAACCCAAAAUCCAUCAAUUCCAGUGGUUCCAAAAUAGCUGAACCGUUUGAAACGAGCUAUUGGAUCGCUAUGAACGGAGUCCGAUACGAGCCUGAAGCCAACUCUACGCAUUGAGCUCUCCGGAAAACUAAGUUACUAUUCACUAUAAGUGAAAUUUAGAGAUCGUGUAAAAUCUCCGUUCUAACUCAUUUUCGCCCAAAACAUGACGAGUACUUUUGUAAUUAAAUUACACACAAAAACAUCGUCGACUGAGAGUUUAGCUACACUGCCAAAAUCUCGGUCCUUACAUAAUAGAAAAAUAUUACACAUUUUUUUAAUAUUACAAUGAGCUUUUCUUUUAUUUUAAACUGAUUUAUUAAUUUUACUUAUUUGGUUUAGAUAUUUCAGAAAAAAAUAUACUUUAGCUUCAUUCUUUAAUUUUUAAUUGUUCAAUAUUGCUCGCAGCAUUACGCGGGUUCCUUAACUAGUAUUAUAUAAAAAUAUAACCUAAAAUGCUUUGUGAUCCUGCCACGCCCCGGGGCCGAUUUUAAAAGUCUUUUUAAAACGAUUACCAUUUCAGAAAUUAGAGUUGCGGAAAACGUGCCUUUUUUUUUAUUCAACCUGGCCCACGAGACCGUACAGACCCACCACAAAUACAAAUUUUUUCUGUCCACUCGGACAGAGUCUCCUUUGUAUUUGCACGGCGUACCAACAAUACAUCAGGAUCUCAACAACAACCUACAUUUACCAAUCCACAAUCAAUUCAUGCCAUGCAUUUCCAUACAGCUAGCGAUCCUUAGAAAUGAUGCAUGCUUCUAAACACUCCUUAAGCGCUGGAUGAUGCAAUGCACAGUACAACAAUCAUUCUAUUUAAAAGUGCUUCCCACCCGGAGGCGUUGAGUUUUUAAACUCUAAUUAUUCAUCCAUAAAAACCAUUCGAAAAUCUUUUUAAAAUUGUUUUCCACUCGGAAACUCUAUUUUGGAAACCGAUUACUUUGAAGGGUAGAAAACCACACUGUAUAAAUACAUAAAUCCAGAACCAAGAACACAUAAAACCAAAACCAUAGAUCCAAACUCCCCAACUCAAACAAUUCAUGAAUAUUCAAAUAUCAAUAAUAAUCAUCUAACUAAACCAUUCAUUUAUUUAAAUUACUAGAAGCGGAAAUAAAGAUAACCCGGGUGACGGUCGCUACUGCCGACUAGCUAAAACGUCCUCCCGUCGAGCCCAAAAGCUAACUCCUUGCUCGAACCACCUGGGGAAAUGGGGGGUGAGAAACCACAAUCAAGGUUUCCCAGUGGGUACGACUGUGACACCCCAGCUUCCCAGGGGGUCACCCAUCCUAGGACUACUCCCGUCCUAGCACACUUAACUCUCUUAACCUCUUGGGCCUUGCUACCACUCAAAAUGCUUAAGCCGGGUUAAGAGUUUAGCCCUAUUAUAUCUUAUAUAUAGGACUAUCUGGGGUCUCACAAUCUCCCCUCCUUUAAGCCCUGACGUCCUCGUCAGGCUCAGACUCACAAGUACCAGGCGAUGUGAGACUCGUCUCGCUAGCCCGUCAUCCAGACCCUGGCUCAGCCGAGACUCAUCUCACACUUCCGGCUGGUAAUUGGCUCUCCAUCCUAGGACUACUCCCGUCCCAGCACGCUUAACUCUCUUAACCUCUUGGGUCUAGCCACCACCCAAAAUGCUUAAGCCGGGUUAAGAGUUUAGCCCUAUUAUAUCUCAUAUAUAGGACUAUUUGGGGUCUCACAAUGACAAAGCCACGAAGGCAAGUCGUAAUCACUGGAAACCAAAGGAGGUAAGGUAAACAAAGAACAAGUGCUAUGAUACAAAAGAGAACUACAGUAGCUAUAACAGAUAUGAUAAGAAGCAAAUAAUAAAGACUUCUACUGUGUAUAAAACAAUGCCGAGCAUGCCUCAAGGUAACCAAACCAAAACUGUACCCAAUCUGGUGCUUGCUAUAUUGGUCCGCAGACCUCGAGCGUUGCCUGUCACAAUAUUUGCACCGACCUGAUUCAUCCGCCCACUGGACGACCCAUCCAGAUAAGUACACUUCCGGUCGGUGGCCAAACCGACCUAGUGUCAUGAAUACCCCCAAGUGCUGUGACUAAGUCAUACUGAUAUGCUAAAUGCGAAAGCCGGUUGAAGCUGGUGCCUUGGCCGAAGCCAGAUACAAGGGCGUACAACGCCGAACCACGAUCAACCAGGUCGAAACACACGACAAAGGAGUCGAUGUGUUGCCUGGACCCAAAGUCCACAGAGAUACAAUAUAUAUGCAAGUCUGCUCUACAUGUCUAUCAACAACUAACAACAUACAAUCAAUAAGGUAAGAUAAACGAAUGAUAAACAAAGCAACCGACAUGUAGAGACUACACUGGUAAUAUAGAAAGACAAGGGAAAGUGAAACGAUCUCACUGACUACCAGCUCAAAGCACCCACCUGUCACAAAAGCGCAGAAAACAUGGGUACGCAACGAGUCAACCGGACCUAUGAAGAUCCACCGAGUCAGUAUCCAACCCACUCACCCAAAGUACACAACUCACGAACCCCCCACACAAGUCCCCAAAAUCGGUUUCCCAAAACUGAUCACCGUAACUUGCCGGAAAUCCUAAAAACCACACCGAGACGCCGUCGGGACCCACUAUGUCACGCUCCGUGACCGCUACCAAUUUGGCUCGGCCCGGGCGCGUCGAACAGACGCCGGACGUACAGCACCUCCCCUGUCCGCCCAAGGCUAACAACGAGAUUGUGUACAACAAGUUCCCAGGAAAAUAACUUGAAUACAUACACAAUCGAUAACUACAACGAGAGCACAAUCAGUGCAAAACAACCAAGAGCAAGAUACAAGUAUAGUGUUCAUUUACUCCAAUUACUUGCUCACUUAUCGAAGUGGAAACCUGUACUAUUGUCCAAUCAACGAAUGGAUAAAGUAACAUGUACGUAAGUAUAUAAAUACUAACCCGUAUCAUCUCAUCGAAAUGAGGACAGUAAAUGGCGAAAGGAAUAGAUAGAUAGAUAGCUAAUAGAUGAACACGGGCUGAACCUGGAUCACCCCUCUAGCCGCCUCAGCCGCCGGCUUGGGUAACCCUUGAUUCCUUCAAUCAAGAGUGGGGGUAAAAUGAUGUCCCGGCUCGCGUUCAAGUGUGCCGCUCCUAGCGCCAUUCCCGAAUCGCGGGAUCAACGUCAUCAGAUGAAAAGAUAAAGACAUAAUCUCAGUGGAAAAUACGAAACUCUCAUCUACUACAUAUCCAACACUCGAUAAAACCCUACUUACAUUCGAUAACAAAUAUAAAACCUUCUACAUUCGAAAUAUAAUACAAAACCUUCAAGUUACAUAUUAGUUUAACAUAAUAUUUCCGACUUACUUACAUUAUCUAUCUACGAGAGAGAAAUAGUAAUGAACAUACAANNNNNNNNNNGAAGUCUAGCAUCAGGCAACUUAGCCUAUGCACGCCGGCCACACGAGCAACAACUCGUCCACCUCAGUUCGAGGUACUACUAGGCCCACAGGCCAAGUUCGACGUUAAUCAACCAAUUUCGCAACAGUGGUUCAUUACCAUUGUCCGAUCUAUCGAAUCCACCUCCGAAAUACUCUUGGGAUAUCCGGGUGUCCCCAAACAUCAAGGCUCAACUCUCGCAAUCUCUAAUCUAUUACAUCGAGAGUUCUCUUACAUUUUCGAUUUCCAUUACGAGCUUCAUUUCUUAUCCAAAAUCACCACUAGCCAUUUGCUAGUGCCCAAUGGCUCUCUCUACCUGCCCCAGCAGGCGCCAUACUCUCAUCCUGCUAGCAUGCUCGGGUACCUACUUACCCGACCACUCGGUCCCUACUAUGUAAUGUAGCAAUAGUAGUAACUGACCAUAUGAUAAAUGCAUGCUAUGCAUCAACUUGAGAUCAUGCAACGUAUAUGCUUGCUCAAGUAACUUAUACCUGCCAUGACAUCGUCGGCAACGGCAGGCACCCCAACUCGGGUCGCUUAUCCAUGGCCACUUGGCGCUCGUCGCGAACCCCCUGAUUGUAACGUCCUCAACGGCUGCUCUCCCGACCAUGCUGCAGGUGGCACACCUGCAGGCUGUCCCAAAGAGGGAUAGGCCGUCGUUAGCGUCAAGGCCCGGCUAUCGCCUUUGCGGACACUCGUCCCGCACAUUGCCCGGCAGCCAACACCUGAAGCACUUGCCCUCACGCUGUUCACACUGUUGUGGGCAAUGAGGGCCCCCCACAAUUAACGCAUCUCACCGAGGACUGAAUGUGGUAAGUCCCCGGAGCUCGGGAUCGCGAGCGCGAACUUAUCGAAGUUCGUUGGGAACUUGGCUGACCAUCAUGUCCACUCACCGGCUGUCCUUUCCCCUUGUCCUUGUAGUAUGCUUCGCGCUCCUCCCGCAGGGAUUCCUCAUCUUGUUCUAUCCACAAGGCCUGAUCCCGGACGUCGGCGGAAGUCUGCAACUUAUGUGCAAGCACAAUCUUGCAAACGUCUGGCCGAAGUCCACGCACAAAGCAGUCGACCAUGUCCUUGACAUCGCGCGCUACGUUCGGGACGCAACGCACGACACGGAAGAAUUCCUGCUCGUAUCGCCUCACAGUGCUGUUUACCUGCCACAGCUUCGGAAACCUUUCUGAAGCUUCCUCGCUUACCGUCAGGGAAGUGAACGGAGAAUACCAAUUCUCAACUUAUCCCAGACCAUAGGAGGGAUACCAGGCAAUCGGUUCCGUCGAAUGCCUUUCCACCACACCUUUGCCGACUGUUUACAAGCAGCGUACGGCUAGGUGUGCCCUUCCUCACUCUACGACGCAUAGAUCCCCAAAGGGGGUCUCGCUCUCGGUUCGUCACCAGCAGCUUGCCGGUACCGACCAAUCACCAAUUUCUUUAGAUAGAUGACAUACCACCAUGACUUAUGCGUGCUGGGUGACUUCUCUGACCUGCGUCCUGAUCUCUACUAUACCAAUAUGUAAAUAAUAGUAAAAGACCACAAGCAAAUGCAUACAAUUGCUCAAACUACUUCAUGCUAAAAUGUAUGAUUGCUUUAAUUAAAUCAUACCUGCGGUAACAUCACCAACAGCAGCAGGUCCCUCGACAUGAGCCGCGUAUCCAGGGCCGCUUGGCGCCUCCUGUGAAUCCUCCGGCUGCUCGACCACCCCCAGCCCUCCAGACUGUGCCACAGGCUGCACAUCCACCAUCUGUCCCGAAGAGGUGAAUGUCGACGCUGUCGGCGGGAGUCGUCCAUCGUCCAAGGGGCAAUCAUACUUCAUGUGGCCAGACUGCCCACAACGAAAACACCUUCCCUCUCGCAGUGCACACCGCCGCGCCUGGUGGGAUCCUCCACAAAUCACACACCCCGCAGAUACGGCGGUAGCAGACGGAACUCCACCAAACUGUCGCUGAAUCUCUGGGGCAGAUGCAACUGACGGGGCAGGUGGCACUCCUUCCGCGCACUGACGGGCCAUAUGUCCCGCUCGACCACACUUGAAGCACCGCCCCGCCCGAUCCCUACAUUUCCCCGCGCGAUGUCCUCCACCGCAGAUCACGCACCGCAUAGGUCCUUGUCUAAUGGACCGCCGCUUUUGGUACUUCGGGGCCUUUUUGGAACUAGACUGUUUCCCCGAACCACCACGAGGCCGUUUCUUCACUCCACUCUCCUUGAACGCCUCGCGUUCCUGUCUCACUUCCCCAGCUGCCGCAUCGAGUAUCAUAGGACCCGAAGCCGCCAGAGGAACACUAGCCGGCAGGGGAUGCGCCGCCGCCGGAGCUACCAAAAUGCUCACGCCCUCAGGCGCAUUGGGCGCGUGAGCCGAGGGCGCGGGCGGACCAUGGCCUUUAGUUGUCGUCACGGCCGCCGUCGCCACUUGUCGCUCCAAAAGCUCUUGGAGCCGCUCGAUCUGACUUCCUUGGCGUUGAAUCACGCCGAUAAGCGUAGUCAUCUGCGCUCGUAAUUCUUGCACUUCUUCAGAUCCAGACUGCUCGGGCACCUCGGGCGAUGGUGCCAGAGUGGGUCUAGUCACGGGGCGUCUCUUUGGUGCCAUAGCUCCUGAAACGCAACAACUUGGUUAAUCACCUUAACCCGUUAAUCUCGUCGCAACUACUAGACAACGUGACUCGAAUCAGGCGAAAGUCAUACAAGGGUGCCUAUUCUCAUCACUAGGUUUCAUGUUGUCGCGCGCCAACAUGAACACACUUGGGUGAGAAUACACCACACCUUGAGUCUACCUCUAAUAUCCGUCUUAGAGGUUUACAAAACUUGACCCAAUCAAUUCAACUUCCGCCACAACGCAUAGGUUCACGUCACUCACGCACCUAUAACCUUAGGGUUCACCGUCCUAGGGUCUCCUAGGUCCAUCCUAAACUUCUCUCUUUACUUGCUCUUAAUUGCUCUGAUACCACUUUAUCUGUCACGCCCCGCGACCGCUACCAAUUUGGCUCGGCCCGGGCGCGUCGAACAGACGCCGGACGGACAGCACCUCCCCUGUCCGCCCAAGGCUAACAACGAGAUUGUGUACAACAAGUUCCCAGGAAAAUAACUUGAAUACAUACACAAUCGAUAACUACAACGAGAGCACAAUCAGUGCAAAACGACCAAGAGCAAGAUACAAGUAUAGAACAUACAAGUAAUGAUAAAGAGAGAGCAUCUAUCUAUUACAUUCAUUCAGCCUUUAUAAUACAAUUUGAUUAUACAUUGAACUUCCAAAACAUAAUAUAAAGCUUACAUCUUCCAAAAUAUAAACAUUAGCUUACAUUCAUUCCAGAAUAUCUCACAUCCUAUACAUCAUCUACUCUCAAAGCAUAUAAAGGUGACUCUAAUGCAGAAAUAGGAAAGUAGACUAAUGCAACUAGGGCGCUAGGCCCUUACCGCGAUCCUCGCCGUGUGAACUCGCGCUCGGCCCUGUAGUAAAAUGGGGGUGAGAACUAACUUCCUUAGUUCCCAGUGGGUUCGGCCGCCGACUCCGCCGAUCUCCCCACUAGGUCCAAGUCGGGCACAAGUAGAUAAUCGAUAGAUAGAUAGAUAAGGAAAGCGGUAAAUGACAGGAGUAAAGCUACUCUACUAUGCCCAAUCAUAAAUAUAUGAAUGCAUGUACAAUGAAAUAGGUAAGCAACUAACUUGUUAUCAUGUCCAAAGGUGAAGCUAUUCACUCGUUCAUUAACCUCAUUUACUUGUCCAUUAAUCUCAUGGCUUACCCGAAGGCUCGCCUACGGCUCACUAGCCAUCUCGAAGGUAGGGAGAAUUAACUCACACUACGGACCCGAGACCGUCUGGCGGGGCCAUAUAGGCAAUCCCUGGCGUGACCAACAUCCGGAGCGCACUACUUGUGUGGGGCUUCCAUCACAAGAUUUAACAGACCGUGAGCAUGAUCCAAUCCUCAUCUCGAGAAUACCCUAUCCUCUAGGGUUACAAUCAUCAUGUAGUCCAUAGGUUUCAUAUACACUACGACUCACAUAUGUCACUCGUUCUUUUGUUUACUAUCAACUAGAUGCCACUCGUUCUUUACAAGUUUCCAAUGCAAUAGCCAAUACAUUACUAAAUUCCAUCCACACUUAUCAUCUCAUUAUAGGGUUUCCACAUCACAUAUAUAAACCUCAAGCAUGCUAGAUAUAAGUACUAAGCCAAAUACAUUAUUCUACCAAAGAACAUGCAAGGUAUAGGACCAAACCAUCAGUUAUCACCCUAUAAUGCAAGAUGUCAAUAUGCAAUUGAUCAAUAUAAACUUAGACAUAAAAGGGAGCCCGAUUGCUUCGGGAUGGACACCACCCACCUUUUAUAGCGUUCCGAUUGCUCGUCGUCACUCGCAAUCGGCCUCCUGCGGCGCACGCCGCACGGCUCGACCCCAAUCACAUGCGACCGUCAAAUGACCACCGAUCCGCGAUCCGUCUGUUCUGGAGUUUAUUCCCCGACACCACGAUGCUACGAUUCCAUUUCUAUGAUUUUUGGAAGCUUACGCCGCGAGCUGCGGCAAUCUGUACCUUAACGGCUUCGAUCCGUAAUAUCUCCGCGUACACUCGUCGGAUCGCCGAACCGAGCGCACCGUUGCGUUCGUAGACCUACCAAUUAGGUUUACAGAGGGUUAAAAGAGAUCAAACCCUUAUAUAUAUCAAAACGCUAUUUCGAAGCCCUAGGUUUGCAUCUAGGCAAUAAACCAUCAUUAAAGCUUUGGAUUUAAGCAUAAUCCAUCUAAUUAGCAUCUAGGAAAGCUACUAAAUCCAUUUCUAGAGCAUUAGGAUCAAACCCUAGAGAUCUACCAUUGUAGGGUUUGAAGCUUACCUUGUUAAGCUUGCUCUAAUGGUGAGAGGAAGAAGAAGGUGAUGAUGGUGGUGAGGAACCUCUUCUUCUCCUCUCCUUUUUCCUCCUUUUCCUUCCUUCUCUUCUCCUCUUUCUUCUUCUUCUUCUUCACGUUUAGAGAGAGAGAGAGGGAGAGUUUAGGGCUUUAGAGUGUGAGAGAAUGAGAGAAAUGAGGGAGAAACCCCUCACUUAACCCCUCUCAUGCAACAUUUGCAGAAAAACCCCUCAACAAAGCCUCUCUCGCAACAGCCCAAACUGGGCCAUUUUCGCGCUCGGGGACCGGUCCUUGCGGUGAGAGACCGGUCCCUGAGAGACCUGUCCUUGGCUGAGAGACCGGUCCCCGAAGGUCCAGAACUCAGCCUCAAGGACUUAGCCAAAUUUUCAGCAUUUUCGCCCGUUUUCGUCCGUUUUCGCUCGUUUGACCUCCGAUUCGUUUCAAAUCGAACCGAGACUCUCCAAACAUGUUUCCAAACAUGUUUUCAUCAUCUUUCCAUCCUCGCUAAUGUCGGAUUUAGCUCACGGCCCAACAUGGCCUUUCGGCUCCGUUUUAGCGCCUACGCGCACCGAAACGCCCGAAUGCUUCCGGGCCUCACCGAACUUCACCGGAACCUUUCAAAUGGUCUUCCAACCAAAUGUACACCGUAACUUCAUGAUUUUAGAAGUCCGAUACCUUACACACUAAGUGUCCCGAAACUCACCGACUGACACUACGAGUUACCCGCUGCCACAAAAUACAUCAAUUUAGAUGUCUUGGCAAUAAACACAUGGUAACACACAUAAACAAUUAUCGUCGGAUAAUUUUUCGGAUCCGCGUUCCCGAAAGUAUCUAUUUCGACACCGGAACCCACCGUCGCUCACCCGUCAUCUCCGAACCCACGAUAUGACGAUGGUGACCAGCCGACAAGGCUCAGCGACAACUCAUAAGGAAACCAAACGACGUCGGAAGAAAUCCGAAUCGAAACUGAGCUCCGCCUCCGCCGACGAAUUUCGCCGAAAAAUGCACUGAAAUCGACUUUCGAUUUCCACGAAGGCUAACGGACCUUGGACAAUCAGUCCAGAGGUCACCACACACACAAAUGCACAACCCACAGUAGUCACAAGGUGCACAAUUGCAUAAAAGUCUCUCUAUUUACAUAAAAUCCCACUAUUUAAUGUAAAUAAGGCGACUUUGUGGCUCGUUAACGUAAACCGAGGACUUCCAAGGUCCGCCGAGACACGUACUAACAGGUCUCGACGUGCCGAAGGCCGUGCUCAUGAUUCGGAGCACAAUGGCUCACUGUGGGAGGCGCGAGAGCGACCCGAAAGUUCUGCGAAUUACAGCGCGCAGUUGGAAAAAAUCGCGCCGAACAGGCCGAUACGGCAUCCGUUGAUUAAAAUAAGAUGAGCACUGUGAUUAGCAUGACCACCGAUCACCGUGCUCACCUCCAGAGGCAUCGGGACAGCCUCGGAUCGCCGAAAAAACGUGCAUAAGCCAGAAACAGCAACCAAAAAGACCCUAAAGGAGCGACACUACCGAAACAGCAGAACGAAGCCUUCCCGACAGAAAUUGAGGUGAGCACGAUGAUCAGCAAUGAGUCAAGAUCAUCGUGAUCCCUUCCACAGAGAUCAAGAAGCCUCGGGUUGCUCGAAACAGUAAGCCACCGAAGAAAAGCCCUAUUUCUGGCUUGGCCAGAGCAAGCUUGCUCCGGCUGGCUUCCGGCAGCACGGCGACGUGCACGCGGGCCAGAGGUGGGUUUGGGGGAGGGGAGGAGCACAGUGCUCACCUUGGCCAGCGGCGAGGAGCGGCGGCGGCGUCGGCGGAGCCGGCACCAACUAGGGCUCGGGUCCGGAGGCAAUGGCGGCCACGGCGGUGGCGGGGGCUCCCAAGGGUGACGGCGGGGGAUCGCCUGAGACAAGAGGGAUGUCGCUGGGGUGGCUCCGGGUGGCGGCGGCGCAAGGAUGGAGCCGCAAGCCAACCUCGGCCCGGGCAGACCUGGAUUGGCUGCAAGCUGAUAGAGGCGGCGACGGUGGCCCGCAGGGAUCGCGGCGACCAGCGGGGAAGGUCGCCAGGGCUCCGGGGGAGGCGACAGGUGUGGUCUCAGGCGGCGGCGGCGGGGGCAGCACGCGGUUAGCUGAUGAAGCUCAGCUCGGCCAGAGUUUGCCCUAGCUGGCAGCAGGGUACUGGGGCGGCAGUGGCGGUGCUCAGGGGCGGCGGUAGCCAGCGAGGAGGCUCACCGGGACUUCGAGGGUGACGCCGAAGAGGAGAGUAGCCUCGGAUCUCGUCCUCAACCCGAGAGGAAGAGAGAUAGAGGGAGAGGGAAGGUGGGAGGCCGCGGCUGCUAGCCGGCCGAGGUCGGUCGGCGGCGGCUGGCGCAUGCGAGGCAAGGUAGGGGAGAGAGAUGAAGGUGGCAGGGUGCUCGGCUAGGGCUAGGGUUAGGGUUUCCUAGUGCAAAAUCCUAGAUGAGCAAUAUAUACACCUAAGGUAAAAAUGCACCAUAGUCCCUCAAAACUCGAUAAUUUAAUUCGAGUCCCUCACAGCGCGAGUAAAACCCGCGAAUACACCCUCACAUGCGAUUUCACGCAAAACGGUACAUAAAAUGUCGAGGUUUUUGCAAAAAUACCGUUUUGCCAUUUAAGACCCCUCGAUCAACGUGCAAUAUCCGCAGAUUCGUCUGUCAGAUUUGUGAAUAGAUCUUACCAGUGCGAUCAGCACAAUAGAGACAACAAACCCACCAUUUUGUUUCACCUCGUUUGGUCACGGAUUCACGACAAAACUCACCCUCUUUCCAAGAGGCAAAGCGACGCACUAAUACAUAUAAUACAUGUAUUUUUAGAAUUUCUAGAAAUUCGUACGUCAAACCAAAAUCCGUCAGUGCCAUUGGUUCCAGAAUAGCUGAGCCGUUCAAAACGUGCUAUUGGAUCGCUAUGAAUGGAGUCUGACACGUGCCAGAAGCCAACUUUAUACCGUGGCCUCUCCAGAAAACCGAGUUACUAUUCACUUUAAGUGAAAACUGAAAAUCGCGUACAAUCUUUGUUCUAACUCGUUUUCUCCCGAAACUUGACGAGUGCUUUUGUAAUUAAAUUACACACAAAAACAUCAUCAAUAGAGAGUUUAGCUAUACUGCUAAAAUCUCAGUCUUUAUAGAUCCGCCAAAAAAAAAAACAAAUGGAGGAGAUCUAUGAAAGUUUUGAGAAGCCCAAGGAUCAUCUAGAUUGUAUCUAUCACCUAGAGGGGGUGAAUAGGUGAACGGCCAAAAACCACAAAUCUCGAUGCAAUAAAAAUAAAUGCGGAAAAUAAAAAGCACACCAAGAUUUACGUGGGAAAACUCCAACUUGGAGAAAAACCCACGGGACCAACACGCGAAAAAAUAAUUCACUAAGAGAAAAGAUUACAAGGUGAUUACCGACUCCACGGACUCAACCUCUCUUAACCUCCUAUGAAUCUUCGCGCUACCCUCCGGGUUGUCCACGCCCUCACGUUCGAGUCCACGAACGCCUCCACUUCGAAUCCACGAAGCUUUAAUCACGCCGAAUCCACGACGCCACUCGAAUCCACGAGCCAACGAUCCGAAUCCACGAACGCCUUUGUUCACGCCGAAUCCACGACGCCGUUCAUGAAGAGCAUCAUGAUUAUGGUGAUCCUUCACUUAGGAGUAUCGUAGAAAACCAGGGAAUAGAACUCCAAGCGAAGCGGAGAUCAAAUCGACAUAUUAAUAUCAAAUUUCAAUAUCUCGACUUGAUCUAAAAGAGGCUUUUUGUAGAAAAUAGGUUUAAGAUGAAAUCCGAGCCUCUAGGGUUUCUCGAACAUGUAUUCUUAUGAUGCUUGAUCUGUUAAAGAAGCCCAAUAGCUUAUUUAUAGACUUUAGAAUCAAUUGGAGUCGAAUUAGAAAGUUUAUUUCCAAAAACAGCACCUUGUACCGGAACAAGGAAUGUUGUCCAGGGUACACCAUGACGGAAGAUUUUUCUGCGAAGCUCCUGUACCCUGGAUAGCUUCAGCUUGUUUCGGAACAGGGCUUGUACCGGUACAGCAUGAAGCUUGUACCGGAACAACCAUCAAACUUUCUGCGCAACGUUGAUGGCUGUUCCCUGGACAGAAAAGCCUUGUACCGGUACAGCAAUGCAAUUUUCGCUAAAAAUGCAUUGUUUUGGAUUUUACAAACUCUUAGAAACUUUCUAAUAAAUUACAACUUGAAAACAUGAUUCUAAGAUCUAUAAUUAAGUAUGAAUCACCAUAAACAAGAUUUAAAGCUUACCUACGCAUCGUGAUUCAUGUUUUACGUGUUUUGCGUCCUUUCCGAUUCUUCGAAGUCUUGGAUUCUUCGAUCUUCAAUACUUCGCUCCGAACUUCUUCAAGACUCCGACUCGACCCACGAAACUUGCCAACACAUAGGACCUAACAAUCUCCCCCUUUGGCAAUUUCGUGAUAAAACACACAUAAACUCACAAAUUACAAUUUAAAGAAAAACGAAGUUCAAUGUCAUCACCAAAACAUCGAACCCCUCGCGUGUAAUCCAAAUACAAUUCGAAAACUCAAAAUUACAUCAAAACUCCUAAAACAAACUCUAUGACUUAGACACAACUAGGAGUCUUGAAGUCUUGAUUUCCUGCAAAACGCAUUCAAAAAUGAUUAACCUUAAAUUCUUAUACCUUCUCCCCUUUUGUUCUUCACGUCUCGAACACAUCUCCCCCUUUGUUCUUGAACUCAUCAUCCUCUGCUUCAGUUCAAUGCCUGUUCAUCCAUGCUCUCCCCCUUCAUCUAUGCUCUCCCCCUUUUUGUCAAAAAUUGCCAAAAGAAAGCAAAUAAAGAGAGAAAACAUACUAGAAAAACAUGAGAGUAGUGUAGCCAUAGUUACAGGCCUAAAACGAAAAUAAAAACAUACUACAGAAAGAUAAGCAAGCAAAUCUAAAACAUCGUCCUAAACAUCAAAUGCAGUGAAAGAAAGAAACUAAGCCCGACGAAGAAAUCACUCCGUGUCCUCAUCAUCAUCAUCAUCUCCAGCACCAGCUCCAGAACCUGCAGCCUCAGGAGCAUCACCAGACGGUGGAAUGAGAGGAUGUCGUGAAGAUGACCGCUGAUACGAAGUAGAAGAUGGGGUAGGUACCCAAAUAUCAUCAUGUCUACACCCCAUCUUAUCCAUCAAUCUCUUGAUACUUAGCUCAAACUUCUUGAAGCCGGACUCAACUUUCCUUCCAAUAUUAUUCACCUUCUUCUUUAACUUUCCCAAAUCUUUCUUAACUGAUUCCAAUGUCAUUGCUUCCCCCGAACUAGAUGAAGUAUCAUAACUUCCUCGAGAUGUAGGCGGAGGAGCAAAGAUAAUUGGGAUGUGGAAUUAGUAGAUUUUGACUGCGAUGGAUGUUUUGAUUUGCGAUUGUAAUGNNNNNNNNNNNNNNNNNNNNNNNNNNNNNNNNNNNNNNNNNNNNNNNNNNNNNNNNNNNNNNNNNNNNNNNNNNNNNNNNNNNNNNNNNNNNNNNNNNNNNNNNNNNNNNNNNNNNNNNNNNNNNNNNNNNNNNNNNNNNNNNNNNNNNNNNNNNNNNNNNNNNNNNNNNNNNNNNNNNNNNNNNNNNNNNNNNNNNNNNNNNNNNNNNNNNNNNNNNNNNNNNNNNNNNNNNNNNNNNNNNNNNNNNNNNNNNNNNNNNNNNNNNNNNNNNNNNNNNNNNNNNNNNNNNNNNNNNNNNNNNNNNNNNNNNNNNNNNNNNNNNNNNNNNNNNNNNNNNNNNNNNNNNNNNNNNNNNNNNNNNNNNNNNNNNNNNNNNNNNNNNNNNNNNNNNNNNNNNNNNNNNNNNNNNNNNNNNNNNNNNNNNNNNNNNNNNNNNNNNNNNNNNNNNNNNNNNNNNNNNNNNNNNNNNNNNNNNNNNNNNNNNNNNNNNNNNNNNNNNNNNNNNNNNNNNNNNNNNNNNNNNNNNNNNNNNNNNNNNNNNNNNNNNNNNNNNNNNNNNNNNNNNNNNNNNNNNNNNNNNNNNNNNNNNNNNNNNNNNNNNNNNNNNNNNNNNNNNNNNNNNNNNNNNNNNNNNNNNNNNNNNNNNNNNNNNNNNNNNNNNNNNNNNNNNNNNNNNNNNNNNNNNNNNNNNNNNNNNNNNNNNNNNNNNNNNNNNNNNNNNNNNNNNNNNNNNNNNNNNNNNNNNNNNNNNNNNNNNNNNNNNNNNNNNNNNNNNNNNNNNNNNNNNNNNNNNNNNNNNNNNNNNNNNNNNNNNNNNNNNNNNNNNNNNNNNNNNNNNNNNNNNNNNNNNNNNNNNNNNNNNNNNNNNNNNNNNNNNNNNNNNNNNNNNNNNNNNNNNNNNNNNNNNNNNNNNNNNNNNNNNNNNNNNNNNNNNNNNNNNNNNNNNNNNNNNNNNNNNNNNNNNNNNNNNNNNNNNNNNNNNNNNNNNNNNNNNNNNNNNNNNNNNNNNNNNNNNNNNNNNNNNNNNNNNNNNNNNNNNNNNNNNNNNNNNNNNNNNNNNNNNNNNNNNNNNNNNNNNNNNNNNNNNNNNNNNNNNNNNNNNNNNNNNNNNNNNNNNNNNNNNNNNNNNNNNNNNNNNNNNNNNNNNNNNNNNNNNNNNNNNNNNNNNNNNNNNNNNNNNNNNNNNNNNNNNNNNNNNNNNNNNNNNNNNNNNNNNNNNNNNNNNNNNNNNNNNNNNNNNNNNNNNNNNNNNNNNNNNNNNNNNNNNNNNNNNNNNNNNNNNNNNNNNNNNNNNNNNNNNNNNNNNNNNNNNNNNNNNNNNNNNNNNNNNNNNNNNNNNNNNNNNNNNNNNNNNNNNNNNNNNNNNNNNNNNNNNNNNNNNNNNNNNNNNNNNNNNNNNNNNNNNNNNNNNNNNNNNNNNNNNNNNNNNNNNNNNNNNNNNNNNNNNNNNNNNNNNNNNNNNNNNNNNNNNNNNNNNNNNNNNNNNNNNNNNNNNNNNNNNNNNNNNNNNNNNNNNNNNNNNNNNNNNNNNNNNNNNNNNNNNNNNNNNNNNNNNNNNNNNNNNNNNNNNNNNNNNNNNNNNNNNNNNNNNNNNNNNNNNNNNNNNNNNNNNNNNNNNNNNNNNNNNNNNNNNNNNNNNNNNNNNNNNNNNNNNNNNNNNNNNNNNNNNNNNNNNNNNNNNNNNNNNNNNNNNNNNNNNNNNNNNNNNNNNNNNNNNNNNNNNNNNNNNNNNNNNNNNNNNNNNNNNNNNNNNNNNNNNNNNNNNNNNNNNNNNNNNNNNNNNNNNNNNNNNNNNNNNNNNNNNNNNNNNNNNNNNNNNNNNNNNNNNNNNNNNNNNNGCCAAAACCUAGAAGCUGCUCUCGGUGAAAGUGCCGGGCUAGAGCUUCAGGAGGGUGGCCCUUAGGUCUGAUGAAAUGACUUGAGAGUGCUAACAGAUUUAGCCCAAGUCACUGAGUCAAUAGGCCCAAGGCCAACAUCAUAUUUGUCACAAGAUGUAUCCACUCCAUUGGCUUGAAGAAUCCUCGUAAUCAAGAACAGGGAAUGAAAGUAAGAUCCCGACGAGUGGCACCCUGAAUUACGUGAAUCAUCCUUUGCCCAGAUCAGAAUGGAAUGUUGAUAUUCAACCCUGCGAGCCUGCCUCGGAUGACCAAGUAGAUAUAGCAACACUAGUCUCUCCCAGCGAAUCCUCUUUGUGCCGAUAGUUGGUUGAACAUUGUAGCCUCAUAACCAAUGGGAUAGCAAGUGAUACUCGGGUAAUAAGUCCUUGGAUUCAAUGUAACCAUGAGUUAUGUAAACACCGGCUUUGCAUAUAGCUCCCAAGAACAGUAUCCAUGUGGAGUUGAUGCUUGAAAUCCUCCUGAAGUAUAGAGAAGACCUGAAGUGUCCACAUGCAUCCCCAAGAUCUCUCCAAUAAUCAUGGGAAGUAACUGGAGAAUCUCCUCUGACGCACAACAGGUCUCGAAGAUAAAAGUGCUUGUUUCAUCAUCUUCAGCAAGCACUUUCCAUUCAUAUAGAAUCUCCCUAGUAAAGUUCCACACAGAAAGGAGCCUUUGCAGGAACCCGCGUCCAACAAGGCCUCAAUAGGUGCCGCGCGCUGUAGUCAAUCGGCCAAGGAAUCAGGAACCUCCCGCGAAUCAGAUCUUGGAAGUUCACAAAGCAUUCAGCUAUGCACGACUUUGAAUGCACAACACGCUUCGCCGGCUGGAGGAACCUCCCUCCAGCUUGUUUUGAACGUCCCUCCAGCGAGUACGAUAACCACCUCUGCGAGAUGAUUCACCAGCUACAACCUUUGCCUUUGUCCAAGUUGCGCAAUAGGCUUCUUCAGAUUCUUCAGAGGAGCUCCUCCUGAAUAAUCCGGAUCAGACCCGGACGCUUCUUCAGUGGUAACGUGUCCUUUUAGAAACCCCAUGACGACCUCUACCACUACACCGGCUUCGUCUCCCAGCAUAAGCACCAAAAACACUAGUACGAGCAGAAUAGCCAUUUCGCUAUACAGAAAUUGCAUACAUAAACAUAAUUUCUGAAAAAAUCUGGAAAAUAGCGAAAAAUUUCUUAAUAACAUUAGAAUGCAUACCAAUGCUAUUCCUAGCCAGAUCAUGCAGAAUUUCAGCAAAAAUCAAAUUUUUGAAAAUCCCGAAAUUACAUGCAUAUUAUAGGCCAUAAAUCCUAGAUCAGCGAAAAAUAACUUGUAUUGAUGUCGUUCAAGUGUUCUACAAGCCAAGGUAAUGUCCUUAAGCAGUGAUUUAUAGCAAACACAGUUGCAUCAAACGAAUUAGAACGUGAGAUCAAAUCCUUAUCCCCGCAACAAAACAAUGUAAAUACAAAACCGGGAUAAAACUCACAAAUUGAUGCUAAAAACUUCACAAAUCUACGGGGAAAACGUGUAGAACGAAUGAGAAAGGUCUCUGGAGCUCAAGAACAAAAAUUCUUGGAAAACAAUUGAGUCUUUGAGAAAAAUCGAAGCGUUAUACCCGGUAUUCCCGCUCCGCCGCAGACCUGGAACCGUCCUGCGGUUAUGAUGACCGUCAGGCUGUGCGAGACAGAGGGCUUCUGCUGAGAACCGUCCCCGAAUCCAAGACUUCAGCCCAACUAGCCAAAUAAUCUCAUCUCUCACUUGCCAUUUUUGUUUGGGCAAUUCCUUUUGAUGUGUCCUUCGAUGCCACAUCGAUGACACACUUUGCCUUUUGAAGUUGUUGAGACUUUAGAUGUCGCCGUUUGAUCCUUCUCAAUAUAUGUCCGUUCAUAUCCAAGACCCCAUUUGCUCGUUUGACCCAAUCCAAGCAUUUUGUCCAACUUCUUUGAUCCCGAAGAAAAUUGUAGAAGAUCGGAUUGGAGUUGACGAACUUGGUUGAUCAAGACUUGAUUGGACUUGUGCGAUUCAUGAAAUUGAUGCUCCAAAAAUCCAAUCUUGUCGUUAGAAGAUUUGAUCGUUGAUUCCGCAUCAUUAAGCUUCUCUUGGAGGAUUGAAUUAUUUUUCAUCGCUAAGCUUCUCUUGAAGUUCCGAAUUAAUCUUCAAACUUGAAUCUCUUUCCUCCUCAAGAGCCUUAUUCAAACUCUUUAUGUUGUUGUUUUCCUCCUCAAGUUCCAACAAACGACGUCUCAACUUCUUGUUGAGUUUAGCCAUCUUCUUCGAUUCAAUGAGAAGUUGAUUGUACGUUUCCGCUAUGUCGUCGUUGUUUGAUUCCUCUUCACUUUCGACAUUGUUGCUCGAUGAAUCAUGUGAAGAAAGAGAAAUAUUGGAGUUAGUAGCAAAAGAGGAUAAACACACAACAUUCGACGUAGGAGUAUUAGCAAAUAGAGCAAUUUGAUCAUUCUUUUCUUCGUCACUUGACGAUGAUUCACUUGAUGUUGAAUCAUCCCACGUCUUUGCUUGCAUCGCCUUUUGUCUAUACAUCUUCUUUGAAGGACAAUCUGUCGCAAUGUGGCCGUAGCCUUUGCACUUGAAGCAUUGGAUUUCGCCUUCAAAUACAUCCUUUUUCUUUGAGGACUUUGCACGGUUUUUAUCCUUAGACUUUGAAGAUAAAGAUGAUUUAGACAAAGAUUGUCGCUUGGAUGAUGAAGCCUUGUCCAAUCUAUUCUUGUUCUGGAAAUUUCGACGAAACUUCUUCGUGAGAAGCGCCAAUUGUUGUUCAAAGUCCGCAAUUGAUAAAUCAUCGUCGGAACUCGAGUCUUCGUCCUUCUCCUUUGUAGAUUUCAAUGCAACACCUGUGCUUUUAGAAGAAGACUUGGAAGAAGAUUGAUUAGUAGGAAAAGUCAUUUCAUACGUUUGUAAAGCUCCUACUAAUUCUUCUACUUUCAUCUCGUCCGGAUGCUUGACCGUUUCGAUCGCGGCGACCUUUGCCCGAAAACGUUCCGGAAGAGUGCGAAGGAUUUUCCUAACAACCUUUGAAUCCGGGAUUUUCUCUCCCAAGUUAGCACAUGUGUUCACAACAUCUUGUAGACGUGUAUAGUACUCGGUAAAGGUCUCAUUUUCGUCCAUAGAAAUUGAAUCAAACUUGCUAGUUAGCAUUUGCAAUUUUUGGACCUUUACUAAGCUUGUUCCUUCAUGCGUAACUUGUAGAGUAUCCCAAAUUUCUUUUGCCGUUUCGCAUGCCGAAACCCGAGUAAACUCCGUUUGUGAUAAAGCGUUGAAUAAAGCAUUAAUUCCUUUACCAUUAAACGAAGAUGACUCGUUUUCAUCUUUAGUCCACUUGUUUCGUGGUUUAGGGACGGUAGCACCAUCGACAACUUCGGUAGGAUGUUUCCAUCCGAAUUCAAUAGCUUUCCAUACCCGCUCAUCGAUUGCAAUUAGAAAAGCUCUCAUGCGAACUUUCCAAUAGGCAUAAUUCGUGCCGUCGAAGAGCGGAGGUCGAUUAAUGUUACCACCUUCGGCCAUUAGAUAACAAUUUAUCUAGAUCCCGCUCUGAUACCAAUUGAAAGUUUUGAGGAGCCCAAGGAUCUAUCUAGAUUGUAUCUAUCACCUAGAGGGGGGUGAAUAGGUGAAAGGCCAAAAAACCACAAAUCUCGAUGCAAUAAAAAUAAAUGCGGAAAAUAAAAAGCACACCGAGAUUUACGUGGGAAAACUCCAAACUCGGAGUAAAAAACCCACGGGACCAACACGCGAUAACAAUCCACUAAGAAUAAAAGAUUACAAGGUGAUUUACCGAAUCCACGGACUCAAACCUCUCUUCUAUCUUCUCCGGAUCUCGCGCACACCAACGGGUUGUCCACGCCCCACGUCCGAAUCCACGAACGCCACGUCCCGAAUCCACGAAACGUCACCACUUCGAAUCCACGAAGCCUCGAUCACGUCGAAUCCACGACGCCCACUCGAAUCCACGAGCUCACGAUCCGAAUCCACGAACCGUCUUCGUUCACGCCGAAUCCACGACGCCGUUCAUGAAGAGCAUCAUGUGUAUGGUGAUCCUUCGCUUAGGAGUAUCGUAGAAAACCAGGGAAUAGAACUCCAAGCGAAGCGGAGAUCAAAUCGACAUAUUAAUAUCAAAUUUCAAUAUCUCGAUUUGAUCUAAAAGAGGCUUUUUGUAGAAAAUAGGUUUAAGAUGAAAUCCGAGCCUCUAGGGUUUCUCAAACAUGUAUUCUUAUGAUGCUUGAUGUGUUAGAGAAGCCCAAUAGCUUAUUUAUAGACUUUAGAAUCAAUUGGAGUCGAAUUAGAAAGUUUCUUUCCAAAAACAGCACCUUGUACCGGAACAAGGAAUGUUGUCCAGGGUACACCAUGACGGAAGAUUUUUCUGCGAAGCUCCUGUACCCUGGAUAGCUUCAGCUUGUUCCGGAACAGGGCUUGUACCGGUACAGCAUGAAGCUUGUACCGGAACAACCAUCAAACUUUCUGCGCAACGUUGAUGGCUGUACCCUGGACAGAAAAGCCUUGUACCGGUACAGCAAUGCAAUUUUCGCUGAAAAUGCAUUGUUUUGGAUUUUACAAACUCUUAGAAACUUUCUAAUCAAUUACAACUUGAAAACAUGAUUCUAAGAUCUAUAAUUAAGUAUGAAUCACCAUAAACAAGAUUUAAAGCUUACCUACGCAUCGUGAUUCAUGUUUUACGUGUUUUGCGUCCUUUCCGAUUCUUUGAAGUCUUGGAUUCUUCGAUCUUCAAUACUUCGCUCUGAACUUCUUCAAGACUCCGACUCGACCCACGAAACUUGCCAACACAUAGGACCUAACAAUCUAUUUCUUUUUUCUUUAAUUUGGAAAAAAUGAUCCCAAUUGGAACGGUUAGUGGGAGGCAAAAAUAUGACAAAAAAUAAUUCGCCCUAAUUUCAUAUUGAUACGACAAAAAAAAAGGUGGGUGUGGUCAACCCUCCCCCUGGAUCCGUUCUAUUUGCAUCCCUCAAAAAGGAGGCCCAAUCCCAAGCGAUCGGGUUGUCAUAAACUAUCAUCAAUCAAAUUCGCACAACAAUCAAGUACCUUGCUUUAAAAAUUUUUGUAAAAAAAUAGGUCUGAUUGGUAAUAUAAAACUAAUCUAUUUUGGAUUAAAUAUUUUAUUUUUCAAAAAACAAUUUGUGCCACAUAAAAUAAAUAUUCUAUUUUUUAAAAUAUUUUAUUUUAUUUUUGAAAUAAAUCUAAAAGGGUAAAUUUCGUCGAUACCCUUCCAAUAGCUCUAACUUCAUGAAUACCCUUUAAAACUUUAAAAUUUUAUAUUUUCCCUUCAAAAGUAUGAAAAAAUUUCAAAAAUAUCCUCACAGUUAGCAUUCUGACAGGUUUAGAUAUAAAGCUUCAAAAUACCAAUUAAUUUUACCCUCUACUUCAUUCUCAUCACUACCUUCACAAAAUUUUUUGAAUAUAUGGAGACCACCUCAAUUACAACCCAUUGUGAAAUAGCCCCCUAAAUUUAAAUUUUUAAUUAAAGUUUUCUUAAAUUUUGUUUUCUUAAAAUUGAAUGAUUUUUUAUUAUUGAAUUAUAGAUUUUAUCUAAUCCAUUAAUGAUUCAAUUAAAUUUAGUAAUUUUAGUAACUUUGUAGUAAUGAUUGGAGCUUCUAAGGAGGUUUGUUGCCCUUUCUCUCCAUCUAGACUUUGGAUUUGAGGUUUUCUUGUGUUGAAACCCUAGAAUGAGAUUUUAGGGUUGAUUUUGGGGCUUUUUGAUUUAGGGCUUUUGGAGCUUGAUCACUUGGAUUAGAGCCUUCCUUUGGGUUGGAUUGGAAGGGAUUUAGCUCUCUUUUGGAGCUUAGGAAGAGAUUUUGCACUAGAGGUGAGUUUUGACUCUAUUUUUUGANUAACUUGCGCUUUUAUGUUUUGUAGUGACGAUGCCGGUUACACGCUCCCAGUCUGCCGGGGCGGAUGAUGUGGCACACCCCGAGGAGGUCGAGACCUCCGCUACUUUCGGAUCUAGCGAGGUCCGCGACUUGAGGGCCCAGCUUGCGGUUCUCACUGAUCUGUUGGCGCGGCAGACGGCCGCGGCGCAACGACAGGCUGAGGUGGCUCAGUGGCAGGAGGCGCGGAUGAAGCACCUUGAGGACCUCCUACUUCAGCAAGCGGCAGCUUCGAGGGAGACCCAGGGCCCCACACCGCCCGCACCCGUGGUGGAUGUCGCACCGAGGGCGCAGUCCCCCGCGCCCAGUUCCUCACGUGCGGCACCGGCGACCGCACCUCGGGAGGAGGUGGCUGCGACACUACCAGUUCAGAGACCGGCCACGGGGGCAGCUUUCCCCGUGAUGUCCGAGGGAGCUGAGUGGGAUCGGCUCAUGGAUCGCCUCAGUGAGUUUAGGAGGUGCAGCCCGAGAACGUUUGAUGGCGAGAACGUCGACCACUGGAUUGUUGAGAAGUGGUUGCUGCACAUGGAGAAGCUAUUUCGAGAUACCUUCGUCGAGGAGAGGAAUAGAGUUUGGCUCGCCACUCACUUUCUGGACGGCGAGGCCUAUCGUUGGUGGUUGGAUAUCCAGGACAACCCCAACACCGACUUGGCGGCGAUUACUUAGACACGAUUCAAGGAGCUUCUACUGGCGCACCACUUUCCUACCAGUGUCAAGAGAAAGAUGGAGCAGGAUUUGCGCAGCUUGCGCCAGGACGAGCGGUCAGUGGCUGAGUACGAGAGGGAGUUCUCCCGGAUACUACACUGUGUACCGUUGUUGUGAGGGAUGACGAGGACAAGGCCCGCAUCUUUGAGCGUGGAUUGCGGCCUUCGAUCUUUUGGUUGGUGUAGUCCUCCAACCUCCAAACCUACCGGGAGGUUGUGGACCGUGCACUCAUUGUGGAGGCUGGUGCGGCAGACCUUCAGGAGCGUCGAGAGAGCUCGGAGAAAGGGAAGGGGAAGAGGCCCGCGGCUGAGGAUGCGAGUCAGACGCACUCACGGAGGCCGCCAAGGCACCGAGAAGCCGAAGCCAAUCGCGAGGACGUGGCCAGUCUCCUCAGCGAGGAGGACCCGAUCGUCGUCAGGCUCCCCGCUGCGUGAUUUAUGGCGGUCCUCAUUAUCCGCGGUAGUGUUCACGCAGCCGGGGCAUGUGCUUCUUGUGUGGCCAGGAGGGCCACUUCCAGUCGGACUGCCCGAGGAGUCCUUUGCUAGCGCCAUCUUCGGCAUCUACACCUGCAACGCCAGGUCCCAGCCAGGGGACAUCUUCUGCGCAUCACCAGGCCGGUCGGCCACCUGUCGAGCGGUAGACGGAGGGGUCACGACAGGCCCCGAGCGGGCGCAUGUAUGCGGCCCAGACUGAGGAGGCGGCGGCAGCCGAGAAUGUGGUCGCAGGUAUCAUUUUACUUUAUGGUAAUCGAGUUAGAGCAUUAUUUGAUAUCGGUGCAUCGCAUUCAUUUAUAGACCGACUGUUUGCCGAGUUGCAUGGCAUCCCACUUGUAUCCUUGUUGCAUCCGGGACGAGUCGUUGUACCCGAUCAUUCUUUGGACAUUCGAAAGUUUUGCCCCAGUUGCCUUAUUCGGGUUGGAGAUUGGGUCAUGCCCGUGGACUUGCUAGCUUUGCAUAAACUCGGGGAGUUUGAUGUUGUUUUGGGCAUGGAUUGGUUGACUAAGUACUACGCCACUAUCGAUUGCAAGGAUCGAACGGUGACGUUUAGAGAGCCGGGGCAGGCGGAAGUUGUGUACCGAGGAUGCCAGAGUUCGCUCUUUGUGAUGACUAUCAGCUCCUCUCGAGCUAGGCAGUUGAUUAGUAGAGGCUGCGUAGCCUAUUUGGCUACUGUGGUGUUGAAGGGUGACGACGACGCCCCUAGGAUUGAGGAUAUACCCGUAGCACGGGAGUUUAGAGACGUAUUCCCAGCGGAGCUUCCAAGCAUGCCACCUGAUAGGAAAAUUGAGUUUGUGGUAGAUCUCGUUCCCGGGACUACUCCAAUCUCAAAGGCACCCUAUAGGAUGGCACCAGCAGAAUUGAAGGAGCUGAAGGCACAGUUGCAGGAUCUUCUGGACAAAGGUUUUGUGCGACCGAGUGUGUUACCUUGGGGAGCACCGGUCUUGUUUGUUAAGAAGAAGGAUGGAUCACUUCGCUUGUGCGCGGACUAUCGUGAACUUAAUAAAGUUACGAUCAAGAACAAGUAUCCAUUACCGAGGAUUGAUGAUCUAUUUGAUCAGCUCCAGGGAUCUUGUGUAUACUCCAAGAUCGACUUGCAGUCGGGAUACCAUCAGUUGAGGAUCAGACCUGAGGAUGUAUUGAAGACGGCUUUUAGAACACGGUAUGGACAUUAUGAGUUUACUGUCAUGCCGUUUGGGCUUACUAAUGCCCCGGCGGCUUUUAUGGAUUUAAUGAACCGUGUUUUCAAGCCUUAUUUAGACAGAUUUGUCGUGGUGUUCAUCGACGACAUUUUGGUCUAUUCCCGAAGUAAUGUGGAUCACGAGGAACACUUGAGACUUGUACUUCAAGUACUUCGGGAAAAGAAACUAUAUGCCAAGUUGAAAAAGUGUGAGUUUUGGCUUAGAGAGGUGGCGUUUUUGGGCCAUGUGAUUUCAGGAUCAGGCAUAGCCGUGGACCCGAGAAAAAUUGAAGCUAUCAAAGAUUGGCCGAGGCCGACGAGUGUGACCGAGAUACGGAGCUUCAUUGGUUUGGCUGGCUAUUACCGACGGUUCGUCGAGGGAUUUGCAAAAUUAUUCACUCCCCUCACGAGACUCACGCAUAAGGAUACCAAGUUUAUUUAGAAUGAUGCGUGUGAAAGGAGCUUCCAAGAGUUGAAGUAGCGAUUGACGACCGCCCCGAUCCUUACCUUGCCGACUGCUGGAGCAGGGUAUGUGAUUUAUAGUGAUGCUUCCUUUAAUGGAUUGGGCUGUGUUUUGAUGCAGGACGGGAAAGUGAUCACGUAUGCAUCUCGCCAAUUAAAGGAUUGUGAGAGAAACUAUCCUACCCAUGACUUGGAGUUGGCGGCCGUAGUCUUUGUAUUGAAGCUAUGGCGCCAUUACCUCUAUGGCGAGCGAUGCGAAGUAUGUACGGAUCACAAAAGCUUAAAGUAUCUAUUUACUCAGAAGGAGUUGAACUUGAGGCAGCGUAGAUGGUUGGAGCUACUCAAGGAUUAUGAUUUGACGAUACUUUACCACCCGGGCAAGGCUAACGUGGUGGUGGAUGCGCUAAGUAGGAAAUCGACUGAGAACUUAGCGAUACUUGUGAUUACUCAACCGCCGUUGAUCGAGCAGAUGAAGCGGUUGGAGUUGGAGGUUGUGGCUCCUGAUACACCUUUGAGACUGAUGACUUUGGUGGUGCAACCUACACUUUUGGAAAGGAUUAAAGAAAAGCAAGCUUCCGACUCGGAGUUGCAAAAGAUUCGAGCUAAGAUGGUUGCUGGUUGCACCGGUGACUUCACUUUAGACGGUGAUGGAUUGAUGCGUUUCCGCGGACAACUUUGUGUACCGGCGGACUUGGGCAUUAAAGAGGAUAUUCUUCAAGAAGCACAUCGAGCACCGUAUGCUUUGCAUCCGGGAGGCACCAAGAUGUACAAGGACUUGAAGUUACUUUAUUGGUAGCCCGGGAUGAAAAAGGAUGUUGGUGAGUUCGUUGCUAGAUGUUUAACCUGCCAACAGGUGAAGGCUGAGCACCGAGUUCCUGUGGGGAAGCUGCAGAGCCUACCGAUUCCAGUGUGGAAGUGGUAAAAGAUCACUAUGGACUUCGUGAUGGGAUUGCCUCGCUCACAGGCCGGGCAUGAUGCUAUAUGGGUGAUCGUGGAUAGAUUGACGAAAUCGGCACAUUUCAUACCUAUCCACACNNNNNNNNNNNNNNNNNNNNNNNNNNNNNNNNNNNNNNNNNNNNNNNNNNNNNNNNNNNNNNNNNNNNNNNNNNNNNNNNNNNNNNNNNNNNNNNNNNNNNNNNNNNNNNNNNNNNNNNNNNNNNNNNNNNNNNNNNNNNNNNNNNNNNNNNNNNNNNNNNNNNNNNNNNNNNNNNNNNNNNNNNNNNNNNNNNNNNNNNNNNNNNNNNNNNNNNNNNNNNNNNNNNNNNNNNNNNNNNNNNNNNNNNNNNNNNNNNNNNNNNNNNNNNNNNNNNNNNNNNNNNNNNNNNNNNNNNNNNNNNNNNNNNNNNNNNNNNNNNNNNNNNNNNNNNNNNNNNNNNNNNNNNNNNNNNNNNNNNNNNNNNNNNNNNNNNNNNNNNNNNNNNNNNNNNNNNNNNNNNNNNNNNNNNNNNNNNNNNNNNNNNNNNNNNNNNNNNNNNNNNNNNNNNNNNNNNNNNNNNNNNNNNNNNNNNNNNNNNNNNNNNNNNNNNNNNNNNNNNNNNNNNNNNNNNNNNNNNNNNNNNNNNNNNNNNNNNNNNNNNNNNNNNNNNNNNNNNNNNNNNNNNNNNNNNNNNNNNNNNNNNNNNNNNNNNNNNNNNNNNNNNNNNNNNNNNNNNNNNNNNNNNNNNNNNNNNNNNNNNNNNNNNNNNNNNNNNNNNNNNNNNNNNNNNNNNNNNNNNNNNNNNNNNNNNNNNNNNNNNNNNNNNNNNNNNNNNNNNNNNNNNNNNNNNNNNNNNNNNNNNNNNNNNNNNNNNNNNNNNNNNNNNNNNNNNNNNNNNNNNNNNNNNNNNNNNNNNNNNNNNNNNNNNNNNNNNNNNNNNNNNNNNNNNNNNNNNNNNNNNNNNNNNNNNNNNNNNNNNNNNNNNNNNNNNNNNNNNNNNNNNNNNNNNNNNNNNNNNNNNNNNNNNNNNNNNNNNNNNNNNNNNNNNNNNNNNNNNNNNNNNNNNNNNNNNNNNNNNNNNNNNNNNNNNNNNNNNNNNNNNNNNNNNNNNNNNNNNNNNNNNNNNNNNNNNNNNNNNNNNNNNNNNNNNNNNNNNNNNNNNNNNNNNNNNNNNNNNNNNNNNNNNNNNNNNNNNNNNNNNNNNNNNNNNNNNNNNNNNNNNNNNNNNNNNNNNNNNNNNNNNNNNNNNNNNNNNNNNNNNNNNNNNNNNNNNNNNNNNNNNNNNNNNNNNNNNNNNNNNNNNNNNNNNNNNNNNNNNNNNNNNNNNNNNNNNNNNNNNNNNNNNNNNNNNNNNNNNNNNNNNNNNNNNNNNNNNNNNNNNNNNNNNNNNNNNNNNNNNNNNNNNNNNNNNNNNNNNNNNNNNNNNNNNNNNNNNNNNNNNNNNNNNNNNNNNNNNNNNNNNNNNNNNNNNNNNNNNNNNNNNNNNNNNNNNNNNNNNNNNNNNNNNNNNNNNNNNNNNNNNNNNNNNNNNNNNNNNNNNNNNNNNNNNNNNNNNNNNNNNNNNNNNNNNNNNNNNNNNNNNNNNNNNNNNNNNNNNNNNNNNNNNNNNNNNNNNNNNNNNNNNNNNNNNNNNNNNNNNNNNNNNNNNNNNNNNNNNNNNNNNNNNNNNNNNNNNNNNNNNNNNNNNNNNNNNNNNNNNNNNNNNNNNNNNNNNNNNNNNNNNNNNNNNNNNNNNNNNNNNNNNNNNNNNNNNNNNNNNNNNNNNNNNNNNNNNNNNNNNNNNNNNNNNNNNNNNNNNNNNNNNNNNNNNNNNNNNNNNNNNNNNNNNNNNNNNNNNNNNNNNNNNNNNNNNNNNNNNNNNNNNNNNNNNNNNNNNNNNNNNNNNNNNNNNNNNNNNNNNNNNNNNNNNNNNNNNNNNNNNNNNNNNNNNNNNNNNNNCAUCUACCGAUGGCAGAGUUUGCUUAUAACAAUAGUUAUCAAGCAAGCAUCAAGAUGGCACCGUUCGAGGCACUCUAUGGAUGAAAGUGUAGAUCGCCACUUCAUUGGAGUGAAGUUGGUGAGAGAUUGGCUUUAGGCCCUGAUGUGCUCCAGCAGAGGACAAGGUUCGCAUUGCUCGGGAGCGAUUGUUGACGGCCCAGAGUAGGCUGAGGAGUUAUGCUGACAGGCGGCGACGAGACUUGGAGUUUCAUAUUGGAGAUCACGUCUUCUUGAAAGUCUCGCCGACUCGAGGAAUUAGACGAUUUGGAAUCCGGGGCAAGUUGAGCCCCCGAUUCAUUGGACCGUUUGAGGUUUUGGAGCGGGUAGGCCCGGUAGCGUAUAGACUUGCUCUACCGCCGAACCUAUCGGGUGUACACAACGUAUUCCAUGUAUUGGUCCUCAGAAGUAUAUCCACGAUCCGGCUCACGUGUUGGAUGCUACGCGUUUGGAGCUGAAGGAUGAUUUGAGCUUUGAAGAGCAACCCUUGAGGAUUUUGGCUCGCGAGAUAAAAAGAUUGCAGAACCGAGAAAUUCCUUACGUGAAGGUGGUUUGGAGCAACCACGACGAGCGCGAGGCCACUUGGGAAUUGGAAAGCGCGCUGCGGGAGCGCUAUCCCCAUCUUUUUCAGAUGAAAGCUUGAGGUAUUUGUCAUUUCGAAUUUCGCGGACGAAACUCCUUUUUAGGAGGGGUGAAUGUAACACACUGGACCUCUGCAAAUUGCGAGGUUCGAGUGCUUGGAUGUAUUUCGAGCUUUUCCACACUUGGUGGAGGGUUGUAGAAUGUUUUCCGACCUAAAAAGUUCGAAAACUGGAAUUCUGGACAAGUCCUGAGAGUUUUCACUCUCGGGGACCGGUCCCUGAAAGGAUAGACUGGUCCCCCAGUGAGCAAUGUUGCGGCAGCCCUGAGGCAACCGGUCCCUGGCGGGCGAGACCGGUCCCCGAGCGCGCCUUCGCUGAGAGAGACGGUCCCGCGCAGGGAAAGACCGGUUCCCGAACGUUGGUUUUCCGGGUUCGUAGCGAGAGACCGAUCCCUGCUGGGGAGAGACCGGUCCCUCUGGGCGAAACUGCCCAGACCGGGCUGUUGUAAUGUGGAAUUUUUGGGGGACCUAGCUGGAUUUUGUUACAAUAAAGGGUCUAUAUGACCCAUCCACUCUCUCUUCUCCUCAUUUCUUUUCUCUCAACUCUCUCUACACCCUUGAUAGAGAAGAAUAAGAAGAAGGAGAAGGAGAAGAAGGAAGGAAGAAGAAGAAGUUUGAGAGCUACUAGUGGGUUUGGAGCAUCUUCCUCACCCUCUCGUCUUCUUUGGAGCUUAGAGGUUGAACUUGAAGCUUGUCAAAGAGGAGAUCUUCACCCUUGGAGCUUGGAUUGGAGCUUCUAAGGAGGUUUGUUGCCCUUUCUCUUCAUCUAGACUUUGGAUUUGAGGUUUUCUUGUGUUGGAACCCUAGAAUAAGAUUUUAUGGUUGAUUUUGGGGCUUUUUGAUUUAGGGCUUUUGGAGCUUGAUCAUUUGGAUUAGAGCCUUCCUUUGGGUUGGAUUGGAAGGGAUUUAGCUAUCUUUUGGAGCUUAGGAAGAGAUUUUGCAUUAGAGGUGAGUUUUGACUCUAUUUUUUUGAGAUGGUUAAUGUUUGACCCUAUAGUUGAUCGUAAUACCCGUGUAUCUCUUCGCUCAAUACUUUUAGGGUAUUUUGAGGCUCGUGGACAACUCCGUUCGGUGAAUCGAAGGAGCACGCGACGGUUCGGUGGGUUUGACCUAGCCACACAAUGAGAAAUUCUCAUUUGUGAUGAAUUAAGUAUCAUUAAUUGAAAAAGUAUGCAUAUUCUUGUUAUAUGUAUUUAUUGUGAAUUUUAGAAUGCUUAAAAUGCCUAUGUUGCAUAUAGUAANUAGUUGAUCGUAAUGCCCGUGUAUCUCUUCGCUCAAUACUUUUAGGGUAUUUUGAGGCUCGUGGACAACUCCGUUCGGUGAAUCGAAGGAGCACGCGACGGUUCGGUGGGUUUGACCUAGCCACACAAUGAGAAAUUCUCAUUUGUGAUGAAUUAAGUAUCAUUAAUUGAAAAAGUAUGCAUAUUCUUGUUAUAUGUAUUUGUUGUGAAAUUUAGAAUGCUUAAAAUGCCUAUGUUGCAUAUAGUAAAAUUUUGGGCCUCUAUGUAGUAGAGAGCAUGCAUGUGUGACAUAGCAUUCUGGUUGAGACUGAAACUGAGAUCCCUAUUAUGAAAAUGGACCUUGCUUUCAUGCAUUUAGCUUAUUUGUCACUUGUGACAUUAGGAAUUUUCGGAAGCCUAGGGAGGCUUGAGGACUUAGACUAUUUGAGAGAUUAGGCCAAUGUCAUAAAGAGGCAUUGGGCCCGGGCUAAAGUGAACCUAGCUAGUAUUGUUUUAAUGGGAAUAUGGAACAUGAAUUGGGCAUGAUUAGUUGUGAUGCUUAAGUGUCAUAAAGAGACACUAAGCAAGUGUGUGCGUUGGAGCGUCACUUUGAGACUUUGGACUAGAUCCUUGGGAUGCUAGUGGCCUUGCCAUGUGAGAGGCCUGAGAGUAGAGUACUUGAGACUUUGACCUUGCUUGCUUGCCAUUUGUGCUCAUUCGCACAUGCUUGUGAGGGUCGCUCCCUACAAGCUGGCACUCCGGAGUUAGCCUACGCGACAUAUGUUCGCUUGUGCGGUAUUGAGAAGCAUACAGGGUCGAGUGGGACAGACACAUUCCAAGAGUAGGGAUGUUCGGCUACCACAGGCACUUAGGCGGCACAAGCUGGACUACAUUUGGUAGGUCCUUAAUUGGAAAUGGAAAUCGACACGGGGUGAGUUUGUUAUAAUCACUACUAAAUAGAGAGUGGUAGUUGGAUUACUCGGACUUGCUUCUAGCAUAGAUUUGGACUUUGGGUAUACAUACAUACAUGUAGUAUGUUAGGAGACAUUGCUUAAUUGCAUCCAUAUAAACAAUGUUGCUAUGAUAAGGGAUAAUCCUCAUAAUUUCAUUAAGCAAACCAUGAUAUUAUUUGUGGCUAAGUAGAGACAUAUCCUUCAUGACAAGAUAAUUGUGCAUUACAUAAUUGCCAUGUUUAAUUGCAAGUAAUAUUUUAACAUUUUCAUUAUGCUUUCAUAGAUGCAAAUUACUCGUUAUUGCUAUUGUUUUUGACUUACCCUUUUCUUUUGGGCCUAGUGGUGCAAUGAGCUGAGGUCAGUAAUUGCCCACUGGGAACUAUAAAUUAUACUUCUCACGCCCUCUAUUUUAUGUUUUCUUUCAGAGCCUUCCACGCUGGAAGAGGCUAGGGACCGCGGGAAGGGAGUUGCUUCGAGCUAGCUUCCUUCGAGGACGAUUUGAUAGGUGGUCUACCUCUCGUGGUUUUAUUUUGUGAGAGGUUGUGAGUUGUACCCGUUUAUGUAUAGAGACCACCCUUCUUUUGGAUCUUUGUUUUUCUUUUUGAGGAGAUAGUAUUGUACUAUUUUAUGGCUACUUUUUAUUGUUUAGUUAUGUUUCUUUUACUCUGGUUUAGAUGAUAGAACUUUACUCGCUCUGAUAUCAUUAGUUAUCACUAUGCUAUUUGUUCUACUUCUUGCUUUACUUUCGCUUUUGUUGUAGACGCCUUAUAUGUGUAGACAUAUGGCGGGUCUGGGCGCGCUACCGGGAGGGCCUUUGCCGGUCCCGGGGCGUGACAUUAACUCUCUUGUUAUGCGCAUUUCGUACUCCGCUCUGAUAAGUUUGGAAGUGAUUGAGUGCUAAUAACCAAGUCUCAUUUGUUUCUUCUAAUCUUUCGUUCAUCAAAGUCUUCUAUUCAUUUGCCGUCAAUUCCUUUUGUCUUCCAACCCGUAAAGAAGGAAUUCUUAUCUCGGCUGGAGCUUCAACCUCAUGGCCAUAGACUAACUGAAACGGUGUCAUUUCUGUCGCCGUUUUCACCGUUGUUCGACAUGCCCAUAAUACUUCGAAAAGUUUUUCAUUCCAUUUUCUCGAGUAUCUUCCAACGUAUCGUUUCAUAAGAUUUAUAAUAACUUUAUUUGCCGCUUCGGCUUGCCCAUUGGCUUGAGCGUAAUAAGGUGAUGAAUAAAACAGCUUGAUUUUCCUUGAUUCAAUGAACCAAGUGAACUGUUCCCCGGUAAACAUUGUCCCUUGAUCGGUUGUAAUCGUUUCGAGAAUUCUAAACCGAUAGAUUAUAGAAUCUUUUACGAAAUCUAUAAUAUCUUUCUGAGUGACCAGUCUGGUAGGCUUUACUUCUACCCAUUUGGUAAAAUAAUCAACAGUCACUAUCAGAAGCUGACCAGCCAAAGAAUUCGGCUGAAUUUAUCCAAUUAGAUGCAUAGCCCAUCUUCGGAUAGGCCAAGAUUUAAUUAUUGUAUACAUCUCAGAAGCAUGGGCCCUUUGCACAGAGCUAUGAAAACUAACAAUCUUGACAUCCUUUGAUAUAUUUUAUGCAAUCUUGAUGCAUAGUCGGCCAAUACUACCCCAAGUGUCGAAUUGUCCAUUUUAAUCUUUUCCCUGCUAAGUGAGCUCCGCAUAAAACAUCGUGGGUUUCACCCAUGAUCAAUAAAGCUUCUUCGGGUCCUAAACAUUUUAAUAACACCUCUUCGGCUAUUCUCCUAUAGAGUUGUCCAUUUAAUAGACAGUAGCCGAGUGUCCUCUUUCGAACAUGAUAUUCGACCCAUUUAUUAGGAUCUUCUAAAAAUUCAAUUAAAGGCUUUCUCCAAUUUUCUUGAUUUUCAACAAGAGCAAUCAUCAUCGGUUCUCAUAUACGAAUCGACGGUAAUAGCCUUCUUUCUGUGUUCACUUGAUUUCUUUUUGGCUCUUUAUACCCUGAAGUUGAUUGGGACAAAUCAUUGGCUUGCUCAUUUUUUUUCUCUCGACAGGUGCACGAAUUCUACUUCUCCGAAAUUGCGAAGUAAUUCUAUUAUUUUCUUCAAGUAAUUUUGCAAGUUUUUGUUUUCAUAUAGGUAUUCUCCAUUCACUUGUUUGAUCGCUAAUUGUGAAUCACCGAUGAUCUUGAGUGAUUGUGCUUCCAAUUCUCGUAAAAUUUCAAGACCAAUUAUCAGGGCUCAUAUUCAUCUUGAUUGUUAGUGUCACGCCCCGUGACCGCCAAUUUGGUCGGUUCGGGUACAUCGAUCAGACGCCGAAUGGACAGAGCCUCCCCUAUCCGCCAAAGGCUAACAACAACAAAAUCAUGUAUGUAAAUAGUUGCCCAGGAAACAUUAACCUCAUACAUGAUCUAAGCAAGUACAAUACAAGCUAAACAAAAGAGAGAGAGUUCUAGCUAUUAUAAUUCCAUUCAACAUAUACAUCGAGUUUACAUUUUUCAUCUCCAAAACGUAUACAUGUUCAUCUCAAAAUACAUAUAUACAACUCUCCAAUAUUUACAUCAUCUGUCAUUCAUGUACAUGAAGGCACUCUAAUGCAAAAGGAAAGCUGCUAGCUAACUAGGGCGCUAUGCCCUUGCCGCGGUCCUCGCCCGGUCCGCUCGCACUCGGCCCUGCAACAAAGUGGGGUGAGAACUACGAAUAAUUUCCAGUGGAUUCGACCGCUGACUCCGCCGAUCUUCCCACUAGGUCUAAGCAGGCAUAAGUAGAUAGAUAGAUAUAUGAAAAUGAGCUGCUACAUAGUAACGAAAUCUACAACAUGCUACUAUGCCUCAAUAAACAGAAUGAAUGCAUGAACAUAGUAAUGUACUCUACUAAUAUGAUACUAUGUCUCAAUCUGCAUGAUAUACAUGAUAUAAAGGAAAUAUCUACGUAAAAAUGAAACCUACUAUCAAGUACUAUGUCUCAUAUCCAAUCUCAUCUCGGCUAACCCAAAGGUUAUGCCCAAACUCACAUCUCAAAUCUCAUCGGUGGGUAGACUCUGCGCUACACACACCCGAGACCGCCUGCUAGGUAAUCAAGUUAUCCAAACGCGAUAUCUACUCCGGAGCUCACUACUUGGGUGGAGCGAUCACGCGAAGGUUACACAGACUAUGUGAGUACGAUCCAACCCUCUCACUCGAGGAUAGUUAGUGCCUUUGUUGCACUAGUCCACAUGCUAGUACUCAGGAAAUCAUCUUCUAUUCCUAAGUUCAUGUUAUCAAGCUGUAAGUGUUCCAACUACACUAGUUUACAUGCUACUACUCAGAAAAUCAUCUUCUAUUCCUAAGUUCAUAUCAUAGUGUUUCUAUUACACUAGUCCAAAUGCCGCUCUUUUAGGUCAUUUACAUGUCCAAGUUCAUCUUUUGUUCUUUAGCACUAUAGGAUUCCAUGUCAAGACCCAAUCCUCAUGUGUCCACUAAAUCAAGUGCUCAACUCACAAUAUGAUUUCUACUAUGGAAACAUGCAAAGAAUUAAAGUAUAACUACUUAACAUAAUCUAUAAUGCAUGAUAACAAUAUAUGAACAUAUGCUAUAAUAAAAUAACUCGAACAUAGGAAGAAGUUCAACUGCUUCGGGAUGGACACCCCCCACCUUCUGGUGAUGCCGCGAAGCUAAACUCCAAGUUUCGAAAUUUUUCGCCGCCUAUUCCUUCCGAGUGCGGCAAACGAAGCCAAAAAAAGCUUUUCUUUAAUAUCUCCGCGCAGACUCGUCGGAUCGCCGAACCGAGUUCACCAACGCGUCGGAUUACUUAGCAAUUAGGUAUAAAAGAGAUCAAUCCCAACUUUAGAUCUCAAUCUAACAAAAUCCUUUUUGGAACCCUAGAUGUUCAAUAUUGCAAGAAUACACCAUAAGGAUCACUGAUUCAAGCAAAAAUCAUCUACUUGGCACCAAAGGGUUCUACUAAAACCAAUUCUAGAGCUUAAAAAUGAAACCCGAGAAAUCCACUAUUGAAGCUUCAAAAGCUUACCUCUCAUGCUUUCCUCCAAGCCAAGGAAGAAGAUGAAGAAGAAGAAGAUCCACUUCUUAGCUUCAAUUUCCACCAAUUCCCUCUCUUGGUUCCACCUUAGGAGAGAGAGAAAGAGCUUCUUAGAGAGAGAGAAGGAGAAAAAAGAUGAGAAGGGGUGUUCUCUCGUUGUGAACAAGAAAGGGAGAGAUGGGGUUCCUUUAUAGGCUACCACAAUUAUAGAAAAGCCCCUCCUUUUCAUUUUAUUUGAAGCAGACCAAUUCUGCUGUUUCCUGCACUGGGUACCGGUACGCGGGUGGGCUUCACCGUUUAAGCCGCUUCGCAGAGGCCAAACCCGAGAGUUGCUACUCUCGAUUUGCUACGGGGUACUGGUACUACCCGAUUUAGUCACCGGUUAACUAGCUUGACAGAAGCAAACCCGAGAGCUGCUACUCUCGGGUGCCUACCUGGUACCGGUUUUCUUCCAAUGUUCCACCGAUUAACAAUGCUCCAGAAUGCAGUUUUGCAUUGUUUCGACUACAAUUUGCGCCGAGCAACGCUAAAACCUUUCUAACUCACUUGGAGCUCAACUUUAAUCCCUCCGACAUUGUUGGAAUGUCACAUGGACCAUGUCCAAGCAUCUUUCUCGCCACGCUUUGGUCCUUUUGACCAAAAGUGGUUUAAUACUACGAGGAUUUAAUAUCUUACAUCCUCCCAUCAUUAACAAGAGUUUCGUCCUCCAAACUAACUUAACUUAACUCAAAUACAAUCCAUACCUCAACUCAACUCCUCAAAGAGAUGAGGGUGGUGCUCCUUCAUCACAUCCUCAAGUUCCUACGUGGCUUCGCGAUCGUCGUGAUUGCUCUACCGAACUUUGACGUAAGGAAUCUCGUGGUUCCUCAACUUUCAUACUUCUCGAGCAAGAAUAGCUACUGGAAACUCCUCAUAGGACAUACCUCUUGCAAUUCCGGUGGCUCAUACAAAAGAGAAUGCUCGGGGUCGUGGAUAUACUUGCGAAAAUUGGAGACGUGGAACACGUUGUGAACCUCCGAAAGCUUCGGCGGCAAUGCAAGCCGGUACGCAACCGCUCCAAUCCGCUGUAGUACCUCGUAAGGUCCAAUGUACCGGGGACUUAACUUUUCCGGCACUCCAAACCGUUUCACACUCCUCAUAGGUGAAACCUUUAAGAAGACGUGGUCUCCAACCGCGAACUCCAAAUCUCGCCGGCGCUUAUUCGCAUAGCUUUUCUGCCUUGACUGCGCCGUCAACAACCGUCGGCGAGCGAGGUGAACCUUCUCCUCCGCUUCCUGCAAGACAUUGGGACCCAACACCGUUCGUUCGCCCACGUCACUUUAAUGUAUAGGAGAUCGACCUCCCAUAGUGUAAGGAACCGGACUUCUAAAAUUAUGAAGUUACGGUGUACAUUUGGUUUGAAAGCCAUUUGAAUUGUUCCGGUGAGGUUGCGGUGAAAUGUAAUAUACCGGAUUUUUAAAUAUAAAAAUAAAAAUAAAUAAAAAUAGUAUGAGAUACUAUUUUUAUUGGAUUUGGAGAAGUGAAAUAUGAGUUAGAAACGACCUGUGCUGAAAUCGGAGUGAAAAUAGAAGAUUUAGAAUUUUCUGUGAGAAACGGGGUAGAUAAAUUAGCAGAAAAUGCACAGUGUCAGAAAAUUAUGAAAACUGGAGGGUAAGUCAGAAUUAUUUUUAUGAGGUUAGAUUUAAAGUUUCAUGUCAUUCUAACACCCGGAAGGUAGAAAAUAAAAUAUGAUAGUGAUCUGAUAAAGAUUACAGUUCGGUACGGUUUUCGGUGACCAAACGGGGUCGAAACUGAAAGAUUAAAAUUUUUUUGGACUUAUUAAGUAAAACCGAGCCUGCCUGUCAAAUUUGAGCGCAAACGGACGUUCAGAAGGGCUCCGGCGAAAAAUGUCAGUUUUAAACUACUGAAGUGAAUAGUGUUUUGGGGGAGUUUACUUGGAGGUGAAGUUUCCUCCUAUAUAUAUAUAUAUAAGGGUGUUAUGACAUUUCUCUCAUUCCUCUCUACUUGAGCCAACAUAAGAAAAAUCUCUCUCUCUCUCUCUCUAGGAUUGGCUCCAAAGUGUGCAGUUUGGUAGAGAAAAGCUUGCUUAGAGAUGAAGCUUUCUUUUUCUUCUCCAUUGGCUUGAGAGAGCUUGGGUUUGAGAGGUAAGCUUUGAUAGCAACAAUGGUAGAUUGCUAAGUAGUGAUUUGUAUGCCUUAGAAAUGGGUUUAGUGAAACUCCUAGAUGCUAAAUAGAUGGUUGAUGCUCGAAUUUAGAGAUCAAAUGAUGAAUUCUUGCAUAGUUGCAUCUUAGGGCAUCAAAAGAGGGGUUUUUGCUUGUGAGGGGUUUUGAUCUAAAUUGAUCAUGUAUAAACCUAAUUGCUAGGUAAACGAACGCGUUGGCGAAGUCGGUUCGGCAAUUCGUCGAGCCUACGCGAAGUUAUUAAAGAAACGGACGUUUAGGAUUCGUUUCCGCCUGGAGGGCCGAGGCGACGUCGUAAAAUCAUGGAAUCGGAUUUGAGGCACUGUAAUAGCAAAACGAAGACCCUUUUUGCCCGAGGCUGCGAAGCGAUGCGCGGUUGGUGCGCAAUUGCAAGUUCCGACGGAACCGAGCACCGGAUGCGGCGGGAGGCCGAUUGCAAGUGUCGACAAGCAAUCGGAAUGCACUAACAGGUGGGUUGUGCUCACCGAAGUUAUUAGCUCACUUCCAUGUCGAAGUGAAAGUGUAAUUCUCGUUGAUGCAUAUAAUGUAAAUGCUAAAUGAUGCAUAUGAUGUAAAUACUUGAUGAUGCAUAUAAUGUAAAUGCAUGAUGACAUGAGGCAUAUACUAAAUGAUGUUGACAUAUCACGAGAUGCUAGUUGAUAUAUAUACAUGAUAGGGUAUUGGAUAGUCGCAUUUCUAUUCUUGCAUGAUCCAUAGUAGUGUAGCAACAUGAGUUGGCACUUGAGUUAGGAUGCAUGAGAAUAGAGGAAUGGUGACAUAGAACCCUAUAGAGAUAAGUUAAACAAUAACUUGAUCUUGUAUUGAUGAAUAUGAUGAUAUAUGACUAGUAUAGUCGAGCCAUUGCAUCGUGACGAGUGGCAUGUGAAUCAAGUAAACAACUUGACGAGUGGCAUUAGAACUUAGUGUUAAAAGAACACUUGUGACAUGAUGACUCAGGGGAUAGAUGAGUCUCCCUAUUUGAUACCUUGCAUGAGAUCGGUGUGACAUUGAUGACCCUAGAGACAGGGUAUCCUCAGUGCACGAGGAUUGGAUCAUACUCACAUUGUCUGUUCAGCGCUUGUGGCGGUCGCCCCGCACAAGUAGUGCGAGCUCCGGAGUCUUGUCACAUGAAACGAUUGGGAUAGCCUAUGUGGGGUCCCAAGGGAUAGCCUAUGUGGGGUCCCGCAGACAGUCCCUCGGGAGUUCGAGUCCCCUUCCAUAGACGGAUUUGAGAUGUGAGUUGAGGGCGCGCUUAUGGGCCAGCCAGAGGAUUGGGUAAUAAACUCAUGAGAAUUAUGCAUAUUGAGCAUAGUAAGCAUAUUGAGCAUGUUGAGCAUGUUGGGCAUAGUAGAAUUGCAUGUAAACUUGAUAGAGUUAUUAUAACAUGUUAGAUAUUACAUGGCUAUGUGAUUUACUCUUGUUCUCCAGGCAUAGUAGAAUCUUGCAAUUCUUUCUAUAUGCAUCCCCAGUAGAGUGGAUAUUAGGCUGAGGCGCAAGUGAAACGUCCUUUGUCUUGAGCCUGAUUUUGUGCGGUAAUCUGCGGAUGAUUGACUUAAGACCGAGUCGGGUGGAUAGCUUCGUAAAGGUAGAUAAAAACCUUGUGAGCAACAGUAAAGGUCAAUGAAACCUUAUGAUCAGAAUGGUAAUUGACAAGAAUCUAAAAUAGAGGAAAACUUAGAAGUCAAUUGGACGAGCUAUGGAUAGCAGGAUUGAAAGUAGUAUCAAUUAAACUACUAGUUGGCUAUAUAGUUGCAUUAUUGCAUGAUUUUCAUAUUGCAUAUUGCGAGGCAUGUUAUUUGUUAGUUGCAUAAAUACAUGACGAUAUAUAUAUCUGUGGAUGUUUUUGGACUAACAUAUUGCAGUGUCUCCUUCGGACCUGGUAGGUCGAGCUCUUCCCUUGGGUGGCCGUACCCACUGGGAAUUAUAUUUAUAUAGUUCUCACCCCCGUGUGGUUUUGGCGGUUACAGGUUCGCACGUGAGCGGCGCGGUGGCGCAAGGAGAGGGCGUAGCUCCGUAGAUAGCGCCUUACCACCAAGACCAGAGAUAGUGGUACCCGAGUCAGCCAAGCUAGGGGCUGUAGAAAAGAAAAAGAUUCAAAGUUGUAAUAAUCUGGUGAUAAUUGAUUGUAUUCGAAAGUUGAAUGUAAUUUUUAAGAAAGGAAAUGUAUAACUUUCAAAUGAGAUGAAUGCUUGUAAUAACAUUGGAUGUGUUAUGUUUUUGAUAUUUUCUUUUGCAAUCUAUGAUUGAAUACUGUUCCUGGUUGGAACCACUUGUAUUGUUUUGAUUGCGACGCCUAGGACGUACAGGGGAAACUCUGUCCGUUCGGCGGUCUGUCGGCGUGCCCGAACCUGACCAAAUAGGCGGGGCGCGGGGCGUGACACAUAGAGAGCCUCAAAUGGUGCCAUCUCUAUACUAGCUUGGUAACUAUUGUUGUAUGCGAACUCGGCCAUUAGCAAGUGACCACUCUAACUACCCUUGUAGUCAAUGACAUACGCUCGCAACAUAUCCUCCAAAACCUGAAUGGUUCUCUUUGAUUGCCCGUCGGUUUGAGGAUGAAAAGCGGUGCUAAACUCGAGCCGUGUGCCAAGUGCCUCUUGCAAGCUCUUCCAAAAGUACGAAGUAAACCGAGAGUCUCGAUCCGACACGAUCGACUUCGGAACCCCGUGCAACCUCACCACUUCAUCAAGAUAUACCUGAGCAAGCUUGUCACCUGACCAUAUAGUGUGGAUCGGUAGAAAAUGUGCUUACUUCGUCAAACGGUCCACCACUACCCAAAUCGCAUCGUGGCAACCCGACGAACGGGGCAAUUGGACCACGAAGUCCAUGGCAAUAUCCUCCCGUUUCCAAACGGGGAUAGGUAGGCUUUGAAGCUUUCCCGCUGAAAAUCGGCGCUCCGCCUUGACUUGUUGGCAAACAAGACAUUGCGCCACAGAGCGUCCAAUAUCACCUUUCAUUCCCGGCCACCAGUAAAGCAUCUUUAAAUCUUGGUACAUCUUGGUGCCGCCCGGGUGGACACUAUAGGGAGACCGAUGCGCAUCUUGCAAAACCAUUUUUUGGACUUCAUCAUUUUCCGGCACACACCACCGGUUCCGGUAUCGAAGCGUGCCAUCGGCAUCUAUACUGAAAUCACCGCCACGCCCACCCUCGAUGUCGCGCCGCACCUUUUCAAGAUUCGGGUCCGCAGAUUGCAAACUCUUGAUUCUCUCCAACAAGGUCGGUUGGACAACGAGAGCCGACAGUAUAGUCAGUACCUACGGAGCUACAACCUCAAGAUCUAUUCGCCCCAUUUCUUUCCACAGGGCCUCCUGAUUUGUGACCCAUAGCGCGAGGUUCUCCGUCGACUUUGGAUCUAAAAGGUAAGUAACACCUAGAGGGGGGUGAAUAGGUGUAAAAACGGCAAACUCGAAAAUCUCGAUGUAAAUAAAACAAAGUAGCGAAAAAUAAAAAUAGCACACUGAGAAUUUAACGUGGGAAAACUCCAAACGGAGUGAAAAAACCCACGGGAUCGAUCACGCGAAGAAAAUCCACUAAGAAAACUUGAGUACAAGUGAUUUUGACAAAAAUACACGACUCAAUUUACCGAAUUCCCGUUGAUGGUGAUCUUCGCCGGUCCUCGAUCGAUAGGAAUCCUCCAACCGAUCCUGCUGUAACUCCUUGCAACGUCAACGCCUCAACUCCUCGAAGCGUUCACCGAAUCCUCGGCUUCACGCGAGAUCCACGCGCCAAACCUCCUUCCGGAGCUUGUAGAAUCGAAGAUUUGUGGUGAUUUAAUCUUUGAAUCCCAUAAGCUAUGAGAGUUUGUCUUCUAAUCAAACAUCAACUUGAUUCUCGAAGAAGAUCUCAAGUAAAAUCGAAGAACCAAGUCGAUUGUUGAUUUUUUGAAACUCGUUAUGAGAAUAGAAGCAUUGAAAUGGAAAAAAUAAGUUUCUAGGGUUUAGAAUCAGUAAAUAUUCAAAGCCUUAGAUUUUUAGAUGACCCCCAUAGCUUAUUUAUAUGUUUAGAAGACUUAGAAGUAGACUAGGAUUGCAAAAAGUCCUUUUUAAAAAGCUGUGUCGUCCUCAGAGACCGGUCCUCUUGAGGAGACCGGUCUGUGAGAGACUGGUCUCUCAAGUGAGGAACUGGUCCCUCGCUGCGUGUUCAAAAACACAACGUUCGGGAACCGGUCUCUCAAGCUUGAGACCGGUCCCUCGCUGCGCGACAGAAUUACCAAGGUUCGAGAAUCGGUCUCUCAUCUCAGGGGACCGGUUGCAUCAAAACUCAUGCAGUGAGGACCUUAGGGGAACCGGUCUCUCCAACUCAAGGACCGGUCCCAGAACACAGAAAAGUUCAGUAAAAUAGUUUUAAAGCAAUCUAAGCCUUCUGAACUUAUUCUAGUUAAGUAUCUUCACCACAAAUGAACUUUUCUUCAUACCUUAGGUGCCGAAUUAUACGAAUGAAUCUUUGUUCUUCAAUUUGGAUCUUUUCUUCAAAACUUCCGUGAUCAACUCUUCAAGACUCUAAUCUACUUUACGAAAUUCGCAAACCUAUAAAAUCCUUAACAUCUGCUAAGUGCAUCAGCUACUACAUUUGCUUUUUCGUGGUGAUAGAGUAUAAUAACAUCAUAAUCCUUUAGCAGCUCUAACCACCGCUGUUGCCUCAUAUUAAGCUCCUUCUGUGUAAACAAUUACUUCAGACUUUUGUGGUCCGUGUAUAUCUCGCAAUGCGCAUCGUACAAGUAGUGUCUCCACAGCUUUAAAGUGAAGAUCACUGGGCCAACUCCAAAUCGUGGAUAGGGUAGUUCUUUUCAUAGCUUUUUAACUGACGGGACGCAUAAGCGAUCACCUUCCCGCCAUGCAUUAGAAAACAUCCCAAACCCAAAUAGGAAGCAUCGCUAUACACCACAAAGUCCUCACCUUGCACCGGUAGGGCGAGCACCGGAGUCGAAGUCAGCAUCUCCUUCAACUCCUUGAAACUCCGGUCGAGAAUUCCUUUAUGAACCGUCUAUAAUAGCCCGCUAAACCCACGAAGCUACGGAUUUCCGUCACAUUAGUCGGGCGAGGCCAAUCCUUGAUCGCCUCAACUUAUUUCGGGUCAACAGAAACUCCACCAUCGAAAAUGACAUGUCCCAAAAAUGCGACUUCACGGAGCCAAAAGUCACAUUUCUCCAACUUCGCAUAAAGUUUCUCCUCCUGUAGGACUUGUAGCACUAGCCUCAAAUGCUCUGCGUGCUCCUCGUCACUACAAGAGUAGACCGAGAUGUCGUCUAUGAAGACUACAACAAAUCGAUCUAUGUAAGCCCGGAAAAUACGGUUCAUCAAAUCCAUGAAUGCUGCCGGAGCAUUUGUGCGCCAAAACGGCAUGACCGUGAACUCGUAGUGUCCAUAUCGUGUGCGAAACGCGGUCUUUUGCACAUCCUCCGGCUAUAUCUUAAACUGAUGGUAGCCAGACUGAAGGUCUAUCUUCGAGUAUACUCGCGACCCCUGCAAUUGAUCAAACAAGUCGUCGAUACGGGGCAACGGGUACUUAUUCUUGAUAGUGACCUUGUUCAACUCGUGGUAAUCCACGCAGAGUCGAAACGAUCCAUCUUUCUUCCUCACAAACAGAACCGGGGCUCCCCAUGGCGACACACUCGGCCUAAUAAAUUUCUUGUCGAGGAGAUCUUGCAACUGAGCCCUCAACUACUUCAACUCUGCCGGUGCCAUACGGUACGGAGCCUUCGAAAUCGACGCGGUCCCGGGAAUCAAGUCUAUAACGAACUCGAUCUCCCGAUCCGGCGGUAUCCUCGGUAACACCGCGGAAAACACAUUCGGAAACUCCCGGAUCACUGACAUACUCUCAAGUGCUGGAGUCUCCCGAUCAAUCUCCACAACGGUCGCUAAAUAAGCUGCGUAAUUGCCGCUAACCAUCUUCCUCCCUCUAGACGCUGACACCGUCAUGGCGAAGCACGGGCUUUUGCACGCUCGAUAGGUGAACUCCUUCUGUCCUUGCUCACGAAAAGUUAUCACCCUGCUCUUGCAGUCGAUAGACACAUAGUACUUCGAGAGCCAGUCCAUGCCAAAAAUCAGAUCAAAAUCCUUCAACCUCUUCAGCACCAAUAAGCGCAUCGGCAUAAUCCAGUUGCCCACUUGCACCAGACACGCCAAACACUCCUUCCGAAUAACAAAUGCACGCCCGGGGCCCUCUACUAGCCAAGUGCUCUCACUCAACUGAAUGCCUAUGUCAUGCAUUUGUACAAAUGACCUACUGAUGAAUGAAUGCGUAGCACCUGUAUCAAACAUAACCCUGGAGCGAACUCCGUUAACCAAAACCAUACCUACCAAGACGUUGCGCUCCUCGGCCUCAGCAGGUUCCUCGGCUUGAGCGACGAAUACUCGUCCCCUCGAAGCCGACCGGAUCACCUCAGGCUGACGCAGCGCCAUAGCGCGUCCAGCAGACACGGCAGUAGGUGGAUGUAACACACUGAACUUUAGCAAAUUGUAAGGUUCGAUUGUUUGAUCUAUGUUCUGAGUUUUUUCAGGUAUUCUGAAAGGUCAUAGACAGUGUUCCGACCUAUGACUCGCAUCUCGAGGAGCGAGGAUGGAAACUUAGUGUAAGGAAGUGAAUUCUCGAAAUCCGAAAGUUGUACUUCAUUCAGGAUCGACUAAUUGUCGAGUGAGUAUCCUUUGGGAAAGCUAAAGUUAUCCAAAACACAAAAAGUGCAUUGGAGUUGAGUCCGCGAGAGCAUAUAGUGCAAAACCUGCACUGGGCUGAAGUUGCUCUCGGGGACUGGUCCCUGGCAGGGAGAGACCGGUCCCUGAGGCUGGUGGUUGCUGGGGAUCUUUGAUGCAACCGGUCCCUGGCUGAGAGGACCGGUCCCCGUGUGCGACGCCAGCGAGAGAAGGCCAAAAAUCGGCUAAGUCUUGAAAAUCGAGCUCUCGGGGACCAGUCUCUUAGGCGAGGACCGGUCUCCCGAGGACCGGUCUCCCAGGGAAAGACCGGUUCCCGAACGCGAAGAGGCCUUCUGGCUGCCAGGACUGCUGUCGGGGACCGGUCUCCCCGACGAGGGACCGAUCUCUCUGGGCGCAGAAUGCCCAGUGAGGGCUGUGUACAGGGUGAAAAGUUGAGGGGCUAAAAUGGAUUUUGUUACAAUAGAGGGGUAUGUAGGCCCUCUCUCUCUCCCUCAGCCUCUCAUUCUCUCUCUCUCUCUCACACUCUCUCUUACUCCCUCUCUCUCUAGGAAAGAAAGAACAAAGAGAAGGAGAAGAAGGAAGAGAAGAAGAAGAAGGAGAAGAAGAAGGAGGAGAUCAAGUUAGAGAAGGCUUGGAGCAUCUUCCUCUCUUCCUCUCCUCUCCAUUGGUGUAGCUCAAGAGGUAAGCUACAAACCCUAGCUCGUAGAACUUAGGGUUUUUGGAUUUUGAGCUUUGAGAUGAGGUCAAAUGGACUUCUAGCACCAUUGUUGGUGGAUUAGAGCUAGAGGCUAGGGUUUCAUGAUGCAAAUAGCAUGAUGCUAACCCUAGGGCACCCAAAAUGGGAUUUUUGGAAAUGGAUGAGAUUGAUCUCAUUUGAGGCCUUGUAAACCUAAUUGCUAGGUGUCCAAACGCGUUGGCGGAGUUGGAAUUAUGAUUCGUCGAGCGGGUGUAGAGCUAUCGGCAAAGUAGGGCCGACCUAGCUUCGUUUCUCCCAAAGAGGCGGGGAACACGUGGUUUGAAGUGCCGAGGAACACUUCUGGAACCUCCACAAUGAACAUUGACUACACAAGGUGGGGGGUGUCAUCUCGAAGCAACCGAACUCCUUUCUAUGUCUUAGAUUAACAUACUGCAUUGUAGGAUUGCAUAGUAGUACCAUUCCUUAUGCUUUCUAAUUGAUAACCUAGUAUACUUGGAACGCUUGGUGAUUUAGAUAGGUGAGGAUUGGGUCGGAACAUGGAUCCUAUAGUGCUAAAGAAAUGAGAUGAACACGAUGGGUGUUGAUGACAUAGAAAGUGGUGUUUAAAUGCUAAAGAACAAACGAGUGGCAUCCAAAUGUUAAAGAAUAACGAGUGGCAUUAAUGUAGUGUAAAUGACACUAGAGGUUUGAGAACCUAGGGAUAGAUAGAUCCCUUAGAAAAUGCCUUGGGGACAAAAAACUUAGUAAACCUAAGUACCCUCACAUGGAGAGGUUAUCGAUGAUUGAUUGAGAUAUUGACCCUAGUUAUAGGGCAUCCUCACUUGGAGAGGAUUUGAUUGGGUUGUUAACCCUAGUUGUAGGGUAUCCUCACUCGCAGAGGAUAGAUCUAGCUCACAGUCUACUUUUGGGGUGGUAUAGCCAUCCAUAUCCCCACAUGGAGGGGAUUGUCGUCGAGUACUCCGGAUUGUCGGGUGAUUUGGACCACUUGGAGGUCCGGACCACAUGGAGGUCCGCAGACGGUCCCGGGUCUGGGAGCACAUGGAGCUCCCCACCCAAUGGGAUGGCAAGGUGAGUCGAGGGCGAACCCAAGGGCUUCGCCACAGAUUGGGUAAAUGAACAGUUAACAAUGUCAUUGAAUAUUAUUAUUCGAACAUGGAUCGAACUUGUUAGCAUGGUAGUAAACCUUUACUAUAUGAUGCAUGCAUUCAUUAUACAUGAUUAUGGGUAUAGUAGCAUAGUUUUCCUUUAUGCCUUUUACAACUUUUAGAUAUCUAUCUAUCUGUCUACUUGUUGUUACUUGUGCCCACUUGGACCUAGUGGGGAGACCGGCAGAGUCGGCGGUCGAGCCCACUGGGAACUAUGGAAGAUAGUUCUCAUCCCACUCUAUUUCCAGUGGUAGGUACAGGUUUACCAAGCGAGGACCGCGACAAGGGCAUCGCGCCCAAUGAGUGAGACCGUGGUAGUAUAAUAGCUUUCCUUUUUGCAUUAGCACACCUAUGUAUUGAGAGAGAUUCAUAUAGGUGAGGAUUUGGAGAGCUAUGUAUUUUGAAUGAACAUAUGUAUUCAUUUUGAGGAAAAGAUGUACAUGUAAAAGAUGCAAACUAUUGCAAUAGUUAGUAAAAUAUUAUCUUUAUUUCACUUGUUUUCACUUGUGGAUUACUUGCUCUUAGUUGUUGGCACUACUUGUACCCCGUUGAAUGUGUAUGUUUAGAAUUUAAAUUUUCUGGGUAAAUUCUUGUACACAUUCCUGUUGUUGAGCCUUGUGCGGACAAGGGAGGUGCUCUCCGUUCGGCUUGUGGUUACUUGCUCUUAGUUGUUGGCACUACUUGUACCCCGUUGAAUGUGUAUGUUUAGAAUUUAAAUUUUCUGGGUAAAUUCUUGAACACAUUCCUCUUGUUGAGCCUUGUGCGGACAGGGGAGGUGCUGUCCGUUCGGCGGUCCGCCCGGCGGGCCCGAAUCGUGCCAAAUUGGUAGCGGUUUCGGGGCGGGGCGUGACACUUAGCACCAAACCUCUAAAGUGCAGGAAAUUGGGCUGCUCUCGGGUUUGCCUCUGUAGGGCUGAGUACCGGUAUUGCUUUGAAUUGGUACCGAAACUGGAGCUGGUACCAGUACUGCAUCGGGUUGGUACCGGUACCCUAUGCAUUUUCUCGCCAACCCGAAGCUCGGGUUUGCGCACACUGUGGCUUGGUACCGGUACUCUUUCCCGCGUACCGGCACGCAGUGCAGACUGCAGUUUGGCAGUUUUUGAGGGCUCUUUUUGUUAUUGUUACAAUACCUUAUAUACACCCUCACCCCUUAGACAGGGGCUUUUGUGUUGCGACCAGAGGAGAGCGAGGUGAGCUCCUCUCCAUUCUUUCUUGGUUUUUCUUCCCUUUUUUGCUUUAUUUGAUCUUCUCUCUUUGCUCCUUUUUGCUUCAUGUUGAUUUUCCACCAUUGGAGAAGCUUUGGAUUGGUGUUUGGAGCUUGUUAGAGGAAGGAUCUUCAACCUCAGCACCUUUCAAGCUUGGUUUGGAGCUUGUGAAGAGGUUAGUACCUUAGAUCUUCUCUUUAGAUAAAGUUUCUUGUGGAUUUUGAGAUGAAACCCUAGAAAUGGGAAAACUAGGGUUUAUUUGGGGAUUCUGAAGGGUCAUAGACAGUUUUGUUGAUGAUUUUCGAGUUUGAAUUUCAAUCUUUUGAUGCAUAAACAAAGGGGAGAGAUUUUCAUUUUCAUAUUUUUUUUACUACUAACUUUGUUUGUUAACUUUGUUCAUGGAGAAAGUAAUCUUUUUGCAGAUCAUUGAAAACUUCAAGACUCCUAGUUUUGUCUAAGUCAUAAAGUUUGUGUAGGAGUUGCAAAAUUGUAAUUUUGUAUUUGUUUGGAUCUUUCACGCGAGAAGUUCAUUGAUUUGGUGAUGUCAAUGAAUUUCAUUUUUGAGAGGUGAGCGUUGUGAGUAUUUUGAUGUAAUUUUGAGUUUUGUCACGAAAUUGCCAAAUAGGGAGAUUGUUACGGAUUUUAUGUUAGCAUAUUUCGUGAAGUUAGUCCGGAGUCUAGAAGGUUUAAAGAAGGAAAGAUGAAGAUCGAAGACUCGAUGACUUAAAACAUAAAUCCACAAUGCUCGAUAAGUUAAAAUACUAUUGUUGAUGAUUUAUAAAUAUUAACAAGUGUUUGGAAGACUUAGGAUGGGUUUUAAAAUGAAUUGGACUAAAUUGAACCUGUCAAGGUUCAGGGACCGGUCCUUGAUUAGAGGGACAAGACCCUAAGGUUCUCUCUGCGUAAAGAAACGAUGCAACCGGUCUUUGAGAUGAGAGACCGGUCCCCGUAGCAAGGUUUUUUGGCUACGCAACGAGAGACCGGUCCUUGAGAUGAGAGACCGGUUUCCGUGGCAUGUGUUUUUCUUCUACGCAAUGAGGGACCGAUCCCUGGCUUGAAGGACCGGACCCUGAGAGACCGGACCCCUCGAGAGGACCGGUCCCUGAAACCGUAACUGUUUCCAAAAUUGAGUAUUUACAAUCCUAGUCUACUUCUAAAUCUUCUAAACCUAUAAAUAGGAUGUGGGGGUGUUUCUAAAAGAUGGCUAAGCAUAGAAUAUCUUUUUGAAACCCUAGAAACUUGUUGGGUGCUUUCUUUCUUCUCUCCAACAACAAGUUUCUAUUGGAUCUGUAACAUACCAGAUUUUGGUAUAAAAAUAAAAAUAAAUAAAAAUAGUGUGAGAUACUAUUUUUAUUGAAUUUAGAGAAGUAAAAUAUAAGUCAGAAGCGACUUGUGCUGAAAUCGGAAUGAAAACAGAAGAUCUAGAAUUUUUUGUUGAAAACGGGACAGAUAAAUUAGCAGAAAUGCAUAGUGUCAGAAAAUUAUGAAAACUGGAGGGUAAGUCAGAAUUAUUUUUAUGAGGCUAGAUUUAAAGUUUCAUGUCAUUCUGUCACCCAGAAGGUGAAAAAUAAAAUCCGACAGCUAUCUGAUAAAGAUUACAGUUCGGUACAAUUUUCAGUGACCAAACGGGGUCGAAACUGAAAACUUAAGAUAUAUUCUUACUCAGUACGUUAAACCGAGCAUGCCUGUCAAAUUUGAGCCGAAACGGACAUUCAAAAGGGCUCCGACUUUUGCGAACUGCUAAACUGCCCGGGAUGAAUAGUGUUUGAGGGGUUAUUAUGAAGAAGCUGUUGCUUCUUCUUCUUCUUCGGCCGCACACCACACACGCACACGACCCACAUACACCCGCAUGGAAAGGGAAAGAGAGAACCCUCCCUUUCUCUCUCUAAAUCUCUCCCAAAUUAAAGGAAUUGGUGGAGAUUGAAGCUUGGAGGAAGGUCAUCUUCUUCAUCUUCCUCUUUAGCCAUUGGAGAGCAAACUUUGAUGGUAAGCUUUAAGAGUUUUAAUGGCAUCUCUCUCUAGUUUGGGUUUUAAGCUCCAAGAAUGGAUUUAGAGCUAUUCUAGCAUGCUAAAUAGAUGAUUGUUGCUCAAAUCAUGGAUCAAUUUAGUGAUUUCUUGCCUAGUUGUAAACCUAGGGCUUGAAAUGAGCUUCUUGAACCCUCUCAUGGUAGAUCUUUAGAGCCUUAAUUAUAUGCUCUANAUAGUUUAACCAAGAGUGGCAUUGAGACAAGAAUGGCCUAGAAAGUGGCAUGAACAAAUAGGUAGAAAACCUAUCAUAAAAGUGGCAUUGUGACUAGUGGCUAAGUAUCCUCAUGUUGGGGAUUCGAUCGAUACUCAUGAUAAGUCUUGGCUUGAGGGUGGUAGCUCCCCCUCAAGCGGUGAGUUUCCGAAAAUAGUCACCUCGGGGAGCGAGGUCCCCGUAGACGGUCCCUUGGGUCGGUAGUGCUUGGAGCCUCCCCGGUUAAAGGGAUUUGGGUUAUGAGUUAUUGGGGUUAAUAAGGUUAACCGGUAAGAUUGGGUCAAAGCCAAGUAAGAGUUACUUUUCAAAGAAUAUACGCACUACAAUGUGAUUGACUCGAGAUCGAGUUGGGUGGUUAGCUUGGCUAGGAUAGAGAGGAAAACCUUAGGAGCAAAUAACCAAUGAUGUAAAGUGACAAGAUGUAUAAAUUAUGGAAAAGCUAUAGAUAGCAUGAUAGAAACUAAAAUCAUUUAUUUUACUUGUAUAGUUGCAUGGUUUCAUAUUACAUAUUGCGAGGCAAGACAUGUAGUUCAAUAUCGAAUAAAUGUUUAAGUAUUUGUUAUAUGUUAUUGGACUAACCUGUUGCAGUGCCUCAUUAGACCUAUUGGUUGAGCUUUUCCCUUGGGUGGCCGUACCCACUGGGAACCAUAGAGUUGGUUCUCACCCCACGUUGUUUUGGGGUGUUACAGGUUCACACGUGAGCGCGCAGUGGCGCGAGGCGAGGGCGUAGCUCUGUAGUUAGCGCCCUACCAUCGAGACCAGAGAUAGUGGUACCCUGAGUCGGCCUUACUUAGGGAUGUAAGGAAAUGAAAAGAAUCAAGUUGUAAUAAUAUUGUUAAAGCUAGAUUGUAUUUGGAAGCUAAAAAGAAUGUAAUAUGUAAUUGUGAUGUAAAAUGUAUCUAGUGAAUGUGAAUGCUUGUAAUAACAAGUAGAUUAUGUCUUGAUAUUUUCUUAUGCAAUCUUUGAUUGAAAUGUAUUCCUAGUUGGAACUUCAUAUAUUGUAUUGAUUGCGACGCCUUGAAUGUACAGGGGAGACUCUGUCAGCGGUACAGGAAAAACUCUGUCCAUUCGGCGGUCUGUCGGCGGCGCCGCAACCCGGCCAAAUAGGUGGGUGGUCGCGGGUUGUGACAGGAUCAAUUCUUGAAACCCUAAUUUCUUGUUCUUCAUGGAGAAUUGAUCCGACUAUUGCUUAGAAACACCUUCUACGAUUUUUUAAUAAUUAUCUAAGCAAUAAAACAUCAUCGAUCGUAUUGUUCUUGCUCUGGACGGAGUGUGCUCGUGGAUUCGAGUGGGCGUCGUGGAUUCGGCGUGAUCAAGGCUUCGUGGAUUCGAAGUGUGGAGUUUCAUGGAUUCGGGACGUGGCGUUCAUGGAUUCGGACGUGGGGCGUGGACAACCCGUUGGUGUGCGCGAGAUCCGGAGAAGAUAAAAGAGAGGUUUGAAUCCGUGGAUUCGGUAAAUCAUCUUGUAAUCUUUUAUUCUUAGUGGAUUGUUAUCGCGUGUUGGUCCCGUGGGUUGUUUACUCAAAGUUGGAGUUUUUCCAUGUAAAUCUCGGUGUGAUUUUCACUUUUUGCAUUUAUUUUUAUCGCAUUGAGAUUUGUGGUUUUUGGCCAUUACACCUAUUCACCCCCCUCUAGGUGUUAGAUACAAUCUAGAUAGAUCCUUGGGCUCCCUCAAAACUUACAAUUGGUAGCAGAGCGGGAUCUAGAUAAAUUGUUAUCUAAUGGCCGAAGGCGGAAACAUUAAUCGACCACCGCUCUUCGAUGGCACGAAUUAUGCCUAUUGGAAAGCUCGCAUGAGAGCUUUUCUAAUCGCAAUCGAUGAGCAUGUUUGGCAAUCAAUAAAAUUUGGAUGGAAACAUCCUAUUGAAAAGGUCGAGAAUGUUGAAACGCCGAAACCACAGAAUAAGUGGACGAAGGAUGAAAACGAGUUAUCUUCGUUUAAUGGUAAGGGCGUAAACACUUUAUUUAAUGCAUUGUCUCAAAUGGAGUUUACUCGUGUUUCGGCGUGUAAUACCGCCAAAGAAAUUUGGGAUACUCUACAAAUUACACAUGAGGGUACAAGUCUAGUAAAAAUUCAAAAGCUCAAGAUGUUGACUAGUCAAUUUGAUUCGAUUCGUAUGAUGGAGCAUGAAUCUUUUACCGAUUAUUAUACUAGACUUCAAGACAUAAUCAAUACAUGUGCUAAUUUGGGAGAGAAGAUCCCGGAUUCUAAAAUUAUUAGAAAAAUUCUUCAGAUUCUUCCGGAAUGCUUUCGGGCAAAAGUUGCCGCAAUUGAAACCGUAAAGCAUCCGGACGAGAUGAAAAUAAAAGAGUUAGUAGGUGCUUUGCAAACUUAUAAGAUGACUUUUCCUACUAACCAAUCUUCUUCCAAGUCUACAAAGGAAGAAGACGACUCGAAUUCCGACGGAGAUAUUUUGCUCGCUGAUUUUGAACAUCAACUGACGCUCUUAACGAAGAAAUUUCGACGGAACUUUCGGAAAAACAAAGCUUCAUCCUCGAAACAAACAUCAUUUUCUAAACAAUCUUCGAGUUCUAAAAUGAAAGACAAAAAACUUGCAAAACCUUCUAAAGAAAAAGAUGAGUUUGAAGGGGAAAUUCAAUGUUAAAAAUGCAAAGGCUACGGCCAUAUUUCUACGGAUUGUCCUACUAAGAUAUCAUAUAAGAAGAAGGCUUUGCAAGUGAGAACUUGGGACGAUUCUACCUCUAAUGAAUCGAGUUCAAGUGAAGAGGAGAAAAUUAAUGUUGCUUUAUGCUCUCAAUCUUCUAUACCUCCCUCUUCAACUUUUUGUUUAUCAUCUAUUAUUUUUGACUCUUUUGUUUCCCCUUCCUUGCAUGGAAUGUCGAGCGAUGAUGGCGAGAGAGAGGGGGAGUCGGAUGAUGAAAGCUUGGCCGAGGCAUACCAACAACUUCUCGAAGAAUCAAAGAAGAUGGCCAAGCACAACAAAAGGCUAAGAAAACGACAACUUGAGCUUGAAGAUGAGAACACUGACUUGAAGAAUGCAUCUAAAACUCUUGAGGAGGAAAGGGAGCAAGUAUUGAAUAAUAAUACAAUUCUCCAAGAGAAGCUCAACCAAUCGGAGAUAACGAUCAAAUCACAUCAAGAAAAGGUUGGUUUUCUAGAACAACAAUAUGAAGAAAUUCGUUCAUCCAAUCAAGUUUUGACCAAACAAGUUUAUCAACUUAAAUCCGACAUUCAAAAGUUUUUCUCCGGUUCGAAAAAGCUAGACCAUAUGCUCGAAUUGGGUCAAACGGAUAAACUGGGACUUGGUUAUAAAAGGACUUAUGUUGAGAAGGAUCAAAAGGCAAUUCGUAAAGUCUCAACAAAUUUGAAAGAGAAAAUUUGCCAUAGAUGUGGUAGUAAAGGACACAUCAAGAAGACAUGCCCUAGAAAAGAAAAGAAACAUCAACCGGCAUGGUCUAUGCAUCUAUCGGCAUCUUCCAAUACUCGACUUCCCCCACAGAUUCCAAAGCAACAUCAAUCAAGUCGCGCACCUCCGAUCAACCAAAAGUCAAAACAAUCGGUACACAACUACAACAAAUCAAGACAACCGAUAAUCCGACAAGUUUGGAUUCGAAAAUGUGAUAUCUUUCCUUGUCUUAAGUCUUUAAUUUGUGUUUGACUUUAUGUUUUGCUAUGAUCGGUUUUAGUGCAUAUCUAUUGAUCAUUGCAUUACAUGUGCUUCGGAUUUUUUCUGGAUCAUUUCGUGAUUAAACAUUAAACAGUGUGUUGAACGUCGAUAAUUUACAUUCAUUCAUUUUGAAUUAAUUUCAUAUUAAUUAUCGGUUUCACUUUAUUAUCACUAUUUAUGAAGAUAAUUUAUAAUAGAAUAUCUUAAUUCUUAUAUUCAUCAAAUUUAAGUAAUCAUGUAUGAUCUUUCGGCACUUAACCUAUCUCGGUUGUGUGUGUUGAAUUUGAUGAAUGAAAAUUUGCUAAUCAACUAAAACUUGUCAAAUUUUCUUUCAUAUAAGAGAUUGCAUAAUUAAGGGGGUGUCAUUUAAUUUUUUUAAAAAAAAGGAGGAAAAGAAGGAAACACUCUAAGUGAUUAAAGUUCAAGUACUUAAAAGAUGUGGAAAGAGUUACAUCUUGAAGGGAGUGUGAAAACUACCACCACAUGUAGGAAAGAGCUACCACCCCGGUCGUCCGGUAAGUGUGUGAAGCUACCACAUGGGAAUUGAUUGAAUAACCGAAAAGGUUGAAAUAUUCAUAUUAUAUAAAAAAAAUUUUCGGUGUAAUAAGGUGGUUUAGUAAAAAGAUGCUUAAAGAGCCACUUCUGGUACAUUAUUGCUUGAUAUAGAAUUUGAACACUUAUGCGACAAAUUUUUAUCAUUUAUUGAAUUUUCAUAAGUCAUCUUUAGAAUCCGUUACAUCUUGAUAGAUUUUGAGCCUUUAGAUUAUUUUUGAUGACUUGAUUUUGAAGUAUAUAUGAGUAAAGAAAUUUUAUUAUAUUUUAUCUACAUCUUGGUGCUCUUGUAGUGAAAUUCUUAUUUUCUAUGAAAUUGAUGUGGAUUGAAAAAAAUCUAUGUGAAUUUAUUAUGUUCAUGCACUGACAAUUGAUUAACUCUCUCAUUUUUGGUACUUUCUUUUUGCAAUUUUUGACAAAAAGGGGGAGAGCGUGGAUGAUUUUGUGGAUGAUUUUCGAGUUUGAAUUUCAAUCUUUUGAUGCAUGAACAAAGGGGGAGAUAUUUUCAUUUUCAUAUUUUUUUUACUACUAACUUUGUUUGUUAACUUUGUUCGUGGAGAAAGUAAUCUUUUUGCAGAUCAUUGAAAACUUCAAGACUCCUAGUUGUGUCUAAGUCAUAGAGUUUGUGUAAGAGUUGCAAAAUUACAAUUUUGUAUUUGUUUGGAUCUUUCACGCGAGAAGUUCAUUGAUUUGGUGAUGUCAAUGAAUUUCAUUUUUGAGAGGUGAGCGUUGUGAGUAUUUUGAUGUAAUUUUGAGUUUUGUCACGAAAUUGCCAAAGGGGGAGAUUGUUACGGAUUUUAUGUUGGCAUAUUUCGUGAAGUUAGUCCGGAGUCUUGAAGGUUUAAAGAAGGAGAGAUGAAGAUCGAAGACUCGAUGACUCAAAACAUAAAUCCACAAUGCUCGUAAGUUAAAAUACUAUUGAUGAUGAUUUAUAAACAUUAACAAGUGUUUGGAAGACUUAGGAUGGGUUUUAAAAUGAAUUGGACUAAACUGAACUUGUCAAGGUUCAGGGACUGGUCCUUGAUCAGAGGGACCGAACCCUGAAGGUUCUCUCUGCGUAAAGAAACUGUCACGCCCCGGGGUCCAUUUUUGUUUGAAAACACAACGGAAAUAGCUAGAUUUUUUUUUUUUUGAAAGACCUGACCCCAGGGUAUGCCAGAUCCGCCAUAUAUACAGAGAGUUCACUAAUCACACGGACAGAGUCUCCCCUGUAUUUGCACGGCGUCGCACAAGUACAAUAAGUAAACUGAAUACAACCACAACUAAAUGAAUAUAGAAACAAUUAUACAAUCAUUCAUUCACCAUUCACAUCACAAUUAUACAUUCAAUGUUUAACAUAAAUCUACACCUAUCAGUUAAAAACGUUUUCAACCCAGAAACAGGUUUUGAAAUGCUAAGAUACAAAAUCCACAGAAAACCUUUUAAAAACUGUUCCCUACACGGGAACUUUUAUCUUUUAGAAACGCUACCACGAGGGGUAGAAAAUCAUUCAACAUUUGAAAUCCACAAAUCCUUUUUAUUACAUCAUAAAUCCAACUGAAAAUUCAGAUAUUCAACUACUAUAACAAAAACUGAACUAUAAUAUGUCUAAGUUAUUUAUUCAAGCAUGAAGGGUAAAGAAAUAACCGACACGGGACGGAGCUCUAUCGUACGCUAGAAAUGCUCCUCACCAGCUGUCCCACUUGGACCUGCGACGUCACCUGUAAUGGGGGCGGGGGGGUGAGAACAUGUAAACAUAUCUCCCUCUCCUUCCAGUGGGUACCGCAAGCCGACGAGGGCGAGGGGUACUCACUAGUCAGGAGAUAAACAAGGAUAUGAAUAAUGGUAAUACAGUAGCUAAGAUAAACAAGUAAUGAAAUGUGUAUAGAUAAACCACUACAGGUACUGUAUGCGUGCAUCAAAUCAGUCCAAAAGUACCCAAUAUGAAACCAAUGCUCUCUUGGUCCGCACCGCAAACCUCAAGCCAGUGCCACUACUACUCUACCAUGCAUAUAACCCCUCUAGGGCUCACGGAUUGACAACUGCAACCAUUUUUCCGGAAAAGAACACCCCUUGCGGUGGAUCAGACCGCCAGUGUUCGUGAAAUGCGACGAGUAUCGGGCGAUCAAUGCAAUAUGCUCAAUGAUCAACCGUCGGCAACUAGCCGACAAUCCUGCCCCCCAGGGCACACCAGCCAUAUGGGUCAUCAUGUAAUCAAAUCAACCAACCAGGUCACAAGUAUAGGAGAUGCAAUGUCCACAAGUAUAGGAGAUGCAACGUCGACCAACCAGGUCAUGGAGAUCACAUAGGAGAAUAGACCAACCAAAUCAUAGAUGCAAAUAGGAGAACCGACCAACCAGGUCACAGAUGCAAAUAGGAGAACCGACCGACCAGGUCACAAAUAUCAUAUACAGAUAAAGUUUACUAUACUCCUACACAUGAUACUACAUCUGGCAACAACUAAGUAGAGUAAAUAAGGAAAUAGCAUGGGUGUAAGGCUCAACAUGUAUAAGGUAAAUGAUAUACACAACAAGGGUAAAGGAAACGUCACCGAGCGUGCACCACUGUACCGACGUCGGAACGAAGUACCCACCUGUAUGUGUCUGACGAAAAUCUCUCGACUGUGAAGACGGUGCAACCGAACCUACGAAAGGUCCACCGGGUUAGAACCUAACCCACUAACACAUAUCGCUAACUCACAAUCCCACAAUCAUAGCCCUUCGGGAAUCGGUUUUCCAAAACCGAUUGCCGAACUCACCAGAAGUCACAAAAAAACUGCACCGGGACUCCGCCGGGACCCACGAACCGUCCCAAAACUACCCAACUCAUCAUAUGAGUUGCUCGCUGCCGCUAAACACCUAUUUUAGUGUGACAAGGCAGCAAAGACGCUAACUCGAUGCGGAACGAUUAUCGUCGGAUAAUCGUUUCGAUUCGGGUUCCCGGAAAUGUCUAUUUCGACACCGGAACCCGCCGUCGCUCACUCGUCGUUUCUGAACCCUCGAAACGACACGGGUGACAAGCCAACAAGGCUCAGCGACACUACAAUCAACCACGAGGCACUGUCGGAUGAAUUUCGAAUCGAAAACGCGUUCUAUCAGCGGAUUUCGCCGAAAAACGCUCCAGAAAUCACUUUUCGAUUUUCGCAAAAGCUUGGGGCCUUGGACGAUCAGUCCAGAGGUUAUCCUCAGCCUACCCUUGCUGCCAACAUCAUCUACAUCGAAGCAAAAACCCUAAAAGCCCUUACCGAUACGUGAAAUCACAUCAUUUUAUGUGAUUUCUAGGCUUUUCUGGACCGUGCACGCAAACCAGAGAUCGAUUCAGCAAACCGUCGCGCUCGCUGAUAGGUUUCAGCGUGCCAGAGGCCGUGCUCACCUUUCGGAGAACUGCCGGCCACUAUGGCACGCGCACGAGCGACACGAAACUCAGUGAAACAGCGCGCACAGCGCUAAGAUUGCCAUUAAUGCACAAUCCAGGGCAUCUCUGUCCCUGUUGGAGGUGAGCAAGAUGUUCAGCACGUGUUGUAGAUCAUCGUGCUCACUUCCCUAGGUCUAGAAGGCUUAACGGAUCACCGAAAAGGUGACCGAAAUCUCAGACUUUAGUGCUGGAACAUAAAACAGCCUUACCAGAACCGGGGAGAGCUAGGGUUGGUCGCCGACGGUCGGACGGCGGGCGGUCCAGCUAGGGGAGGGCGCGGCCGGUAGGUGAGUUCCGGGGCACUCGUUGGCCGGUGGCUGGAGGCGGCCGGUGGCGCGGCGGCGGAGAUCAACUCCCUAAGGCUGCUCACGGGUUCAAGGGCGCCGACAGCAAGGCGGCGGCCGAAGGAGCUUGGGGCGGCGACGAUUCGACGCCGGAGGCCGAGGGAGAGGCGGUGCACCCUUCGUUGGACGGCGGCGGCGCUUGGAAGUCGAGCGGACUCGACCUCGGUCCGCACCAACCCAGGACGGCCGCAAGCUGCACAAGCGGCGGCCGGCGGUCCACGGGGAUGGCCGGGAUGGCGAGCAGGAGGUCGCCGGAGGUGCGGGGAUAGCGCUGGGGAUGGGCCUGUGCCAGGGGAUGUUGAAGCUCGGGCUUUGAUGCCUUCCCGAGCACAACAGCUGAGCUGGUGGCGAGGUGGGUCUAACGAGGAGUUGAGGGGAGGCCGGGGUGGCUUUUCCGGCGGCCGGAGCUGCUCGUCGGCGGUCCCGAUGUGCGAAUUGGCAGGGCAUGGUGUAGGUAGGGCAGCUAGGGUUAGCUAGGUGAACGUGGGCAGCCAAAGAACCAUGAAAAACCCUAGAUGUUACUUUUAUACAAGGUGUCAUUUUGCGAGGAACCCCUUCAAAGUCAAAUAAUUAUAAUCCUGCCCCUGCCCGCAUGUGUAACUUGCAUGCCAGCCCAUCAACAUUCGAAAUCUCGUGAAACAGCGCAUAAAAUAUAGGGUCUUUUCGCGAUUAAUCGAUUUUGCCAAAUUGACCUCUCAGCGGACUUUUCACAAUUUCCGAAGAUCCGCCCGUCGGAUUUCCGAACGGAUUGCGCCAGCGCGUUCAGAAUGACUGGGGCAUCGAAUCUAGCAUCUUACUUUGUCCGAUUUGGUUUUCGAUUUGCGUCAAAACCAUCCCUCUUUUGUUUUCACUAUGUAGCCACUUAUAUUACUACACGUGAAACCAAUCAAACCCCUUUUUUCUCGACAACCGUGCAUCAGAAUCCAAUUUCGUCAGUGCCAUUGGGUCCAGAAUGGUCGAACCGUUCGAAACGAGCUAUUGGAGCACUAUGAUCGGAGUCCAAUGUGCACCAGAACCGUCUUCUACUCACUGGCUUCGCCGGGAAGCCAGAGUUACUAUUCACUCUAAGUUAUCGGUUCAGGUUGCAUAACUUCUCCAUCUUAACUCGUUUUCACCUGAAAUUUGACAAGUGCUUAUGUAAUUAUAUUACACAUAAAAAUAUUGUCAACAAAGGGUUUAAUUUUUAUUACUAAAAAUCUCGGUUAUUACAUCAUUCCCCCCUUACAAGAAGUUUCGUCCCCGAAACUUAAAUCAAGGAUCCCCCGUGAAUAGCUGCGGAUAACUCUCCCGCAUAGAAGACUCAAGCUCCCAUGUAGCCUCGCGCUCCUCGUGAUUUGCCCACUGAACUUUUACAUACGGAAUGCUCCUGUUCCGUAAUUGCUUCACUUCACGUGCCAAAAUCCCCAAUGGAGCCUCAUCAUAGCUCAGAUCCUCCCGUAGCUGAAUAGAUGUCGGACUAAUGAUGUGAGACGGAUCUGGAAUGUAUUUCCGCAACAUGGACACAUGAAAGACAUUGUUCACCCGGGUGAGACUUGGAGGAAGAGCCAAUCUGUACGCUACCGGACCGAUGCGCUCCAGGAUCUCAAACGGUCCCACGAACCGCGGACUUAGCUUGUUCCGCAAACCGAACCGCUUGAUCCUCUUGGAUGGCGACACCUUGAGCAACACAUGCUCACCGACCUGAAACUCCAGGUCACGCCUCUGCUGAUCCGCGUAUCUCCUCUGUCGACUCUGUGCAGUCAGAAGCCGCUCUCUCGCAAUGCGGAUCUUCGCCAACGCAUCCUCCACUAAGUCUGGCCCGAUCAACCGACGUUCUCCGACGUCGUCCCAACAGAUAGGAGACCGACAUCGACGCCCAUAUAAAGCCUCGUACGGUGCCAUCCCGAUGCUCGCCUGGUAGCUGUUAUUAUAGGAGAACUCCACCAACGGUAGAUAUCGGAACCAUCCAUCACCGUAAUCCAGGAUACAUGCGCGGAGCAUGUCCUCAAGAGUCUGGAUGACUCGCUCUGACUGUCCGUCGCUCUGGGGAUGGAAUGCCGUACUGAAGUUCAACUUCAUACCCAUAACCUAUUGCAAGCUCCUCCAGAAGUGGGAAACAAAGCGAGUGUCCCGAUCAGACACAAUCGACACUGGCACACCAUGAAGCCGAACAAACUCGUCAAUGUAUAACUGUGCUAGUCGAUCACGGGACCACGUUGUAUGCAUCGGCAAGAAGUGAGCCAAUUUCGUCAGCCGAUCAACUAUAACCCAGAUCACAUCAUGGCCUCGCUGUGAUCGAGGCAAUCCGGUGACGAAAUCCAUAGUGAUCUGCUCCCACUUCCAUACGGGGAUCGGAAGUGGUUGCAGCUUUCCUGCUGGUCGCUAAUGCUUAGCUUUCACCUGCUGACAAAUCAAGCACCGAGCCACGUGCUGAGCCACAUCAAGCUUCAUCCCAGGCCACUAGAAAUUCUGCUUCAGGUCGCGGUACAUCUUGGUUCCUCCUGGGUGAACUGUGUAAGGGGAUCGGUGCGCCUCGGAUAGGAUGUCGUUCCUCAGCUCCGAGUCAUUGGGCACACACCAUCUGCCUUUAAAGCGCAGAGAUCCAUCAGUGUGGAUAUUGAAGUCCCCGUCCUUACCCUGCUCGACCUCCGCCCGCACUUUCUGUAAGUACGGGUCACUCUACUACCCAAGCAAAAUCCGCUCCGUCAAAGUAGGCUGUAUCACCAGAGUCAUCAAUUGGGCCGUGGCCCCGGUGGAAACAACCUUGAUCUCCAGACGGCGGAACUCCACGAGUCGAUCCUGGCUCGUGAUCAUAAUGGACAACGAAGCUGAAGGCUGUUUCCGGCUCAAGGCGUCCACCACCGCGUUCGCCUUUCCCGAAUGGUACUGGAUCGUGAGAUCGUAGUCCUUUAAGAGCUCGAGCCAACGUCUCUGCCUGAGGUUCAACUCCUUCUGUGUGAAAAGGUACUUCAGGCUCUGAUGAUCGGUGAAUACCUCGCAGUGUGCUCCAUAUAGAUAGUGCCUCCACAGCUUUAGGGCAAACAUUACCGCCGCGAGCUCUAGAUCGUGAGUCGGAUAGUUCUUUUCAUACGACUUUAGCUGUUGAGAUGCGUAAGCGAUGACCCGAUCCUGCUGCAUAAGCACGCACCCCAGACCGACCCAGGAGGCGUCACAAUAGACCACAAAAUCCUCACCAGGUCGCGGCAGAGUAAGAACGGGUGCGCGGGUCAAUCGAUCCUUCAGCUCAUCAAAGCUCUGCUGGCACUGCUCGGUCCACUGAAACCGUUCUCCUUUUCUGGUAAGCUUGUUUAGCGGUGCGGCGAUCUUGGAGAAGCCCUCAACGAAUCGCCGAUAAUAACCCGCCAAACCCAGAAAGCUCCGGACUUCAGUCACCGAAGUCGGUUCAGGCCACUCGACCACUGAGGCUAUCUUCUUUGGAUCCACCGUAAUGCCCGAUGGAGUCACAAUAUGCCCUAAGAAAGAUACCUCGCGGAGCCAGAACUCGUACUUCUUGAGCUUACCAUAUAGCUUGUGCUCUCGAAGUAUCUGCAGUACUCGUCGGAGAUGAUCCUUGUGCUCCUCAUCACUCCGCGAGUAAAUCAGGAUGUCGUCAAUGAAGACCACGACAAACUGAUCCAAGUAUGCCCGAAAGACCCUAUUCAUCAUAUCCAUGAAAGCUACCGGGGCAUUGGUGAGCCCAAACGGCAUCACCGUGAACUCGUAGUGGCCGUAUCGAGUUCUAAAGGCGGUCUUCGACACAUCCUCAUCCCGGAUCUUAAGCUGAUGGUACCCGGACUGUAGGUCGAUCUUCGAAUACACCGAUGAUCCAUGAAGCUGAUCGAAGAGAUCCUCAAUCCGGGGUAGUGGAUACUUGUUCUUCACAGUGACCUUAUUAAGCUCCCGGUAGUCGAUGCACAGUCGAAGACUACCAUCCUUCUUUUUGACAAAGAGGACUGGGGCACCCCCAAGGAGACACGCUAGGGCGGAUAAACCCUCUCUCCAGAAGAUCCUCAAGUUGAGCCUUCAACUCUUUCAGCUCAGCGAAGGCCAUGCGAUAGGGGGCCUUCGAGAUCGGUGCCGUGCCUGGAACUAGCUCGAUGAAGAAGUCGAUCUCCCGGUCCGGAGGCAUUCCCGGAAGCUCAUCUGGAAAGACAUCCGGGAAUUCCUGAACAACUAGAAUAUCCUCCAAUGGUGGUGCAGCUCGGUGGGUGACAUCUACUGAAGCCAGGUAGGCUACACAUCCCGCAUUCAUAAGCCUCUUUGCUCUAGCUGAAGAGAUAGACGCGGCAAAAUAGGAGCUCUUACAUGCUCGGUAUACGAAUACUUCUUCGCCGGGCCCGAUAAAUGUCACCGUCCUCCGCUCGCAGUCGAUGGUAGCGUGGUGCCUGGUAAACCAGUCCAUCCCAAUCACCACGUCGAACUUCUUCAUGGGAAGUACCACCAGGUUCGCCAGGAAGCUCCGAUUAUCCAAAAUGACAGGGUACGAUAGGAUGCACCGAUCAGCUAAUAGGUCACCUCCAGGCGUGUCAAUACGGAGCGGCACGUCUAGUGGACGCGAGGAAAUACCAUGCUCACAUGCAAAUGAAUGCGAAAUGAAUAAGUGCGAUGCUCCAUUAUCGAAUAUAGCUCUAGCACGAGUAAUGCAGAGGGUAACAAUACCUGCAAGGACGUCACCAUCAUUGUUGCCUUCGUGCGCGCCCCCUCGUUUUGGCGUGAGGAGGAGGGACGCCUAAACGAAGCAGCUGCGCUUGGAGCUCAACGGUUCUGUCGGGAUGCAGCUGGGGAGGAGGCAGCACUCUGAUUAGCCACAUUUCUCUUAGGGCAAUGUGCUUGCAGGUGGCCCGGCUGACCACAAUGGAAACAGUUGUCCCUCCUCUGCGGACAGUCGGUCACCCGGUGUGCUUGCCCACAAAUCACACGGGGUUGACCGCCCCGUCGCUGACUGCCGGAGGGUGCACUCUUCGCCGACUGCUGAGUGCGAGGAUGCUUCGGUGGCUUUUUGCUGAAAGAAGAGCCACUGCUAGACUUAGAAUGGGAACGCUUCCUGUCCCCUGAUCGCUAGGAUGCAUCGCGAUCAGCUCGCAUCUCCUCUGACUCGCUCUGCACUAUAAGAGCCCGGUCGAAAGACUCGUCGAAGGGUAUCAUGCCAUUGGACGCGACCAAGAGCCGAAUGUUGGGCCUCAGCCCCCUGAUAAAAAGCUUGGCCUUGUGGUACUCGUCCCGCACCGCGAAGGGAAUCAGCCCGACGAUGCAGCUGAAAUCUCGCUCGUACUCCGCCACAGUACGGUUACCCUGCUUAAGGCGCUCCAGCUCGCGCUCCAAGUUCUGCUUCGUACUGUCCUUGAAGUACUGCUCAUUUAGGAGUCUCCGAAACUCAUCCUAGGGUGGAUAGAUGCUUGAGAGCUUGUUCACGAAGUGGCGGAUCCACCAUGCAUACGCAUCCCUCUCAAGGCAAUGAGCGGCCAGAGGAACGCGAUCCUGCUCCUCAAUAUGGAGAUCGCGAAAUAGUUUCUCCAUGUGGGUGGCCCAGUGCUCGAUCACCCAUGCAUCGUCAUUCUUCCUAGCGAACUUAGGCGGAUCGAACUUUCUAAACUGGACCAACUUCGCACGCAUGUGAUCGCCCUCCACUGCAGAGGUAUUAGCACCCCCAGCGAAAACCGUCGUGGUAGUCGUCGUCGUCGUCGUGCCAGUCGGAGCUGUAGCCGGUGGAGGUAUCAUCGAGUGUCCGCAGUAACUGGAGCCGGCUGUGUCGGAGGUGGAGCCGGGGGAGCAGCAGCUGCAGUCUGCUGCUGUAUAAACUACUGGAACAUCCCCGAGAGGGCCGUCAGCUGACCCCUCAUCGCUGCUACCUCGGCCUCAAGCUGCUAGGUACGCGCAUCACCCAACUGCUCGGGGCCGACCUGCUUCCCUCCACCCCUGCCCCUCGGGACACGCCCUCCAGGACUGUUCGAUGCCCCCUCAGUGGCGCAUCCACCGCCACGACCCCGACGAGGAGGUCUACCAGGACCACGAGCCAUCUGCAACAGAAAACACCGUCAGCCGAAUAAUCGACUUCGACUACUACCAACCAGGACUCGAGCCCAAACCCCGCACUCACAUGCUUAUACAUCGUAGGUCUUCCUAAAGGUCAACCUAACCAAUGGUUCAGUUUAUUUUUAUUUUCAAAAUAACCUGUGAAUGGUGUUGUGGUUGUAACUUGGCUCUGAUACCACUUUAAUCUGUAACGCCCCGGGGUCCAUUUUUGUUUGAAAACACAGCGGAAAUAGCUAAAUUUUUUUUUUUUUUUAAAGACCUGACUCUAGGGUAUGCCAGAUCCGCCACAAAUACAGAGAGUUCACAGAUCACACGGACAGAGUCUCCCCUAUAUUUGCACGGUGUCGCACAAGUACAACAAGUAAACUGGAUACAACCACAACUAAAUGAACAUAGAAACAACUAUACAAUCAUUCAUUCACUAUUCACAUCACAAUUAUACAUUCAAUAUUUAACAUAAAUCUACAUCUAUCAGUUAAAAACGUUUUCAACCCAGAAACAGGUUUUGAAAUACUAAGAUACAAAAUCCACAGAAAACCUUCUAAAAACUCUUCCCUACACUGAAACUUUUAUCUUUUAGAAACGCUACCACGAGGGGUAGAAAACCAUUUCCAUUUCAAGAAAACACAAAUUCCUUUAUUGCAUUCCAAAACCAACUGAAAACUCAGAUAUUCAACUACUAUAACAAAAACUGAACCAUAAUAUGUCUAAGUUGUUUAUUCAAGCAUAAAGGGUAAAGAAAUAACUGACACGGGAUGGAGCUCUAUCGUACGCUAGACACGCUCCUCACCAGCUGUCCCACUCGGACUUGCGACGUCACCUGUAAUGGGGGCAGGGGGGUUGAGAACAUGUAAACAUGCCUCCCCUCCCUGUGGGUACCGCAAGCCGACGAGGGCGAGGGGUACUCACUAGUCACGGAGAUAAACAAGGAUAUGGAUAAUGGAAGUACAAUAGAUAAGAUAAACAAGUAAUGAAAUGUGUAUAGAUAAACCACUACAGCUACUGUAUGCAUGCAUCAACGGGACAAUCAGUCCAAAAGUACCCAAUUUGAAACCAAUGUUCUCUUGGUCCGCACCGCAAACCUCAAGCCAGUGCCACUACUACUCUACCAUGCAUAUAACCCCUCUAGGGCUCACGGGGUGACACCUGCAACCACUUUUUCGGAAAAGAACACCCCUUGCGGUGGAUCAGACCGCCAGUGUUCGUGAAAUGCGACGAGUAUAGGGCGAUCAAUGCAAUAUGCUCAAUGAUCAACCGUCGGCAACCAGUCGACAAUCCUGCCCCCCAGGGCAUACCAACCACAUGGGUCAUCAUGUAAUCAAAUCAACCAACCAGGUCACAAGUAUAGGAGAUGCAAUGUCCACAAGUAUAGGAGAUGCAACGUCGACCAACCAGGUCAUGGAGAUCACAUAGGAGAACAGACCAACCAAAUCAUAGAUGCAAAUAGGAGAACCGACCAACCAGGUCACAGAUGCAAAUAGGAGAACCGACCGACCAGGUCACAGAUAUCAUAUACAGAUAAAGUCUACUAUACUCCUACACAUGAUACUACACCUGGCAACAACUAAGUAGAGUAAAUAAAGAAAUAGCAUGGGUGCAAGGCUCAACAUGUAUACGGUAAAUGAUAUAAACAACAAGGGUAAAGGAAACGUCACCGAGCGUGCACCACUGUACCGUCGUCGGAUGGAAGUACCCACCUGUACGUGUCUGACGAAAAUCUCUCCACUGUGAAGACGGUGCAACCGAACCUACGAAAGGUCCACCGGGUUAGAACCUAACCCACUAACACAUAUCGCUAACUCACAAUCCCACAAUCAUAGCCCUUUGGGAAUCGGUUUUCCAAAAUCGAUUGCCGAACUCACCAGAAGUCACAAAAAAACUGCACCGGGACUCCGCCGGGACCCACGAACCGUCCCGGAACUAUCCAACUCAUCAUAUGAGUUGCUCGCUGCUACUAAACACCUAUUUUAGUGUGACAAGGCAGCAAAGACGCUAACUCGAUGCGGAACGAUUAUCGUCGGAUAAUCGUUCCGAUUCGGGUUCCCGGAAGUGUCUAUUUUGACACCGGAACCAGCCGUCGCUCACCCGUCAUUUCUGAACUCCCGAAAUGACACGGGUGACAAGCCAACAAGGCUCAGCGACACUACAAUCAACCACGAGGCACUGUCGGAUGAAUUUCGAAUCGAAAACGCGUUCUAUCGGCGGAUUUCGCCGAAAAAUGCUCCGAAAAUCACUUUUUGAUUUUCGCAAAAGCUUGGGGCCUUGGACGAUCAGUCCAGAGGUUAUCCUCAGCCUACCCUUGCUGCCAACAGCAUCUACAUCGAAGCAAAAACCCUAAAAGCCCUUACCGAUACGUGAAAUCACAUCAUUUUAUGUGAUUUCUAGGCUUUUCUAGACCGUGCACGCAAACCAGAGAUAGAUUCGGCAAACCGUCGCGCUCGCUGAUAGGUUUCAGCGUGCCGAAGGCCGUGCUCACCUUUCGGAGAACUGUCGGCCACUGUGGCACGCGCACGAGCGACACGAAACUCAGUGAAACAGCGCGCACAGCGCUAAGAUUGCCAUUAAUGCACAAUCCAGGGCAUCUCUGUCCCUGUCAGAGGUGAGCAAGAUGUUCAGCACGUGUUGUAGAUCAUCGUGCUCACUUCCCGAGGUCUAGAAGGCUUAACGGAUCACCGGAAAGGUGACCGGAAUCUCAGAAUUCAGUGCUGGAACAUAAAACAGCCUUACCGGAACCGGGGAGAGCUAGGGUUGGUCGCCGGCGGCCGGACGACGGGCGGUCCAGCUAGGGGAGGGCGUGGCCGGUAGGUGAGGUCUGGGGCAACCGCUGGCCGGUGGCUGGAGGCGGCCAGUGGCGCGGCGGCGUAGAUCAACUCCCUAAGGCUGCUCACCGGUUCAAGGGCGCUGGCAGCAAGGCGGCGGCCGGAGAAGCUUGGGGCGGCGACGAUUCGACGCCGGAGGCCGAGGGAGAGGCGGUGCACCCUUCGUUGGACGGCGACGGCGCUUGGAAGUCGAGCGGACUCGACCUCGGCCCGCACCAACCCAGGGCGGCCGCAAGGUGCACAAGCGGCGGCCGGCGGUCCACGGGGAUGGCUGGGAUGGCGAGCGGGAGGUCGCCGGAUGUAAGGUACCAGACUUCUAAAACUAUGAAGUUACGAUAUACAUUUAAAUGGUUCCGGUGAGGUUGCGGUGGAAUGUAACAUACUGAAUUUUAAAUGUAAAAGUGAAAAUAAAUAAAAAUAGUAUGAGAUACUAUUUUUAUUGGAUUUAGAAAAGUGAAAUGUAGGUUGGGAAUGACCUGUGCUGAAAUCGGAGCGAAAACAGAGGAUUUAGAAUUUUCUGUGUGAAACGAGGCAGAUAAAUUAGCAGAAAAUGCAGUGUCAGAAAAUUCUGAAAACUGGAGGAUAAGCCAGAAUUAUUUUUAUGAGGCUAGAUUUAAUGUUUCAUAUCAUUCUGACAUCCGGAAGGUGGAAAAUAAAAUCCGAUAGUGAUCUGAUAAAGAUUACAGUUCGGUACAGCUUUCAGUGACCAAAUGGGGUCGAAACUGAAAGAUUAAAAUUUCUUUCGUUAAGUUAAGCAAAACCGAACAUGACUGUCAAAUUUGAGCUCAAACGGAUAUUCAGGGAGCUCCGGCGAAAGAUAUCAGAUUUUGAGCUGCCUGAUGUGAAUAGUGUAUGCUACUAUUGAGGUGUUGACUAUAAGUAGAAGCUACUAGGCUUCUUCUUCCUC